GCUGAGCUUGACCGUGAAGACCGAACCGAAACACGCCGUGUCUUUCACUUCUACUGUCUGAUAGAUUUGAGGCCGCAAAGAGGGACGAUAUUUUGAAGACCUGAUGUCCAGUAAUCUUCCAUAGUCGUGUAUAACAAAGUUGUGAUCCAACGUCUAUCUGUCGGCAUUACAACAAUAAUUGUGCCUUCAUAUAUAUUUUUUGUAAAGAUUCGGAGAAGAUGCUUGUUAGCAUAAACAAUUAAGGCAUGCACAUGCCCUAUUUUACAGGUCUUGUCAUCGGUCAUUCUCUACUGGUUUGCUAUCAUACUCUCACUCGUAGUCACCGGCCGCCAUAUAUACAAAUCCUAUCAACUUUAACAUCUUAGCACACAGGGAUGUGGAUGCUUUCCGAACAUCACCUUCCCGUUGUAUGUUUUUCUCUUUGAUUCAACCACUGGUAUGUACUUCACCAAAGAAAAAAAACAUCACUGGUCUACACUACUGUAUAUUCAUUUUCCUUCACUGCAUUUUUCCUUUGUGUCCACUGCAUAGAAUAUAUACAGGAACGAUGAAAGAUGGAGGCAACUCGAUAAGCAUCGCGGCGGCCAUCUUUUGUGUACUGUUUUUGGCAAUGUAAAGUCUCAUCACGGAUCGCGCAUAUUUAGGUUGCAAUUUUGCCGAAACAAAUGCCAAUAUUCGGAGCCUUCGGAUUUAUUUAGGUGCAAUCAUAGUUGUUUUAUCCAAUGAAUAAAGCGGACCGUGGGGAAGGAGGGCCACGUGGUGGCAGCUGGCGUGAGGCAAUAUUUUUUUCUUUCGUCCGAUUGCUCGCGAUCGUUAGCGAACAAACAGGUGAUGGCUAGCCACGUACGUCUAUAUAACGAAAAUAGAUAGACGAUGUUUUUUUUUUUGCGGGUGCGAUAGACAAUGUUGAAAAAUAGCAUAAAUCAUUUCAUCAGUGGAAGACAAUUUAGAAGUUGAAAACAGCGAGACAGCUGUUCAGGAAAAGAGAGGACAAGGCUGGACAAUGUUUGGAAAAUAAGAAACGAUGUAGACAAGGCAAGAGAGGCCUAGAAGCAUCAAGCAUGCGCUGUCGAAUUCAAGUCCCUCCGCUUUGUCGUCGUACUAACAACCCAUCCACUGUCACACUCACACCAGCGUGGAGCCAUGGAUUGAUUGGCGUUCUAUUUGUCUAGUAGGGCAUGUACAAUGGCGGCACAUGGAUGUAUAUGCUCCAUGACAAAAAGUAAUUUGAGGCAUUUAAAUUUAUUUUUUCUCUUCAAUGCAAGCUAUCAUCAGUUGGUCUUAUUAAGAAAUAGAAAAUAAAGACUCUAGUACACAUGUAUCUUUACUUUUCACUUCAACUUUUUCAGCUUUUGUCACCGGAACAUACUUUUUCUCUUCAAGCACCCGCCUCCUGAAGAGGAUCUCGCUUCUCUAUCCGAACCUACAUUAUGUCAUAUCCGAUCCUACAUGGCAUGCGAGGCAUCACCUUGAGCCUAUGCAUUGUAUAUGCCCGUAGUAGUUCACUGACCCGCUCCGGUGCUCCCCGGUCCCCACCAUCCCCGCUUUCCCCUCGAGUGCCCGCCUCUGCAUCAAGUUCCGGUUCGUCGUGGGCGCUCCUCAGAGGAUCUCUAGCAGACCCUUAAAGCGGUCAAACCCGUAAAAAGGUGUUUAAAGUUUCGGUCGAAAAAACAACGCCUAGCAGAUUCCGUAAAAUUCACUUUGCCCUUAAACUUUUUAAAUGGCGCUGAAAAUCCAUCCGUGAGAACCUCAUAUGUAUAGUUUCAAAGACAGUAUACAAUUCAGUCUGUAAACUAGUCAAACCUCGUUGGAGCAGACGCACCGCCGCGAAACAGGUCGGAACCUAGCCGGAACUCACAUCCAUCGCCGCACGUCGGAAGAAGCCGCUGCACGCCGAAAUUUGCCAGUGCCGGUCCGAAUUGCGUCCGGCUCGACCUCCACUGCCGAGGCGAGGCCGUCGACGGGCAGGGCGAAGCAGGCCACCAGCGGCCCAAAUCAGGGGGGCGGCGACGGGGAGCUUGCGCAGCCACGUAGGGGAGUGCACAUGGCGGCGGGCGGUGCUGGGCUCAAUCGGGGACGGGGAGGCGCACCAGGGAGCGCGCGGGCGGCGCCGGGGUGAGGCACACCGUGGCCGGAGAUAGGCUCUGCCAGGACGGGAGAAAAAGAAUAGAAAAAAAUGAGCUACAGUGGAAUACAGUUUUAUUUACGGUGUUUGCUCUAUCCAGGGCAAUUUCGUAUCAUAAAAAUGGUUUACAGUGCCCCUUAUACGCGUUUUUACUGGCCAACUUUUAAGGGGUCUACUAGAGAUGCUUUCACAGCUGACUUGGGUAAGAAGAAACCGAUGACUCCAAGUCUAUGCUAAAUAUAUAUCAUUUUGGGUACUUAGAGCAUCUACAGUCGGGCCUCUUAUACCCGUCUCAAACGCCCCAGCAGGCCAUCCGGUCAUUCUCCGACGACGGUUUUUUGACUCAAGCGGCCCCCUCAAACAUGCGGGCUGACUGGCACCUCUCAUAUCUGGUCCAAAUAUGGGACGGAUAUGGACCGAAGAAGGAGUCCCAGCCGGAAAUGCCCUGAAACCCGACGGUCCGAAGCUCGUCUCCUCCGUCGGACCGGUGGCGCCGCGUGGCGCAGCUCCGGCGGGCCGCGUCGUGCCUAGCCCGACUAUUUAAGUCGACCGGCGGCACCGAAACCCUACCAUCUAUACACAUUUUUCUCCUUCUCCUAUCCAUAGCCGCCGCCACUUUCCACUCCACCCGUCCGCCUAGUAGCCAUGCCCCCAUGCCGCCGGGUGAGGAGCAAGCCAUUUCUGACGCCGGAGCGCCGGCUCGAGCUCCUUGAGCAGAUUCGGGCUAGGCAUGAAGCCGAAUGUAGCGACCAGACCUCAAACGGUCCAAUCUCUAUGCUCAGGUGUCAUCCCUGGAUCAGUAAUGCUGACACCACACAGUACUUGAAGGAUUUAUAACAGAGUAGCAACCACACACUUAUUACAUCGAGUGUCUCAAUAAAGAACUUAUUACAAUAAAUAUGGCUUAAGGACAUCUAAUAACGAUAACAGCGGAAGGCUUGGAAGAUAAGUGAGUCCAUCAACUCCAACGGCAUCACUGAGUAUAGAACCACGACCUAAAAACUCCUUAAUCGUCGUCUGAAAAGUCUGCAACAUUAAUGUUGCAGCCCGAAACGGGUCAGCACAUGGAAUAUGCUGGCAAGGUAACACAUAGAGAGUAAUGGAAUGAAACAGCUAUACUAUAUGCAUAUUUGGCUGGUGGAAAGCUCUAUGGUUACAGUUUUGCGUAAAGCCAAUUUUUCCCUACUGCAAAGGAAUAAAUUUUAUUUAACUAUCAUGGUAGUUGUUAAACAUUGAGAAUGGUUGACAGCAUCAUCAAUCCCAAUUAAGCAUCAUCAUUAACAAAACCCAACAAAAUUAAUUUAGAGUAACAUGUUGAGAUUCACAUGAUAAUCCAAGUACUAGAUACUCAAGAUGUCCAUAACCGGGGACAUGGCUAACCAUGAUUAGUUUAUACACUCUGCAGAGGUUUGCGCACUUUUCCCCACAAGACUCGAUCGCCUCUGUUUGGUUUCUCGCACUACAUGGUGUUUGAGAAGACGGAUGACCGAGACAUAGUCUUUCAGAAGCGCUAGCACCUUACGAUGGAUAGACCGUUACACCUACUUUCCCCUACAUCUGCUAGUCCAUCCUGUAAGAGUUCGCACGACUUAAUCAACUAUGCUAGAGCCCAUAAUAGCUUGUGGCUGCACACGGAAGUUUCUAGUAUGAAAAAUCUCAUGAUCCCUUUGGGCCUGGGUGGCGGUCCAUAAAGAAAAACAGGCAAUCCUGGAAUACCCAGGUACCUCAAUCCACCCAGAUGUGUGUUUAAGUUGCCACCUUAGAUAAACCAUUAAUUAACAAACUCACAUCUGUCAUGGAUAUCACUCACCCAAUCCACGUCUACUAGCAUAGCAUGGCAUAAAAGGCAAACGUAGAAGUAACUCCCAAAGGUUUGGAAAUAAGCAGGUAAUAGGUACUACCUCAACUACUUCCCAUCCCACAAUUUAAUUAGAUCCUAAUCAUGCAAUGUUUGAGGAUUGAUCUAAUGCAAUAAAACUGGGUAGUAGGAGGUAUGAUCAAAGUGUUACUUGCCUUGCUGAUGAUCCGCGAAACCUAGAGAUUCGAAGUAACAGGCGGCGCACUCCGGGUAUUCUAUCACAGACAAACAAACAAGCAUACAAUAAGUAUUCAUCUAAUGCACAGGUAAAACUCGAAUAAGAGAUUUAACCAGAAGGUUCAACUUAAGAACUCUGGUUUGCAAAAAGAAUCAAAUCAAACGAAGCAACGAAAGUCAAACGGCAAAAGAAACAGGCUUCGUUUACUAUUCUAGAUCUAGGACAAUUUUUACAGUGGCAACAACUUGUUUAAGUUGGUUAAACGGAUAGAGGGUUUCGAGACGAAGCUCCAGGCGCUUGAAUUGCCUGAUUCCGAUAAACGAGCGAAAAGUUAUACUAAAACGAAAAUCGGAUCAGAAAUCGCGAUCAGAAAAAAUCACGGAUUUAAUCCGAGAAAAAGAAAGACGACGAACGUUCGCUAGAACGAACGAACGGACGAAUGCUCGCUAUUUAAAUAAAUCGGAAAAAACGAUCUAUUAAAAAAACCGAAAUUAAAAAAACGAACAAAACCGUCGGAAAAACCGAACGGUUUUUCGGAAAAAAAUGGUGUCUGGAAAAAAUCUACCCGGCAACUCCGGCGAGAACUCCGGCAGCGGCGGCGGGGCUCCGGCGGGGCGACGGCGGCGGUGGCGCAGCGUGGCGGCGGCGGCGGCUAGGGCGGAGCUGGGGCUAGGGUUUGGGUGGGGAGGCUCCCGGGCUGGGCUCCCGGCUUAUAAAGCCCAAUCGGGCCUAGAGUCCAGGUCGGACACGACCCGUAGGUCGGUUGCGUUUUUUUUAAAUAUUCCGCGCAGAAAAACAAAUAAAAGAAAUACUAAACGGACUCCAAAAAUCCCGAAAUAAAUUCUUACGGGCUUCUAAAAUCAAGCCGCACAAGGUGAACAUUAAUUAGGGGCCUAAAUGCAAUUUUGAAAAACGCACAUUUUUCCUAAAUUCAAAUAAAAUACCGAAAAACUCCGAAAUAAAAUCUUAUUUGAUUUUAUUAUUAAAUCCUCAAUAUUUCUUUAUUUUGGGAAAGUCAUUUUAUUCCCUCUCUCAUAUUUUUGUAAUAGAAAUAAUUGAUGAUAAAAUAAUUAAAAUCAAAUGACCCUAUUCUCAAAAUUUUGAGAAAACUCAAAUAUGAAAAUAACGAAAUCCCCAACUCUCUCCUGGGUCCUUGAGUUGCGUAGAAUUUCUAGGAUCAAAGCCAAAAGCAAAUAAAAUAUGAUAUGCAAUGAUGAUCUAAUGUAUAACAUUCCAAAUUGAAAAUUUGGGAUGUUACAAACCUACCCCCCUUAAGAUGAAUCUCGCCCUCGAGAUUCGGGUUGGCUAGAAAAUAGGUGAGGGUGGUCCUUGGGCAAAUCUUCCUCUCGUUCCCAGGUGGCUUCAUCCUCCGUGUGGUGGAUCCAUUGAACCUUGCAAAACUUGAUAACUUUGCUACGGGUGACUCGACUGGCGUACUCUAGAAUCUUAACUGGUUUCUCCUCAUAGGUCAAAUCGUUAUCCAACUGAAUUUCUUCCAAUGGCACUGUGUCUCUCAAGGGUAUGUCAGCCAUCUCCGCGUGGCACUUCUUCAACUGAGAAACGUGGAACACAUCAUGAACUCUUGACAAUCCUUCGGGCAAUUCCAACUUGUAGGCCACUUCUCCCAUACGUUCCAAUACUCGGUAUGGUCCUACAAACCGUGGCGCUAACUUCCCCUUAACACCAAAACGCUUUAUUCCCCGAAGUGGGGAUACUCAAAGAUAAACUCUGUCUCCGACUUCGUAAAAUGUCUCCUUGCGCUUAGAAUCUGCGUAGCUCUUCUGCCUGGAUUGAGCUACCUUAAGCCUAUCACGAAUCAAUUUCACCUUCUGUUCAGACUCCUUAAUCAAAUCAGGUCCAAACAACUGGCGUUCUCCAACUUCAUCCCAUGACAACGGUGUCCUGCACCUCCUUCCGUACAAGGCUUCGAAAGGGGCCAUCUUUAAACUGGAUUGAUAGCUGUUGUUGUAAGAGAAUUCUACAUAUGGCAAAUUGUCGUCCCAACUAGAUCCAUAAUCUAGCGCACAAGCUCUUAGCAUGUCCUCCAAAAUCUGAUUGACUCUCUCGGUCUGUCCAUCUGUCUGUGGAUGAAAAGCUGUGCUGAACUCUAGCCUGGUACCCAAAGUUUCGUGCAACUGAUUACAGAACUUUGAGGUAAACUGGGUUCCUCUAUCUGAUACUAUACUCCUCGGAACUCCAUGUAAGCAUACAAUCCUAGUCAUGUAUAUCUUUGCCAAUUUAGCACUGGUGUAAGUGGUCUUUACCGGGAUAAAAUGAGCUACUUUUGUCAACCGAUCAACUACAACCCAAAUCGAGUCAUAGCCGGAACGAGUCCUGGGUAAUCCCGUGAUAAAAUCCAUGCCUAACUUAUCCCACUUCCAUUCGGGUAUCGGCAAUGGCUGUAGCAAUCCUGCUGGCUUCUGAUGCUCUGCCUUUACUCUCUGACAUACAUCACAUACUUCUACGUACUCCGCAAUAUCCUUCUUCAUUCCGGUCCACCAGAAAAUAUCCUUCAAAUCCAAAUACAUGUUGGUAUUUCCUGGGUGAAUCGAAUAUGGUGAAUCGUGUCCCUCUUGCAGAAUCAACUUCCUGAUCUCCGGGUCAUUGGGCACAUAAACACGGUCUUCAAACCAUAGGGUGUCGUGCUCAUCCUCACGAAAUCCUUUAGCUUUUCCUUCACUCAUUUUCUCCUUUAUAGAGGCAAUCUCUGUAACACCCAGGAUAUGACUUUCCCAAUUUGUACUUCAACUCUUGCCGUUUCCGGCGUGAAGUUAUUUUAUUUUCUCGGGUUCGGGUCUUUGUCUCCGUGUGUUUUUAUUGUUGUCAUGCAUCUCAUAUCAUGUCAUCAUGUGUAUUGCAUUGGCAUACGUGUUCAUCUCAUGCAUUCGAGCAUUUUCCCCAUUGUCCGUUUUGCAUUCCGGCGCUUCGUUCUCCUCCGGAGGUCAUUUCUACCUUUCUUUCGUGUGUGGGGAUUAAACAUUUCCGGAUUCGACCAAGACUUGCCAAGCGGCCUUGGUUUACUACCGGUAGACCGCCUGUCAAGUUUCGUACCAUUUGGACUUCGUUUGAUACUCCAACGGUUAACCAAGGGACCGAAAAGGCCUCGUGUGUGUUGCAGCCCAACACCCCUCCAAUUUGGCCCAAAACCCUCUCCAUCAUCUAGAGCGUUCGAUCACGAUCGCGUGGCCGAAAACCGCACCUCAUUUGGACUCUCCUAGCUCCUCCUAUGCCUAUAUAAAGACCCCUCCCGAAAUUCGCGGAUCUCCUCUCUCCCUAACCCUAAACAAUUGCCCGCCGCCACCGGACACGUCCACCCCGCCGCCGGACAAAUCCCACCGCCACCUCCGGCCAAUCAGCGGACGCCAAGUGGCAUCGUGCCCACUUCCCCGCCGCUGGCCCGGGAGGCCCAGGUCGGGCCCCCGAGGCCCAUCGCGCCCCCGCCGCCAUCCUCCCUCCGCGCCGCCCGAGCCGGACGGCUCCUCCAGCCCGGCGCCACCACCGCCAUCUCUGGCUGCCUGGAGCUCGCCGCUCCGCCGCGCGCCUCGCCGCCGCAAGCUUCCGCCACCACGGGCCACCGCGAGCCGCCGACCCCGCCGGCCAUCCUCUACCUCGCCGGCGUCACCCCGUCGUCCUCUCCGACCUCCCUCGUCGUCCGGCAAGCCGCCGGCCUCCUCCACGCAAGUCCGGCGUCCUCCCCGACGAACUCCGGCGAAACCCCGGCGGUCCUCGAUUUCCACGCUUCGGAUCUGAGAUCUGGUUUUUUAGGGUUGACUUUUCUUAGAAAACCCUAGCUCAUAUGCCCUUACUCAUCACAUCGUAACUUUGCAUCCGUAGAUCCGUUUUUGGCAUAUAGCAUAUCAAAAUGUUCAUCUCAGAGAGUACAUCAUUUCAUUCGAUUGCAUCAUUUUCAUUUGAGUUCAUAUUGAUGCCCGAAAUGUUGUUAGAAGAGGGCUACUUGAGAUAAUUGUCAGAUCUGCUACUCCAUUUAGAUAUUUGUCUUUUUUGCCAUGAUUAAUGUGUGCAUGAUAUGCCCAUGAGUUCUACAUGUGUUUUGUUAAGGGUUUUUCCAUCUUUCCAGAGGUGCAACCCAUGUAUUUUUGUGAUUUGUGUGGUGUCUAGCACAAGCUUGCAAAAAGGUGCACUUGGUAAAGCUGAUUUCAGGGACUUAGCAAUUUCACCAAGUCCUUGAGCUGUUUAUUUCAUAUGGCCAUAUGUUCAUGUUGUUUCCUAGUGAUCCAUGCCUCUUUUGAGGAUGCUCAGUAAGGAUGUUUUGUUAAUCUUGUAGUGCUCUAUCCAUCCAUGUAUUUGUUUGCAAUUAUGGAGCACCCUAGCUUGAGUCAAUCGAGCUCUACUUUUGCUACUUUGUGAAUCUGGGCAGAUUGACUACUUAUUAGCGAUUUUGCCGAUGAUGUUGUAGUUGACUCGUGCAUGCUAUGCUAUUAUUCUUGCCAUGUCUAGCUUGCAUUUUGUGUAUUCUUGAUGGGUGUAAUCUUGGAUUAUCAUGACUUGCUCCGUAGUGAGUGCAUCGAGCUUGUAAACAUGCCCACUUGAUAUCUGUUUUCAGCAUGCUCCAGUUUUCACUAAGUUUGUGAUCUGAUUGUGUUUUUGCCAUGUUCGCAUGCUUGCAAUUGUAUUUUCUGAUCCCUUUUGGCUCAAGGUCACUAAGGGACUUUUGUUAAGCUCUUUGAGUAGCUCCAUGCCAUACUUUACUUUGCCAUGUUCAGGUCCUGUAGCAUAUAGUUUUGUUGCUCCGAAGAGUGCUACCUGAUCUGAAAUUUCCAGACAAGUGUUAAUUUCACUAAGUGUGAAAUCCGUUUGUCAUAUGCAUUUUUGCCAUGCUUGUUUGAACCUGUUAAUGGAUGAAUUGGCCGUAGCUCAGUGCUAGACUUUUGUUAAGCAUCUUGUAAGCAUCCCUGCCAUGUAUUUUGUUGUCAUGUUUGGGUGCUGUAACAUGUUCAUCUUGUUGCAUUUAGAUGGCUACUUGCUGUAAAUCGCAGACCGGUGUCAUAUUUGAAUCGCUUGCCAUUUCCAAACCGUAACUCCGAUUCCGGCGUUCUUUAUAUCGUUUUCAAGCGAUUUCAUCUCAUCUUUCCAGUGGCACACUUGGAUUCCCAAGUUGAGGCCAGGUUCAUGCAUCCCUUGUUAAAUCUUGCAUAUGCAUCCCGCAUCGCAUCCCGCAUAGCAUACCAUCUUCACAUCAUAUUGUUUGAGCUUUGCACAUGGUUGAUUGUGUCCUUGUUGCUUGUUUGUCUUGUUUGGGUAGAGCUGGGAGACGAGUUCGCUAACGAGGAGCCCGUUGAGUUUGCUUUCGAGGAUCCAGUCAACUCUGACAACUGUGCAGGCAAGAUGAUCAUACCCUCGAAAUCACUACUAUCUUUGCCUUGCUAGAUGCUCGCUCUUUUGCUAUGCCAAUGCUACGAUGCCUACCACUUGCUUUCAAGCCUCCCAAAUUGCCAUGUCAAACCUCUAACCCACCUUGUCCUAGCAAACCGUUGAUUGGCUAUGUUACCGCUUUACUCAGCCCCUCUUAUAGCGUUGCUAGUUGCAGGUGAAGAUUGGAGGCCGUUCCUUGUUGGAACAUUUAUUUACUUGUUGGGAUAUCAUUAUAUUAUCUUGUUAUCUUAAUGCAUCUAUACACUUGGUAAAGGGUGGAAGGCUCGGCCUCUCGCCUAGUGUUUUGUUCCACUCUUGCCGCCCUAGUUUCCGUCAUAUCGGUGUUAUGUUCCCGGAUUUUGCGUUCCUUACGCGGUUGGGUUAUAAUGGUAACCCCUUGAUAGUUCGCCUUGAUUAAAGCUUUUCCAGCAAUGCCCAACCUUGGUUUUACCAUUUGCCACCUAGCCUCUUUUUCCCUUGGGUUUCCAGAGCCCGAGGGUCAUCUUAUUUUAAACCCCCCUGGGCCAGUGCUCCUCUGAGUGUUGGUCCAACUCGUCAGCCGCCGGUGGCUACCAGGGGCAACUCUGGGCUGGCCUACCAGAAGUUUAGACAAUCUGAGUGUGCCCUGAGAAAGAGAUAUGUGCAGCUCCUAUUGGGAUUUGUCGGCACAUUCAGGCGGUGUUGCUGGUUUUGUUUUAACCCGUCGAAGUGUCUUGAAGAACCGAGAUACCGAGUCUGAUCGGAACGUCUUGGGAGGAGGUCUAUUCCUUCAUUGACCGUGAGAGCUUGUCAUGGGCUAAGUUGGGACUCCCCUGCAGGGAUUUGAACUUUCGAAAGCCGUACCCGCGGUUAUGGGCAGAUGGGAAUUUGUUAAUGUCCGGUUGUAGAUAACUUGAACCUUAACUUAAUUAAAAUGAAUCAACUGAGUGUGUUGCCGUGAUGGCCUCUUCACGAUGGAGUCCGGGGAGUGGACACGGUGUUCGAGUAAUGUUUAUGCAGUUUGCUCUCUAGUUUCUCGCUCGCGCUUUGCCUCCUCUUCUCGCUCUCUUUUGCGAACAGGAUAGCCACCAUAUUUGCUAGUCGCUUGCUGCAGCUCCACUUAUUUACAUUGUCUUACCUAUAUGCUUAAAUAGUCUUGAUCGCGAGGGUGCGAGAUUGCUGAGUCCCUGUGGCUCACAGAUUACUAUUAUACCAGAUGCAGGGCCUGAUGAUUCCGCUCCAGGUGACGCGCUUGAGCUCAAGUGGGAGUUCGACGAGGACUCUCAACGAUACUGUGUUUCCUUUCCUGAUGAUCAGUAGUGGUGCCCAAUUGGGGGUGAUCGGGACCGUGUCACAUGUUGGGUUAUCUUUUAUUUUGGCGCCGUAGUCGGGCCAUGAGUGUUUGGAUGAUGCAAUGUUAUUUAUGUACUUGAUUGAUGUGGCGAGUGUAAGCCAACUAUGUUAUCUCCCCUUUUAUUAUCUAUAUUACAUGGGACGUUGUGAAGAUUGCCUAACUUGCGACAUAUGCCUUCAAUGCAAUUAUGCCUCUAAGUCAUGCCUCGACACGUGGGAGAUAUAGUCGCAUCGAGGGUGUUACAAUCUCCUUGUCAGUCUUCCGAGCUUCUCUGAUUCUAUCCAUCAAAGUUGACUGAAUCUCCAAUGCUGCUACAUAGCCUCUCGAAACUAUUUCCAAACAUAGUUCACGAAGAUCCUCGGCUAACUCCUUUGGUAUUUCUCCCGUCAUUAGUGUAUUAACAUGGCUUUUACGGCUCAAUGCGUCAGCUACUACAUUAGCCUUUCCGGGAUGGUAAUUCAAUCUCAUAUCAUAAUCCUUGAUGAGCUCCAACCAUCUCCUUUGUCUGAGGUUUAACUCCUUCUGUGUGAAAAUGUAUUUCAAACUCUUGUGGUCCGUGUACACCUCACAAUGAUUUCCAAUGAGGAAAUGUCUCCAUGUUUUCAAUGCAUGCACUACGGCUGCUAACUCCAAAUCAUGUGUGGCAUAAUUCAAUUCGUGGGGUUUCAGUUGUCGUGAGGCAUAUGAAACAACUCUCCCUUCCUGCAUAAGCACUGCUCCAAGUCCUCGUCGUGAAGCGUCGCAAUACACCUCAUAAUCCUUGGUCUGGUCUGGCAAAAUCAACACUAGUGAAGUAACCAAAUGUUUCUUCAACUCCUGGAAACUAGCCUCACAUUCCUCUGUCCAUAUGAACUUGGUAUCCUUCUUCAACAACUCAGUCAUAGGCUUCGCAAUCUUUGAGAAAUUCUCAAUAAACCUCCGGUAGUAUCCUGCGAGUCCAAGGAAACUCCGGAUCUCGCCAACUGUGGUUGGUGCUUCCCACUUGGUCACAGUAUCAACUUUAGUGGGAUCUACUGCUAUUCCAUCUCUGGAUAUAACGUGUCCGAGGAAUCCACUUCCUUCAACCAAAACUCACAUUUGCUGAACUUGGCAUACAACUGAUGUUCUCUGAGCUUCUCAAGUACCAAUCGCAAAUGUUCCUUAUGCUCCUCUUCAUUCUUCGAGUAAACCAGGAUAUCAUCAAUGAACACCACGACGAACUUAUCCAAGAACUCCAUAAACACUUUGUUCAUCAUGUUCAUAAAAUAGGCAGGUGUGUUAGUCAGACCAAAUGACAUAACGGUAUACUUGUACAACCCAUACCUGGUGGUAAAAGCUGUCUUAGGUAUAUCCUGUUCUCGAAUCUUCAACUGGUGGUAUCCUGAUCGCAGAUCGAUCUUGGAAAAUACCUUAGCUCCUUGCAAUCUAUCAAACAGAUCAUUGAUCAUUGGUAGUGGGUACUUGUUCUUGAUCGUUACUUCAUUCAACCCACGAUAGUCAACAACCAUCCUUAACGAUCCAUCCUUUUUCUCCACUAGAAGUACUGAUGAUCCCUAAGGCGAUGAACUUGGGCGAACGUAACCUUUAUCCAGUAACUCCUUAAUCUGCUUCUUAAUCUCCACCAAAUCCUUUGCAGGCAUCCUAUAUGGUCUUUCGAUAUUGGCCCUGUGCCUGGCAAUAGCUCAAUCAAAAACUCAAUAUCUCUAUCUGGUGGCAUGCCUGGCAACUCUUCUGGAAAUACUUCAGGGAAAUCCCUUACCACUGGUACUUCCUCCUGCACAACUCCUGUUAAACAAUUUACUUGAGUCCCUUUUGGCACAUGUCGGGAUACAUACUUGAUCCUUCUCCCUUCUAGGGUGGUAAGCAAAAUUGUCUUACUGGCGCAAUCGAUGUUUCCUCCAUACAUCGAUAGCCAAUCCAUACCCAGAAUUACAUCCAAUCCUUGUGAUUCCGAAAUGAUCAAAUCCGAGGGAAACACAUGCCUACCUAUACUCAAUGGCACUUGAAAACAUCCUUGACUGGCCAUAUACUCCGCUCCUGGUGAGCUUACUAGCAUAGGUGUUUUAAGAACCUUAGUGGGCAGGUUAUACUUAUCCACAAAUCCCCUUGAUAUGUAUGAAUGCGAUGCACCAGUAUCAAAAAGAACGAGUGCAGUAAAUGACUUAACCAAAAACUUACCGAUUACGGCAUCCGGCUACUCUUCAACCUCCUCCAAGUUAACGUGGUUCACCUGUCCCUUGUUGAAAGGGUUCGGCUUCUUCCCAGAGCUUCCAUUGCCAUUCUGGCCUUCAGAACAUUCAUUGGCAUAAUGUCCGGUUUUCUGACACUUAAAGCAAGUGACUUGGCUCAGGUCUUUCUUGGCUGGGGUUGAUGGGUUGGUAUGAUUCUGGCCGUUGCUUCCUCCAUUGCCAUUACCAUUCUUGGUGCCGUUGUGAUUGUGCGAGCUACCUCCUCCAUGGGUAUGCUGAAAAUGUCCUCCCGAUCUAGGGGUAAAACGUGGCUUCUGCUGAGCUCCAGAAUUGUACUUCCCUUGUCCAUACUUCCUCUUGUUGUUCUCAAUUUGCUGCUGCUUGCCUUCAAUCAUAAGAGCAUGAUCUACCAACUCCUGGUAGUUGUUGAAGGUUGCUAUCAUCAACUGCAUGCUCAACUCAUCAUUCAAUCCUUCCAGAAACUUCUCCUGUUUAGCUGCAUCCGUAGCAACGUCAUCUGGGGCAUAACGUGCUAAUUUACUAAAGUCCUCCACAUACAGGCCAAGUGUUCGUCCUCCUUGGCGCAAGUUGCGAAACUCACGUUUCUUCAUGGCCAUAGCUCCUGCUGAAACAUGGGCAGUUUGAAAAGCCUGCUGAAACUGGUCCCAUGUGACAGUGUCGAUAGGGAAAGUGGCUGUGAAAUUCUCCCACCAUGAUGCUGCGGGUCCUUCAAGCUGAUGUGCGGCAAACUUCACCUUCUCCGCAUCUGUGCAUCCUGUUGUGGUCAACUCUCUAGCUGUCUUGCGGAGCCAAUCGUCUGCUACUAUCGGCUCGGUGCUACUGGAAAACACCGGCGGAUUCAGCCUAAGAAAACAGGCUAAGUGAUCAAUAGGUGGUGGUGGUGGUGGUUGGUUGUUGUUGUUGUUCCCCUGAUUCUGAUUCUGGACUAGCAACUGCAUCAAUGUGUUCUGCUGCUGGAUCAACUGGGUGAGCUCCGGUGGAAAGGUAAAUCCGGGGUCACGUCUCGGAGGCAUCUGAGGGUUUAGAAAAGAUGAGAUUUAAGAAUAGAGGGGGUCUAAAGAGAAAACACUACCCAUAUGCACAUGAGGCAAAAGCAAACAAUUCACUUCAUUCAAUCAAACAAGGGCAUACAAUCGAUCUAACUAUCGCAAUAGUGCUCAGACUACUGUAUUUACAUGGUGGACUACUACUACUACUGAUGAGGUGGUCUACUAGAAAUAUUCUUUGGUUGUAGACUCCAUGAUAUCUGCUCCGGCUUCAUCAACAUAGUCAUCAUCGCUAUCAUCUGGGUCCGAGUCGGUGUCGUCGAUGAUGAUGUAGUCUUCCGGGCGAAUCUCCUUGGGUUCUUCGUCUUCAUCUACUAGUGUAGGGCCUCCCAUAAAUAUUCCGAUCUUCUUGAUCAGAUCGUCAUUCUUCUCCACCAAUACUUUGAUUUCCUCUUCAUAAUCUUCACGUGUAGCCUUGAGUUCUUCCUCCAGUUCUUUGAUUCUUGUCCUAGCCUUCUUCAGGUCUAUCAUGUCGACGUACAUAUGGUUCUCCUGACGUCGAAUGUGUUGGUUUAACACCUGGAUAAAAGCUGCAAUUGAUCUAUCCUUUCUGGUGCUGAUCAUCUCCCAGUGCUCAUCUCGGCGCCCACAAAUCUGGUAGAUAGUAUCCUUGAGAUCAUUGCGGUAGACUUCUCUAAUGCGUCCCAUGGCGAUGUGAGCUGCCAUGCUCUUCCCUAGACUCCAAGUUGGUGCAUCAAAAGAAAACUCUAUGGGCUCAGUGACUGGCAUGAACGUCCUUCUUAGAACUUGAAAUUGAAUCAUCCAGCGCUCUUCUUCAGGUAAAGUGGCGUUGUAGGUUCCGGUGAAGCUUGGUACUCCUAUGUUCAGGUAUCUAGUGACUUCCUUCAAGUGGCGUCCAAAGGGUGUAUCUUCAUCUGGUUGCGUGAACUUGUUCCUUGCAUCCGCCACCCUAAAGAGUAGAAAAGAUGAGAGGUCAGAAGAGAAGAGAGUGAAUAGUGAUCUAGGUCUUUAGCUUAGUGGUCGUGUCCUAUAGUCAGCGUGUGCUCUGAUACCAUCUCUGUAGUGACCAGACCUCAAACGGUCCAAUCUCUAUGCUCAGGUGUCAUCCCUGGAUCAGUAAUGCUGACACCACACAGUACUUGAAGGAUUUAUAACAGAGUAGCAACCACACACUUAUUACAUCGAGUGUCUCAAUAGAGAACUUAUUACAAUAAAUAUGGCUUAAGGACAUCUAAUAACGAUAACAGCGGAAGGCUUGGAAGAUAAGUGAGUCCAUCAACUCCAACGGCAUCACUGAGUAUAGAACCACGACCUAAAAACUCCUUAAUCGUCGUCUGAAAAGUCUGCAACAUUAAUGUUGCAGCCCGAAACGGGUCAGCACAUGGAAUAUGCUGGCAAGGUAACACAUAGAGAGUAAUGGAAUGAAACAGCUAUACUAUAUGCAUAUUUGGCUGGUGGAAAGCUCUAUGGUUACAGUUUUGCGUAAAGCCAAUUUUUCCCUACUGCAAAGGAAUAAAUUUUAUUUAACUAUCAUGGUAGUUGUUAAACAUUGAGAAUGGUUGACAGCAUCAUCAAUCCCAAUUAAGCAUCAUCAUUAACAAAACCCAACAAAAUUAAUUUAGAGUAACAUGUUGAGAUUCACAUGAUAAUCCAAGUACUAGAUACUCAAGAUGUCCAUAACCGGGGACAUGGCUAACCAUGAUUAGUUUAUACACUCUGCAGAGGUUUGCGCACUUUUCCCCACAAGACUCGAUCGCCUCUGUUUGGUUUCUCGCACUACAUGGUGUUUGAGAAGACGGAUGACCAAGACAUAGUCUUUCAGAAGCGCUAGCACCUUACGAUGGAUAGACCGUUACACCUACUUUCCCCUACAUCUGCUAGUCCAUCCUGUAAGAGUUCGCACGACUUAAUCAACUAUGCUAGAGCCCAUAAUAGCUUGUGGCUGCACACGGAAGUUUCUAGUAUGAAAAAUCUCAUGAUCCCUUUGGGCCUGGGUGGCGGUCCAUAAAGAAAAACAGGCAAUCCUGGAAUACCCAGGUACCUCAAUCCACCCAGAUGUGUGUUUAAGUUGCCACCUUAGAUAAACCAUUAAUUAACAAACUCACAUCUGUCAUGGAUAUCACUCACCCAAUCCACGUCUACUAGCAUAGCAUGGCAUAAAAGGCAAACAUAGAAGUAACUCCCAAAUGUUUGGAAAUAAGCAGGUAAUAGGUGCUACCUCAACUACUUCCCAUCCCACAAUUUAAUUAGAUCCUAAUCAUGUAAUGUUCGAGGAUUGAUCUAAUGCAAUAAAACUGGGUAGUAGGAGGUAUGAUCAAAGUGUUACUUGCCUUGCUGAUGAUCCGCGAAACCUAGAGAUUCGAAGUAACAGGCGGCGCACUCCGGGUAUUCUAUCGCAGACAAACAAACAAGCAUACAAUAAGUAUUCAUCUAAUGCACAGGUAAAACUCGAAUAAGAGAUCUAACCAGAAGGUUCAACUUAAGAACUCCGGUUUGCAAAAAGAAUCAAAUCAAACGAAGCAACGAAAGUCAAAUGGCAAAAGAAACAGGCUUUGUUUACUAUUCUAGAUCUAGGGCAAUUUUUACAGUGGCAAAAACUUGUUUAAGUUGGUUAAACGGAUAGAGGGUUUCGAGACGAAACUCCAGGCGCUUGAAUCGCCUGAUUCCGAUAAACGAGCGAAAAGUUAUACUAAAACGAAAAUCGGAUCAGGAAUUGCGAUAAAAAAAUCGCGGAUUUAAUCCGAGAAAAAGAAAGACGACGAACGUUCACUAGAACGAACGAACGAACGAACGCUCGCUAUUUAAAUAAAUCAUAAAAAAACGAUCUAUUAAAAAAGCCGAAACUAAAAAACGAACAAAACCGUCGGAAAAACCGAACGGUUUUUGGAAAAAAACGGUGUCUAAAAAAAAACUACCCGGCAACUCCGGCGAGAACUCCGGCGGCGGUGGCGGGGCUCCGACGGCGGCGGCGGGGCUCCGACGGCGGCGGCGGUCGGCGGUGCGGCGGCGGGGCGGCGGCGGCUAGGGCGGGGAUGGGGCUAGGGUUUGGGUGGGGAGGCUCCCGGACUGGGCUCCCGGCUUAUAAAGCCCGAUCGGGCCUAGAGUCCAGGUCGGACAUGACCCGUAGGUCGGUUGUGUUUUUUUAAAUAUUCCGCGUAGAAAAACAAAUAAAAGAAAUACUAAACGGACUCCAAAAAUCCUGAAAUAAAUUUUCCCGGGCUUCUAAAAUCAAGCCGCACAAGGUGAACAUUUAUUUGGGGCCUAAAUGCAAUUUUGAAAAACGCACAUUUUUCCUAAAUUCAAAUAAAAUACUAAAAAACUCCGAAAUAAAAUCUUAUUUGAUUUUAUUAUUAAAUCCUCAAUAUUUCUUUGUUUUGGGAAAGUCAUAUUAUUCCCUCUCUCAUAUUUUUGUAAUAGAAAUAAUUGAUGAUAAAAUAAUUAAAAUCAAAUGAUCCUAUUCUCAAAAUUUUGAGAAAACUAAAAUAUGAAAAUAACGAAAUCCCCAACUCUCUCCGUGGGUCCUUGAGUUGAGUAGAAUUUCUAGGAUCAAAGCCAAAAGCAAAUAAAAUAUGAUAUGCAAUGAUGAUCUAAUGUAUAACAUUCCAAAUUGAAAAUUUGGGAUGUUACACCGAAUCGCCGCGAGGCUACCUCCGGAUGUAGUGGAUCCGAAAGAGGAGUUGGAGGAGGAGGAGGAUGUGGGGAACGCUGGCGACGCGGAUCUGCAGGCGGAGCAGCAGGCCAUCCUCAAUUCCCUCCGGCCAGAGUUGGCUGUGGAGGCCAGACGCCGUCACUGGUAGGACAUGAAGGAGCAGGAGGCCACGGAGGAGGCGGAGAUGCUCGCCUAUAUGGAUGAGGUCGAGCAGGAGGAGGAUGAGCCGGAGGCCUCCUACCCGCCCAUCCAGCCGGUGCCCUGCACUGUCGUCGUGGACAUCUUCGAUGAUGAAGACUAGUUAAGGUAGUACGUAGUAUGCAAUACGUAGGGUUUCUUGGCAUGCUUUGUAUGGAUACAGGGGAUGAAAUAUGAGAGAGACGAAUGCAGAGUUGCUAAUGUGAGGCGUGACCAGUCACUGUCUGCGGACGCGCUUGAUCGCUUCCGCGGGUGCUUGAGGGGCCAGAUUUGUCAAGUCCAAUUGUAAAUGCUUUUAUGCACAAGAUGACACGGUAUAUUGAUUCAUUUAUUCAUAUGUUUUCGAUAAUCUACAGUUAUAAGUAUUGCAGCUGUCACCUACAUAAAUUUGAACUGUGACCGAACAUCAAAAUAAUAUAAACCUCUACUCCUAUAAAAAUCUGAGUUGGUGGUGAUGGUGUGCCUGUCAUCUACUCCCUCCCUUCCGGUUUAUAGGGCUCAAAUCUCAAAUCUCAUCAAUCAAGGCAUUUUGUGAGUGGAGGAAUGUAUCUCGUACUUUAUAAAACUACCCCAAUUAAACUCAUGCUUAAUUUGGAUUAAUUACAGUGCAUGCAUGCUUGGCCACUAGAUGAGUAGGAACAUUGCAUGCAUUGGUGUGUUCCUUUUUAAUUCUUGCAUGCAAAGAUUUAAUGUACAUUGGAAACUAAAAAUGAGAUGGAGAUGAGCCCUUUAAAUUGGAAAACAAAAAAAAAUGAGAUAAGCCUUAUAAACCGAAAAGGAGGGAGUAUCAUUUUCGACCGUCUGAUUUGCAUCCUACGCAUAGAAGGCAACCCCACUUCACAUUUGCAAAAAAUACCAUCAUUCCAUUCGUCCAGUCCCGCCUUAUCCAAUCAGUGAAGGAAUCGAUCUUUCUGGAAAAGAAUGGAAGCAAACCGGCAGCGACGGGUGCUGCUGGCGUCGUUUGCCCCCAACUCCUCCCUGUCGUAGUAGCAUCACCGCCACACCACCUCCACCUCCUCCCCAUCGUCUCCUCUCCUCUUACCCCGUCUCCUGCGGCACCGACAUCGGCAAGUACGCCGCCUGCGCCGUCCGUUGAUUGAGUCUGCGACGCCUCUCCUGCCUACUCCUUAGAUUCAGCAGACCGCCGCCCACCACAUCUCCCUCCUCACCAUCGCCUCCUCCUCCCUCUAUGUAGGAUCGAAAGUAUGUCUAGAGGGGGUUGAUUAGACUACUUGACCAAAUAAAAAUCUAGCCCUUUUCCUAAUUUUAGUUCUAGGCAGAUUUUAGCAACUUAGCACAAGUCAAGCAAUCAACCUGCACAUGCAAUUCUAAGAGUAUAGUAGCAGAAAGUAAACAAUUGCAUAUGAAGGUAAAGGGAGGAGUUUGAAGUGUGCAAACACAAUUGGAGACACGGAGAUUUUUUGCGUGGUUCCGAUAGGUGGUGCUAUCGUACAUCCAUGUUGAUGGAGACUUCAACCCACAAAGGGUAACGGUUGCGCGAGUCCAUGGAGGGCUCCACCCACGAAGGGUCCACGAAGAAGCAACCUUGUCUAUCCCACCAUGGCCGUCGCCCAUGAAGGACUUGCUUCACUCGGGUAGAUCUUCAUGAAGUAGGCGAUCUCAUUGCCCUUACAAACUCCUUGGUUCAACUCCACAAUCUUGACGGAGGCUCCCAAGUGACACCUAACCAAUCUAGUAGACACCACUCUCCAAGAGGUAACAAAUGGUGUGUUGAUGAUGAACUCCUUGCUCUUGUGCUUCAAAUGAUAGUCUCCCCAACACUCAACUCUCUCCCACAGGAUUUGGAUUUGGUGGAAAGAUGAUUUGAGUGGAAAGCAACUUGGGGAAGGCUAUAGAUCAAAAUUUAUGUGGUUGGAGUGGAAUAUCUUGACCUCAACACAAGUGUAGGUGGUUCUCUCUCAGAAAAUAUUUGUUGGAAGUGUAGGCAUGUACUGAUGGCUCUCUCCAUGAAUGAAGAGUGGGUGGAGGGGUAUAAAUAGCCUCCACACAAAAUCUAACCGUUACACACAAAUCACCAAACUCGGUGGGACCGAAUCAUGAAACUCGGUCAGACUGAUUUAGUUCAAAAUGUGAACGUUAGGAUUCUCGGUGGGACCGACAUGUCAACUCGGUGAGACCGAUUUCAUUAGGGUUAGGGCAUAACAUAGUCUCGGUGAGACCAAUUACACAAACUCGGUGAGACCGAUUUUGGUAAUGGACUAACAGAGAGUUGGUCAGGCAAAUUCGGUGGGACCAAUUCGCUCAUCUCGGUCAGACCAAAACGUUAUGAAAGGGAAACAGAGAGUUUACAUUGCAAUCUUGGUGGGACCGAUCGCUCAUCUCGGUUGGAUAGAAACGUUACGAAGGGAAAGAGAGAGAUUACAAUCCCAUCUCGGUGAGACCGAGAUCCCUAUCGGUGAGACCAAAAAGACUAGGGUUUCUGGCAGUGGCUAUGUCAACUGAACUCGGUGGCGCCGGAUAGAAAGUUCCGGUGGGGCCGAGUUUGACUUUUGGUUUGGGACAUAUGUGGAUGUGAGAAAGUAGUUGAGGGCUUUUGGAGCAUAUCACUAAGCACUUUGAGAAAGUAAGCCAUUAGGAAGCACCUCAUGUCCUCUUAAUAGUAUUGGCUUUUCCUAUGGACUCAAUGUGAUCUUGGAUCACUUAAAAUGAAAAGAUGUAGAGUCCUGAGCUUGAGCCAAUCCUUUUCCUUAGAAUUUUGAGGGAUCCACUUUUCUCAUUCAUGCCAUGCCAAUCAUUGAGCUUUCCUGAAAUGUUUAUCCUUAAGUAGCAUUAGCUCAAUGAGUUAUAUGUUGUUAGGAAUUACCAAAACCACCCAGGGAUAGUUGCACUUUCAAUCUCCCCCUUUUUGGUAAUUGAUGACAACAUAUAGAUCAAAGCUUUGACAAAUGAUAAAUAAGAUUAAAAAGCAUCGUUGCUUUGAGAAGUAUGUGAUAAGCAAGAGCUCCCCCUAAAUUUGUGCAUUAUUUAAAAUUUGCUUUUGAAUGCAAAUGCACAAUCGAUUAGGAUCAUGGGUUACUCUUCCAUGUCACAUACAUCUUGAUGGAGUGCUGAAAAUGAUAGAUAUUAAAAGCAUGCACUCAUCACUAAGCAAGUGAAUGAUCAUAUAAGGAAUAUAAAGGAUAGCAUCAUUCAACCAAACAUUAAGGGUAGCAUAUCAUCAAACACAUGAUCAAACAAGUAUCUCACAAGGACAUAAAGUAUCUCACACAAGCACACAAUAAAGAAGUUCAACCAAAAAUAGCAGGAGAGAUAAAAAAGAACAACACUCUCUCUUGAAGCCUAUGAUCUAUACGUUUUCCCCCCUCUUUGGCAACAAGUUACCAAAAAGUUCAAAAAUGCAUAGUGCUAAACGAAUCUCAGGAUUGAUCUUCGGGAGGUGGUGUAGAGAGAACUCCAAGGACGAAGGCUUCCGAUUAAGUAGUUGGAGCUGAUGGAGUGGGUGCUGGAGGUGGCACUGUAGUUGUGGCUGCUAGUGCAGACACUGAAGCUCGAGCAUCUGACACUGACACUACAACAGACCUUGGACCCCAUGGCACUCUCUUGAAAGCAUCAGUAGUGGACUUGCCCUUCUUCUCCUCUGCUUCCUCCUGUAGCUGCUCAACUGCAGUUUGGAUCUCAGUUACCUUGACAUCCAGAUCAUAGAACUUCUGCUCAACGAUCCUCUCCGAACUCUUCUGGUUUUAAGUCAGGGUGGCCAAGCCCUUCUCAAUGCUCAGUGUAGCUUGAAUCAGAUAUCCAAGGUGAUCUUGCUUGGUCUUCAAGAAGGCCUGAGAUGCCUCUUCAACGGUUGGCAUUCUUGCAGCUUUCUCUGCCCUUGACUUCUCUCUCUUCUCAUGUGCUUGAGCUGAAGAUGGUUCAUUUUCAUCCAUCACCAUAGUGUUGUCUUCAAAUUCAGGAUAUAUGGGCAGGUGCUCCUUAUCCAAAAGAUAUGUGCCUGUGCCCAUCUUUGAGUUGAUGAGCUCCUGAAUUUGUGGGGCAUACCUACAGCUUCUCUUCUGGUCACCAGCAGUCCUCUUGAUUUUCUCAACAAUCAAACUCAUGAGCUUGAACUUCUGUGGGACAUCAAAUAUGCGCAGCAAGUUUAUAGCAUGUCCUAUGAUCAUCUUGUGAUCUCCAGACUUGGGUAGCAGUGUGUGCCUUAGAAUCCAGUUUAUCGUAGGCAGACCAGACAACAAGUAGUGGAUAGAUCCAAACUUAUGUGUAUCCAAAGCAGCAUCUGGGAUCUCUUUGUACAUGUUGGCCAUAGUGUUGUGGUCUUUCUUCUUCUCAACAUAAACAUCCAAGUCAUCCUCACUUUCUUUUGGAGCAUUGAUCAAUUGAGCACAUUCAUCAACAGUCGACUGGUACCUGGUACCCUCAGACAUCCAAACGAUCUUCCCAUCUGGAUAGAAAUGGGCAGUGGAGUAGAACUGCAUGAUCAGCUCAUCAUUCCACUUGGUGAGCUUCUGUGCAACGAAUUCAUCAACUCCGCAUGCCUUAAAGCUGUCAUACACUCCAAGAUAGUGAUCUUCAUUCUUCUGGAUGUACUCCCAAUCUACCCAUUUCAUGUCACACACAAUGGGCUUCUUGUCAAGCAACACUGUCUCAUAAAAAUUUUGUUGUUCCUUGGUGUGAAACCUGUAGUCCAUAGCAGUCCUCCUCCUGAUAGCAUAUGGAUUAGACUGUCUCCAUAGUCUCAGUCCUGCAUCCUUCUUGAUUUUCAUGUUUUCUGCAACUGGAUGUGCAUCAUUAUGGUCAGGGAUCUUGGGUUUCAGCUUCCUCAACACUUGAGUUUCAUCUUCUUCAGCAGCUUCAGGCACUGGGGCCUUAUUCUUUUCCUCAGCAGAAAUGUUUCUAGUGCUUCUCUUGGGUUUCUGAGCUGGAGCAGCUGCCUUGGGAGCAGCUUUGGGCUUAGAUGGAGCAGCCCCUGAUCUGAUUGCAUCUCCCAUGAGCUUUUGAGCUUUAGGAGCUGGCGCAGCAUCCUCUUCCUCUUCAUCAUCAUCUCUCAUGAUUGAUGAUCUGCCAAGCACUCUGGCAGUGGUCUUCUUGACCCUUUCCUUCCUUUUCUUCCCUUCUUCAGCAGCCUCUUUAGUUUGCUUGGAGGUUUCAGCAGUUGAGGCUCUAACCUUUAAGGUUGGCACCCUCUUGGAAGGGGCCUUCUUGUGCAAGCCAGGCUUAGUUGAUGCAACUGUGCCAUACUCUUUCUUCGGCACCUUUUUCUUUAAAGUGGCCUCAUCCUCAACAGCCACAUAAUCUUCAUCCUCUAAAUCAGAAGUUCUCUUCUUCCUCGUCCUAGUAGCUGCCUUUGGCAAGUUACUUGGUGUGCUCCUGCUGCCAUCAUCAGAAGUGCUGGAGGGACUAGUGCCCUCACUCAUCUGAACGUGCUCCUCAGACUUGUUCUGGCUAUCACUUUGAUCAGACAUCUUGCAGGCAAACUAUAAGCAGACCCUGUGAAUAGAUUAUAGAUGAGGUAGCGAAGAUGAGCAUCACAAAGUACAUGAGUUUUGCAAAACAAUUGACCCAAAAACUUAGUUUUAGUUCUUCCAGAAAGCAUUUCGGAGCUACCGAUUUGUAAACUCGGUGAUACCGAAGUUGCUUUUGGAACCUAAACUAGUGAACUCGGUCAGACCGAGUCACAGUUUGGUGGCACCGAAAUUGCUAGGGUUUCACAGAGAAUUGAACUCAGUCACACCGAUUUGCAAUUUUCGGUCAGACCGAAAACGCAUGUGCAAUGGCCUAAGCCAAAUCGGUGAGACCGAUUUCUACAACUCGGUCGGUCCGUGAUGAAUUCGGCGGAGACCUAACCCUAAAUUUUCAAAUCAAAACUAAUUUACGGGACGUUUUCGCUGGACAGGAUGAUUUCAUUCGUGCAACAAUCAUGGCAAAGCAAUGUGCUAAGAAUCAGAGCUAUGGAUUAGCACAAAGAUCAAGUUCGUACCCUAGUUCGGCGGCGAACUUGCUACGGCGGCAACGACGGGGCAGAUUGUCGUUGACGGCGGCGGAGACCAGUAGCGGGAGGUCGCUGUCGACGAGAGGAUGAUCCGGAGACCCAAAGAGGCAGAGUAGGUUAUGCGCGGGCGAAGAGGUUUUGGAAAAUUUUCCAAAAUUUGACCCGUCGGUAUAUAUAACCUAACCCUGUCGGUGUGACCGAGUGGAACAACUCGGUGGCACCGAGAUGCAAAACUGCAGACAGUUACUACAACUCAGUGUGACCGAAAGGUUGUAAUUGGUUGCACCGAGAUUGAAAACCUAGAUCAACUAAGUGAUCUCGGUAGGACCGAAAAGGAUGAAUCGGUCAGACUGAAAUACACAAAUAGGUUUUGGAAGUCUAAGUCUAUGACAAAUUGGGAACUCCGAGUGCUCCUCACACAGAGUGGUUCGAAUCUGACUUGGUCAAACUUUGUGAUGUAGCAUGAAUAGAGUUUGAGACGAGAAAAGCAUAGAUAGCUAGAGGGAGUUCUUAGUCAUUCUUGUCCAUCCAUUUGGCAAAAGAGAAAAGGCCAGACAAUCAAAGCAACAAAUGGAUGUCCUCGAAUGAGUAAAGUAUGCAACCAACAUGCUCACACAAUAAGAUGCCAAAUGAAAUAUGUGACGAAGCAUGCAUAAUCACUCUAGCAUCUAUCAAGCAAUUUGUGAUGACUAGGUCAUCUAUAUAUGAGUAUAUUGACUUAGGAGUCAAAUGAGAACAUUUGAUCAUAGGUCAUACUCAUCGUUUAAGCACAAGUGGGGAUGCCACUUUUACAUAAAGCAUUGUUGUGUUCACACCAUUAGAGUUGCUUUAGCUCAAUUGGUUAGAGUAAAGCUCCCCCUAGAUGUGAUAUCCCCCCUAAGAGGGAUCAACUAACCUUGGGUUUUGUCGAUGAUGACUUCAUGUAGGUGUUGAAGAUGUGGAUGCUCAAUGUUGAUGUAGAUCAUUCGGAGCAAUCCUUUGGAGUGAGUUGCACUUUCAAUACCUACAUGGGUUAGUCCCUCAAGGAACAAACAAGGAUAUCCAUAGACAUAGAGUGAUGUGUACACAAGAUGAUGUCCAUGGAAGCAUUAGGUUACCUUGUACCUUGUCUUACCAACAAGAGGGUUUGUGACUCCUUGAACUAGUGCAAGAUAUGAAAGUUGUUUGCACUUGUCCUCGCCAAGAUGAUAUGAGUGAAGUAUGUUGUUGGAGUCACCCUCAAGAACUCUCUAGUUCUUCUUCUUCGAGAUCCACACCAUCUUGAUGGGAAUCCUUGCAGUUGUAGUCGUACUUGAUGAAGUAGAACUUGAUGUAGUCUUGGGAACCCACUUGACCAAGGCUUUGGGUGCUUCUUCAAAUGCAUCAAUCUCCUCUUGAAGCUUGUCCUUGCCUUUUAACUUGUGGUCUUUGAUGUCUACUACAUAACCUUCUUCUUGUAGACGUUGUUGGGCCUCCAAGUGCAGAGGUUUGUAGGACAGUAGCAAAUUUCCCUCAAGUGGAUGACCUAAGGUUUAUCGAGGCGUAGGAUGAAGAUGGCCUCUCUCAAGCAACCCUACAACCAAAUAACAAAGAGUCUCUUGUGUACCCAACACACCCAAUACAAUGGUAAAUUGUAUAGGUGCACUAGUUCGGUGAAGAGAUGGUGAUACAAGUGCAAUAUGGAUAGUAGAUAUAGGUUUUUGUAAUCUGAAAAUAUAAAAACAGCAAGGUAACUAAUGAUAAAAGUGAGCACAAACGGUAUUGCAAUGCGUUGAAACAAGGCCUAGGGUUCAUACUUUUACUAGUGCAAGUUACCUCAAUAAUAAUAACAUAAUUGGAUCAUAUAACUAUCCCUCAACAUGCAACAAAGAGUCACUCCAAAGUCACUAAUAGCGGAGAACAAACAAAGAGAUUAUGGUAGGGUACGAAACCACCUCAAAGUUAUUCUUUCCAAUCAAUCCGUUGGGCUAUUCCUAUAAGUUUCACAAACAGCCCUAGAGUUCGUACUAGAAUAACACCUUAAGACACAAAUCAACCAAAACCCUAAUGUCACCUAGAUACUCCAAUGUCACCUCAAGUAUCCGUGGGUAUGAUUAUACGAUAUGCAUCACACAAUCUCAGAUUCAUCUAUUCAACCAACACAUAGAACCUCAAAGAGUGCCCCAAAGUUUCUACCGGAGAGUGAAGACGAAAACGUGUGCCAACCCCUAUGCAUAGAUUCCCAAGGUCACGGAACCCGCAAGUUGAUCGCUAAAACAGACAUCAAGUGGAUCAUAGAAUACCCCAUUGUCACCACAGGUAUCCCACGCAAGACAUACAUCAAGUGUUCUCAAAUCCUUAAAGACUCAAUCCGAUAAGAUAACUUCAAAGAGAAAACUCAAUCCAGUACAAGAGAGUAGAGGGGAAGAAACAUCAUAAGAUCCAACUAUAAUAGCAAAGCUCGCGAUACAUCAAGAUCGUACCACCUCAAGAACACGAGAGAGAGAGAGAUCAAACACAUAGCUACUGGUACAUACCCUCAGCCCCGAUGGAGAACUACUCCCUCCUCGUAGCGCCGGGAUGAUGAAGAUGGCCACCGAAGAGGGAUUGCCCCCCUCCGGCAGGGUGUCAGAACGGGUCUAGAUUGGUUUUCGGUGGCUACGGAGGCUUCUGGCGGCGGAACUCCCAAUCUAUUGUUCUCCCUGAUGGUUUUAGGGUAUAUUGGUAUAUAUAGGAGGAAGAAAUACAUCAGGGGGGCCACGAGGGGCCCACGAGGGUGGAGGGCGCCCCCCCUGCCUCAUGCCUUCCUUGUUGCUUCCCUUACGUACACCCCGAGUCUUCUGGAUUGUUUCCGUUCCAAAAAUAAGUUCCGUGAAGUUUCAGGAUUGGACUCCGUUUGAUUUUCCUUUUCUGUGAUACUCUAAAACAAGGAAAAAACAAAAACUGGCACUGGGCUCUGGGUUAAUAGGUUAGUCCCAAAAAUCAUAUAAAAUAGCAUAUAAAUGCAUAUAAAACAUCCAAGGUUGAUAAUAUAAUAGCAUGGAACAAUAAAAAUUAUAGAUACGUUGGAGACGUAUCAACAUCCCCAAGCUUAAUUCCUGGUCGUCCUUGAGUAGAUAAAUGAUAAAAACAAAAUUUUUGACAUGGAAUGCUACCUAACAUAUUUAUCCAUGUAGUUCUCUUUAUUGUGGCAAGAAUAUUCAGAUCCAUAAGAUUCAAGACAAAAGUUUAAUAUUGACAUAGAAAUAAUAAUACUUCGAGCAUACUAACAAAGCAAUCAUGUCUUCUCAAAAUAACAUGGCCAAAGAAAGCUAUCCCUACAAAAUCAUAUAGUCUGGCUAUGCUCCAUCUUCACCACACAACAUAUUUAAAUCAUGCACAGCCCCGAUGACAAGCCAAGCAAUUGUUUCAUACUUUUGAUGUUCUCAAAAUUUUUCAAUCUUCACGCAAUAUAUGAGCGUGAGCCAUGGAUAUAGCACUAUAGGUGGAAUAGAAUGGUGGUUGUGGAGAAGACAAAAAUGAGAAGAUAGUCUCACAUCAACUAGGCGUAUCAACGGGCUAUGGAGAUGCCCAUUAAUAGAUAUCAAUGUGAGUGAGUAGGGAUUGCCAUGCAACGGAUGCACUAGAGCUAUAAAUGUAUGAAAGCUCAACAAAAGAAACUAAGUGGGUGUGCAUCCAACUCGCUUGCUCACGAAGACCUAGGGCACUUGAGGAGGCCCAUUGUUGGAAUAUACAAGCCAUGUUCUAUAAUGAAAAUUUCCCACUAGUAUAUGAAAGUGACAAAUCAUGAAGAUCAUGGUGCUACUUUGAAGAACAAGUGUGGAAAAAAGGAUAGUAGCAUUGUCCCUUUUAUUUUUUAUUUUUUAUUUGGCCUUUCUUUUUUAUUUGGCCUUUCUCUUUUUUUGGCCUUUUUUGGGACAAUGCUCUAUUAAUGAUGAUCAUCACACUUCUAUUUAUUUACAACUCAAUGAUUACAACUCGAUACUAGAAUGAAGUAUGGCUCUAUAUGAAUGUCUCCAGGGGUGUACCGGGAUGUACAAUGACUCAUUAGUGACAUGUAUGAAAGAAUUAUGAACGGUGGCUUUGCCACAAAUAAAAUGUCAACUACAUGAUCAUGCAAAGUAAUAUGACAAUGAUGGAGCGUGUCAUAGUAAACGGAACGGUGGAAAGUUGCAUGGCAAUAUAUCUCGGAAUGGCUAUGGAAAUGCCAUGAUAGGUAGGUAUGGUGGCUGUUUUGAGGAAGGUAUAUGGUGGGUUUAUGAUACCGGCAAAAGGUAUGCGGUAUUAGAGAGGCUAGCAAUGGUGGAAGGGUGAGAGUGCGUAUAACCCAUGGACUCAACAUUAGUCAAAAAGAACUCACAUACUUAUUGCAAAAAUCUAUUAGUUAUCGAAACAAAGUACUACGCGCAUGCUCCUAGGGGGAUAGAUUGGUAGGAAAAGACCAUCGCUCGUCCCCGACCGCCACUCAUAAGGAGGACAAUCAAUAAAUACAUCAUGCUCCGACUUCUUAACAUAACGGUUCACCAUACGUGCAUGCUACGGGAAUCACAAACUUCAACACAAGAAUUUCUCAAAUUCACCACUACUCAACUAGCACGACUCUAAUAUCACCAUCUCCAUAUCUCAAAACAAUUAUCAAGUAUCAAACUUCUGUUAGUAUUCAAUGCACUUAUAUGAAAGUUUUUAUUAUAUCCCUCUUGGAUGCCCAUCAUAUUAGGACUAAAUUCAUAACCAAAGCAAAUUACCAUGCUGUUUAGGACUCUCAAAAUAAUAUAAGUGACGCAUGAGAGUUCAUCUAUUUCUAUAAAAUAAAACCACCACCAUGCUCUAAAAGGAUAUAAGUGAAGCACUAGAGCAAAUGACAAACUACUCCGAAAGAUAUAAGUGAAGAUCAAUGAGUUGUCGAAUGAUUAUGCAACUAUAUGAAGACUCUCUAACAUUAAAGAAUUUAAGAUCUUGGUAUUUUAUUCAAGAAGCAAGCAAAGCUAAAUAAACUAAAAUGACGCUCCAAGCAAAACACAUGUCAUGUGGUGAAUAAAAAUAUAGCUCCAAGUAAAGUUACCGAUGAAUGAAGACGAAAGAGGGGAUGCCAUCCGGGGCAUCCCCAAGCUUAGGCUCUUGGUUGUCCUUGAAUAUUACCUUGGGUGACUUGGGAAUCCCCAAUCUUAGGCUCUUGCCACUCCUUAUUCCAUAGUCCAUCAAAUCUUUACCCAAAACUUGAAAACUUCACAACACAAAACUUAACAGAAAACUCGUAAGCUCCAUUAGUAUAAGAAAGCAAAUCACCAUCAUAAGGUACUGUAAUGAACUCAUUAUAAAUUCAUAUUGGUGUAAUAUCUAAUUUAUUCCAACUUCUCUAUGGUUCAUACCCUCCGAUACUACUCACAGAUUCAUCAAAAUAAGCAAACAACACGAUGAAAACAGAAUCUGUCAAAAACAGAACAGUCUGUAGUAAUCUGGAUCAAACAUAUACUUCUGGAAAUCAUAAAAUUCUAAAAUAAAUUUCUGGACUUGAGGAAUUUAUCUAUUAAUCAUAUGCAAAAUGAAUUAACUAAAUAUCACUCUCCAAUAAACAAUGGCAGCAAUUCUCGUGAGCGCUAAAGUUUCUGUUUUUUACAGCAAGAUCAACAAGACUUUCCCCAAGUCUUCCCAACGGUUCUACUUGGCACAAACACUAAUUGAAACAUAGAAACUCAAUCAUAACAGAGUCUAGAUAAAUUAUUUAUUACUAAACAGGAACAAAAAGCAAGGAACGAAAAUAAAAUUGGGUUGCCUCCCAACAAGCGCUAUCGUUUAACGCCCCUAGCUAGGCAUGAUGAUUUCAAUGAUGCUCACAUAAAUGAUAAGAAUUGAAACAUAAAGAGAGCAUCAUGAAGAAUAUGACUAACACAUUUAAGUCUAACCCACUUCCUAUGCAUAGGGAUUUUGUGAGCAAACAACUUAUGGGAACAAUAAUCAACUAGCAUAGGAAGGCAAAAUAAGCAAAACUUUGAAACUUUAAGCACAUAGAGAGGAAACUUGAUAUUAUUGCAAUUCCUACAAGCAUAUAUUCCUCCCUCAUAAUAAUUUUCAGUAUCAUCAUGAAUGAAUUCAACAAUAUAACCAGCACCUAAAGCAUUCUUUUCAUGAUCUACAAGCUUAGAAAAUUUACUACUCACUACAUAAGCAAAAUUCUUCUCAUGAAUAAUAGUGGGAGCAAACUCAACAAAAUAAUUAUCAUGUGAGGCAUAAUCCAAUUGAAAACUAAAAUCAUGAUGACAAGUUUCAUGGAUAUCAUUAUUCUUUAUAUAAUACAAGUCAUCACAAUAAUCAUCAUAGAUAGCAACUUUGUUCUCAUAAUCAAUUGGAACCUCUUCCGGAAUAGUGGAUUCAUCACAAAAUAAAGUCAUGACCUCUCCAAAUCCACUUUCAUCAAUAUAAUCAUCAUAAAUAGGAGGCAUGCUUUCAUCAUAAUAAAUUUGCUCAUCAAAACUUGGGGGACAAAAAAUAUCAUCUUCAUCAAACAUAGCUUCCCCAAGCUUGUGGCUUUGCAUAUCAUUAGCAUCAUAGAUAGUCACAGAAUUCAUACUAACAACAUUGCAAUCAUGCUCAUCAUUCAAAUAUUUAGUGCCAAACAUUCUAAUGCAUUCUUCUUCUAGCACUUGAGCACAAUUAUCGGAAUCCUUAUUUUCAUGAUAGAUAUUAAAAAGAUGAAGCAUAUGAGGUACCCUUAAUUCCAUUUUUUUGUAGCUUUCUUUUAUAAACAAAACUAGUGCUAAAACAAGAAACUAAAAUACUCGAUUGCAAGAUCUAAAGAUAUACCUUCAAGCACUAACCUCCCCGGCAAUGGCGCCAGAAAAGAGCUUAGUUGACGGGGUGUUAGUGCCGCUUUCCUUUCCUCCCCGGCAACGGCGCCAGAAAAGAGCUUGAUGUCUACUACACAACCUUCUCCUUGUAGACGUUGUUGGGCCUCCAAGUGCAGAGGUUUGUAGGACAGUAGCAAAUUUCCCUCAAGUGGAUGACCUAAGGUUUAUCAAUCCGUAGGAGGCAUAGUAUGAAGAUGGUCUCUCUCAAGCAACCCUGCAACCAAAUAACAAAGAGUCUCUUGUGUCCCCAACACACCCAAUACAAUGGUAAAUUGUAUAGGUGCACUAGUUCGGCGAAGAGAUGGUGAUACAAGUGCAAUAUGGAUAGUAGAUAUAUGUUUUUGUAAUCUGAAAAUAUAAAAACAGCAAGGUAACUAAUGAUAAAAGUGAGCACAAACGGGAUUGCAAUGCGUUGAAACAAGGCCUAGGGUUCAUACUUUCACUAGUGCCAGUUCCCUCAACAAUAAUAACAUAAUUGGAUCAUAUAACUAUCCCUCAACAUGCAACAAAGAGUCACUCCAAAGUCACUAAUAGCAGAGAACAAAUGAAGAGAUUAUGGUAGGGUACGAAAGCACCUCAAAGUUAUUCUUUCCAAUCAAUCCGUUGGGCUAUUCCUAUAAGUGUCACAAACAGCCCUAGAGUUCGUACUAGAAUAACACCUUAAGACACAAAUCAACCAAAACCCUAAUGUCACCUAGAUACUCCAAUGUCACCUCAAGUAUCCGUGGGUAUGAUUAUAUGAUAUGCAUCACAAAAUCUCAGAUUCAUCUAUUCAACCAACACAUAGAACCUCAAAGAGUGCCCCAAAGUUUCUACCGGAGAGUCAAGACGAAAACGUGUGCCAACCCCUAUGCAUAGAUUCCCAAGGUCAUGUAACCCGCAAGUUGAUCACCAAAAUAUACAUCAAGUGGAUCAUAGAAUACCCCAUUGUCACCACAGGUAUCCCAUGCAAGACAUACAUCAAGUGUUCUCAAAUCCUUAAAGACUCAAUACGAUAAGAUAACUUCAAAAGGAAAACUCAAUCCAUUACAAGAGAGUAGAGGGGGAGAAAUAUCAUAAGAUCCAACUAUAAUAGCAAAGCUCGCGAUACAUCAAGAUCGUACCACCUCAAGAACAUGAGAGAGAGAGAGAGAUCAAACACAUAGCUGCUGGUACAUACCCUCAGCCCCGAGGGAGAACUACUCCCUCCUCAUCAUGGAGAGCGCCGGGAUGAUGAAGAUGGCCACCGGAGAGAGAUUCCCCCCUCCGAAAGGGUGCCAGAACGGGUCUAGAUUGGUUUUCAGUGGUACGGAGGCUUCUGGUAGUGGAACUCCCGAUCUAUUGUUCUCCCUGAUGGUUUUAGGGUAUAUUGGUAUAUAUAGGAGGAAGAAAUAUGUCAGGGGGCACGAGGGGCCCACGAGGGUGGAGGGCGCGCCCAGGGGGGUGGGCGCGCCCCCCUGCCUCGUGCCUUCCUUGUUGCUUCCCUUACGUACACCCCAAGUCUUCUGGAUUGCUUCCAUUCCAAAAAUAAGUUCCGUGAAGUUUUAGGUGAAUUGGACUCCGUUUGAUUUCCCUUUUCUACGAUACUCUAAAACAAGGAAAAACAGAAACUGGCACCGGGCUCUGGGUUAAUAGGUUAGUCCCAAAAAUCAUAUAAAAUAGCAUAUAAAUGCAUAUAAAACAUCCAAGGUUGAUAAUAUAAUAGCAUGGAACAAUAAAAAAUUAUAGAUACGUUGGAGACGUAUCAGUCUUGUGGUGGAAGAUCAACUUGAGAUUGUGUCCCUUUGAAAGAAGUAGGAUCAUACUUCUCUUGUUGAGGAACAAACUUCUUCUUGGGGUAUUGAUCUUCUUCCCACUCAACUCCAUUGGCAUUGAACUUUUGUUCAAAACCAACACCUUGAUUGUUCUGGUGUCUUCCUUGCUUGCGUACAAUUUCCUCAAAUUGCUUACUUCCGGCAAGGCUCUUGUAGACACCUUUCUCUAUAAUUCCCUUCAAUAAGCUAUUUUCUUGCUCAAGUGUAACUUGGCUAAGAGAAUCAUUAGUGGAAUCAAGAGAACUACUAGAGGCAACAACAUUGGAUUUAGCAUGAUUGUUGUUACUACUAGAUGAAGAAUCUUUCUUGUUCUUGUUGCUAGAUUUAACUUGUGGUAUGUAAGUAGACAAGAGUAAACGCUUGGCAAUGUAAGUAGAAUUUUUCUUGCGAAGAUCAUCAUUGAUUGCCUUUAAAAACUCAUGUUCUUGCUCAAGGUUGAGCUUUUCAAAGCAUAGCUUAUCACGAGUCUUUAAAAGUUCUCGAUGAUCUUCCAAGGUAGUUUCAUGAGCUAACGAGUGUUUAGUUCUUCAGUUAGACGCUCAAUCUCCUUCUUAUCAUCGUCAUUUGUUUUAUCUUGAUUAUCAUGAUUAAUAGCAAGCUCAUCAUAGUUUUCAUAACUAGAGUUGUCAACAAGUAAAUCAUCAUCUCCUAGCAAAUCAUCUUCAUCACUAUCGAAAUCAACAUACUCGGGGUGUGUUACCUUUGGACCUUUAGCCAUGAAGCAUCUCCCAAUUCCUUCAUUUGGUGAGUCAAAUAUGUCGAACGAGUUGGUUGUCACAAGUGCUAGUCCGGCAACACCUUCAUCUUGAGUAUAUUCGGAGUCGGAGUGAUAACUUCUUUCGGAGUGAUUGUCGGAGUCGGAACCGGAUACCCAUUCACUAACAUGAGCUUGAUGUCUUCUUUUUGUGUAGCUCCUUGAUGACUUGUGCUUCCUUUCCGAGUCCUUGCUUCUCCGAGAGGGUCUUCGUUCAUAACGAUCAUCUCUACUCCUCUCUCUUGAUGGUGAUUCUUCUCUUCUACUUCUUCUUUUGUAGGGAGAAUCUUCUCUUCUUUUAUAGGGAGCCGUACACUCAUUGGAAUAGUGUCUGGGUCUUCCACAAUUGUAGCAAUUGCGCUCACGACUAGAGGAUCUUUUGUCAUUGUAGGACCUUGACUUGGAACUUCUUUCCUUGCUUCUACUCUUGUAGAACUUGUUGAAUUUCUUCACCAUUAGACUCAAUUCUUCAUUGAAGAUUUGCUUCUCACUUGAUGAUGUGGGAGCAUCACACGAGGCUUUGUAAGCACCACUUGACUUGUUGUGAAGCUCUUCCUUAUUCUUGAGUGACAUCUCAUGAGCAAUAGUUCUUCCAAUGACUUCUGUUGGCUUGAGAUCUUUGUAAUUGGGCAUCAUUUGGAUCAAUGUGCACACGGUAUCAUAUUUUCCAUCCAAGGCUCUUAGGAUCUUCUUGAUGAUGAAUCUAUCGAUCAUCUCUUCACUUCCUAAGCUGGCAAUCUCAUUUGUGAUGAGAGCAAGCCUAGAGUACAUUUCAGCGACGCCUUCACCAUCCUUCAUUUUGAGCUUGGCAAGCUGACUUUGAAGCACAUCCAAUUUGGAUUCCUUGACAGAUUCGGUACCUUCGUGCAUAUCAAUCAAAGUAUCCCAAAUUUCCUUUGCAUUCUCAAGACGGCUGAUUUUGUUGAAUUCUUCGGGGCAUAAUCCGUUGAAGAAAAUAUCACAAGCUUGAGCAUUGUAUUGUAGCAUCUUCAACUCUUCCGCGGUAGCUUCACGGUUUGGUUUUCUCCCAUCGAAGAAUUCACCUUGCAAGCCAAUACACACAAUAGCCCAAACGGCAGGGAUAUGUCCAAGAAUAUGCAUUUUCAUCUUAUGCUUCCAACUAGCAAAAUUUGUACCAUCAAAGUAAGGACCUCUACGGUGGUAAUUUCCCUCGCUAGAUGCCAUACUCUCCUAGGUUGUGAAACCAAGGCUAUGACCACCAAAAGCUAUGAAAAUCAAAGCAAAUGGAGACCAAAGCUAUGAUACCACUUGUAGGAUCGAAAGUGUGUCUAGAGGGGGGGGGGGUGAUUAGACUACUUGACCAAAUAAAAAUCUAGCCUUUUCCCAAUUUUAGUUCUAGGCAGAUUUUAGCAACUUAGCACAAGUCAAGAAAUCAACCUACACAUGCAAUUCUAAGAGUAUAGCAGCGGAAAGUAAAACAAUUGCAUAUGACGGUAAAGGGAGGAGUUUGGAGUGUGCAAACGCAAUUGGAGACACAGAGAUUUUUGGCGUGGUUCCGAUAGGUGGUGCUAUCGUACAUCCACAUUGAUGGAGACUUCAACCCACAAAGGGUAACGGUUGCGCGAGUCCACGGAGGGCUCCACCCAUGAAGGGUCCACAAAGAAGCAACCUUGUCUAUCCCACCAUGGUCGUCGCCCACAAAGGACUUGCCUCACUCGGGUAGAUCUUCACGAAGUAGCCGAUCUCCUUUCCCUUACAAACUCCUUGGUUCAACUCCACAAUCUUGUCGGAGGCUCCCAAGUGACACCUAGCCAAUCUAGGAGACACCACUCUCCAAGAAGUAACAAAUGGUGUGUUGAUGAUGAACUCCUUGCUCUUGUGCUUCAAAUGAUAGUCUCCCCAACACUCAACUCUCUCUCACAGGAUUUGGAUUUGGUGGAAAGAAGAUUUGAGUGGAAAGCAACUUGGGAAGGCUAGAGAUCAAGAUUCAUAUGGAUGGAAUGGAAUAUCUUGACCUCAAUACAAGUGUAGGUGGUUCUCUCUUAGACAAUGUGUAUUGGAAGUGUAGGUAUGUUCUGAUGGCUCUCUUCACGAAUGAAGAGUGGGUGGAGGGGUAUAUAUAGCCUCCACACAAAAUCUAACCGUUACACACAAAUCACCAAACUCGGUAGGACCGAAUCAUGAAACUCGGUCAGACCGAUUUACUUCAAAAUGUGAACGUUAGGAUUCUCGAUGGGACCGACAUGUCAACUCGGUGAGACCGAUUUCAUUAGGGUUAGGGCAUAACGUAAUCUCGGUGAGACCGAUUACACAAACUCGGUGAGACCGAUUUUGGUAAUGGACUAAUAGAGAGUUGGUCAGGCAAACUCGGUGGGACCGAUUCGCUCAUCUCGGUUGGACCGAAAUGUUACGAAAGGGAAACAGAGAGUUUACAUUGCAAUCUCGGUGGGACCGAUCGCUCAUCUCGGUUUGACCGAAACGUUACAAAGGGAAACAGAGAGAUUACAAUCCCAUCUCGAUGAGACCGAGAUCCCUAUCGGUGAUACCGAACAGACUAGGGUUUCUGGCAGUGGUUAUGUCAACUGAACUCGGUGGCGCCAGAUAGGAAGUUUCGGUGGGGCCGAGUUUGACUUUUGGUUUGGGACAUAUGUGGAUGUGAGAAAGUAGUUGAGGGCUUUUGGAGCAUAUCACUAAGCACUUUGAGCAAGUAAGCCAUUAGGCAACACCUCAUCCCCUCUUAAUAGUAUUGGCUUUUCCUAUGGACUCAAUGUGAUCUUGGAUCACUUAAAAUGAAAAGAUGUAGAGUCGCGAGCUUGAGCUUGAGCCAAUCCUUUGUCCUUAGAAUUUUGAGGGAUCCACUUUUCUCAUCCAUGCCAUGCCAAUCAUUGAGCUUUCCUGAAAUGUUUAUCUUUAAGUAGCAUUAGCUCAGUGAGUUAUAUGUUGUUAGGAAUUACCAAAACCACCCAGGGAUAGUUGCACUUUCACCCUAGCACGUCUUCUCCAAGGACGGCGUCAGCAAGUACGCCGUUGGCGGCGUCUGCCCCUCGAGACCUGCUGCCCACCACCUCCCCUUCCUCCUCGCCGACCACCUUUUAUGUGUGAUGGGCAUUCAAAAUUUGUCAUUCCAGCUUUCCCUGUCUGGACGUUGUAUCAGUAACGGUUGGAGAAGUCUAACUGAAUUAUACUCGAUUGUUGUUUUCUUUAUCUAAUGCCUAUCAUGCUGACUCCUACAAUCAUGGAUUAAUUUUAUCUAUCAUGUUUGCAGUUGUUAUGCAUUUUAUAGCUUGUUUCAUUCUAAUUUGUUUGCAGUUUGAAUGCAUUCUUUUGUAGCCAUGGAUGUCCAUGAUAUUCUGGUUGCACUCCACUUUUUCUUUUGCAGAAACGUGCUUGAUGUAAGAAAGUUACAAGAGGCCCAAUACCAAUUUUUUCUGUAUGUAUGUAAAUGUGCAGUUGGCCCUUCUAUAUACACAUGAUUCAAAAGCAUCCUUUCCUGUAUAUUUUGGUUUUUUAGUGACUUCUAAUAGAAUAGCUUGUUUUGUUGUCUACAGCCAUUCCAAGGAAAGGAACAAUUUUAUUGCAGUAGUUGUUGUAAGGCUGAAUGUGAAAAUAUGUGUCGGCAAUCGCUGGUUGAGCUGGUGUUGUGGGUGAUCUGGCGUGAGCGCAGUCGUUACAUUUUCACAAUCCAGAGUAAUCGGUUUUCUCUCCUAUUUUUAAUGUGUUUUGUACAAUAUUCAUUCCUCUAUCAAUGAAAUCAACAAUUCUGUGUUGGGGUUUAAAAUCUCUGUUGGAGCUUAGUUCUUGCCCGACUCAGAUAUGCAUAUUGUAUGAAUAAACAUCAGAUGAGAGGCAUUCAUAUUGCAGUCAAUUAUUCAUGUACAUGCACCAUUUUUUAACCAACAUGCAACACUUUGAAGUUCUGCAUGUUGGGGAGCACAGUAAUUUCAAAAAAAAAAUCCUACGCACACGCAAGAUCAUGGUGAUGCAUAGCAAUGAGAGGGGAGACUAUUGUCUACGUACCCUCGUAGACCGUAAGCGAAAGUGUUAUGAGAACGCGGUUGAUGUAGUCGUACGUCUUCACGACCCGACCGAUCCAAGUACCGAACGUACGGCACCUCCGAGUUCAGCACACGUUCAGCUCGGUGACAUCCCACGAACUCCGAUCCAGCAGGGCUUCGAGGGAGAGUUCCGUCAGCAUGAUGGCGUGAUGAUGGUGAUGAUGAUGCUACCGACACAGGGCUUCGCCUAAGCACCGCUACAAUAUGACUGAGGUGGAUUAUGGUGGAGGGGGACACCACACACGACUAAAAGAUCAAUAGAUCAACUUGUGUGUCUCCAUGGGGUGCCCCCUCCCCCGUAUAUAAAGGACUGGAGGAGGGGAAGGGCCGGCCCUCUACUAUGGCACGCCCUUGGGAGUCCUACUCCCACCGGGAGUAGGAUUCCCCCCUUCCAUGUAGUAGGAGUAGGAGGGAAGGAAAGGGAAAAGAGAAGAGAAGGAAGGAGGGGGCGUUGCCCCUCCCCCUAGUCCAAUUCAGACUAGGCCUUGGGGGGCGCACAGCCUCCCCUCUCUCUUUCCCCUAAAGCCCAAUAAGGCCCAUAUACUCCCCGGCGAAUUCCCGUAACUCUCCGAUACUCCGAAAAAUACCCAAAUCACUCAGAACCUUUCUGAUGUCCGAAUAUAGUUGUCCAAUAUAUCGAUCUUUACGUCUCGACCAUUUCGAGACUCCUCGUCUUGUCCCCGAUCUCAUCUGGGACUCCGAACUACCUUCGGUACAUCAAAACACAUAAAUUCAUAAUACCGAUCGUCACCGAACGUUAAGCGUGCGGACCCUAUGGGUUCGAGAACUAUGUAGACAUGAUCGAGACUCAUCUCUAGUCAAUAACCAAUAGCGGAACCUGGAUGCUCAUAUUGGUUCCUACAUAUUCUACGAAGAUCUUUAUCGGUCAAACCGCAUAACAACAUACGUUGUUCCCUUUGUCAUCGGUAUGUUACUUGCCCGAGAUUCGAUCGUCGGUAUCUCAAUACUUAGUUCAAUCUCGUUACCGGCAAGUCUCUUUACUCGUUCCGUAAUGCUACAUCCCGUAACUAACUCAUUAGUUACAUUGCUUGCAAGGCUUAUAGUGAUGCACAUUACCGAGAGGGCCCAGAGAUACCUCUCCGACGAUCGGAGUGACAAAUCCUAAUCUUGAUCCAUGCAAACUCCACAAACACCAUCGGAGACACCUGUAGAGCACCUUUAUAAUCACCCAGUUACGUUUUGACGUUUGGUAGCACACAAAGUGUUCCUCCGGUAUCCGGGAGUUGCAUAAUCUCAUAGUCAUAGGAACAUGUAUAAGUCAUGAAGAAAGCAAUAGCAACAAACUAAAUGUAACAUCCCAAAAUUCUAAAUUUUGGAAUGUUAUAAUAAAUAGAUAGAUUUGAUUUAUUUCUUGAUUGUGGUGUGAUUGAUUGAGUGAAAUUCGAAACUUUUUGAAAGUUUAAUGAGAGGGAAUAAAAGGACUUUCCAAAACUUUCAUCUUUGCUUUCUAAUCUCCAUGAAUUCAAAUCCUUUUCACCACAAAACCCUGGAGAGAAGAUGACAUGACUUCUUCCAUUUAUUUAAAUGAAAAGGGGUGUUGAAAAUAUUUGAAUUUCAUUUGGAAAUAUUUUUAAUUCAGAAACUUCAAGCAACUCAAUGAUUUUCAUGAGAGAAGAAAAAAAUGACUUCUUCAAAUUAUAUAAAAUAUGAGUUGGGAGUUUAAAAGGAUAAAAAAAUUAAAAUCCUUUUGAAAUUAUUUUCAAUUUGAAGUUAUUUGGGUUUUAUUCAAAUUAUUUUUCUCCAAAAAUAAAAUAUACGGAAAAUAGGGUAACAUGAUUCCCUACAUCAGAAAUUUGGAGAGAAAUAAAUUUGAAUUAAUUUUGGUAUUUUUAUAAUGAUUUUCGUUGGAUUUUAUUAGACCAGUAGCACUCUUUGAAUUAUCUGAAUUUGUGUGAAUUUUAUUUAAUGCUAGGAAAAUGUUCAUCUUGUAGAAAAUCUUUUUCUGAAAAUUUUGAUAUAUAAUAUGCCUAUAUAAAGUUUUAGUUUUAUUUUUGUUUUUCAGUUUAUCACUUUCUAUUAAAAAAACAAAUAACAAAAACUGCGUGCGCGCCUGAAACUAACUACCGCCCACGUGCGCAUCAUAGUACCAGCGGGCGCCCCAUCUUUUCUUUUUCUUUAUCCUAUAUGGGCCAGGCCCAGCCGACCAUAUUCCUUCCCCAUAUUUUUUUCCAUAAUUUUUCUUUUCUUUUCUAUUGCUAAAAAAAAUUUACAGUGUGCGCGGCCGGCCGAACCGGCUAAAGGCCUUUUGGCGCAUGGCGCACCUCCCAUCUUUGUUUCGUAUAUUUUCGUCUACGUUUAGUCCCACAUUGCCUAGCCUUUGACCUUUAAGCCUCUUUUUCACCAAUAAAUAUAGACUCAUAGAGCCUCCAAAAAUCAUGCGAUUCGGGUUAAAUCAAUAUUUUGGUUUCACUAGAUUCAUUUAAAAAAAUAUUUCUCCUCUUCGCCGUGACUUUUGAAAAUUGGCUCUUCUCUCCAAAGUCAUCUUUUCUCUGCCUUAUAAAGGUAUCUUUCUUUGUUUUUUCUUUUUCUUCUUAUACUUCCGUAGUUUAUUAUUUUUAGACUAAUAUGAUAGAAUAAUUAGAUUAUCAAUUAGUCUGCGUAUUUAUAGGUUAGACCUUAACCAUAGCUAUUUUUCUUUCGUAAAACAGCUUUGUCCUGAUUUUUCAAAUAGCCAUAACUUUUCACUCGUUUAUCCAAAUUAGAUGAAACCAGCGCCUAUAGCUUCAUCUUGUUUUCACCUAUCCAGUGAACCUGUCACAUCAACUUUUUGAAAUUCUCAAAUUUCGAAUUUUGUUCAGAUUCAUAUUCAAACUUCUAUUGAACAUAACUUGAGUUUCGUAACUCCGAUUUAGUUGAUUCUUUUUGCAAAUCGAAGCUCCUGACCUAAACUUUCUGAUAAGGCCAAAUUCACUUAAUUUUGGUACUGUUAGAAAUUGUUUUAUGUUGCAAGAGUUAUUUGCUUGGUUUUGACGUUUUCCGAAUUGUUUUCUUUGUUCUCUCCGAUCUUUGACAGAUUGCUUAUAUGUGGUUACUAUUGCUUGCUUACGAUAGAUUGACCGGAGUGUGACGAGUAGAAAUAUUAAGAGUUUUGAGUGCGAAUCAUCUUCAUCAACAUUACAGGCAAGUUCACACUUUGAUCAUAUUCCUUUCAUACCCAGUUUUUAUGCAUUAGUUUCAACCUCAAACAUUGCAUGAGUAGGAUUGAUAACAUGUGGGUAUUGGGAAGUAGUUGAUGUGGUAGGAACCUAUUGCCCUGCAUUCAAACCUUGGGAGUUACUUCUACGUUUGCUUAUAUGCCAUGCUAUGCUAGUAGACGUGGAUUGGGUGAGUGUAUCCAUGACAGAUGUGAGAUUGUUAUAUUAAUGGUUUAUUUAAGGUGGCAACUUAAACACACAUCUGGGUGGAUUGAGGCACCUGGGUAUUCCAGCGUUUGCCUGUUUUUCUUUAUGGACCGCCACCCAGGCUCAAAGGGAUCAUGAGAUUAUUCAUACUAGAAACUUCCGUGUGCAGCCACAAGCUACUAUGGGCUCUAGCAAAGUUGAUUAAGUCGUGUGAACUCUUACAGUGGUAGACUAGCAGAUGUAGGGGAAAGUAGGUGUAACGGUCUACCCGAUCGUAAGGUGCUAGCGCUUCUGAAAGACUAUGUCUCGGUCAUCCGUUUCUCAAACACCAUGUAGUGCGAGAAUCCCAACGGAGGAGAUCGAGUCUUGUGGGGAAAAGUGCGCAAACCUCUGCAGAGUGUAUAAACUAAUCAUGGUUAGCCGUGUCCCCAGUUAUGGACGUUUUGAGUAUCUAGUACUUGGAUUAUCAUGUGAAUCUCAUCAUGUGACUUUAAAUAAUUUUGUUGGGUUUUAAUGAUGAUGCUUAAUUGGGAUUGAGAGGGUGUCUACACUCUCAAUGUUUAACAACCACCUUGAUAGUUAAAUAAAAUGUAUUCCUUUGUAGUAGGGAAAAAUUGGCUUUACGCGAAAACUUGAUAACCAUAUAGCUUUUCCACCAGCCAAAUAUGCAUGUAGUGAUAGCCAUAUUUCAGCAUUGCUCUACAGUGUGAAUUUGCCAGUACAUUCAAUGUACUGACCCUUUGUGGCUGCAACGUCUCAUGUUGCAGGAUUAUCUUACGACGAGUAAGUGAUACCUUAGGGUUAUGAUUUUCUACACUCAACUUUUCCGUUGGUGUUGAUGGGAAUCCACAACCUUGUUCUUCUGCUAUUUGGAUUGAGGUAAUAGUAUUUACAUUACUUUUACAUGUGAUUUACCUCUGUUAUAAAUCCUCGAGUACUGUGUGUGUUAGCAUAUCGAUCCAGGGAUGACAAUUAAGCACAGAGACUUGAUCCAUUCGGGUCGGGUCGCUACAAGAUGGUAUCAGAGCACAUGUUGACUGUAGGACGUGACCCUAGAAACUGGCAAGCCCAUAGAAAGGAUUUUCUCUAAAACUUUAUUUUUCGAAAGGAUCUUUUACCUCUCUUCUCUUUUGAGCUUAUUCAAGAAAAUCCCUUUAGUGAGACCAUACCCCUUUUCCCUUUGGACUACUCGACUGAUGAGGCCACUCCAAGAAGUACAAGAUAUCGGACAACUAAGACCACUUCGGAAUGAAGAGGAAUUUUACCGUGCAUUAUAAUAACGGAAACUACAGUGGUUGAAGACUCCAAAGACUAGGAGAAUUUGAAGGCUCUGAAGAAUUUCUAGAUUUGUAUAACUUAGUAAGACUCCCCUGAUGGAACUUGACAGACUAUGGAAGUUGUCAAUACCCGAGAUCAAGGUGUAUCGGAGAAAGACCGGAGCAUAGAGAAUUAAAAAACUCAAAGUUCUGUCAAGAAAACCCUAAUGCAGGAGAUAUCAACUAUGGAAGAUAGCUCAUGGCAAUGACAAGGGCAUAAACAUGGCUAUCCGUGAUGUUAUCGCCCGCUUAUGCUAUUGUCACCGUGCUGAGUUAAGCAUGCAUUUAUUUGGAAGGAUUGGAUGAUAGAAGGCUAAUGGAGCAUCUAUGAGCAAAGGAUGAAGUUUUAACCUUAGCCGGUGUAUCACCAGGAUCUGGAGUGUUACAUCAAGAAGUUAAGAUGGAGCUACAAGAAGCCGUAUUUGAAAGGAAGCAUUUUGUGAAGAACUCAGGAUCCAGAAGCUGAAAGUAGCCAAGCUGGAGGAGCAAAACUUUGAGAUACAGGAGAUUCGUUAGGAACUGAAGGACAGUAGGACCAUGGUUCAUGCCAGGGAUAUGAAACCCAGAAGUUUGGAAUGCAACUCCAGAAUAUUAAAGGACGUCACAAGAGACUUCACGUCAACGAAGGUGAUCUGGCAAAAGAACUUGAGAAGGACAAGCACGAUGGGAAGAAGCCAUCGGAGACAUAAACAAGACUUGAAGAUUUGGCGAUUUUGAAGAUUUAUUGACCUUUAGAAGACCAAACCCCUGAUAUACCUACGUUAGAUGCAAUGAUUGUGAGCUGUCAUUUGUUUGAUGUUUUCCGACAGCCACAAUAAAAUCUGUCUUUUUAAAACCAUUGUUUGCAUUGUGUGUAUCCCUCUCUAUCUCUCUUAUCUUACCCCAAACCCACAUGGACCCAAUAGAGGAUGAAUGGAGAUGAGCUUGUAUUUUCUGGACCGAUGAGUCAGUUGGAGACAGACCGAUGGAUUCAGAACAUGGAGGAUCACAUGGAGAAUAACCCUAUAGUUGGAAAUGAUAUGACACAGCAUGCUCUUCAGUGCUUUGAAAGAGGUGCUGCUACUUGGUGGAGGAUGUACCAAACCAUGAAUGGAUGGCAAGGAGUAACCACUUGGAGAGAAUUAAAGUUGACUCUGCAAAGAUCUCACCUUGUGUCCUAGAAGUUGAAGCCUUAUGGAAAGGAUAUGAGGAAACCUUGUGCAUGCAAGAUUUGUGGAGAAAUAGGACACACCCAUAAAGAACACAAGGAUGAAUGCCCUAAUUGUGAAGGAAGUCACCCAGUUGAAGAAUGCCCAACUAGGCAGAUUACUUGUUUCUUGUGUGAAGGGACUACCCACUAUCCUACUCAGUGUCACAUUUACCCCAUGGUACGAAGAACCGUACAACAGAAGAAAGAAGUAAAUAAAGGAGCUCUUAUGGAAAUUUUAGAAGAACCCAUGAUGAAGGAAGAUGUUGGGGACACACCCAAAGAAGAACCAAUUAAACCCUGCACCAAGUCAUGCUAUUCAUGUGGAGAAGAAGGACACAUCUCCCAGAAUUGUUUGAAUGGGGAUCUAGUAGUAUUCCCGACAGAGGAAGUAGAGUAUGACCCACAGGAAAUAGAAGCCCUAAUUGGAACGGAAAAGUCCAGAAAAAGAAGCAGAGUGAAUUCCAGGAAGGAUCUAAGUCAUAUCACCUGUUAUAGGUGCAAGGAGUCAGGGCACUACCUCAGCAAUUGCCCAAAAAUGAAACCUCGAGACUUGUCAGAGGUAAUAUGUUUUCAUUGUAAUGGAGCAGGGCAUUUUGCCAGAGAAUACCCCAAGGAGAAGGAUACUUGUGAUAAUUAGUGGUGUUUGUGAGAAGUAUAGUAGUAGUAGUGAGAACAUUUUUUCUUUUAUAUUGAGGUGUUGAGUUGAGACAUGUAAUGGAAAAGCGAGAGAUUGUAAUCAAUUGAGAGUGAAUAAAGUUAGCAUCGUUGGUACUGAUAUGGAUUUUAUGAGUUGUUACUCUAUAAAGAAGGAUUUUGACCAUUUUGAGGAUAUGAGAAAUGUGGUCUAUGGAAGAUUUGUGCAUUUUAAGGGUGGUAGUACCCUGUAAGAACCCUUGACCCCUGGAAAAGAUAAGGAUACUCCACUGAAUGGAUUUCGGACAAAAUGAAUACGAGUUUUGUCUCGAUAUGUGUGAUACCCCAAGAGUAUGUGGGAUGAAGUUGGAAACCGUUAGUUGUUUGGACCAAAUGUGAUCAAGGAGUCAGAAGAGAAUGUUAAGUUGAUUCGAGAUAGACUGAAGGUAGCUCAGUCCAGGCAGAAGAGUUAUGCAGACUCAAAAAUGCAAGGAGGUAGUCUAUGAAAUUGGAGACAGAGCAUGUCUUCGUAUGUCCCCUCUACGAGGAGUUAAACGAUUUGUAGUUAAGGUAAAGUUAGCCCCGAGAUUUGUAGGACAAUACCGAGUUUGGAGCUUAUGGAAGAAGUGGCCAACAAGUUGGAGUCACCCGAAGGACUGUCAGAAGCUCAUGAUGUGUUUCACAUUUCCCAGUUGAAGAAGUGCCAUAUAGAGAUGGCCAAUAUUCCCCUAUAAGGACGCUUGACCCUGGAAAGGAUAAUGAUGUUCCACGAAGUAGAAUAUGGACUUCAUAAGUAUAAGUUUUUAUCUCGGUAUGUGGGAUAUCCCACGAGGAUGAAGAGAUAAAUUACUAUUGGAUAUAAAGGAGGUAUGAUGUCGGAAAUAUGGAUCAAUGGAAACUCCAUGAUGAGUCUGAGUAAUCAUGUCCUAGUUUGGUGCCAAUAGAAGGAAGGAAGACAGUACAAUUGGAUGGAUUUAAGAAUACUAGGAAGUUGGAAGUUGGAAUAAUGAUCAGUUGCCCGAUGAUAAGUUCAAGGACUACAAGUGAUGAGAUGGGCCAUAACCCACAGGCCCCAGGACCUGCCAAGAAGCAAGCACAUUCUUGCUUAAGGAAAAACCUUAGAAGAAGUUACGAUUAUCGACAGACGAUUUUAUAGGAGUUUACAUAAAACCUAAGAGUUGUGAAGGAACGAUAUAUGUUUGUUUGGCUUGCAGAAUCGAUGGAAUUAUCCGAACCUUGGUUCGUCGACAAGAGAAAUUCUGCAAUGCUUGUGAGGAUAACCGAGUGUUAGAAUGCGAGAUUCGCUAAACCGUAUACAAGUUAAUGAUUUGGGUGCGGGAUGGAUUGAUCACCAUACCGACUUACUCUUAUUAUUCGCCUUGCUAUAUGGGAUGGUAAAUCUGAGUGACUUGCCUAUAGUAGAGAGACGGCGAUCAAACCUUGUUUAAACCCUAGAAAGGUAUAAGAAUUUUUCCCUUGUAUACGGCAGCUUUUGUCGACUGUAGGUUAUACGGCGAGGAUCAACCCAAACCCAUUUCCUGCAGGAGAAACCAUAAAUGGAUGACCACCAUGGGAUAUCGAUAGUUGUUUAGUAUUGGUGCCAGACCCGUCAGCUAAGAAGACCCAGUCACAGAAGAACCUUACCUAAAGACACAAGAAUUGAGGAAAAUGUUAUGCCACUACCGAAAGAGCCCAGAUAAGGAAUUAUCCUGAAGAUCUGAGAAGACCGACACUGUUACCAAUAUGGAUGAAGUAUAUGAGUUUUGAUGGAACCGUAACCAUGCUUCUAAGGGUGGUAGCACCCCAGACCCCCUCCCGCGACAAUUGAUGGAUUUUGAGGAGACCCCCAAACCCUAACCUUUUUCUUGCUAGCCUCUCCGAAUCUCGAGGACGAGAUUCAUUUUAAGGGUGGUAGGUUUGUAACAUCCCAAAAUUCUAAAUUUUGGAAUGUUAUAAUAAAUAGAUAGAUUUGAUUGAUUUCUUGAUUGUGGUGUGAUUGAUUGAGUGAAAUUCGAAACUUUUUGAAAGUUUAAUGAGAGGGAAUAAAAGGACUUUCCCAAAAUUUCAUCUUUGCUUUCUGAUCUCCAUCAAUUCAAAUCCUUUUCACCACAAAACCUUAGAGAGAAGAUGACAUGACUUCUUCCAUUUAUUUAAAUGAAAAGGGGUGUUGAAAAUAUUUGAAUUUCAUUUGGAAAUAUUUUUAAUUCAGAAACUUCAAGCAACUCAAUGAUUUUCAUGAGAGAAGAUAAAAUGACUUCUUCAAAUUAUAUGAAAUAUGAGUUGGGAGUUUAAAAGGAUCAAAAUUUAAAAUCCUUUUGAAAUUAUUUUCAAUUUGGAGUUAUUUGGGUUUUAUUCAAAUUAUUUUUCUCCAAAAAUAAAAUAUACAGAAAAUAGGGUAACAUGAUUCCCUACAUCAGAAAUUUGGAGAGAAAUAAAUUUGAAUUAAUUUUGGUAUUUUUAUAAUGAUUUUUGUUGGAUUUUAUUAGACCAGUAGCACUCUUUGAAUUAUCUGAAUUUGUGUGAAUUUUAUUUAAUGCUAGGAAAAUGUUCAUCUUGUAGAAAAUCUUUUUCUGAAAAUUUUGAUAUAUAAUAUGCCUAUAUAAAGUUUUAGUUUUAUUUUUGUUUUUCAGUUUAUCACUUUCUAUUAAAAAAACAAAUAACAAAAACUGCGUGCGCGCCUGAAACUAACUACCGCCCACGUGCGCAUCAUAGUACCAGCGGGCGCCCCAUCUUUUCUUUUUCUUUAUCCUAUAUGGGCCAGGCCCAGCCGACCAUAUUCCUUCCCCAUAUUUUUUCCAUAAUUUUUCUUUUCUUUUCUAUUGCUAAAAAAUUUUUACAGUGUGCGCGGCCGGCCGAACCGGCUAAAGGCCUUUUGGCGCAUGGCGCACCUCCCAUCUUUGUUUCGUAUAUUUUCGUCUACGUUUAGUCCCACAUUGCCUAGCCUUUGACCUUUAAGCCUCUUUUUCACCAAUAAAUAUAGACUCAUAGAGCCUCCAAAAAUCAUGCGAUUCGGGUUAAAUCAAUAUUUUGGUUUCACUAGAUUCAUUUAAAAAAAUAUUUCUCCUCUUCGCCGUGACUUUUGAAAAUUGGCUCUUCUCUCCAAAGUCAUCUUUUCUCUACCUUAUAAAGGUAUCUUUCUUUGUUUUUUCUUUUUCUUCUUAUACUUCCGUAGUUUAUUAUUUUUAGACUAAUAUGAUAGAAUAAUUAGAUUAUCAAUUAGUCUGCGUAUUUAUAGGUUAGACCUUAACCAUAGCUAUUUUUCUUUCGUAAAACAGCUUUGUCCUGAUUUUUCAAAUAGCCAUAAUUUUUCACUCGUUUAUCCAAAUUAGAUGAAACCAGCGCCUAUAGCUUCAUCUUGUUUUCACCUAUCCAGUGAACCUGUCACAUCAACUUUUUGAAAUUCUCAAAUUUCGAAUUUUGUUCAGAUUCAUAUUCAAACUUCUAUUGAACAUAACUUGAGUUUCGUAACUCCGAUUUAGUUGAUUCUUUUUGCAAAUCGAAGCUCCUGGCCUAAACUUUCUGAUAAGGCCAAAUUCACUUAAUUUUGGUACUGUUAGAAAUUGUUUUAUGUUGCAAGAGUUAUUUGCUUGGUUUUGACGUUUUCCGAAUUGUUUUCUUUGUUCUCUCCGAUCUUUGACAGAUUGCUUAUAUGUGGUUACUAUUGCUUGCUUACGAUAGAUUGACCGGAGUGUGACGAGUAGAAAUAUUAAGAGUUUUGAGUGCGAAUCAUCUUCAUCAACAUUACAGGCAAGUUCACACUUUGAUCAUAUUCCUUUCAUACCCAGUUUUUAUGCAUUAGUUUCAACCUCAAACAUUGCAUGAGUAGGAUUGAUAACAUGUGGGUAUUGGGAAGUAGUUGAUGUGGUAGGAACCUAUUGCCCUGCAUUCAAACCUUGGGAGUUACUUCUACGUUUGCUUAUAUGCCAUGCUAUGCUAGUAGACGUGGAUUGGGUGAGUGUAUCCAUGACAGAUGUGAGAUUGUUAUAUUAAUGGUUUAUUUAAGGUGGCAACUUAAACACACAUCUGGGUGGAUUGAGGCACCUGGGUAUUCCAGCGUUUGCCUGUUUUUCUUUAUGGACCGCCACCCAGGCUCAAAGGGAUCAUGAGAUUAUUCAUACUAGAAACUUCCGUGUGCAGCCACAAGCUACUAUGGGCUCUAGCAUAGUUGAUUAAGUCGUGUGAACUCUUACAGUGGUAGACUAGCAGAUGUAGGGGAAAGUAGGUGUAACGGUCUACCCGAUCGUAAGGUGCUAGCGCUUCUGAAAGACUAUGUCUCGGUCAUCCGUUUCUCAAACACCAUGUAGUGCGAGAAUCCCAACGGAGGAGAUCGAGUCUUGUGGGGAAAAGUGCGCAAACCUCUGCAGAGUGUAUAAACUAAUCAUGGUUAGCCGUGUCCCCAGUUAUGGACGUUUUGAGUAUCUAGUACUUGGAUUAUCAUGUGAAUCUCAUCAUGUGACUUUAAAUAAUUUUGUUGGGUUUUAAUGAUGAUGCUUAAUUGGGAUUGAGAGGGUGUCUACACUCUCAAUGUUUAACAACCACCUUGAUAGUUAAAUAAAAUGUAUUCCUUUGCAGUAGGGAAAAAUUGGCUUUACGCAAAAACUUGAUAACCAUAUAGCUUUUCCACCAGCCAAAUAUGCAUGUAGUGAUAGCCAUAUUUCAGCAUUGCUUUACAGUGUGAAUUUGCCAGUACAUUCAAUGUACUGACCCUUUGUGGCUGCAACGUCUCAUGUUGCAGGAUUAUCUUACGACGAGUAAGUGAUACCUUAGGGUUAUGAUUUUCUACACUCAACUUUUCCGUUGGUGUUGAUGGGAAUCCACAACCUUGUUACUUCUGCUAUUUGGAUUGAGGUAAUAGUAUUUACAUUACUUUUACAUGUGAUUUACCUCUGUUAUAAAUCCUUGAGUACUGUGUGUGUUAGCAUACCGAUCCAGGGAUGACACUUAAGCACAGAGACUUGAUCCAUUCGGGUCGGGUCGCUACACUAAACGAUCAUCGUGCUAAGCUAACGGAUGGGUCAAGUCAAUCACAUCAUUCUCUAAUGAUGUGAUCCCAUUAAUCAAAUGACAACUCAUGUCUAUGGUUAGGAAACAUAACCAUCAUUGAUUCAACGAGCUAGUCAAGUAGAGGCGUACUAGUGACACUCUGUUUGUCUAUGUAUUCACAAUGUACUAAGUUUUUGGUUAAUAUAAUUCUAGCAUGAAUAAUAAACAUUUAUCAUGAUAUAAGGAAAUAUAAAAACAACUUUAUUAUUGCCUUUAGGGCAUAUUUCCUUCAGUCUCCCACUUGCACUAGAGUCAAUAAUCUAGUUCACAUCGUCAUGUGAUUUUAACACCAAUAGUUCACAUCUUUAUGUGAUUAGUUCACAUCUCUAUGUGACUAAUACCCAAAGGGUUUACUAGAGUCAAUAAUCUAGUUCACAUCGCUAUGUGAUUAACACCCAAAGAGUGAUCAUGUUUUGCUUGUGAGAGAAAUUUAGUAAUCGAGUCUUCCACAUUCAGAGCCGUAUGUAUUUUGCAAAUUUUCUAUGACUACAAUGCUUUGCACGGAGCUACUCUAGCUAAUUGCUCCCAGUUUCAAUAUGUAUGUAGAUCGAGACUUAGAGUCAUCCAGAUCGGUGUCAAAUCUUGCAUCGACAUAACUCUUUACGAUGAACUUUUUGUCACCUCCAUGACCGAAAAACAUUUCCUUGUUCCACUAAGGAUAUUUUUUACCGCUGUCCAGUGAUCCACUCCUGGAUCACUAUUGUACCCUCUUGCCAAACUUAUGGUGAGGUAUACAAUAGGUCUGGUACACAGCAUGGCAUACUUUAUAGAACCUAUGACUGAGGCAUAGGGAAUGACUUUUCAUUCUUUUUCUAUUCUCUUCCAUGGUCGGGUUUUGAGUCUUUACUCAACUUCACACCUUGCAACACAGGCAAUAACUCCUUCUUUGACUGUUCCAUUUUGAACUACUUCAAAAUCUUGUCAAGGUAUGCACUCAUUGAAAAUAUAUCAAGCGUCUUGAUCUAUCUCUAUAGAUCUUGAUGCUCAAUAUGUAAGUAGCGUCACCGAGGUCUUUCUUUGAAAACUCCUUUCAAACACUCCUUUAUGCUUUCCAAAAAAUUCUACAUUAUUUCCGAUCAACAAUAUGUCAUUCACAUAUACUUAUCAGAAAUUUUGUAGUGCUCCCACUCACUUUCUUGUAAAUACAGGCUUCACUGCAAGUCUAUAUAAAACCAUAUGCUUUGAUUACUUUAUCAAAGUAUAUAUUCCAACUCCGAGAUGCUUGCACCAGUCCAUAGAUGGAUCGCUGGAGCUUGCUCACUUUGUUAGCACCUUUAGGAUCGACAAAACCUUCUGGUUGCAUCAUAUACAACUCUUCUUUGAGAAAUCCAUUAAGGAAUGCAGUUUUGACAUCCAUUUGCCAGAUUUCAUAAAAUGCGGCAACUGCUAACAUGAUUCGGACAGACUUUUAAGCAUCAAUACGAGUAAGAAAAACUCAUCGUAGUCAACACUUUGAACUUAUCGAAAACAUUUUUGCGACAAUUCGAGCUUUGUAGAUAGUAACACUACUAUCAGUGUCCGUCUUCCUCUUGAAAAUCCAUUUAUUCUUAAUGGUUCACCGAUCAACGGGCAAGUCAAUCAAAGUCCAUACUUUGUUCUAAUACAUGGAUCUCAUCUCAGAUUUCAUGGCUUCAAGCCAUUUUGCGGAAUCUGGGCUCAUCAUCGCUUUCUCAUAGUUCGUAGGUUUGUCAUGGUCAAGUAACAUGACCUCCAGAACAGGAUUACCGUACCACUCUGGUGCGGAUCUUACUCUGGUUGUCCUAUGAGGUUUGGUAGUAACUUGAUCUAAUGUUUGAUGAUCAUCAUCAUUAGCUUCCUCACUAAUUGGUGCCACCCCUAGUUGGUUUUGGAGUAUUGAUGACAAACCUGGUUGAGGGACUAAUGUGUUUGUGAGAAUUGCAGGAUAACACAGGUAGUAGUUCCUCAUUGAUUCGAUUUACCUACCGGAGAUGACCCCUAAAAAUGUGUGAAGACAUUGAAGAUAAUGGUGGUAUGUGAAGAUAUUCACAUUGAAGACUAUGACAUGAGAAGACAUCACAUGAAGUCUUUGGAGCGCGAAGACAUAGUUGUUUCGUAGUUUUAUUUUCUUCUUUGUUGAGUCAUAGGAACCACCGUACUAUUAAGUGGGGUCCAAGUGAACAAAGUCAGAGUGACUAAAGUGAUGCUCAACCAAAUCAUAUGUCUUCAAGCGAAGACAAUGAGAGCAAAUCUUAUCCAGAGCUGGAUGAGUCAGCUUUACUUGUAGCCCAAGUCAAGCUGUCGCGUAUGUUUGAAAUCUGACCGUUGGAACACGUGUUAGUUCCUUAGUGACCCAGUGUCAUUUCGAACAAAUCAGGUCGGGUUGCCUAGUGGCUAUAAAUAGCCACCCCUACACCAUAAAUUGGUGGCUGCUCAGAGUUAGUACACGACUUUUGUCAUUUGAGAGCAACCCACCUCGAAGCCUUUGAGAGAGAAAUCCUUGCGAGGACAAAGCCCUAAACACCCAGAGCCAAAGAGUGUUAGGCAUCACUGAAGUCUUUCUGUCUGUGUGAUCUGAAGACUUGUUACACUUGAGGGCUGUGAAUCCUCCAGCCGGUUAGGCGUCGCGUUGUGAGCAUCCAAGAGUCAUUGUGGAUCGCCGGUGAAUGAAGUCUGUGAAGGUUUGGAAGUCUACCUUGAAGACUUACCAGAGUGAUUGGGCGAGGACUGUGUGUCCUUAGCUCAAGGGGAAUAAGGUGAAGACACGGUCUUCUGAGUUGAAUCUCAGCCUCCCUAACCAGACGUACAGUUGUCACAGCAACUAGAACUGGUCCAACAAAUACAUGUCCUCACCAAUCAACUGGUUCUAUCCUUACCUCUCUCUUUACUUACAGUUUGUCUUCGUGAAGUCAUUGCCUGCUUGCAAGAUAUGAUUGACUUCACUAUGUGAAGACUGUUGUUGAUUGGUUUCAUACUUUCUUCCAUCUUGAUCCAUACUACCUAGCUGCUGAUAGUCUUCGUGAUUUGACUUCAUUGCUUACUUGACUAUGGCCUGUCUAGUGUAGUCUACCUUCCACUGCAUAUCAAUAGGUUCAUUUCUACUAUUUGUCUUCAAAUCCCCCGUGUUUUGAUGACUUUCAUAAAAAUCGCCUAUUCACCCUCCCUCUAGUCGAUAACUAGCACUUUCAAUUGGUAUCAGAGAAAGGUACUCCCUUGUUCUGUGUGAUUCGGUUUAACCACCUGGAGUUUUAGCUAUGUCGACUACAUGGAUAAUCAAAGUCUCCGAUGCGUGCCCUGUCUUCGAUGACACUGAUUACCCCUACUGGAAGAAUAAGAUGCACUUGCAUCUUUGAAAGUGCGUUAUAUUGACUAGAGGGGGGGGGGUGAAUAGGCGAUUUUUAUGAUAGUCUUCAAAACGUGGAAGUUAUGAAGACAAACAGUAGAGAUAUGCCUAUUACUAUGCAGCGGAAGGUAGACUACACUAGGCAAGACAUGGUCAAGUAUCAACAGAGUGAAAGCACAGUGACAAAUAGCUGUAGUGUAAUAAGGAUCAGGUAGGAAGAUGUUAUGAAGCCAAACAGAUCAUACACUCACGUUGUGAAGACAAAAGAUAGAACAGACAUGCAAUGACUUCACAAUGAGUAAUCAGUAAGUAAAAGGAAGCGAAGAUGAAACCAGUGACUCGUUGAAGACAAUGAUGUGUUGGACCAGUUCUAGUUGCUGUGACAACUGUACGUCUGGUUGGAGCGGCUAGGUAUUUAAACCUUAGGACACACAGUCCCGGACACCCAGUCCUGAACACGCAGCUCAGGACACCAAGUCCUCACCGUAUUCUCCUUGAGCUAAGGUCGCAUAGUCCUCGCCCAAUCACUCUGGUAAGUCUUCAAGGUAGACUCCCAAACCUUCACAGACUUCGUUCACUGGCAAUCCACAAUGUCUCUUGGAUGAUCUGAACGCGACGCCUAACCGUCUGGAGGAUGCACAGUCCUCAAGUGUAAUAAGUCUUCAGAUCGCACAGACAAGAAGACUUAAGUGAUGCCCAAUUCUCUCUGGCUCUGGUGGUUAGGUCUUUAUCCUCGCAGGGAAUUCUCUCUCAAAGGCUUCGAGGUGGGUUGCUCUCAAACGACAAAAGCCGUACUCUCAAACUGAGCAGCCAACCGUUUAUGGUUGUAGGGGGUGGGCUAUUUAUAGCCACUUGGCAACCCGACCUGAUUUGUCCGAAAUGACCCUGGGUCACUAAGGAACUGACACGUGUCCCAACGGUCAUAUUUCAAACUCACAUGGCAACUUUACUUGGGCUACAAGCAAAGCUGACUUGUCCGGCUCUGGACAAGAUUCACUCUCAUUGUCUUCACUCGAAGACAUAGGAUUUUGGUUUAGGCAUCACUUCAGUCAUUCUGACUGGUUCUCCUGGACCCCACUUAACAGUACGGUGGUUCCUAUGACUCAACACAACAGAAAAAGAACGACGAAAGAUCUAAGUCUUCGAGCUCCAUAGGCUUAAUAUCGUGUCUUCUCUUGUCAUAGUCUUCAAUGUGAAUAUCUUCAUAUACCACCUUUGACUUCAAUGUCUUCAUACAUUUUUAGGGGUCAUCUCUGGUAGUAAAACCGAAUCAAUGAGGGACUUCUACCUGUGUUAUCCUGCAAUUCUCACAAACACAUUAGUCCCUCAACUAGGUUUGUCGUCAAUACUCCAAAACCAACUAGGGGUGGCACUAGAUGCACUUACAAUCUUGAAGCCAUUGAUGUCGGUCUAUGGUAUGUCGUCAAGAACGGCGUUCCCAAGACUGGUGAAGGUGUCACCCUGCUGAUGUCAAAAAGUUCAUUCAACUGGAUUCUACUGCCAAGAACAUCAUCUGUUGUCAUCUGACCAAAGGACGGUAUGGCCGUGUGAGUGCUCUGGAAACGUCGAAGCUAGUCUGGGACUGGCUCUCCAAGGUCAGCAAAGGCGUCUCAACCCAGAGAGAUCAAAGGAUCAGUGUCCUUCGCAACCUGUUCAACCGCUUUAAGAGAAACGACAAUGAGAAUGUUCAGUUCACGUUGGAUUGCCUCACUGACAUCACAAAUGAGCUUCAUGCUCUCAGCGCCACUAAGAUCACUAAGCAUGAAAUCGUAAAGACACUCCUGAGAUUACUUGACAGCUCGUUUGACACCCUAGCCCUGAUGAUUCAAGAACGCUCGGACUUCAAGACACUCGAUCCGUCUGACAUACUUGAGAGGCUCAACACACAUGAGUUUCAGCUAUCUGAGAAAAGAGAUAUCUAUGGUCCCAACUAUGGCCGAACUCGCGCUUUGAAGGCGAAAGCUACUUCCUCAUCUGAAGAAGAAUCUGACUGCAGUUCUGGUGAUCCUGAAGACAUUGGAAAGGAGCUUGCUAUGCUUGUGAAGAAGUUCCAGAAAUUCACCAAGAAGAAAGGCUUCAGAAAGUCUUCACGAUCUAGCUCAAGAAAAGAUGAAGCUUCUACUCAUAAUCACAAGAAGAGAACAUGCCACAAGUGCAAGAAACUUGGUCACUACAUCUCUGAGUGUCUGCAGUGGGACAAUGAAAACAACAAGAAGAAGAAGAGCAAGGAAUAUGAUUCUGAUGACAAGAAGAAGAAAUCCUCAAAGUCUUCUUCCAAGUUUUCAUCAAAGUCUUCAUCACACAAGAAGAGCUCAUCUGGCAAGGCUCGUGCUUUUGUUGGCAAGGAGAUGGAUUCAGAGGAGGAGUCUGCUUCUGAGGAGGCGGAGGUGGAGUCUGAGGAGGAGUCCGACUCUGGCGUUGCAAGUCUGGCUCUAGCUACAACCUACGUUGCCAAGUCCAUCUUCAACACUGAAGACAAUGGCUCCGUCACCUACGCUGAUGCUAAUGACAAGGAGGACUCCGCUCCCACCUAUUGCUUCAUGGCACGUGAUGCCAAGGUAAACUCACGCGAUGCUUACUUUCAAACAUCAAGUGAAGAUGACUCUGAUUGUGAAUCCAAACCCAGCUACAAAACACUUGCUAAAAUUGCAACUGAACAACAGAAAGCUAUGGAACAUAUUCAAAAACUGUUAGAUAGAAGCGAUGAUCUGUUAGGUGCUGAAAUGACUCGAUCUGAAUCCUUAAUUGAAGACAUAAAAAAUCUUCACGUUAAGUAUCAGGAACUUGAAAGUCGUCAUGAAACGCUCUCAACAAUUCAUGAAAAGCUUUCCUAUGAUUAUCUUCAAAGGAAGCAAGAACUUGAGAAAUUGAGAGCAGUUCAUGAAGAUCUUCAAAAAGAAAACAAGUCACUUCGCGCUCAACAGACCAGUCCCGCUCAGGAAGGAUUUGAACCACCAUGUCUAAAAUGCCUUGAGCGUGAUAACACUACUUCUGUUGCUGAUUGUUCUACUGCUGCUGCUGUUGCAAUAUCUUCAACUGUUGAUGUGGUAACUAACCCCUCUGCUGAGGAUGCCACUGCUAUUGUUGAUGAAAAUGCUAGGUUGAAGACGUUACUUGAGACAGGGAUGUACAAAAGUCUCAAAGGGCAUCAGACACUAUGUGAUGUCCUCAAAAGCAUAUUCUGAACCAAAACCCUAGGAAAGAGGGUGUUGGGUUCGAGAGGAAAAUGAAUGUUGAUGGUUCUUACUAGAAGCCUGAGCAGUACCCCAAAACCACAUGGGUUGCUGCAAAGGAACCUUCAGUGGAUCCAUCCACCCUAUCCGACUUCACUUGUGCUAACCCUAUUAUCAUUGAUGAAUCCUUUGAUGCAAACUAUAAACUAUUUAAAAAUCCGAAUGGUGAAGUGUCUGCCAGGUAUAUUGGUACUAACUGCAGGAAUGGGCCACCUAUGAAGAAAAUCUGGGUGCCCAAAAGGUGUCUGGAGAAUCUUCCUGUGAAUGUCAUCAUGACACCACAAGGGAAGAAGACAAACCCUAGACCAAAGGCUUCAUAUGGUCCAAAGGCUUCAUACAGACACAUGACUCACCUGAGUCACCCUAACGCCAAUGUUUUGCAGGAAAAUCAUACUCAAACUUAUGAAUAUGAGCGCGUAUCAUCAAACCACUAUGUUCAUAAGACUAAGAACUACUUUGCUUAUUCAUAUGAGUACUAUUUGCCUCCUGCAAGGCUAUUUGCUAGGGCUCCAAAGCCAAAGUUCUCAGAUGCUGCACUUAGACUCAUUGCUUUGAGGCCACCCCUGAAGAUGUGGGUGGUUAAGAAGACUUAACUCUCUUUUGCAGGGAAAGGUCUCCAGCCGGAAAUCAAAGGCGUCAGAUUCUAUUGCUGGGGACCUAAAACAUCUUGUGGGGCGCAAGAUAAAAUGCUCAAAUGGUCUUAUUAUGUAUUUCGUUCCUGAGUCGCUUGCCAUGCAUCCUAUCAGUCCUAACCUGGAUCCGAUCUUUCAUAAUCCACUUGCUCGUCCAAUGUUUAUGCUUCACAAUACUCUUCGUGAAGCCUAUCCCCCUAACUGCACUAUAGGGUAUGACACCAGCUGCUUCAGAAUGGAUUAUUGAUAGUGGAUGCACUAACGACAUGACUGGCGAUCGAAGUCUUCUCAUGGACUCAACCUUACGUCCAUCUGACAAGAGUCAUAUCACAUUUGCUGACACUGGUAAAAGCAAGGUAUUGGGUCUAGGUAGAGUUGCAAUGUCAAAGGAUCAGCACAUGGAUAAAGUGAUGCGUGUUGAAUCCCUUGGCUUCAACUUAAUGUCUGUCUCAAUGCUUUGCGAUUUGAACAUGAUUGUGAUAUUUGGAAAAUAUCGUUGCCUUGUUCUAAUGGAAUCUGACAAGUCUCUAGUCUUUGAAGGGUAUCGGAAAGAUGAUUUGUACAUGGUAGAUUUCUCAGCAGGACCACAACUUGCCGUAUGUCUUCUUGCAAAAGCUUUAGAGUGCUGGCUCUGGCAUCGGAGGCUAGGGCAUGCUGGCAUGAGGAACUUGCAUACUCUCACAAAGAAGAAGCAUGUUGUAGGCAUCGAGGGCGUCAAGUUCAAAAAGGAUCAUCUUUGCGGUGCCUGCGAAGCCUGGAAGAUGACUAGGGCCAAGAAUCCUUCAAAGACAAUCAUGACUACAUCACAUCCCUUCGAGCUGCUUCACAUGGACCUAUUCAACCCCACUCAUUACUCCACUCUUACUACUACUGCUUGUCUCUAUGGCUUCGUUAUUGUUGAUGACUACUCCAGAUAUACCUGGGUGCAUAUAAUUCUCUACAAGACUGAAGUGCAGGAUGUCUUUAGAAGAUUCGCAAAUCGUCCCAUGACGAACUAUGGCAUCAAGCAAAGAGAGCAUCUGCCAAAUGUGCUAGAUGAAGUUCCACCUAGUGAAUCCAUCAAGCUUAUGGGUACUAGAGAAAUCAUACCUUCAGAGGCACAGGCUGAAGAGGAACUUAUCAUUUCUGCACCAAAUCAACCUGAAGACUCUGCUCAGCCUGAAGCCAAUGCUGAAGAUGAAGACAAUGAUCAGCAAGAGCAAAAUCUUCGUCCAGUUCAUCCUCGUGUUGCAAAUGAAGUACAGAUUGAGAAGAUAAUUGAUAGCAUCAAUGCACCUGGUUCCCUUACUCGUUCAAGAGCAACGCAACUGGCAAAUUUCUGUGGGCACUUUGCAUUCGUCUCUAUAUCUGAACCCAAGAAAGUUGUUGAAGCCUUCAUGGAACCUGAGUGGAUUCAAGCUAUGCAAGAAGAGCUUCAACAGUUUGAACUGAACAAUGUGUGGGAAUUGGUCAAGCGUCUUGAUCCUCGCAAGCACAAUAUCAUAGGCACAAAAUGGAUCUAUCGCAACAAACAAGAUGAGCAUGGUCAAGUUGUCAGAAACAAGGCUCGCCUUAUUGCUCAAGGAUAUACUCAAGUUGAAGGAAUUGACUUCGAUGAAACAUUCGCUCCGGUGGCUAGGCUUGAAGCCAUUCGCAUUCUGCUAGCCUAUGCCAACCAUCACAACAUCCUCCUGUAUCAAAUGGAUGUGAAGAGUGCUUUUCUCAAUGGCAAGAUUGAAGAAGAAGUGUAUGUUGCACAACCACCUGGCUUUGAAGAUCCAAAACAUCCUGACAUGGUUUACAAGCUCAACAAGGCACUGUAUGGCCUCAAACAAGCCCCUCGCGCUUGGUAUGACACACUCAAAGAUUUUCUGAAGACAAAAGGCUUCAAACCUGGUUCCCUGGAUCCCACACUCUUCACGAAGACAUAUGAUGGUGAACUGUUUGUGUGCCAAAUAUAUGUGGAUGACAUUAUCUUCGGCUGCACUAAUCAAAAAUAAAGUGAUGAGUUUGGACACAUGAUGCAAGAGCAAUAUUAGAUGUCCAUGAUGGGUGAGCUGAAGUUCUUCCUUGGUCUUCAAAUACAUCAGCAAAACAACUGCAUCUUCAUAUCUCAAGAAAAAUAUCUCAAAGACUGCUUGAGGAAGUUUGGAAUGCAAGAUUGCAAAGGAUACAUGACGUCCAUGCCAACCAAAAGUCAUCUGGGUCCUGACGCAAAUGGUAAAGAGUUUGAUCAAAAGGUAUACUGCUCCAUGAUUGGUUCUUUACUUUAUUUAUGUGCAUCUAGGCCAGAUAUAAUGCUUAGUGUUUGCAUGUGUGCCCGAUUCCAAGCGGCACCAAAGGAAUCGCAUCACUUGGAUGUGAAGCGAAUUCAUUGAUAUUUGGCCUACACCCCAACAUUAGGAUUAUGGUAUCCAAAGGGCUCAGAGUUUGAUCUAGUUGGAUUCUCAGAUGCUGAUUAUGUUGGUGACAAGGUGGAUCGCAAGUCUACAUCAGGCACAUGUCACUUUCUGGGACGAUCACUUAUUUGUUGGUCUUCAAAGAAGUAGAACUAUGUAUCUCUCUCCACUGCUGAAUAUGAAUAGAUUGCUGCUGGAUCUUGCUACGCUCAGCUUCUAUGGGUGAAGCAAACACUCAAAGACUGUGGCAUCCAUCUGAAGCAAGUAUCACUCUACUGCGACAAUGAAAGCGCCAUCAAGAUUGCCAACAACCCAGUUCAGCACUCAAAGACAAAGCACAUUGAAAUUCAUCAUCACUUUCUCAGAGAUCAUGUCAUGAAGGAAGAUAUUGAUAUCAUUCACGUCAACACUGAAGAGCAACUGGCAGAUAUCUUACCAAAGCCCUUGGAAUGGAAAAGGUUUUGCAAGUUGCGGUGUGAGCUAAAUCUCUUGGAAUCCUCAAAUGUCCUGUGAUUAGGCACACAUCCUAACACUUAUGCAUGUUGAUGACUUAGAUGUGCAACACACGAAGUAACAUAUAUCUUCAAUUAAUGAAGACUUACACUCUAAGUGUGAAUACAUUAAUGUGGAAUUUGACUUCGGAGUGCCAUGAUAAUUGUGUGCCGUGUCUGGGUCUAAUACUUCCUAUACGGUGGGUAACGCCACCACCAAACUUUUGUUUGGAGUGUUUUCUAUUGGUGUUACAUUUGCAAAGUCUUCGCAUUUGGUUUGUCUUCAAUAUUGACAUGACUUCAUGUUUAUCUUCACAAUGUUGAUUUGGUCUUAUUAUGAUAUAUACAUAUAUUAGUGUUCUGUCCUCUACAACAUUCACUUAUAGCUAUGUCUUCUCGUUUGAAUAUUUUGAACUAAGUGAAUGUGAUCGGACCCUAACCUCUCUAUGCUUCCUUCUCAAAUCCAUCUAUCCAAAUCAUAUGCAUUCUAUCGAAACCGUCGAAUGUGUUCUCCGCGUCCUUGUCAGCAGAAGAUAGAGAGACAAACAUUAAAUAUGUUUUAAAUGCUCAAUCCUUAUUGCCUGAAACCCGGAGAAGCCGGAACGACCACCCGACAGUCCAGGCGUGCGUGGGAACAUGGAACAACUUCCAAUUUGUUGCAUGUUCGCCAUGUGUCCCUCAGAUGUGAACCACCAGGAGCACCUGCGUAAUUGCGCUGUGCCAUCACUGUCCUUAUAAAUACACACCACACCCCAGUCAUUAUCUUUUCUUCCACCUCUCCACAAACCCUAGCGCCACCUCUAGCUCUCGACGACGCCGGCGACGAAGCGCUUAGCUGCCGCGACCUCACCGACGCCAUCCUCACGCCGGCCGUGGACCUCGUCUCCUCCGCCGUCGCCGUAGGUGUCCUCCGUCGCCAAGUUAGGGCACGGAAGAUCGAACUGCUCGGCUUCCUCUCUACUCCAUCUAGCAGUUCUUUGUGUGGUAAAUAAAACCUCCUUUUUACUGUCUUUUUGAUCCGAUAGAUCCAUCCUUUUCAAUCACAAGUGGUUUCUGUCCCUACAAAUUUGGAUCUAUCCUGUUCUGCAUCUCAUAACAUGCCUAGUAUAUUCACUUAUGCUUCACACACAGUAAGAUUCCUCACUUGUACUUAUUCUUGGAUUCGUACAAAUCUGGAACGAACUCUCAUCAUAUAAGUGAAUGUCUUCGUGCUAUGAGGUCAAUGUCUUCAAACUAAUUUAUCUUCAUCUUCUGAGAAUGCAUAUGACCUCUUCCCCUUCCCUCACAUCUCUAAUGCUGUCACAGGUACAUGUCCGUGGGAGAAUCCCUUGGUUCUCAUAGUCUGCAUUCAUUUGCAGAGUUCUUACAGCGUCACAUCAAUUCUCCCGAAGCCAGUUCCUAUCUGACCAGCAGACGGAAGCCUUUGACAGUUUUGAAGCCAUUCAGUGUGAACUACAUGGCCGCAGAUAAGUCAUCAAGGAAGGGAGGCAGACAGCGUCGAGGGGGCACGUUAAUGGAUUUGCCUGAAGAUCUUUAUGAGUUAUACAAAACUGAUCCUGAAGAGAGCUAUGGCCAACACAAAACACGAAUCCAAUGGAUUCGAAGAUAUUGGGCCGAGCAAUGGUUCAAAUACAAGUUCGUGACCAAGGAGUAUGCUGAGAAGAAUGCCAUCAAGUGUCCUUGGGGUGAUAUUCUCUUUCGAAAUCUUCAACCCAAGAACAGACCUGAAGCUAUUGCUCAGGGUUUCUACCCUAGUAUGGUUUGUGGACCACAGCCUGCAAAUGCCGACCCAUCGUCACUGCUAUGGUGUGGCGACGAUAAUCUGUUCAAGCGCAACCUUCAGUUUGCCAAAGCAUCUGCCAAAGAGAACAAGAAAUUGCUUGGAUUAGACUUCAACCCAUGUCCAUCUGCUCCUCGGGAUGAUGGCACCCGUGAUGCUCAACCCAAUAUUAUCGGGCCCUUCGACAACCUCGAAGGUCUCAUCACACACAUUGUUGUUCAGGGGGCAGCCAUGGAGCACUCUGCAAAUGACGCUGAUUCUGAUGAAGCUCAUUCUCCUCCCAAGCCACAGAACCAGAAGAAACCAAAGGCUUCAAAGCCCUCCACUGUACCAAAAGCUUCGCGUGCGAAGCCUCUGGCCACUGCACCUCCUGAAGCCAGUGUGCAGUCUGAAGAUCUCUCUCGCGUCUCUAAGACUGUAAGAAGAAGCCUAUCUAGAUUUCUAGUCAAGCACUUACCCCAGCUGCCGUUCUGAGGAACGAAGAUGAAGCCAUUGAUCUGUCAAGUGACGACGAUCUUGGCGAUGAUGCUCUUGAGAUGUUGAUAAAGAGCAAGGAAGAGGCGGAGAUCUUCAAUGAUCUACCCCUGUUUGAUGUGGAUAUCUUGAACAACUUCAUUGAUGAAUGGUUUGAAAACCCCAGCAUCAACCUCGAUGACCUUGAGCUUCCAAUUGGCAUCAGUGUGUCCUUCCACAGUGCCAUUGCUACUAAGCUGGCUCUGGCUCAAAAGAUUGUUGAACAGGAGAACAAGAUUGACUAUGAGAAAGCUCAGUUCAAGAAGAACAUGGCAAACCUCAGUGUGGCUGAUGUUCAAAGCUUCAAGCAGACGUUGCAUGAGCUCAAGGAGCAGUUCCACCAGAAACGCCAGGAAGCAAAAGGUUCAAGAGAGAGAAUGAAGUAUUUUGCGGAGAAAAGUGUUCAAGCUCACAAUGAAGCAGAAAAGCGCAAGGCUCUGGGGCACCCUGGCAUCGACCCCAGAAUGGCUGCCAAGAAGAAGAAGAAGCCUGCUGUGGACCAAACUGAAGCAUCAAGGCAGGAAGAACCUCGCAUUGUCUUCCCUGCCAGUAUGAUAGGCUCGAAGCCUAAGGUCCCCACAGCUACUUCAGAACUCAAGAAAAACAAGGGAGCUGAAGCCGAAGCCCGAAAGCGCAAGACCAAGAACACAACUGAUGAUGCUCCACCGACCAAGAAGAGGAAGACAAAGAAGAAAGGUCGGGCUGCUCCCACGGAGCCCCUUGUCAUCGAGCCGAUCUCAGUUGCUCGUCCUGCGUCCGAACACCGAGAGCGUCAGUUAAUAGUUCAUGAGCCUGCUUCCACAGAGGCUCCUGAAACUGAAGAUAUUCCAGCUCCUGAAGCUGAAGACAUUGGUCAUCACGACAAUGUAGAAGAUGAUGAAGUCCUUUCUUAGAUUGAGCACCAAAUGGUAUCAUCGCCUGUUCUCACGAACAGGGAACUCAUCAGCAUUGGUCGUCCUCUGACGCCAAUUGCUCAGGAUGAUUCAUGGGCUGAUCGCCCUCAAGACUCCCCCCGUCAAGAAUCCCCAAGUACUCACCCACCUAAAGCCACCACUCUGAUGACUGAAGAUGAUUACUUUAUGGUCCAGCCGACUCCCUCUCCAAAGGCAUCGCCCGCACUCCACAGGCUUCACAAAGGACCAAGGACACAAGUCACUUUGUCGAGCGUUCCAGAAGGAGAAGAGAAACAUAACUCAGUGGCAUGACAAGUGUUCCCUGAUGCCACUCCAACUGUGAAUGUCUCUGAGUCUGAAGCAAAAGCUGCUGAAGACAUUCCGACUGCAUCAGUCAAUGAUCAACAAGAACCACCAGAACCCCGUCAAGAAGAAGAGCGAGUUGCCACACCCCCUACCAACCAAGAAACUAUUCUCAAGGAGAACGAGUAUGUGCCAGACCCUCCAGCUACUCAAGUGGAGGUUGAAAAUAAUGAAGCGGCCACAAACAACAACACCGAAGCCAAUGACAUUGUCAUGACUGAAGCAAAUGUGGCGUCUGAAGUUAAUGUGGUGCUAGAAGUGAAUAUGACUCCUAAAGCCAAUAUCGCACCUGAAGCCAGUGUGCAGCUCGAAGCCCAUGACAAUGUCUCUGCUCAUGUACCACCUCCAAGGCCUCACACCAUUGAGCAAGCAUUCUAUCAAGGUCAACUUACCACCGUCCGCUGGCCCAUUCUGGUUCCUCCGCCUGCUCCCGGACCAUAGUUUGACUAUCAUGUGGCGCGCCGGCCUCAGGUCCAGAAGCCAAAGCCAAGGCUGCCAAGGUUCCAGGUACAGCAACUUCACCAUGAUCGUUCAAUGUGAAUGGCUUCAUAGCACACAACACCUUCUUUGAUAGCGCCAAGAACCCAUAUUCCAAGCCAAGAAUAUCAUCUGAUAGGUUCUGGAGUUAUCAGCAGCGCAGUUACUAUUCCUGCAUACUAUACAAUCAGGGGCGCAUUUUUCCUCAGAUGCGUCUAGACUACGAAGCCAUGGCUGGCCUGCCCUGCCUAGAAGAAGCUCUUGACUGUUUCUGUGAUGUUGGUCUCCUGAACUUUGUGACUGAUAAAUAGCAUUGGAAUGGAGAGCUUCUGCUACAAUUCUAUGCUACCCUCCACAUUCACGGCUACAACAGGGAUCCGAAGACUUGGAUCCUUGAGUGGAUGACAGGUAAUACACACCACGAAGCCAAAGCUCUGGAUAUCAUUGAGCUUACUGCCCUGCCCACUCCUGGUGAACACCAUGAACCAGGUUGUCAGCUGCACCAAAAUGCUUUGGAGAGCAUCUUCCAGAUGCCAGAGCCAAACAUGAGCCAAAUGCUGAGCAUGAUGAAGCCACUGCCACAAGACGCUGAAUAUCCUAAGGAGUUCUUUAUUGAAGACCUAGAGUAUCUGCCCCGCACUAUUUAUCAUAUUAUCAGGCGAACUCUCUAGCCUAUCAAAGGACAUUCUCCUGCAGCGAAGCUUGAAGGAGCAAUGAAGACAUUGGUUUUCUAUAUCUUCAAUGGCAUCAGCUUCAAUGCUCAAGACUUCUUCAUCAGGCAAUUGGCUGCAUCUGGCUCCGAUAUAUUUGGUCUGAAGUUCUAUGCUCCAUGGGUAAUGCGCCUCGUCAAGCUUCACUCCUCGGUCAACUAUCAGCCCCCUGCGCAAUCAUCUCGUCUUCCUGCCAGAGCUUGAUCUGUCUAUCGAAGCCAUAUACCCAGAGCAUGCCAAGGAGCCAAUGUAUCUUCACAAUGUCGAUCGUCAAAGCUUCACUCAACCCAUAGAAGGAGUUCUUGCUGACUCUCGUGUUUAUCCUUUGGCUGGAAAUACAUGUGCCCCUCGUGCCCAUACUGAAGCCACUGAAAGCACAAUUACCCAAAGGCCUCGGAAGCGAUCUCGUGUUCUUAAUGACCGAGAGCUUCUCAUCGCCCUGCAUCAAAAACAGGAUAAGCAUCAUGACUGGCUCAAGCGUCAGAUGCAUAGUCUCUUGGUGGAUGUCAAUCGCAUUCGCAACCUGAUGACCCACAAUUAUAGGGGAUCUAUUGUAGUCCUUUCAAUAAGUAAGAGUGUCGAACCCAACGAGGAGCAGAAGGAAAUGAUAAGCGGUUUUCAGCAAGGUAUUCCCUGCAAGCACUGAAAUUAUAGGUAACCGAUAGUUUUGUGACAAGAUAAUUGGUAACGAGCAACAAGUAACAAAAGUAAAAAAAGUGCAGCAAGGUGGCCCAAUCCUUUUUGCAGCAAAGGACAAGCCUGGACAAAUUCUUAUAAAGAGAAAAGCGCUCCCGAGGACACAUGGGAAUAUCGUCAAGCUAGUUUUCAUCACGUUCAUAUGAUUCACAUUUGGUACUUUGAUAAUUUGGUAUGUGGGUGGACUGGUGCUUGGGUGCUGUCCUUACUUGGACAAGCAUCCCACUUAUGAUUAACCUCUAUUGCAAGCAUCCGCAACUACAACAAAAGUAUUAAGGUAAACCUAACCAUAGCAUGAAACAUAUGGAUCCAAAUCAGCCCCUUACGAAGCAACGCAUAAGCUAGGGUUUAAGCUUCUGCCACUCUAGCAACCCAUCAUCUACUUAUUACUUCCCAAUGCCUUCCUCUAGGCCCAAAUAAUGGUGAAGUGUCAUGUAGUCGACGUUCACAUAACACCACUAGAGGAGAGACAACAUACAUCUCAUCAAAAUAUCGAACGAAUACCAAAUUCACAUGACUACUAAUAGCAAGACUUCUCCCAUGUCCUCAGGAACAAAUGUAACUACUCACAAAGCAUAUUCAUGUUCAUAAUCAAAGGGGUAUUAAUGUGCAUAUAGGAUCUGAACAUAUGAUCUUCCACCAAAUAAACCAACUAGCAUCAACUACAAGGAGUAGUUAACACUACUAGCAACCCACAGGUACCAAUCCCAGGCUUAGAGACAAGAAUUGGAUACAAGAGAUGAGCUAGGGUUUGAGAGGAGAUGGUGCUGGUGAAGAUGUUGAUGGAGAUUGAACCCCUCCCGAUGAGAGGAUCGUUCGUGAUGACGAUGGCGAUGAUUUCCCCCUCCCGGAGGGAAGUUUCCCUGGCAGAACAGCUCCGCUAGAGCCCUAGAUUGGUUCCGCCAAGGUUCCUCCUCGUGGCGGCAGAGUCUCGUCCGGAAAGAUGGCUUAUGAUUUUUUCCUCAUCGAAAGACUCCAUAUAGCAGAAGAUGGACAUCGAAGGGCCACCAGGGGGCCCACGAGGCAGGGGGUGAUACGUACAUUUUGCAUCAUGCUUUUAUAUCGAUAUUUAUUGCAUUAUGGGCUGUUAUUACACAUUAUGUCACAAUACUUAUGCCUAUUCUCUCUUAUUUUACAAGGUUUACAUAAAGAGGGAGAAUGCCGGCAGCUGGGAUUCUGGGCUAGAAAAGGAGCAAAUAUUAGAGACCUAUUCUGCACAGCUCCAGAAGUCCUGAAACUUCACGGAAGACGUUUUCAGAAUAUAUAAAAAAUAUUGAGCGCAAGAAGUUCACCAGGGGGGCCACACCCUGCCCACGAGGGUGGGGGGCGCGCCCUACCCCCUGGGCGUGCCCUCCUACCUCGUGGGCCCCCUGGUGGUCCUCCGAUGGCCAUCUUCUGCUAUAUGGAGUCUUUCGAUGAAGAAACAAAUCAUAAGCCAUCUCCUCAGACGAAACUCCGCCGCCACGAGGCAGAACCUUGGCGGAUCCAAUCUAGGGCUCCGACAGAGCUGUUCUGCCGGGGAAACUUCCUUCCGGGUGGGGGAAACCAUCGCCAUCGUCAUCACCAAUGCUCCUCUCAUCGGGAGAGGGCAAUCUCCAUCAACAUCUUCACCAACACCAUCUCCUCUCAAAACCCUAGUUCAUCUCUUGUAUCCAAUUCUUGUCUCCAAGUCCGGGAUUGGUACUAGUAGGUUGCUAGUAGUGUUAAUUAAUCCUUGUAGUUGAUGCUAGUUGGUUUAUUCGGUGGAAGAUCAUAUGUUCAGAUCCUAUAUGCAUAUUAAUACCCCUCUGAUUAUGAACAUGAAUAUGCUUUGUGAGUAGUUACGUUUGUUCCUGAGGACAUGGGAGAAGUCUUGCUAUCAGUAGUCAUGUGAAUUUGGUAUUCAUUCGAUAUUUUGAUGAGAUGUAUGUUGUCUCUCCUCUAGUGGUGUUAUGUGAACAUCGACUACAUAACACUUCACCAUUAUUUGGGCCUAGAGGAAGGCAUUGGGAAGUAAUAAGUAGAUGAUGGGUUGCUAGAGUGACAGAAGCUUAAACCCUAGUUUAUGCGUUGCUUCGUAAGGGGCUGAUUUGGAUCCAUAUGUUUCAUGCCAUGGUUAGGUUUACCUUAAUACUUUUGUUGUAGUUGCGGAUGCUUGCAAUAGAGGUUAAUCAUAAGUGGGAUGCUUGUCCAAGUAAGGACAGUACCCAAGCACCGGUCCACCCACAUACCAAAUUAUCAAAGUACCCAACACGAAUCAUAUGAACGUGAUGAAAACUGGCUUGACGAUAAUUCCCAUGUGUCCUCGGGAGCGCUUUGUAACACCCCGGAUGUAACUUUCCCUAUUUGUACUCCAACUCUUGCCGUUUCUGGUGUUAAGUUAUAUUUAUUUCCUCGGGUUCGGGUCUUUGUCUCCGUGUGUUGUUGUCUUUGUCAUGCAUCUCAUAUCAUGUCAUCAUGUGCAUUGCAUUUGCAUACGUGUUCGUCUCAUGCAUUCGAGCAUUUUUCCCGUUGUCCGUUUUGCAUUCCGGCGCUUCGUUCUCCUCCGGUGGUAAUUUCUAGCUUUCUUUCGUGUGUGGGGAUUAAGCAUUUCCGAAUUGGACCGAGACUUGCCAAGCGGCCUUGGUUUACUACCGGUAGACCGCCUGUCAAGUUUCGUACCAUUUGGACGUCGUUUGAUACUCCAACGGUUAACCGAGGGACCGAAAAGGCCUUGUGUGUGUUGCAGCCCAACACCCCUCCAAUUUGGCCCAAAACCCACCAAACUCUGCUCCAUGUCCUAGAGCGUUCGAUCACGAUCGCGUGGCCGAAAACCGCACCUCAUUUGGACUCUCCUAGCUCCCUCUAUGCCUAUAUAUACCUCCCCCUUCUAAAAAAAAUCCCGGAUCCCCUCUCCCCGAAACCCUAAAUCUCAGAUCCGCCGGCGCCGGACACAUCCGUCCGACCCAGCCGCCAGCCGCCACGUGUCCCUUGCGGGACCGCUUCGCCGCUGCCGCCGCUGAGGCCCGCCGAGCCCAGGGCGGGCCCCCGCNNNNNNNNNNNNNNNNNNNNNNNNNNNNNNNNNNNNNNNNNNNNNNNNNNNNNNNNNNNNNNNNNNNNNNNNNNNNNNNNNNNNNNNNNNNNNNNNNNNNNNNNNNNNNNNNNNNNNNNNNNNNNNNNNNNNNNNNNNNNNNNNNNNNNNNNNNNNNNNNNNNNNNNNNNNNNNNNNNNNNNNNNNNNNNNNNNNNNNNNNNNNNNNNNNNNNNNNNNNNNNNNNNNNNNNNNNNNNNNNNNNNNNNNNNNNNNNNNNNNNNNNNNNNNNNNNNNNNNNNNNNNNNNNNNNNNNNNNNNNNNNNNNNNNNNNNNNNNNNNNNNNNNNNNNNNNNNNNNNNNNNNNNNNNNNNNNNNNNNNNNNNNNNNNNNNNNNNNNNNNAUCCUCCUCCUCGCCGGCUCCCCGCUCCGGUGCCACCCCGGCGACCCCGAGCCCCGGCCGGUCCUCCCUCCUCCUCCGGCGAGAAGCUCCGGAGAGAGCCCGGCCACCUCGGUUCGCGCGCCGCCCCGAUCCAGAUCUGUUUUCAGGGUUGACCUAAUUUUUUUUCACCAAGUCCCGGAUAUUUUUAGUUCAUAUGCCCCUGUUCGCGGCCUCAUAACUUUGCAUCCGUAGCUCCGAUUUGGGCAUAUAGCAUAUCAAAAUGUUCAUCUCAGAGAGUACAUCAUUUCAUUCCAUUGCAUCAUUUUCAUUUGAGCUCAUCUUGAUGCCCGAAAUGCUGUUAGAAGAGGGCUACUUGAGUUAAUUGUCGGAUCUGUUACUCCGUUUAGCACUUUUGUCAUUUUUGCCAUGAUUAAUGUGUGCAUGAUAUGCCCGUGAGUUCUUCAUAUGUUUUGUUAAGGGUUUUGUCAUCUUUCUAGAGGUGCAACCCAUGUAUUUUUAGGAUGUGUGUGGUGACUUGUGCAAGCUUGCAAAGUGGUGCACUUGCUAAUUCUGUUUUCAGGGACUUAGUAGUUUCACUAAGUCCUGGGAUUGUUUAUCUCACGAUGCCAUAUGUUCAUGUUGUUUCCUAGUUAUCCGUGCCUCUUUUGAUGAUGAUCAGUAAGGGAGUUUUGUUAAUAUUGUAGUACUAUAUCCAUCCAUGUAUUUGUUUGCAUUUAUGGAGCACCCUAGCUUGAGUCAAUCGAGCUUUACUUUUGCUUCAUUGCGAAUCUGGGCAGAUCGUCAACUUGUUUGCGAUUUUGCCGAUGUUAUUGUAGUUGAUCCGUGCAUGCUAUGCCAUUGUUCUUGCCAUGCCGAGCUUGAAUUUUGUGCCUUCUUAAGGGAUGUAUGCUUGUAUUGCCAUGACUUGCACCGUGGUGAGUGCAUCAAGCUCGUAAACAUGCCUUUGUGAGUUAUGUUUCAGCAUGUCCCAGUUUUCACUAAGUCUAAAAACUGAUUAUGUUUUUGCUAUGUUCGUGUGCUUGUUACUAUAUUUCGUGAUCCCUUUUGGCUCAAGGUCACUAAGGGACUUUUGUUAAGCUUGUUGAGUAGCUCCAUGCAAUGUCUUUCUUUGUCAUGUUCAGGUCCUGUAGCAUGUUGUUUUGUUGCUCCGAGGAGGGCUAUAUGAUCUGAAAUUCCACACAAGUGUUAAUCUCACUAAGUCUGAGAUCUGUUUGCCAUUUGCGUUUUUGCCAUGCUUGUUUGUACCUGUUAGUGGAUGAUUUGGCCGUAGCUCAAUGCUAGACUUUUGUUAAGCAUCUUGAAUGCUUCCCUGCCAUGUAUUUUGUUGUCAUGUUUGGUGGCUGUAGCAUGUUCAUUCCGUUGCAUUUAGACGCCUACUUGCUGUAAAUCGCAGACCGGUGUCAUAUUUGAAUCGCUUGCCAUUUCCAAACCGUAACUCCGAUUUCGGCGUUCUUUAUAUCGUUUUCAAGCGAUUUCAUCUCAUCUUUCUAGUGGCACACUUGGAAUUCCAAGUUGAGGCCAGGUUCAUGCAUUUCCUGUCAUAUCUUGCAUUUUGCAUCCCGCAUCGCAUCCCGCAUAGCAUAUCAUCUUUGCAUCGUGUUGUUUGAGUUUGCAUGUGGUUGAUUGUAUCCUUGUUGCUUGUUUGUCUUGUUUGGGUAGAGCCGGGAGACGAGUUCGCUAACUAGGAGCCCUUUGAGUUUGCUUUUGAGGAUCCAGUCAACUCUGACAACUGUGCAGGCAAGAUGAACAUACCCUCGAAAUCACUACUAUCUUUGCUAUGCUAGUUUGCUCGCUCUUUUGCUAUGCCACUGCUACGAUGCCUACCACUUUCUUGCAAGCCUCCCAAAUUGCCAUGUUAAACCUCUAACCCACCAUUGUCCUAGCAAACCGUUGAUUGGCUAUGUUACCGCUUUGCUCAGCCCCUCUUAUAGCGUUGCUAGUUGCAGGUGAAGAUUGGAGGCCGUUCCUUCUUGGAACAUCUUUUAUUUAAUUGUUGGGAUAUCAUUAUAUUGCUAUGUUAUCUUAAAUGCAUCUAUAUACUUGGUAAAGGGUGGAAGGCUCGGCCUCUCGCCUAGUGUUUUGUUCCACUCUUGCCGCCCUAGUUUCCGUCAUAUCGGUGUUAUGUUCCCGGAUUUUGCAUUCCUUACGCGGUUGGGUUAUAAUGGGAACCCCUUGAUAGCUCGCCUUGAUUAAAGCUUUUCCAGCAAUGCCCAACCUUGGUCUUACCAUUUGCCACCUAGCCUCUUUUCCCUCGGGUUUCCGGAGCCCGAGGUUCAACUUAUUUAAACCCCCCCCGGGGCCAGUGCUCCUCUGAGUGUUGGUCCGACCGAGUAGACUGCGGGGCCACCUCGGGGCAACUUGAGGGUUGGUUUUACUCGUAGGAUGUCUCAUCUGAGUGUGCCCUAAGAAAGAGAUAUGUGCAGCUCCUAUCGGGAUUUGUAGGCACAUUCGGGCGGUGUUGCUGGUCUUGUUUUAACCUGUCGAAGUGUCUUGAGUUACCGAGAUACCGAGCCUGAUCGGAACGUCUUGGGAGGAGGUCUAUUCCUUCGUUGACCGUGAGAGCUUGUCAUGGGCUAAGUUGGAACUCCUCUGCAUGGAUUGAACUUUCGAAAGCCGUGCCCGCGGUUAUGGGCAGAUGGGAAUUUGUUAAUGUCCGGUUGUAGAUAACUUGAACCUUAAUUCAAUUAAAAUGAAUCAACUGAGUGUGUUACCGUGAUGGCCUCUUCUCGGCGGAGUCCGGGAAGUGGACACGGUGUUGGAGUAAUGUUUGCGCAGGUUGUUCUCUAGCUUCUCGCUCGUGCUUUGCCUCCUCUUCUCGCUCUCUUUUGCGAAUAAGUUAGCCACCAUACUUGCUAGUCGCUUGCUGCAGCUCCACUCAUAUUUUACCUUGCCUUACCUAUAAGCUUAAAUAGUCUUGAUCGCGAGGGUGCGAGAUUGCUGAGUCCCCGUGGCUCACAGAUUACUAUUACACCAGAUGCAGGGCCUGAUGAUUCCGCUUCAGGAGACGCGUAUGAGAUCAAGUGGGAGUUCGACGAAGACUCUCAACGAUACUAUGUUUCCUUUCCCGAUGAUUAGUAGUGGUGCCCAGUUGGGGGUGAUUGGGACCGUUGUCGCAUGUUGGGUUCUCUUUAUUUUGGCGCCAUAGUCGGGCCAUGAGUGUUUUGGAUGAUGUAAUGUUAUUAUGUACUUGAUUGACAUGGCGAGUGUAAGCCAACUAUGUUAUCUCCCUUUUUAUUAUCAUAUUACAUGAAUGUUGUGAAGAUUGCCUAACUUGCGACAUAUGCCUUCAAUGCGAUUAUAUCUCUAAGUCGUGCCUCGACAUGUGGGAGCUAUAGUCGCAUCGAGGGUGUUACAAGUUGGUAUCAGAGCCUUUCCUGACCUUAGGAGCCCCAUUGCUUGAUCAUUUUUAGCGGCCGAGUUGUGUCUAAAAAAAUGUUUUGAGUCUUUUAGGAAUUAUAUAUCGGAGAGAUUAGCAAUUCUUUUUACUUCCCAGUCUCCUCAUCGCUCUGGUAAGGCAUCCUCACGUAGAGUUUUGACUCUUCUCUUCUCAAAUUUCACAAAAAAAAAAUUAGGAUCACGCGGGUAUCUUGGAAUCGUUCCGAUGGUUUUAUGAUGAGAACAUUGUCUUGGUGCCUCCUGUCAGGGGUUUAGUGGAAGUGUCCCGGGGAGUUGAGCUCUGAGGUGUUGUCAUCAUAAUUUUAUCGUUGCAGUUCUGGAAUACCUGAGUUUAGUACGCCGACAUCGAAAAUCUCUUUUAUGAAGUUCAUUGGUGAGAUAACCUCGACGCCACCCAGUACUGGGGCGGGAGUUCGGGAGUAUCACCAUAACUUGUAUAACGGAUGCUUUUCGAAGGUUGAGGUAGAUGGUUUCCGAAGGUUUCUUGGUUAUGUGUUGAAGGAUGGAUACAGCUGGAUGUAGGAUUUGCUAGUUUGGGUGAGAUAUUAUGCUUCCCUUGUAUCCCCAACACCUGAUUGCAUAACCGGAAAGGUUCGGGAGUUUCAUUGGUGGGAAUUCUAGUAGCUCUAGUUCUUCUUCCAUGGAUAUUGGUUUGAGAUUGGGAUUUCUUACCGAUUAUUCGUUCUUGUUCCAUACCUUAUUGGUUUAUUUCUCUCCCUUAUUUCUACGUGGCUUCUCAAUUUAUGGAUAUGUGACCAUUUCAAGAGGAAUGCAUUCGUUCAUUUUGUUCGGAUGUGAAGACUAUAUGUUGCAAUUUUCAUUCCGUUGGAUUCAACUUCAAUAUUUUAUCUAUCAAUGUGCUAAUGGUGGUCACCCUCUGCAGGAUGGCUCCUCCAACGCGCACGACUCCGAAUCCUGAUCCGCCACCACCUCCACCUCCUCCAGAGGCAUGGCAAGCUGUGAUGGCCGCAACCAAUGCAAACACACAACUGAUCAUGCAAAUUCUCCAAGAGCGCAAUCAAGGCAGUCAAGGGAAUCAAGGAAGCAAUCAGAGUCACUUUGCUACACUCAACCAGUUCCUUGCAAAUGGGCCAAAGACUUUCAGCAAUUGUGUUGAGGCAACCGAUGCUGACGAUUGGCUUGUGGAUCUGUGCAAGCAUUUCGAGUGCAGUAAUGUCAGGACUAAGGACUUUGUUAAGUUCGCUUCCUUCCAACUCAAAGAUCAAGCUGCAAAAUGGUUCCAGCAGUACAAGGACUCCAGAGGUGGACGUGUUAUCACUUGGGAUGAUUUCCGUCGAGAUUUCCGAGCUCAUCAUAUUCCGCAGAGCGUGGUUGAAAGCAAGCGUGAGGAAUUCCGCAAUCUGAAGCAAGGCUCUUUGUCUGUCUAUGACUACAGCAAGUUGUUCCAGAAGCUCGCCCGCUUUGCCAAGCAGGACGUCCCUGAUGAGAAGAGCAUGAUAUAUCAGUUCAGGGGUGGUCUCAGAGAACAAAUUCAGCUCGCUCUUGUUCUCUUUGAGCCCUUGAGGUACGAUGAGUUCUACAACAUGGCACUGAAGCAAGAGGCUGCUCGGUUGAGGUGUGAUGCUUCCAAGAAGCGAGUCAGAGAUGUUAAUCCUUCUUCCUCUACUCAAGUGGCCAAGCAGCAGAAGUUUUGGCUUCCUCCUCCUCCGUUCCGUCAGCCGUAUCAGCACAAGAGCAAAGGUGGUAGUGGUUCUUCCCACCCACCCAACCCUGGCUUUCAGAACAAGACUUCGUCUCAAGCUCCAAGAUCGAGUGCUCCGUAUCACCGUCCGCUUUCAGAGGUCACAUGCAACAAGUGCCAACAGAAGGGUCACUAUGCCAACAAGUGUCUCAACAGAGGUGUCUUCCUCCUCCUCCUCCUCCUGUCAGAUCGACAAGUACAGUUGUGGUCAAGCAUAACCCCAAGCAUGCCAAGGUCAAUUUGAUGAAUGCAGCUCAGGCAGAGGACUCGUCAGAUGUGAUAAUGGGUAACCUUCUUGUUAAUGAUGUUCCUGCAAAAGUUCUUUUUGACACUAGUGCAUCGCAUUCCUUUUUGUCAUGCCCUUUUACAUCGAAGCACAAUGUUGAUACCGAGAUUAUGCCCAAAGUCAUGCAAGUUGUUUCUCCCGGCAAGCUUUUGACUUCUAGUUUGGUUGCUCCCGAUAUCUCUAUCACAUUGGGUGAUUACAAGUUUCUCUCUUCUCCGGUGGUUCUUGGUAACUCGGAUAUUGAUCUUAUUCUCGAAAUGGAUUGGCUUUCUAAGCACAAGGCUCAGCUUGAUUGUGCAGCCAGGAAGAUUCAAUUGACUCAUUCGUCUGAGGAUGUAAUUGUCUUUGCCGCUCCUGAUGAUACUAUCCGUCUAUUUUCUCUCAAUGAGAAGGGUGAAUUGGAUGCUAUCUCUCAAAUUCCAGUCGUUUGCGAAUAUCAAGACGUCUUUCCAGAAGAGCUCCCAGGAAUGCCUCCGCACCGGCCAGUUGAAUUCGUUAGUGAUCUUGAGCCUGGCACGGAACCUAUGUGCAAACGUCCUUACAAGCUCGGACCUGAAGAGUUGAAGGAGCUGAAGAAGCAACUCGAUAUGCAAGAGAAAAUGGGUCUCAUCCGGCCUAGUUCUUCUCCGUGGGGUUGUGGUGUUCUUUUUGUGAAGAAGAAGGAUGGGACGGACCGACUUUGUGUUGAUUACCGUCCAGUGAACAAGAAGACCAUCAAGAACAAAUACCCACUUCCCAACAUCAAUGAGAAGUUUUGGGAUUCUUUCCAGAAGGCCAUGUGCACAAACAUCCGCUUCAGCACAGCUUUCCAUCCUCAAACAAGCGGUCAAGUUGAGCGUGUCAACCAGAUUCUUGAAGAUAUGCUCAGGGCUUGUGUGAUCUCCUUCGGCAUGAAGUGGGAGGAUUGUCUUCCUUAUGCUGAAUUCUCCUACAACAACAGUUUUCAAGCAAGUUCGGGCAAGGCCCCUUUUGAAAUUCUUUAUGGCAGGAAGUGCCGUACCCCUCUCAACUGGUCUGAAACCGGUGAACGUCAGCUUUUGGGUAAUGACUUAAUCACGGAGGUAGAAGAAACGUGCAAAGUCAUUUGUGAUAACCUCAAAGCAGCCCAAUCCCGUCAGAAGAGCUACUAUGAUAGUAAGCACCGUGAUUUGGCUUUCGAGAUCGGAGAUCAUGUUUACCUCCGUGUCUCUCCUAUAAAAGGUACUCGUCGCUUCGGUAUCAAAGGGAAGCUUGCCCCUAGAUACGUGGGACCUUUCAAGAUUGUCAGCAAGAGAGGCGACCUCGCCUAUCAACUCGAGCUUCCUUCAAACUUUGCAAAUGUUCAUGACGUGUUCCAUGUCUCUCAGCUUCGAAAGUGCUUCAAGACUCCUGACCGCACCGUCAACUUCGAGGACAUUGAGCUCCAAGAAGAUCUCUCUUAUCGUGAGCACCCAGUUGCUAUUCUUGAAGAGACUGAACGCAAGACUCGCAACAAGUCAAUCAAAUUUCUCAAAGUCAAGUGUUCACACCAUUCCGACCGUGAAGCUACCUGGGAACGCGAGGAUCACCUCCGUUCUGAGUACUCGGCGUUCUAUCAGUCCUAGAUGUCGGGACGAGACCCUUUCGUAGUGGUGGAGUGUUGUAACACCCCGGAUGUAACUUUCCCUAUUUGUACUCCAAAUCUUGUCGUUUCCGGCGUUAAGUUAUAUUUAUUUCCUCGGGUUCGGGUCUUUGUCUCCAUGUGUUGUUGUCUUUGUCAUGCAUCUCAUAUCAUGUCAUCAUGUGCAUUGCAUUUGCAUAUGUGUUCGUCUCAUGCAUUCGAGCAUUUUUCCCGUUGUCCGUUUUGCAUUCCGGCGCUUCGUUCUCCUCCGGUGGUCAUUUCUAGCUUUCUUUCGUGUGUGGGGAUUAAGCAUUUCUGGAUUGGACCGAGACUUGCCAAGCGGCCUUGGUUUACUACCGGUAGACCGCCUGUCAAGUUUCGUACCAUUUGGACGUCGUUUGAUACUCCAACGGUUAACCGAGGGACCAAAAAGGCCUCGUGUGUGUUGCAGCCCAAAACCCCUCCAAUUUGGCCCAAAACCCACCAAACUCUGCUCCAUGUCCUAGAGUGUUCGAUCACGAUCGCGUGGCCGAAAACCGCACCUCAUUUGGACUCUCCUAGCUCCCUCUAUGCCUAUAUAUACCUCCCCCUUCUAAAAAAAAUACCGGAUCCCCUCUCCCCGAAACCCUAAAUCUCAGAUCCGCCGCCGCCGGACAUGUCCGACGGCACCGGACACGUCCGUCCGACCCAGCCGCCAGCCGCCACGUGUCCCUUGCGGGACCACUUCGCCGCCGCCGCUGCUGAGGCCCGCCGAGCCCAGCGCGNNNNNNNNNNNNNNNNNNNNNNNNNNNNNNNNNNNNNNNNNNNNNNNNNNNNNNNNNNNNNNNNNNNNNNNNNNNNNNNNNNNNNNNNNNNNNNNNNNNNNNNNNNNNNNNNNNNNNNNNNNNNNNNNNNNNNNNNNNNNNNNNNNNNNNNNNNNNNNNNNNNNNNNNNNNNNNNNNNNNNNNNNNNNNNNNNNNNNNNNNNNNNNNNNNNNNNNNNNNNNNNNNNNNNNNNNNNNNNNNNNNNNNNNNNNNNNNNNNNNNNNNNNNNNNNNNNNNNNNNNNNNNNNNNNNNNNNNNNNNNNNNNNNNNNNNNNNNNNNNNNNNNNNNNNNNNNNNNNNNNNNNNNNNNNNNNNNNNNNNNNNNNNNNNNNNNNNNNNNNNNNNNNNNNNNNNNNNNNNNNNNNNNNNNNNNNNNNNNNNNNNNNNNNNNNNNNNNNNNNNNNNNNNNNNNNNNNNNNNNNNNNNNNNNNNNNNNNNNNNNNNNNNNNNNNNNNNNNNNNNNNNNNNNCGCAGCUGCCACCUCGCCGGCGCGAGCCAGCCGCCGCCCGUGCUCGCCGCCACCGGUCCCCGCGCCGCCCAGCUCCAUCCUCCUCCUCGCCGGCUCCCUGCUCCAGCGCCACCUCGGCGACCCCGAGCCCCGGCCGGUCCUCCCUCCCCCACCGGCGAGAAGCUCCGGCGAGAGCCCGGCCACCUCGGUUCGCGCGCCGCCCGGUCCAGAUCUGUUUUCAGGGUUGACCUAAUUUUUUUUCACCAAGUCCCGGAUAUUUUUAGUUCAUAUGCCCCUGUUCGCGGCCUCGUAACUGUGCAUCUGUAGCUCCGAUUUGGGCAUAUAGCAUACCAAAAUGUUCACCUCAGAGAGUACAUCAUUUCAUUCCAUUGCAUCAUUUUCAUUUGAGCUCAUCUUGGUGCCCGAAAUGCUGUUAGAAGAGGGCUACUUGAGUUAAUUGUCGGAUCUGUUUCUCCGUUUAGCACUUUUGUCAUUUUUGCCAUGAUUAAUGUGUGCAUGAUAUGCCCGUGAGUUCUUCAUAUGUUUUGUUAAGGGUUUUGUCAUCUUUCCAGAGGUGCAACCCACGUAUUUUUAGGAUGUGUGUGGUGACUUGUGCAAGCUUGCAAAGUGGUGCACUUGCUAAUUCUGUUUUCAGGGACUUAGUAGUUUCACUAAGUCCUGGGAUUGUUUAUCUCACGAUGCCAUAUGUUCAUGUUGUUUCCUAGUGAUCCGUGCCUCUUUUGAGGAUGAUCAGUAAGGGAGUUUUGUUAAUAUUGUAGUGCUCUAUCCAUUCCCGUCUUUGUUUGCAAUUAUGGAGCACCCUAGCUUGAGUCAAUCGAGCUCUACUUUUGCUUCGUUGCGAAUCUGGGCAGAUCGUCAACUUGUUUGCGAUUUUGCCAAUGUUAUUGUAGUUGAUCCGUGCAUGCUAUGCCAUUGUUCUUGCCAUGUAGAGCUUGAAUUUUGUGCAUUCUUAAGGGAUGUAUGCUUGUCUUGCCAUGACUUGCACCGUGGUGAGUGCAUCGAGCUCGUAAACAUGCCUUCGUGAGUUAUGUUUCAGCAUGUCCCAGUUUUCACCAAGUCUGAAAACUGAUUAUGUUUUUGCUAUGUUCGUGUGCUUGUUACUAUAUUUUGUGAUCCCUUUUGGCUCAAGGUCACUAAGGGACUUUUGUUAAGCUUGUUGAGUAGCUCCAUGCAAUGUCUUUCUUUGUCAUGUUCAGGUCCUGUAGCAUGUUGUUUUGUUGCUCCGAAGAGGGCUAUAUGAUCUGAAAUUCCAGACAAGUGUUAAUCUCACUAAGUCUGAGAUCUGUUUGCCAUUUGCGUUUUUGCCAUGCUUGUUUGAACCUGUUAAUGGAUGAUUUGGCCGUAGCUCAGUGCUAGACUUUUGUUAAGCAUCUUGAAUGCUUCCCUGCCAUGUAUUUUGUUGUCAUGUUUGGUGGCUGUAGCAUGUUCAUUCCGUUGCAUUUAGACGCCUACUUGCUGUAAAUCGCAGACCGGUGUCAUAUUUGAAUCGCUUGCCAUUUCCAAACCGUAACUCCGAUUUCGGCGUUCUUUAUAUCGUUUUCAAGCGAUUUCAUCUCAUAUUUCCAGUGGCACACUUGGAAUUCCAAGUUGAGGCCAGGUUCAUACAUUUCCUGUCAUAUCUUGCAUUUUGCAUCCCGCAUCGCAUCCCGCAUAGCAUAUCAUCUUUGCAUCGUGUUGUUUGAGUUUGCACGUGGUUGAUUGUAUCCUUGUUGCUUGUUUGUCUUGUUUGGGUAGAUCCGGGAGACGAGUUCGCUAAGAGGAGCCCUUUGAGUUUGCUUUCGAGGAUCCAGUCAACUCUGGCAACUGUGCAGGCAAGAUGAACAUACCCUCGAAAUCACUACUAUCUUUGCUAUGCUAGUUUGCUCGCUCUUUUGCUAUGCCACUGCUACGAUGCCUACCGCUUUCUUGCAAUCCUCCCAACUUGCCAUGUCAAACCUCUAACCCACCAUUGUCCUAGCAAACCGUUGAUUGGCUAUGUUACCGCUUUGCUCAGCCCCUCUUAUAGCGUUGCUAGUUGCAGGUGAAGAUUGGAGGCCGUUCCUUCUUGGAACAUAUUUUAUUUAAUUGUUGGGAUAUCAUUAUAUUGCUAUGUUAUCUUAAAUGCAUCUAUAUACUUGGUAAAGGGUGGAAGGCUCGGCCUCUCGCCUAGUGUUUUGUUCCACUCUUGCCGCCCUAGUUUCCGUCAUAUCGGUGUUAUGUUCCCGGAUUUUGCGUUCCUUACGCGGUUGGGUUAUAAUGGGAACCCCUUGAUAGUUCGCCUUGAUUAAAGCUUUUCCAGCAAUGCCCAACCUUGGUCUUACCAUUUGCCACCUAGCCUCUUUUCCCUCGGGUUUCCAGAGCCCGCGGUUCAUCUUAUUUAACCCCCCCCCCCCCGGGCCAGUGCUCCUCUGAGUGUUGGUCUGACCGAGUAGACUGCGGGGACACCUCGGGGCAACUUGAGGGUUGGUUUUACUCGUAGGAUGUAUCAUCUGAGUGUGCCCUGAGAAAGAGAUAUGUGAAGCUCCUAUCGGGAUUUGUCGGCACAUUCGGGCGGUGUUGCUGGUCUUGUUUUAACCUGUCGAAGUGUCUUGAGUUACCGAGAUACCGAGCCUGAUCGGAACGUCUUGGGAGGAGGUCUAUUCCUUCGUUGACCGUGAGAGCUUGUCAUGGGCUAAGUUGGGACUCCUCUGUAGGGAUUGAACUUUCGAAAGCCGUGCCCGCGGUUAUGGGCAGAUGGGAAUUUGUUAAUGUCCGGUUGUAGAUAACUUGAACCUUAAUUCAAUUAAAAUGAAUCAACUGAGUGUGUUACCGUGAUGGCCUCUUCUUGGCGGAGUCCGGGAAGUGGACACGGUGUUGGAGUAAUGUUUGCGCAGGUUGUUCUCUAGCUUCUCGCUCGUGCUUUGCCUCCUCUUCUCGCUCUCUUUUGCGAAUAAGUUAGCCACCAUACUUGCUAGUCGCUUGCUGCAGCUCCACUCAUAUUUUACCUUUCCUUACCUAUAAGCUUAAAUAGUCUUGAUCGCGAGGGUGCGAGAUUGCUGAGUCCCCGUGGCUCACAGAUUACUAUUACACCAGAUGCAGGGCCUGAUGAUUCCGCUUCAGGAGACGCGUAUGAGCUCAAGUGGGAGUUCGACGAAGACUCUCAACGAUACUAUGUUUCCUUUCCCGAUGAUCAGUAGUGGUGCCCAGUUGGGGAUGAUUGGGACCGUUGUCGCAUGUUAGGUUAUCUUUAUUUUGGCGCCGUAGUCGGGCCAUGAGUGUUUUGGAUGAUGUAAUGUUAUUUAUGUACUUGAUUGACGUGGCGAGUGUAAGCCAACUAUGUUAUCUCCCUUUUUAUUAUCAUAUUACAUGGGAUGUUGUGAAGAUUGCCUAACUUGCGACAUAUGCCUUCAAUGCGAUUAUAUCUCUAAGUCGUGCCUCGACACGUGGGAGCUAUAGUCGCAUCGAGGGUGUUACACGCUUUUCUCUGUAUAAGAGUUUGUCCAGGCUUGUCCUUUGCUACAAAAAGGAUUGGGCCAUCUUGCUGCACUUUAUUUACUUUUGUUACUUGUUUCUCGUUACAAAUUAUCCUAUCACAAAACUAUCUGUUACCACUUAUUUCAGUACUUGCAGAGAAUACCUUGCUGGAAACCGCUUAUCAUUUCCUUCUGCUCCUUGUUGGGUUCGACACUCUUACUUAUCGAAAGGACUACGAUAGAUCGUCUAUACUUGUGGGUCAUCAAGACUCUUUUCUGGCGCUGUUGCCGGGGAGUGAAGCGCCUUUGGUAGGUGGAAUUUGGUAAGGAAAGUUUAUAUAGUGUGCUGAAAUUUACUGUCACUUGUUACUAUGGAAAGUAAUCCUCUGAGGGGCUUGUUCGGGGUAUCUUCACCCAGACCAGUAGACCAAAGAGUUUCUCCUCAACCUACUGAACCUACUGAAAAUGAAAAUGUCUGCUUUGAAAUCCCUUCGGGUAUGAUAGAAAAACUGCUAGCUAAUCCUUUUGCAAGAGAUGGAACAACGCAUCCUAAUGAGCACCUAAUAUAUGUGGAUGAAGUUUGUGGAUUAUUUAAGCUUGCAGGUGUACCCGGAGAUGUUAUUAAAAAGAAGGUCUUCCCUUUAUCUUUAAAGGAAGAUGCAUUGACAUGGUAUAGGCUAUGUGAUGAUACGGGGUCAUGGAACUACAAACGAUUGAAAUUGGAAUUUCAUCAGAAGUUUUAUCCUAUGCAUCUUGUUCAUUGUGAUCACAAUUAUAUAUAUAAUUUUUGGCCUCGCGAAGGAGAAAGCAUCGCUCAAGCUUGGGGGAGGCUUAAAUCAAUGUUAUAUUCAUGCCCCAAUCAUGAGCUCUCAAGAGAAAUGAUUAUUCAAAAUUUAUAUGCUCGGCUUUCUGAUAACAAUCGCACCAUGCUCGAUACUUCUUGUGCUGGCUAUUUUAUGACGAAGACUAUUGAAUUCAAAUGGGAUUUAUUGGAAAGAAUUAAAUGCAACUCUGAAGAUUGGGACCUCGACAAAGGUAAGGAGUCAGGUAUGACACCUAAGUUUGAUUGUGUUAAAUCUUUUAUGGAUACCGAUGUUUUCCGUAAAUUUAGCACUAAAUAUGGACUUGACUCUGAAAUAGUAGCUUCUUUCUGUGAAUCUUUUGCUACUCAUGUUGAUCUCCCUAGGGAGAAGUGGUUUAAAUAUCAUCCUCCCAUAGAAUUAAAAGUAGCUGCACCAAUUAAAGUUGAAGAAAAGACUAUCACUUAUAAUGAUCCUAUUCUUCCUACCGCUUAUGUUGAGAAACCACCUUUUCCUGUUAGGAUAAAAGAUCAUGCUAAAGCUUCAACUAUGGUUCAUAAAAGCAAUAUUAAAACUUAUACACCUCCUAAGCAAAUUAAAGUUUAACCUGAUAUUGCUAUGGUUAAAGAUAUCUUGUCUGAUAAUAUUGAUGGGUAUGUUAUUCAUUUCCUUGAUGAGACUGCUAGAAUUGCUAAACCUUGUGCAAAAGAUAAAAACAGACCUAUGGUAGGCAUGCAUGUUAUUUCUGUUAAAAUAGGAGAUCAUUGUUAUCAUAGCUUAUGUGAUAUGGGUGCUAGUGCUAGUGCAAUACCUUACGACUUAUACAAAGAAAUCAUGCAUGAUAUUGCACCUGCUGGGAUAGAAGAUAUUGAUGUCACAAUUAAACUUGCCAAUAGUGAUUCUAUUUCACCCAUGGGAAUUGUUAGAGAUGUUGAAGUCUUGUGUGGGAAAACUAAAUAUCCUGCUAAUUUUCUUGUUCUUGGUUCCCCACAAGAUAGCUUUUGUCCCAUUAUAUUUGGUAGACCCUUCUUGAACACUGUUAAUGCUAAGAUAGAUUGCAAAAAGGAUGUUUUUACUAUCGGUUUAGAUGAUAUGUAUCAUGAAUUUAAUUUCUCUAAAUUUAGUAGACAACACCGUGAAGAAGAAUUACCUGGUAAGGAUGAAAUUAUUGGUAUUGCUUCUAUUGUCGUACCUCAUAGUGAUCCUUUAGAACAAUAUUUGCUAGACCAUGAAAAUGAUAUGUUUAUGAAUGAAAGAAGGGAAAUAGAUGAAGUAUUCUUUAAACAGGAACCUAUUCUGAAACACAAUUUUCCUGUUGAAAUUCUAGGGGAUCCUCCUCCACCUAAGGGUGAUCCCGUGUUUGAGCUUAAAUCGUUGCUUGAUACUCUUAAAUAUGCUUAUCUUGAUGAGAAAACGAUAUAUCCUGUUAUUAUUAGUGUUAACCUUUCAGAGCAUGAGGAAGAGAGAUUAUUGAAAACUCUAAAGAAGCACUGUGCUGCUAUUGGGUAUACUCUUGAUGAUCUUAAGGGCAUUAGUCCCACUCUAUGUCAACAUAAAAUAAAUUUGGAAGAAGAUGUUAAACCAGUUCGUGAUCAUCAACGAUGGCUGAAUCCUAAAAUGAAAGAAGUUCUGAGAAAGGAAAUACUAAAGCUCCUUGAGGCAGGUAUAAUCUAUCCCAUUGCUGAUAGUCAGUGGGUAAGUCCUGUCCAUUGUGUCCCUAAGAAGGGAGGUAUUACUGUUGUUCCUAAUGAUAAAGAUGAAUUGAUUCCUCAAAGAACUAUUACAGGUUAUAGGAUGGUAACUGAUUUCCGCAAAUUAAAUAAGGCCACUAAAAAGGAUCAUUACCCCUUACUUUUUAUCGAUCAAAUGCUAGAAAGAUUAUCUAAACAUAAACAUUUUUGCUUUCUAGAUGGUUAUUCUGGUUUCUCUCAAAUACCUGUGUCAGCUAAGGAUCAAUCAAAGACUACUUUUACUUGCCCUUUUGGUACUUUUGCUUAUAGACGUAUGCCUUUUGGUUUAUGUAAUGCACCUGCUACCUUUCAAAGAUGCAUGAUGGCUAUAUUCUCUGACUUUUUUGAAAAGAUUUGUGAGGUUUUCAUGGACGAUUUCUCCGUAUAUGGAUCUUCUUUUGAUGAUUGCUUGAGCAACCUUGAUCAAGUUUUGCAGAGAUGUGAAGAAACUAGUCUUGUCUUGAAUUGGGAAAAGUGCCACUUUAUGGUUAAUGAGGGUAUUGUCUUGGGGCAUAAAGUUUCUGAAAGAGGUAUUGAAGUUGAUAAAGCCAAGGUUGAUGCUAUUGAAAAGAUGUCAUGCCCCAAGGACAUCAAAGGUAUAAGAAGUUUCCUUGGUCACGCCAGAUUUUAUAGGAGGUUCAUUAAGGACUUCUCAAAAAUUUCUCGGCCUCUGACUAAUUUAUUACAAAAAGAUAUACCAUUUGUCUUUGAUGAUGAUUGUGUAGAAGCAUUUGAAAUACUUAAGAAAGCAUUGAUCUCUGCACCUAUUGUUCAGCCACCUGAUUGGAAUUUACCCUUUGAAAUUAUGUGUGAUGCUAGUGAUUAUGCUGUAGGUGCUGUUCUAGGGCAAAGAGUUGAUAAGAAAUUACACGUUAUUCAAUAUGCUAGUAAAACCCUAGACAAUGCUCAAAGAAAUUAUGCUACUACUGAAAAAGAAUUCUAAGUAGUUGUAUUUGCUUGUGAUAAGUUCAGACCUUAUAUUGUUGAUUCUAAAGUAACUAUUCACACUGAUCAUGCUACUAUUAAAUAUCUUAUGGAAAAGAAAGAUGCUAAACCUAGACUUAUUAGAUGGGUUCUCUUGCUACAAGAAUUUGACUUACAUAUUGUUGAUAGAAAGGGAGAUGAGAACCCCGUUGCAGACAACUUGUCUAGGUUAGAAAAUGUGCUUGAUGACCCACUACCUAUUGAUGAUAGCUUUCCUGAUGAGCAAUUAAAUGUCAUAAAUGCUUUUCAUACUUCUCCAUGGUAUGAUUAUUAUGCUAAUUACAUUGUUGCCAAAUUCAUACCACCUAGUUUCACAUACCAGCAAAAGAAAAAGUUAUUCUAUGAUUUGAGGCAUUACUUUUGGGAUGACCCACAUCUUUAUAAAGAAGGAGCAGAUGGUGUUAUUAGACGUUGUGUACCUAAGCAUGAACAGGAACAGAUCUUACGCAAGUGUCACUCCGAAGCUUAUGGAGGACACCAUGCUGGAGAUAGAACUGCACAUAAGGUAUUGCAAUCAGGUUUUUAUUGGCCUACUCUCUUCAAAGAUGCCCGUAAGUUUGUCUUAUCUUGUGAUGAAUGUCAAAGAAUUGGUAAUAUUAGUAGACUUCAAGAAAUGCCUAUGAACUAUUCACUCGUUAUUGAACCAUUUGAUGUUUGGGUCUUUGACUAUAUGGGACCUUUUCCUGCCUCUAAUGGUUAUACACAUAUUUUAGUUGCUAUUGAUUACGUUACUAAGUGGGUAGAAGCUAUUCCAACUAGCAGUGCUGAUCAUAACACUUCUAUUAAAAUGCUUAAAGAAGUUAUUUUUCCAAGAUUUGGAGUCCCUAGAUAUUUAAUGACUAAUGGUGGUUCACAUUUUAUUCAUGGUGCUUUCCAUAAAAUGCUUGCUAAGUAUGAUAUUAAUCAUAGAAUUGCAUCUCCUUAUCACCCUAAGUCUAGUGGUCAAGUAGAAUUGAGUAAUAGAGAGAUCAAAUUAAUUUUGCAAAAGACUGUCAAUAGGUCUAGAAAGAAUUGGUCCAAGAAACUUGAUGAUGCAUUAUGGGCCUAUAAAACUGCACAUAGAAAUCCUAUGUGUAUGUCUCCGUAUAAAAUGGUUUAUGGAAAAGCAUGUCACUUACCUCUCGAACUAGAACACAAGGCAUAUUGGGCUAUUAAAGAGCUCAAUUAUGAUUUUAAACUUGCCGGUGAGAAGAGGUUAUUUGAUAUUAGCUCACUCGAUGAAUGGAGAACCCAAGCCUACGAAAAUGCCAAGUUGUUUAAAGAAAAAGUUAAAAGAUGGCAUGAUAAAAGGAUACAAAAGCGUGAGUUUAAUGUAGGUGAUUAUGUAUUGCUAUACAACUCUCUUUUAAGAUUUUUUGCAGGAAAACUUCUCUCUAAAUGGGAAGAUCCUUACGUUAUCGAGGAGGUCUAUCGUUCCGGUGCCAUAAAAAUCAACAACUUUGAAGGCACAAAUCCGAAAGUGGUGAACAGUCAAAGAAUCAAACAUUAUAUCUCAGGUAAUCCCAUAAAUGUUGAAACCAAUGUUAUUGAAACUGUAACCCCGGAGGAAUACACAAGGGACACUUGACGGAACGUUUCAGACUCCGAAAAGGAAUAGGUAUGUGGUACGGUAAGUAAACCGACUCCAAAACAAUUUUUAAGGCAAUAUUUCCCCGUUUUGGAAUAUUUAGAAAAAUAGAAAAAUAAGAAGCAGUCCGGGAAGGACAUGAGGCCUCCACGAGGGUGGAGGGCGUGCCCUACCCUACUGGGCGCGCCCCCUACCUUGUAGGCACCUCGUGCACUCUCCGGACUCCGUUUUCUUACAUGACAUGUAUUUUGGUUGGUAAAAAUUCAUUAUAUAAUCUCCCGGAUUUUUGACUCCUGUAUCACGCAAAUAUCCUCUAUUCUUGUUUUGAGCUGUUUCCUGUCAGGGUCGUCAAGGCUAGGCAUCAUCUCGUCCCCCUCCUCCAACAAUGGUGACAACGAUGCUUGGCUAAUGAAGAUAGAGCUGAAGAGGGAAGAACCCAUGGAGAUCAACAAGGAUGAAGGGAUCAAGAAGGCCACAGAAGACAUCCUUCAGAUUGAUCACAAUCUUCUUACCCCAACUGAGAUCGAAGCUUUCAAGAUGAUUGAGUUAGCUCGUAUACAGAACAAGUAUCUCACACGUGAAAAUAUUUUGUUGAAGGAGCAUAUUGUUGCACUCAAGGGCAUUAUCCGCAAGCUGGAGGACCUCUUACGCUCGAUGUGUGACUAUCCAUCAUCAUCUCCAUCUUCUCCACCAACAAAGAAGAAUUGAGCAUCGGGUAUGGGCACUCCCCUUGGCAACUGCCAAGCUUGGGGGAGUGCCCCGGUAUCAUAUUGCCAUCACUUUUAUCUUUACUGUUUUUCUUAGUUCGAUCCUUUUGGUAAUAUCUUGAUCUAGUAGAAUAAAGUUUAUGGCAUGAUCUAGUGUUGAGUUUUUCUUUAUGAUCCCUCUAUGUAAUCGAGUCCGUGAGCUAUAUAAUAAAGAUUAGUGUUGAGUCAAGGGCUUGAUUAUUUUGUCAUGAUCCUAAGUGAAUAAAAGAAAAGAGAAAUAAAUAAAAAAGGAAACAAAGAGAUCAUAUGGAUCUUAUGGAGAGUAAUGAGCUCAUAUAGGAAAAGUAUGAUGAAUAAAAGUUGUUGAGAGUUGACAAACAUAGUUUUGGUCAUCGUUGCAAUUAAUAGGAAGUAAUAAAGAAAGAUAGGUCUUCACAUAUAAACAUACUAUCUUGGACAUCUUUUAUGAUUGUGAGCACUCAUUAAAAUAUGACAUGCUAAAGAGUUGACGUUGGACAAGGAAGACAACGUAAUGGGUUAUGUUUUCUUACAUCUGAGAUAAAUUAUAUUGUCAUGGAUCAUCCAACAUGGUUGAGCUUGCCUUCCCCCUCAUGCUAGCCAAAUUCAUCGCACCAAGUAGAGAUACUACUUGUGCUUCCGAAUACCCUUAAAUCAGUUUUGCCAUCAGAGUCCACCAUACCUACCUAUGGAUUGAGUAAGAUCCUCCAAGUAAGUUGUCAUCGGUGCAAGCAAUAAAAAUUGCUCUCUAAAUAUGUAUGACUUAUUAGUGUGGGAGAAAAUAAACUUUAUACGAUCGUGUGAUAUGGAAGAAAUAAAAGCGACAGACUGCAUAAUAAAGGUCGAUAUCACAACUCACAAGUGGCAAUAUAAAGUGACGUUCUUUCGCAUCAAAAUUUUGUGCAUCCAACCAUAAAAGCACAUGACAACCUCUGCUUCCCUCUGCGAAGGGCCUAUCUUUUACUUUUAUCUCCUACCUUGCAUAAGAGUCAUGGUGAUCUUCACCCUUCCUUUUUACAUUUUAUCCUUUGGCAAGCACAGUAUGUUGGAAAGAUCCUGGUAUAUAUGGCUAAUUAGAUGUGAGUUUUCAUGAACUAUUAUUGUUGACAUUACCCUUGAGGUAAAACAUUGGGAGGCAAAACUAUAAGCCCCUAUCUUUCUCUGUGUCCAAUUAAAACUCCAUACCCAUAAGUAUCGCGUGAGUGUCAGCAAUUGUGAAAGACUAUAUGAUAGUUGAGUAUGUGGACUUGCUGAAAAGCUCUGAUAUAUUGACUCUUUCCUAUGUUAUGAUAAAUUGCAAUUGCUCCAAUGACUGAGAUUAUAGUUUGUUAGUUUUCAACGAAGUUUACGAUUCAUACUUGGAAUUGUAAUUGAAUUAUUACUCUAGCAUAAGAAAUCAUAUGACAAGAAUUAUGUAAGUUGCUGUUCUAAGAAUGAUCAUGAUGCCCUCAUGUCCGUAUUUUACUUUUAUCGACACCUCUAUCUCCAAACGUGUGGACAUAUUUUUCGAUUUCGGCUUUCGCUUGAGGACAAGCAAGGUCUAAGCUUGGGGGAGUUGAUACGUCCAUUUUGCAUCAUGCUUUCAUAUCGAUAUUUAUUGCAUUAUGGGCUGUUAUUACACAUUAUGUCACAAUACUUAUGCCUAUUCUCUCUUAUUUUACAAGGUUUACAUAAAGAGGGAGAAUGCCGGCAGCUGGGAUUCUGGGCUGGAAAAGGAGCAAAUAUUAGAGACCUAUUCUGCACAGCUCCAAAAGUCCUGAAACUUCACGGAAGACAUUUUCGAAAUAUAUAAAAAAUACUGAGCGCAAGAAGUUCACCAGGGGGGCCACACCCUGCCCAUGAGGGUGGGGGCGCGCCCUACCCCCUGGGCGCCCCCUACCUCGUGGGCCCCCUGGUGGCCCUCCGAUGGCCAUCUUCUGCUAUAUGGGGUCUUUUGAUGAGGAAAAAAUCCUAGGCCAUCUCCUCAGACGAAACUCCGCCGCCACGAGGCGGAACCUUGGCGGAUCCAAUCAAGGGCUCCGAUAGAGCUGUUCUGCCAGGGAAACUUCCCUCCGGGAGGGGGAAACCAGCCAUCGUCAUCACCAACGCUCCUCUCAUCAGGAGAGGGCAAUAUCCAUCAACAUCUUCACCAGCACCAUCUCCUCUCAAAACCCUAGUUCAUCCCUUGUAUCCAAUUCUUGUCUCCAAGUCCGUGAUUGGUACUAGUAGGUUGCUAGUAGUGUUAAUUACUCCUUGUAGUUGAUGCUAGUUGAUUUAUUUGGUGGAAGAUCAUAUGUUCAGAUCCUAUAUGCAUAUUAAUACCCCUCUGAUUAUGAACAUGAAUAUGCUUUGUGAGUAGUUACGUUUGUUCCUGAGGACAUGGGAGAAGUCUUGCUAUCAGUAGUCAUGUGAAUUUGGUAUUCGUUCGAUAUUUUGAUGAGAUGUAUGUUUUCUCUCCUCUAGUGGUGCUAUGUGAACGUCGACAACAUAACACUUCACCAUUAUUUGGGCCUAGAGGAAGGCAUUGGGAAGUAAUAAGUAGAUGAUGGGUUGCUAGGGUUACAGAAGAUUAAACCCUAGUUUAUGCGUUGCUUCGUAAGGGGUUGAUUUGGAUCCAUAUGUUUCAUGCUAUGGUUAGGUUUACCUUAAUACUUUUGUUGUAGUUGCAGAUGCUUGCAAUAUAGGUUAGUCAUAAGUGGGAUGCUUGUCCAAGUAAGGACAGUACCCAAGCACCGGUCCACCCAUAUACCAAAUUAUCAAAGUACCGAACGUGAAUCAUAUGAACGUGAUGAAAACUAGAUUGAUGAUAAUUCCCAUGUGUUCUCGGGAGCGCUUUUCUCUAUAUAAGAGUUUGUCCAGGCUUUUCCUUUGCUACAAAAAGGAUUGGGCCAUCUUGCUGCACUUUAUUUACUUUUGUUACUUGUUGCUCGUUACAAAUUAUCCUAUCACAAAACUAUCUGUUACCACUUAUUUUAGUACUUGCAAAGAAUACCUUGCUGGAAACCGCUUAUCAUUUCCUUCUGCUCCUUGUUGGGUUCGACACUCUUACUUAUCGAAAUGACUAUGAUAGAUACCGUAUACUUGUGGGUCAUCAGGGCGCGCGCCCAAGGGGGUAGGGCGCCCCACCCUCGUGGGCAGGGUGUGGCCCCCCCCGGUGAACUUCUUGCGCCUAGUAUUUUUUAUAUAGUCUGAAAAUGAGUUCCGUGAAGUUUCAAGACUUUUGGAGCUAUGCAGAAUAGGUCUCUAAUAUUUGCUCCUUUUCCAGCCCAGACCCCCAGCUGCCGGCAUUCUCCCUCUUUAGGUAAACCUUGUAAAAUAAGAGAGAAUAGGCAUAAGUAUUAUGACAUAAUGUGUAAUAACAGCCCAUAAUGCAAUAAAUAUCGAUAUAAAAGCAUGAUGCAAAAUGGACGUAUCAACUCCCCCAAGCUUAGACCUUGCUUGUCCUCAAGCGAAAGCCAAAAUCGAGAAAUAUGUCCACAUGUUUAGAGAUAGAGGUGUCGAUAAAAAUAAAAUACGGACAUGAGGGCAUCAUGAUCAUUCUUAGAACAACAACUUAUAUAAUUCUUGUCAUAUGAUCUCUUAUGCUAGAGUAACAAUUAAAUCACAAUUUCAAGUAUGAAUCAUAAACUUCAUUGAGAACUAACAAACUAUAGUCUCAGUCAUUGGAGCAAUGGCAAUUUAUCAUAACAUAGGAAAGAGUCAAUAUAAUAGCUUUUCAGCAAGUCCACAUACUCAACUAUCAUAUAGUCUUUCACAAUUGCUAACACUCAUGCAAUACUUAUGCGUAUGGAGUUUUACUCGGUCACAGAGAAAGAUAGGGGCUUAUAGUUUUGCCUCCCAACGUUUUACCUCAAGGGUAAUGUCAACAAUAAUAGUUCAUGAAGACUCACAUCCAAUUAGCUAUAUAUAUCAGGAUCUUUCCAACAUGUUGUGCUUGCCAAAAGAUAAAAUGUAAAAAGGAAGGGUGAAGAUCACCAUGACUCUUAUGUAAGGUAUGAGAUAAAAGUAAAAGAUAGGCCUUCCCAGAGGGAAGCAGAGGUUGUCAUGCGCUUUUAUGGUUGGAUGCACAAAAUCUUAAUGCAAAAGAGCUUCACUUUAUAUUGCCACUUGUGAUAUGGACCUUUAUUAUGCAGUCGGUCGCUUUUAUUUCUUCCAUAUCACACGAUCGUAUAAAGAUUAUUUUAUCCCACACUAAUAAGUCAUACAUAUUUAGAGAGCAAUUUUUCUUGCUUGCACCGAUGACAACUUACUUGGAGGAUCUUACUCAAUCCAUAGGUAGGUAUGGUGGACUCUCAUGGCAAAACUAGUUUAAGGGUGUUUGGAAGCACAAGUAGUAUCUCUACUUGGUGCAAAGAAUUGGCUAGCAUGAGAGGGAAAGGCAAGCUCAACCAUGUUGGAUGAUCCAUGACAAUAUAAUUUAUCUCAGAUGUAAGAAAACAUAACCCAUUAUGUUGUCUUCCUUGUCCAACGUCAACUCUUUAGCACGUCAUAUUUCAAUGAGUGCUCACAAUCAUAGAAGAUGUCCAAGAUAGUAUAUUUAUAUGUGAAGACCUCUCUUUCUUUAUUACAUCCUAUUAAUUGCAACGAUGACCAAAACUAUGUUUGUCAACUCUCAACAUCUUUUAUUCAUCAUACUUUUUAUAUGUGAGCUCAUUACUCUCCAUAAGAUCCAUAUGAUCUCUUUCCUUUUUAUUCUUCCUCUUUUCUUUUAUUCACUUAAGAUUAUGGCAAAAUAAUCAAGCCCUUGACUCAACACUAAUCUUUAUUAUAUAUAGAUCACAGACUCGAUUACAUAGAAGGAUCAUAAAGUAAAACUCACAACUAGAUCAUACUAAAAACUUUAUACUACUAGAUCAAGAUAUUAUCAAAAGGAUCAAACUAAGAAAAGCGGUAAAGAUAAAAGUGAUGGUGAUACGAUACCGGGGCACUCCCCCAAGCUUGUCAGUUGCUAGGGGCAGUGCCCAUACCCAUGUUAUUAUAUCUCUCUUUUCGGGGAUGGUGAUGUGAUAUUCUUGGCGAUGAUGCCCCUCAGGAUACGAUUUUCCUCCUCGAGCUUAUUGACUUGCUGCUUGAGGUCCAUUAUUUCCUUUCGAAGCUUUCCUGUAACAUCCAAAGCUCCCUGCACCCAAGGGUGCUGCAUAGCUGCGGGAGAACCAGUGACACUCUUUUUCAUAUUCUCAUAAAAAAGAAAUCUAACAUUGGAUGGGAUAACCGAGUUUGGAAUAGUCGAGCUCUGCAGUUCCCCCAUUGUGAAUCCAGCUCGGAAGCGAGAAGUGACUUCUUGAUCCUCCUCCAUGGCAUAUAUUCUCUUCAAAUCAGCCUCCAUCUCUUCCUCCGUUGCUGGCCCAAAGUGGUCAACAUUGUUGUUUGUCAUUGAUCUCGGUUCCGGAUGAGACACCCGGCUCUCCCCGACUGACUCUUGCAAAGACAUCUUGCUCUAAUCUGCAGCAGCAAUAGCUCGAAACACAAACAGAGGAUAAUUGCGUGAUACGGGAGUCAAAACCUCCGGGAGAUUAUAUAAUGAAUUUUUACCGACCAAAAUACGUAACGUGCAAGAAAACGGAAUCCGGAGAGCACACGAGGUGCCCACGAGGUAGGGGUGCGCCUAGGGGGGUAGGGCGCGCCCUCCACCCUCGUGGAGCCCUCAUGUCCUUCCCGGACUGCUUCUUAUUUUUCUAUUUUUCUAAAUAUUCGAAAACGGAAGAAAAUUGCCAUUAGAACAGUUUUGGAUCAGUCGGUUUACUUACCGUACCACAUACCUAUUCCUUUUCGGAGUCUUAAACGUUCCGAAAAGUGUCCCUUAUGUAUUCCUCCGGGGUUACGAUUUUGAUAACAUUGGUUUCAACAUUUAUAGGAUUACCUGAGAUAUAAUGUUUAAUUCUUUGACCGUUCACCACCUUCGGAUUUGUGCCUUCGAAGUUGUUGAUUUUUAUGGCACCGGAAUGAUAAACUUCCUCGAUAACGUAAGGACCUUCCCAUUUAGAGAGAAGUUUUCCUGCAAAAAAUCUUAAACGAGAGUUGUAUAAUAAUACAUAAUCACCUACAUUAAACUCACGCUUUUGUAUUCUUUUUUCAUGCCCUCUUUUGACUUUUUCUUUAAAUAAUUUAGCAUUCUCAUAGGCUUGGGUUCUCCAUUCAUAUAGUGAGCUAAUGUCAAAUAACCUCUUCUCACCGGCAAGUUUUAAAUCAUAAUUGAGCUCUUUAAUAGCCCAAUAAGCCUUAUGUUCUAGUUCGAGAGGUAAGUGGCAUGCUUUUCCAUAAACCAUUUUAUACGGAGACAUACCCAUUGGAUUUUGGUAUGUAGUUCUAUAGGCCCAUAGUGCAUCAUCAAGUUUCUUAGACCAAUUAUUUCUAGAUAUAUUAACAAUCUUCUGCAAAAUUAAUUUUAGCUCUCUAUUACUCAAUUCUACUUGACCACUAGACUAAGGGUGAUAAGGAGAUGCAAUUCUAUGAUUAACAUCAUAUUUAGCAAGCAUUUUACGGAAAACACCACGAAUAAAAUGUGAACCACCAUCAGUCAUUGAAUAUCUAGGGACUCCAAACCUCAGAAAAAUAACUUCUUUAAGCAUCUUAAUAGAGGUGUUAUGAUCAGCACUACUAGUUGGAAUAGCUUCUACCCACUUAGUAACGUAAUCAACAGCAACUAAAAUAUGUGUAUAUCCGUUAGAGGCGGGAAACGGUCCCAUAUAAUCAAAGCCCCAAACAUCAAAUGGUUCAAUAACAAGAGAAUAAUUCAUAGGCAUUUCUUGACAUCUACUAAUAUUACCAAUUAUUUGACAUUCAUCACAAGAUACAACAAACUUACGGGCAUCCUUGAAGAGAGUAGGCCAAUAAAAACCGGAUUGCAAUACCUUAUGUGCAGUUCUAUCUCCAGCGUGGUGUCCCCCAUAAGCUUCAGAGUGACACUUGCAUAGGAUCUGUUCCUGUUCAUGCUCAGUUACACAACGUCUAAUAACACCAUCUACUCCUUCUUUAUAAAGAUGUGGGUCAUCCCAAAAGUAAUGCCUCAAAUCAUAGAAAAACUUUUUCUUUUGCUGGUAUGUGAAACUAGGUGGUAUAAAUUUAGCAACAAUAUAAUUAGCAUAAUCAGCAUACCAUGGAGUAGUACGAGAAGCAUUUAUGACAUUUAAUUGUUCAUUAGGAAAGCUACCAUCAAUAGGUAGUGGGUCAUCAAGCACAUUUUCUAACCUAGACAAGUUGUCUGCAACGGGGUUCUCAGCUCCCUUUCUAUCAACAAUAUGCAAAUCAAAUUCUUGUAGCAAGAGAACCCAUCUAAUAAGUCUAGGUUUAACAUCUUUCUUUUCCAUAAGAUAUUUAAUAGCACCAUGAUCCGUGUGAAUAGUUACUUUAGAAUCAACAAUAUAUGGUCUAAACUUAUCACAAGCAAAUACAUCUGCUAGGAAUUUCUUUUCAGUAGUAGCAUAAUUUCUCUGAGCAUUGUCUAGAGUUUUACUAGCAUAUUGAAUAACAUUUAAUUUCUUAUCAAAUCUUUGUCCUAGAACAACACCUACAUCAUAAUCACUAGCAUCACACAUAAUUUCAAAAGGUAAAUUCCAAUCAGGUGGCUGAACAAUAGGUGCAGAGAUCAAUGCUUUCUUAAGUAUUUCAAAUGCUUCUACACACUCAUCAUAAAAAAAAUGGUAUAUCUUUUUGUAAUAAAUUAGUCAGAGGCCGAGAAAUUUUUGAGAAGUCCUUAAUGAACCUCCUAUAGAAAUCGGCAUGACCAAGGAAACUUCUUAUACCUUUGAUGUCCUUGGGACAUGGCAUCUUUUUGAUAGCAUCAACCUUGGCUUUAUCAACCUCAAUACCUCUUUCAGAAACUUUAUGCCCUAAGACAAUACCUUCAUUAACCAUAAAGUGGCACUUUUCCCAAUUCAAGACAAGAUUAGUUUCUUCACAUCUCUACAAAACUCGGUCAAGGUUGCUUAAGCAAUCAUCAAAAGAGGAUCCAUAGAAGGAAAAAUCGUCCAUGAAAACCUAACAUAUCUUUUCACAAAAGUCAGAGAAUAUAGCCAGCAUGCAUCUUUGAAAGGUAGCUGGUGCAUUACAUAAACCAAAAGGCAUACAUCUAUAAGCAAAAGUACCAAAAGGGCAAGUAAAAGUAGUCUUUGAUUGAUCAUUGGCUGACACAGGUAUUUGAGAGAAACUAGAAUAACCAUCUAGAAAGCAAAAAUGUUUAUGUUUGGAUAAUCUUUCUAGCAUUUGAUCGAUAAAAGGUAAAGGGUAAUGAACUUUUUAGUAGCUUUAUUUAAUUUUUGGAAAUCAAUUACCAUCCUAUAACCUAUAAUAAUUCUUUGCGGAAUCAAUUCAUCUUUAUCAUUAGGAACGACAGUAAUACCUCCCUUCUUAGGGAUGCAAUGGACAUGACUUACACUACAAAAAAAAUACACUUCCGUGAUGAUACAUGUUUGUCACAGUAGGUCGCGUUUUUUGUCAUGCAUGUACAUCCAUGACAAAUUUAUGACAGAAUCAAGAUAGUCAUACCUGUGCUGUCGUAGAAGUGUUCCAUGACAUUACCAAAAUUAUCAUCACGGAAGUGUCCACUUCCAUGAUGAUAAAUCACGUGUCACAGAAGUGCUUUCGUCAAGGGUGACCAACACGUGACAUCCACCGUAAUGGAAUGCCGUUAAGCUAUUGGGUCGGGUUUUGGAUCCGAUAACCCGUCAACAGCCCCGACCAAUGGGGAUUUUCCAUGUGUAAAAUCAUCAUUGGCUAGAGGAAACACGUGUCGGCUCAUCGUUGGGACAGAUGUCAUCCACUCACUGGACAGAAGGCGCGUAUGAUACGUCGACAUGUGGCACGGCCCAACAGUGGCCCAUUCCUGUGAAAAGGCCGGCCCGUUUGACUUGGUCAAAAGCUGGCGGGCCGGCCCAUGGAAAGCAUGUUAACGGCCUGUUCGCAUAUAGCCCAUUUACAACCCGCUAACCCAAGGCCUGUUACGCCCUAUCCGAAUUAGGCCCAGUAGCAUCAUCUAGGCCAUCCAAUAUGAUUCCAGCCCGUUUUCACUUCUGGCCCAUGUAUAGCCCAUGCCGUCUUUCGGCCCAUAUGAGGCCCUUUGUAACUCUUGGCCCAUUAGCGGCCCGUGCUGAAACUGGCCCGUAAUGAACAGUGUAUUACUUUACACCCAUUAACGGCCCGUGGUGAAACUGGCCCGUAAUGAACAGUGUAUCACUUUAUACCCAUUAACGGCCCGUUAUUCCAUUGGGUCGUUUCCAGCCCAAGUUAACUUUCGGCCUUCCGAGGGGCCAUUUAUUCUUGGGCUCAUUUGCAGCAUUCGGUUACUUACGGCCCGUUACUGUCAUUUUCUGCUUAUGGGCCAAAUUCAGCCCGUCGUUAUAGUCGGCCUGUUUGUGGACCGUUAGUCAGUUGGGCCAUUUUCAUAGCAUCACCAAAUACGGCCCGUUAUGGUCAGCCCAUAAAACGUACGAUUUCCAUUAAAGGCCCGUCUACGGCCCAUUAAAGGCCCGUACAAGACCCAUAAAUAAGUCGGUGGCCCAUGGAUCCUAUGAGACGUAGAAGGCCCAUGGAUCCUAUGAGACGUAGAAGGCCCAUGGAUCCUACGAGACGUAGAAGGCCCAUGGAUCCUACGAGACGUAGAAGGCCCAUGGAUCCUACGAGACGUAGAAGGCCCAUGGAUCCUAUGAGGCGUAGAAGGCCCAUGGAUCCUACGAGACGUAGAAGGCCCAUGGAUCCGACGGCCCGUGAAGGGCCAUGGUCGGUCGAGUUGGCCCCCGUUUGAAUGAUAUAGCAUAUUCAAAGAAUUAUCCUACUCAAUACUAUCACCUCUAAAAAGCAUACACUAUACAACAAAGAGAUCAAGGCAUAGAAAGGUGGAAUAAUCCUACACUAUACAAUAAAGAAAUUACAUCCGAUUAUACCCACUGGGCAUUAUGGUUCGGCACAGGUGAUAAUAAAGCAUACACAAACAACAAAUUACAUACACUGGGCAAAUACAACUCAUACAUCAUGGACGCGCAUCAACUUAACUCCAUUUGAACUAUAAUCUCUUCAGAAAAUAGGAUUGGCUGGAUUCAGAUAGCACAAAUUUCAGUCUGCAAAAUCUCCAAUUCCUUCAUGGUUACCUCAGUGUCUUGUUUCAUUUUUUUGACUCCUGCAUCUAAUACCUGCAUGCCUAGUCUCAACUUGUUGAUUAUACAUUGACAAUCAUGUACACGUUGUCUUGCCACCUCUAGUUGAUGCUCGAGAACAUCAACACAUUCCAAUUCCAAUCCAUAAUCAUUCGGUAACGGCCAUGCCGCACUGCUCGCAGAUCUUUGUGUUGAUGUCACUUCAUCCUGAAAUGUUUCUGUAAGUACACAUGACUAGGGCAAAAAUAUAGUUACAACAGUGAAGCGAACAAGACACUAUUCUAUACUACAUGGCAAAACAGGACUAACAAUAAUGUUACACGUCACUUUCAAAAAUAAAUGUUACACGUCAUGAAGCAUAAGCAGGUGAUAUUUUAAAAAUUAUAAAAAAGAUAGUCUGUGCAGCCUGCAUACAGAAAUCCCUCUUAGCUCACCAGAGGAGCAUGAUGUUGGGGCCCAAUCGAAAACACAGACAAGUUACAAAUUUAGACAACAUGUUGCGUAUAAGUAAGCAAGCAGUUGGCCAUUCUGUGCCUCAAUUAAAGUCUUAGGGAGCAUAAUGAACGGCAGAGGGUUUCAUACAAACAUACUACAACAGGAAAAACUCUGCAAUCAUUAGCGUAGUAUAAACUAGAUUGUGAGCCUCAUGCAAUAAUAGUUGGUUAAUAGACUUCAAAGCUUCAGGAACACUUCGGCAGAGUAAUUAAAUGGUAAGGCCUUUAAUUAUGUCAAUUAAUAGUGAUACAAGUACCGAACAUCAGGCAUGAUUAUUUGGCAUCUCAUUAACUGAGGACAAAUAAAGCAAUUGAAAAGAGAAAAUUAACUAUGCCUGAAACAAACAAGGAAUUGAACUGUUGAGUUGCAUACAGUGACUUACCUUAGCAGGUUGAAGAGGCUCGGCGCAGCUCCUACUUCUCUUGCAAGGUUCCUUCCUAACAACUUGUACUUGGAAAUCCUCAAUCUUAUCUUCAUUGCACCCCCUCUGCAAGGUGACACAAACUAGUUACUCGUCUCCUUGGAAGAUAAAUAUGCAUACUUUACAGUCUGUGAACACAAAAGGAUGAGAUUAUAACAAAACAACACCACAUAAUGAAACAUGCCGCAUCUCUUGCACUUGCACACAAUUAAAUGAGCAUUUACUAUGUCUGCACUAUGUAAAAACUAGGCAUACCUUCGAACUGGAUCUCCAGGUACUCUUGGAGAGCCUACUGUAGUGUAUAGCCAAAGCUUUAUGUCACCUAUGAGUUAGACAAGGCCCCACUACAGCAGCCCUUAGUGUUUAAAUUGUUGACAAGCUCUGUUAGAGUGUUAGGUCAAGAACAGCAAGUAAUCAAAGCAAACAGUCCUAGUAUGGCUGGCUGAUGCAAACAAGAAAUUGAACAGAUGUGUGAGCAAAUCUUACAUAUCAAGAAAAGAAGCAAAGAACGAGGCUUAAAGACCAUCACUUGACUGACCAGAUUUAAGGGGCAUUUAAACAUCAUGUGAAACGUAUGAACUAACAUAAACAUUGCAUAUUCCAGAUUCUACAAUGGAAUGCACAUGUAUUAGGUUAUGCCAUGUAUGAUGAUGCCUAAAUGUACAGAUAGCAGGCAGGAGUGAUUCAUCAUUGCACGCACAAUUGAAUUGCAGGUUAAGGGCCAGUUUGAUUCUGCCUUUUCAGGGCAUAUUGUCAAAAUAAGCCAUAAAAGAUGUAAAGAAGUCAUUUUUGAGUUAUGUGCUUGGGCUUAACUAAUUUCACUUUGGAGGGGGGUGUUUCGGGUAGAACCUCACUAAAAAUUGAAGGGAAGGGGAAUAGUGAAAUGACUCUGUUGUCUGCCUAUAUUACACUCAAAAUGCAACUGCUGACGCCCGUGUCACACCUGACCCUCAAGUAAAAACAAACAUGCAAGCAUUCAUUGCCCUGCACGCUUGCUUCUCCUCUCCCCUUUCCCUCUACCUCGAUCCCCUGCCUGCAGCACUAGGGUUCCUCCAGUGAGCCGUCGCCAUUGGUCCCAUCUGGCCUGGUCCUCGAUGAUGCUAUGUCCAGCUAGGCUACAUGGCCGGCAGGUAGGGGCAAAUCUCCCUGGCUGCUCCUCCCUCUGGCGCCGCCCCUCAUUCUCAUGGUCUCCAGCAGCUGCUCCACUAUGGUUCAUCCAAUGCACUACUCCGGUGGGCGCUGCACAACUACGGCUGAUGCCACACUGCGGCAGAAGGCACCUUAUUCUCCCUCCCCUCCUCCCAGGCCAUGGCCUUAAGGUGCUGUUGAAGGAUGAGCUCAUCCAACAAGGUGAGGAUCUCCUCUGAUUUUUUGCCAAAUUUUCAUUCUGAUCCACUAUACGAUGAAUUGCUAUGAGCUGCUUCUGCCGCUGCUAUAUGAUGCAUUGCUAUGAGCUGCUCCUGCUGCUGCUAUAUGAUGAAUUGCUAUGAGCUGCUGCUGCUGUAUGAUGAGUUGCUAUAAGCUGCUACUGCUAUAUGAUGAAUUGCUAUGAGCUGCUGCUGCUGCUAUAUGAUGAGUUGCUACAAGCUGCUCCUGCUGCUGCUAUAUGAUGAAUUGCUAUGAGCUGCUCCUGCUGCUGCUAUAUGAUGAAUUGCUAUGAGCUGCUCCUGCUGCUGCUAUAUGAUGAAUUGCUAUGAGCUGCUGCAGGUAUAUGAUGAAUUGCAGACUGCUGCUGCUGUAUGAUGAGUUGCUAUGAGCUGCUGCUGCUAUAUGAUGCUUUCAGGUGGUGUUGCUAUACGAUAAUAACCAGCCACUUGGACCAUCGAAUUUCAAUAAAUAAUUGUUCUUUAUUUAAAUGUGGGUCAUGCGUUCUUCAUUUAAAUUAGGCAAUGGGAUCUCUAUGGAAAACAUUGACCAAAGUAGAUUGUGCCAAGUAGAUGGUAUCUUUGUAUUUGCAUUUUGAGCAAAUAGUGAUGGUCUGUUUUCCUAUCAUAUUAAUUACUGCAUUGGGUUCAAUUUGUGAUGUUUGCAAGUCAAAUUAAUUUCCAUAGGGGCAGCAAAAUGAAAAAAAAUGCAAUCUAGACUUUCCACUGAUCAUACCAAAGAUAAGCUGAAAACGCAAUGAAAAGAACUGGUUGGCUUAUUACAUGGAGCUUAUAUUCACAGGUGCUUAUUUUCUUAGGAUAACUCGUAAUAAUUGUCCCUAAGAAACUUGGCUAAUAGAACUGGCAUACAAAUAACAUGUCACGAUGAUUGCAAUGGAGGAGUGACGUACCAUAGCACACUGUAUAGGCUCCCCGCUGCCUCUCUUUUUUUUGCGAUGUUCCAUGGAAUUGCCACAUACAUCUUGUACUUUUUCAUUGUGUAACCCUAUCCGCAAGUUGACAUGGCUAAUUUCAGACAUCUCUACAUGAUACUUCAUUGCAUAUCCUUUGCGCAUAUUUAAACCACCAAUUAACGAUUGUGUGCGUACCAUAAACUAGCCAUGACUCUGUAUGCUGGACUAGCAGGCACUCUAAGGGAGCCUAAUGUAGUGCACUGGAAUUCCUACAUGCCACCUACGAUUUUGUGUAAUGUACUGCCCCUGUUCCUAAAUAUAUGUCUUUGUAGAGAUUCCAGUAUGGACCACAUACAGAUGUAUAUAGAUGCAUUUUCGAGUGUAGAUUCACUCAUUUUGCUCCGUAUGUAGACUAUAGUGGAAUCUCUAGAAAGACUUAUAUUUAGGAACGGAGGUACGAGGUAGUAUCAUGUAUGACAUCUACAUAUCUAAUUUAGCAGCCAGUAGUAGAAAUCAUUGUCUGCACACGCUUACAAGAUCAUAGCAAUGCCUCAGUCCAGGAUCUUGGUUGGCCAAGCUAUUAGAUCCAGAAGAAACAUCGUCCUUGUAGUUUUUGCCAGCUGCAUAACAGGUAACAGCGACCGGUUAGUAUAUUUGAAGUACAUCGGGCAGGUGAUGCUGGACGGGUUUAAAGGUGACAAGUACCUAGGCCGUGGCGGGUGUUUGGCAUCUCUCCAGACGGUGGGAAUUAGGUUAGAAACGUUGAGGGUGAUGACACUGUGCUGGCUGUCAGGGUCCGGUAAGGAGACCUAGAACCGUCGAGUAGGAUGUUUGUGGAGCGGCUCCGGUAGGGUGGACUAUGGUGUGGGCGAAGCGGAUCUGUGGCCGUGGAUGAGGGCGUAGGUGAAGCUGCUCUGGUGGUUGGGUUAAGGAUGGUGUCGAUGACGCGGAUCUGCGGCCGUGGACGGGGCGUCAGAAGCUGCUCCGGUGGUUGGGUUAAGGAUGGUGUCGACGAUGCGGAUCUGCGCCCGUGGACCGGGCGUCAGAAGCUGCUCCAGUGGUUGGGUUAAGGGUGGUAUCGACGAUGCGGAUCUGCGGCCGUGGAUGGGGCGUCAGAAGCUGCUCCGUUAGGUUGGAUGAGGGUGCGAGGAAGCGGAUCUGAGGCCGUGGACUUGUGAGUUGGCAAAGCGGCCCCGAUAGGGAUGAGAAUGGUAUAGGCUAAGCUACUCCGGUAGGGUUGACAAUGGUGUCGGUGAAGCGGCUCCGGUAGGGUUGAGGAAGGUGUCGGCGAAGCGGCUCCGGUAGGGUUUAGGAAGGUGUCGGCGAAGAGGAUCAGAGGCCGUCGACGGGGGCGUCAGCGGGGCGGCUCCGGGGUGUGUGGACGAAGCGUCUCCGGUGGGGAGUACGAAUGAGCCACUGCAGAUGCGCGGCGGUUGACGAGAGUACCGGCGAAGUAGAUCCGGCGCCGUGGACAAGGCCGGCACUGAAUGGGCUGUGGUACAGUGGUGGAUGAGCAGUCUACUUGUUUCUAGGGGAGGUGGGAGGGGUAGAUGCGGCUGCAGAAGCAGAUCCGGCGAGGUGGACGCCGCUGGCAGUGAAUGGGCUAUGGUACGCCGGUGGAUGAGCAGCCUAGGGUUUCGAGAGGGGAGGGGAGAAAGCGUGAUGAAGUACGAACGGUGUGAUGUAAGAUGCUCUGGUGCUGUGGAGUGCUACCUCUUGAGCACUGCGUUGGAUUUCCCCGAAGAGGAGAGGAUGAUGCAGCAAAGUAGCGUAAGUAUUUCCCUCAGUUUUUGAGAACCAAGGUAUCAAUCCAGUAGGAGGCUACGCGCGAGUCCCUCGUACCUACACAAAAACAAUAGCUCAAUGCAACCAACGCGCUUAGGGGUUGUCAAUCCCUUCACGAUGACUUGCAAAACUGAGAUCUGAUAGAGAUGAUAAAUAAUAUUUUUGGUAUUUUUGGUAUAGAGAUGCAAAGUGAAAAGUAAAAUCAAAGUAAAAGCAAAACAAUAAUAAAGUGAUGGAGAUUGAUAUGAUGAGAAAGAGACCCGGGGGCCAUAGGUUUCACUAGUGGCUUCUCUCAAGAGCAUAAGUAUUCUACGGUGGGUGAACAAAUUACUGUUGAGCAAUUUACAGAAUUGAGCAUAGUUAUGAGAAUAUCUAGGUAUGAUCAUGUAUAUCGGCAUCACAUCCGAGACAAGUAGACCGACUCCUGCCUGCAUCUACUACUAUUACUCCACUCAUCGACCACUAUCCAGCAAGCAUCUAGAUUAUUAAGUUAAAAACAGAGUAAUGCCUUAAGCAAGAUGACAUGAUGUAGAGGGAUAGUUUCAUGCAAUAUGUUAAAAACCCCAUCUUGUUAUCCUCGAUGGCAACGAUACAAUACGUGCCUUGCUGCCCCUUCUGUCACUGGGAAAGGACACCGCAAGAUCGAACACAAAGCUAAGCACUUCUCCCAUGGCAAGAACAACCAAUCUAGUAGGCCAAACCAAACUGAUAAUUCGAAGAGACUUGCAAAGAUAACCAAUCAUACAUAAAAGAAUUCAGAGAAGAAUCAAAUAUAAUUCAUAGAUAGACUUGAUCAUAAACCCACAAUUCAUCGGUCUCAACAAAUACACCACAAAAAGAAGAUUACAUCGAAUAGAUCUCCACAAGAGAGGGGGAGAACAUUGUAUUGAGAUCCAAAAAGAGAGAAGAAGCCAUCUAGCUACUAACUAUGGACCCGUAGGUCUGAAAUAAACUACUCACACUUCAUCAGAGGGGCUUGGAUGAUGAUGUAGAAGCCCUCCGUGAUCGAUGCCCCCUCCGGCGGAGCUCCGGAAUAGGCCCCAAGAUGGGAUCUCGUGGAUACAGAAAGUUGCAGCGGUGGAAUUAGGUUUUUGGCUCCGUAUCUGAUCGUUUGGGGGUACGUAGAUAUAUAUAGGAGGAAGGAGUACGUCGGUGGAGCUUCGAGGGGCCCACGAGGCAGGGGGCGCGCCCUAGGGGGGGCGCCCUCCACCCUCGUGACCGCCUUGUGGCUUUCUUAACGAAGGGUCCAAGUCUCCUGGGUCUUAUCUGAUGAGAAAAUCGCGUUCCCGAAGGUUUCAUUCCGUUUGGAUUCCGUUUGAUAUUCUGUUUCUCCGAAACACCGAAAUAGGCAAAAAACAGCAAUUCUGGGCUGGGCCUCCGGUUAAUAGGUUAGUCCCAAAAAUAAUAUAAAAGUGCAUAAUAAAGCCCAAUAAUGUCCAAAAUAGUAGAUAAUAUAGCAUGGAGCAAUCAAAAAUUAUAGAUACGUUGGAGACGUAUCAAGCAUCCCCAAGCUUAGUUCCUGCUCGUCCUCGAGUAGGUAAAUGAUAAAAACAAAAUUUUUGAUGCGGAGUGCUACUUGACAUAAUUUCAAUGUAAAUAUUCUUAAUUGUGGUAUGAAUAUUCAGAUUCAAAAGAUUCAAGAGAAAAGUUCAUGUUGACAUAAAAAUAAUAAUACUUCAAGUAUAGUAACAAAGCAAUUAUGUCUUCUCAAAAUAACACGGCCAAAGAAAGUUAUCCCUACAAAAUCAUAUAGUCUGGCUAUGCUCUAUCUUCACCACACAAAGUAUUUAAAUCAUGCACAACCCCGAUGAGAAGCCAAGCAAUUGUUUCAUACUUUUGACAUUUUCAAAACUUUUUCGAUCUUCACGCAAUACAUGAGCGUGAGCCAUGGAUAUAGCACUAUAUGUGGAAUAGAAUGGUGGUUGUGGAGAAGACAAAAAGAGGGGAAGAUAGUCUCACAUCAACUAGGCGUAUCAAUGAGCUAUGGAGAUGCCCAUCAAUAGAUAUCAAUGUGAGUGAGUAGGGAUUGCCAUGCAACGGAUGCACUAGAGCUAUAAGUAUAUGAAAGCUCAACAAAAGAAACUAAGUGGGUGUGCAUCCAACUCGCUUGCUCAUGAAGACCUAGGGCAUUUUGAGAAAGCCCGUCAUAGGAAUAUACAAGCCAAGUUCUAUAAUGAAAAAUUCCCACUAGUACAUGAAAGUGACAGAAUGAGAGACUCUCUAUCACGAAGAUCAUGGUGCUACUUUGAAGCACAAGUGUGGUAAAAGGAUAGUAGCAUUGUCCCUUCUCUUUUUCUCUCAUUUUUUUGGGCCUUCUCUUUUCUAUGGCCUCUUUUUUUAUUUUUCGUCCAGAGUCUCAUCCCGACUUGUGGGGGAAUCAUAGUCUCCAUCAUCCUUUCCUCACUUGGGACAAUGCUCUAAAAAUGAUGAUCAUCACACUUUUUAUUUUUCUUACAACUCAAUACUUAGAACAAAAUAUGACUCUAUAUGAAUGCCUCCGGCGGUGUACCGGGAUAUGCAGUGGAUCAAGAGUGACAUGUAUGAAGAAUUAUAAACGGUGGCUUUGACACAAAUACGAUGUCAACUACAUGAUCAUGCUAACAAUAUGACAAUGAUGGAGCGUGUCAUAAUGAACAGAACUGUGGAAAGUUGCAUGGCAAUAUAUCUCGGAAUGGCUAUGGAAAUGCCACGAUAGGUAGGUAUGGUGGCUGUUUUGAGGAAGGUAUUUGGUGGGUGUAAGAUACCGGCGAAAAGUGUGCGGUAUUAGAGAGGCUAGAAAUGGUGGAAGGAAUGAAAGUGCGUAUAAUCCAUGGACUCAACAUUAGUCAUAUAGAACUCAUAUACUUAUUACAAAAAUCUAGAAGUUAUCAAAGCAAAGUAUUACACGCAUGCUCCUAGGGGGAUAGAUUGGUAGGAAAAUACCAUCGCUCGUCCCCGACCGCCACUCAUAAGGAAGACAAUCAAUAAAUAAAUCAUGCUCCGAUUUCAUCACAUAACGGUUCACCAUACGUGCAUGCUACGGGAAUCACAAACUUUAGCACAAGCAUUUCUGAAAUUCACAACUACUCAACUAGCAUGACUCUAAUAUCACCAUCCUCAUAUCUCAAAACAAUUAUCAAGCAUCAAUUUUUUUCUUAGUAUUCAACGCACUCAAAAGAAAGUUUUACAAAUCUUGAAUACCAAGCAUAUUAUUAUUAAGCAAAUUACCAUGCUUUUAAGACUCUCAAAAUAAUCUAAGUGAAGCUUGAGAGAUCAAUAGUUUCUAUAAAACAAAUCCACCACCGUGCUCUAAAAGAUAUAAGUGGAGCACUAGAGCAAAAUUAUAUAACUCAAAAGAUAUAAGUGAAGCACAUAGAGUAUUCUAUCAAAUUCCAAAUUAUGUAUGGCUCUCUCAAAAGGUGUGUACAACAAGGAUGAUUGUGGUAGACUAACAAUCAAAGACUCAAAUCAUAAAAUACGCUCCAAGCAAAACACAUAUCAUGUGGUGAAUAAAAAUAUAGCUCCAAGUAAAGUUAUCGAUAGAAGUAGACGAAAGAGGGGAUGCCUUCUAGGGCAUCCCCAAGCUUUGGCUUUUAGGUGUCCUUAGAUUAUCUUGGGGGUGCCAUGGGCAUCCCCAAGCUUAGUCUCUUGUCACUCCUUGUUCAAUAAUCCAUCAAAUCUUUACCCAAAACUUGAAAACCUCACAACACAAAACUUAAAGUAGAAAAUCUCGUGAGCUCCGUUAGCGAAAGAAAACAAAAGACCACUUCAAGGUACUGUAAUGAACUCAUUAUUUAUUUAAAUGGGUGUUAUAACUACUGUACUACAACUUAUCUAGGGUUUAUAAACUAUUUUAUUAGCCAUAGAUUCAUCAAAAUAAGCAAACAACACACGAAAAACAGAAUGUGUCAAAAAUAGAAUAGUCUGUAGUAAUCUGUAGCUAGCGCAAGAUAUGGAACCCCAAAAAUUCUAAAAUAAAUUUCUGGACGUGAGGAAUUUAUCUAUUAAUCAUCUGAAAAAGUAAUUAACUAAAUAUCACUCUCCAAAUAAAAAUGACAGUAGUUCUCGUGAGCGCUAAAGUUUCUGUUUUUUACAGCAAGUUCAACAAGACUUUCCCCAAGUCCUCCCAACGGUUCUACUUGGCACAAACACUAAUUAAACACAAAAAACACAACCAAAACAGAGGCUAAAUAAUUUAUUAAUUACUAAACAGGAGCAAAAAGCAAGGAAUAAAAAUAAAAUUGGGUUGCCUCCCAACAAGCGCUGUCGUUUAACGCCCCUAGCUAGGCAUAACAAGCAAGAAUAGAUCUAGGUAUUGCCAUCUUUGGUAGGCAAUCCAUAAGUGGCUCUCAUGAUAGAUUCAUAUGGUAAUUUUAUUUUAUUUCUAGGGAAGUGUUCCAUUCCCUUUUUAAUGGAAAUUGGAAUCUAAUAUUCCCUUCCUUCAUAUCAAUAAUUGCACCAACCGUUCUAAGGAAAGGCCUACCGAGAAUAAUAGGGCAAGAAGGAUUGCAAUCUAUAUCAAGAACGAUAAAAUCUACGGGCACAUAAUUCCUAUUUGCAACAAUAAGAAAAUCAUUAAUUCCUCCCAUAGGUUUCUUAAUAGUGGAAUCGCAAGAUGCAAGUUUAGAGAGCAAUCAUCAAAAUUACGGAAAUCUAGCAAAUCACACAAAGUUUUGGGAAUAGUAGAGACACUAGCACCCAAAUCACACAAAGCAUAAAACUCAUGAUCUUUAAUUUUAAUUUUAAUGGUAGGUUCCCACUCAUCAUAAAGUUUUCUAGGGAUAGAAACUUCCAAUUCAAGUUUUUCUUCAUAAGAUUGCAUCAAGGCAUCAAUGAUAUGUUUAGUAAACGCUUUAUUUUGACUAUAAGCGUGAGGAGAAUUUAGCACGGAUUGCAACAAGGAAAUACAAUCAAUCAAAGAGCAAUUUUCAUAAUUAAAUUCCUUGAAAUCCAAUAUAGUGGGUUUAGCAACAUCUAGGGUUUUAAUUUCUUCAAUCCCACUUUUAUCAAAUUUAGCAUCAAGAUCAACAAAUUCCAAAUUCUUAGAACGCCUUCUAGGUGAAGGUGGAUCAUAUUCAGUCCCAUCAUUAUCAACGUUCAUAUUGCAAAACAAAGAUUUAAUAGGGGACACAUCAAUAACUUUUAGAUCUUCAUCAUUAUUUUCAUAGGAACUAGAAGAACACGCUUUAAUAAAGGCAUCUUUCUUAGCACACAUCCUAGCGGUUCUUUCUUUGCACUCAUCAAUGGAAAUUAUCAUGGCUUUGAGAGACUCAUUGAUAUCAUGCUUAGGUGGAAUAGAUCUAAGUUUCAAAGAAUCAACAUCAAGAGCAAUUCUAUCAACGUUCCUAGCCAAAUCAUCAAUCUUAAGCAAUUUUUCUUCAAUCAAAGCAUUAAAAUUCUUUUGCGAAGUAAUAAAUUCUUUAAUAUUAUAUUCAAAAUCAGAGGGCAUCUUAUUAUAAUUUCCAUAAGAAUUGUUGUGGGAAUUACCACAAUUAUUAGAGGGAUUACUAGGAUAAGGCCUAGGGUUGAAAUUUCCUCUAUACGCAUUGUUACCAAAAUUGUUCCUACCAACAAAAUUCACAUCCAUAGAUUCAUUAUUAUUCUCAAUCAAAUUAGACAAGGGCACAUCAUUAGGAUCAGAAGAAACACUCUUAUUAGCAAAUAAUUUCAUAAGUUCAUCCAUCUUUCCACUCAAAACAUUGAUUUCUUCUAUUGCAUGCACCUUUUUAGUAGAUCUUUCAGUAUGCCAUUGAGAAUAAUUAACCAUAAUAUUAUCUAGGAGUUUAGUAGCUUCUCCUAAAGUUAUUUCCAUAAAAGUGCCUUCCGGGGCCGAAUCUAAAAGAUUUCUAGAAGCAAAAUUCAAUCCGGCAUAAAACUUUUGUAUAAUCAUCCACAAAUUUAAACCAUGAGUAGGGCAAUUACGUAUCAUUAAUUUCAUUCUCUCCUAAGCUUGUCCAACAUGUUCAUGAUCAAGUUGCUUAAAAUUCAUAAUAUUGUUUCUAAGAGAGAUGAUCUUAGCGGGAGGAAAAUACUUAGAGAUAAAAGCAUCUUUGCACUUGUUCCAUGAAUCAAUACUAUUUUUAGGCAAAGACGAAAACCAAGCUUUAGCACGAUCUCUAAGCGGAAAAGGAAAUAGCUUCAAUUUAACAAUAUCAUUAUCGACAUCUUUCUUCUUUUGCAUGUCAUACAAAUCAACGAAACUAUUAAGAUGGGUAGCGACAUCUUCACUAGGAAGGCUGGAGAACGGAUCUUUCAUGACAAGAUUCAGCAAAGCAGUAUUAAUUUCACAAGAUUCAACAUCGAUAAGAGGAGCAAUCGGAGUGCUAAGGAAAUCAUUGUUGUUGGUAUUCGUGAAAUCACACAAUUUAGUAUUAUCUUGAGCCAUCACGACAAACAAGCAAUCCAACACACGAGCAAACAAAAGGCAAAUGGGCAAAAAGAGGCAAAUAGAGAAAGAGAGGGAGGAUAGAGAGAGAGAUGGCGAAUAAAACGGCAAGGGUGAAGUGGGGGAGAGGAAAACGAGAGGCAAAUGGCAAAUAAUGUAAUGCGGGAGAUAGGGAUUGUGAUGUGUACUUGGUAUGUUGACUUUUGCGCAGACUCCCCGGCAACGGCGCUAGAAAUGGCUCGUUGUCGGGAGUCAAAUCUUGACUUGCGCGAACCUCCCCGGCAAUGGCGCCAGAAAUUCUUCUUGCUACCUCUUGAGCAAUGCGUUGGAUUUCCCCGAAGAGGAGAGGAUGAUGCAGCAAAGUAGCAUAAGUAUUUCCCUCGGUUUUUGAGAACCAAGGUAUCAAUCCAGUAGGAGGCUACGCAUGAGUCCCUCGUACCUACACAAAAAAUAGCUCAACGCAACCAACACGCUUAGGGGUUGUCAAUCCCUUCACGGUCACUUACGAAAGUGAGAUCUGAUAGAGAUGAUAAAUAAUAUUUUUGGUAUAGAGAUGCACAGUGAAAAGUAAAAGCAAAGUAAAAGCAAAACAAUAAUAAAGUGAUGGAGAUUGAUAUGAUGAGAAAGAGACCCUGGGGCCAUAGGUUUCACUAGUGGCUUCUCUCAAGAGCAUAAGUAUUCUACGGUGGGUGAACAAAUUACUGUUGAACAAUUUAUAGAAUUGAGCAUAGUUAUGAGAAUAUCUAGGUAUGAUCAUGUAUAUAGGCAUCACGUCCGAGACAAGUAGACCGACUCCUGCCUGCAUCUACUACUAUUACUCCACUCAUCGACCGCUAUCUAGCAUGCAUCUAGAGUAUUAAGUUAAAAACAGAGUAACGCCUUAAGCAAGAUGACAUGAUGUAGAGGGAUAGUUUCAUGCAAUAUGAUAAAAAACCCAUCUUGUUAUCCUCGAUGGCAACGAUACAAUACGUGCCUUGCUGCCCCUUCUGUCACUGGGAAAGGACACCGCAAGAUCGAACCCAAAGCUAAGCACUUCUCCCAUGGCAAGAACAACCAAUCUAGUAGGCCAAACCAAACUGAUAAUUUGAAGAGACUUGCAAAGAUAACCAAUCAUACAUAAAGAGAAGAUUCAAAUAUUAUUCAUAAAUAGACUUGAUCAUAAACCCACAAUUCAUCGGACUCAACAAACACACCGCAAAAAGAAGAUUACACCGAAUAGAUCUCCACAAGAGAGGGGGAGAACAUUGUAUUGAGAUCCAAAAAGAGAGAAGAAGCCAUCUAGCUACUAACUAUGGACCCGUAGGUCUGAAAUAAACUACUCACACUUCAUCGGAGGGGCUUGGAUGAUGAUGUAGAUGCCUUCCGUGAUCGAUGACCCCUCCGGUGGAGCUCCAGAACAGGCCCCAAGAUGGGAUCUCGUGGAUACAGAAAGUUGCGGUAGUGGAAUUAGGUUUUUGGCUCCGUAUCUGAUCAUUUGGGGGUACGCAGGUAUAUAUAGGAGGAAGGAGUACGUCGGUGGAGCUUCGACGGGCCCACGAGGCAGGGGGCGCGCCCUAGGGAGGGGGCGCCCUCCACCCUCGUGACCGCCUCAUGGUUUUCUUGGCGGAGGGUCCAAGUCUCUUGGGUCUUAUCUGAUGAGAAAAUCGUGUUCUCGAAGGUUUCAUUCCGUUUGAACUCUGUUUGAUAUUCUGUUUCUCCAAAACAUUGAAAUAGGGAAAAAACAACAAUUCUGGGCUGGGCCUCCGGUUAAUAGGUUAGUCCCAAAAAUAAUAUAAAAGUGGAUAAUAAAGCCCAAUAAUGUCGAAAACAGUAGAUAAAAUAGCAUGGAGCAAUCAAAAAUUAUAGAUACGUUGGAGACGUAUCAUGGAGUUAGUCAUUUUUGCGGGAGGGGGAGAGAAAUUGGGGGUGCCGUGUAGUGGGGGAACCAGAAGUUACCAAAGCAGCCCCGACCUAUCAUGUAGAUGAGGGCGGUAUUGUAAAUGUUGGUCUCCGUGCGCCAAGGACAAAAGGGGAUUUCACAUGCUAAAGACUAAGGUGGCGGAAAUUUUAGAAGGAGGUGGGAGAUUUUGCCGCCCGCGGGAUCGUUCGUAUCCAGUUUCAACUAAUAUUGGACCGUGCUAGAGGGAAGGUCAUGCUAGACUAUGUACACGGGGCACGCGUCAGCAGUUAAUAACUGGUGUGGAGUCCACCCCAGAAAAAAAGACAAUAACUCGGGAUGAUGCGCCGUUAACUUGGACGUUCACACGGGCGCGACCAAUCGUACAGGUGUAGUGGCACGUUCACAAAAAGGGAUCAAACGCUCGGCCUAUGUAUUUCUCGUGUAAAUAGAUAAUUUAGUGCCAUUGGUUAUUUACUUUAAACAUAAUGCAUUGACGUGUUAGUGUAGAGGCGCACAAAAAAAUGGAUAUUGUAGUCAGCUACUUAAAAGUGUUACCUCAUAUGAUUACAUAGCCUCCAUUUCAUAAAUUGCGCACCCGUUGAAUUCAUAUAUGAAUAUUACAUAUAUUACUUCAAAAUAGAAACUUAAAUCAUCCAAGACUAAUGAAUAUGAAUACAAGAGUAUCAAUGGUGCAUAUACAUGAUAGCUACAUUGGUUGUUUGAAGAAACAUCAUUGUAACUUUGGCAUGCACAACUGAAAAUGUUUAUUUAAAUAGAAAAAAAUGUGAUAUGUGAGUGUCCAAUCUUUAUAGCGUUGAAUCGAUAUUGUACCUUUGGCCAUGAUACGAAGUAGAUAUUGACUUAUAUUCAAGCGAUGCACGUCCACGAUCGCUAGAUAGUGAUACGUGAAUGAAUUGUGCAAUCUCUCUCACACGCAUACAUAUCUCAUUUCCUUGUGGGCAUCGGAAUCACACAUGCGCACUUCGUAUAUUUCUCUCCCUCCGUCAGGGUUAAAUUCGUCUUUCUACCCCGUCCUACAAGUCUCUCACACAGAAACACACACGCUCUCUAUGUCUAACACGCCCACCCCUUUAAUUCCGCCCACCCACAGCCACUAAUGUCUCAAAGUAUAAUAAUGUCUCUCACACAUAUGCUAUCUACCUAUCCCUUAAUAUAGCUAGAUAUGUGUAACGCCCGGGUAAUCAAGCUACAGUAAAUCCACGCUAAUGGUGCCACGUCACCACGGUUACUGUUACUAAACUACCGUUAGAUCAAAACACUAUAAAUUCAAAUUUACACUUAGCAAACAGUCAAAAUUUUCAAAACAUUAAAACAAAAAUGUUCGGUGUGUGACAAAUAUUGCCAUGGUAAUUAUAGUGAAGAAAACAUAAUUUUACAAAGUGCCUAAGUGCUUUAAACUAAAUAAAACAGAAAAGAAAUAAAAGAAAAGAAAAUACAAAAGUAGAAGAUAAAAAAAAGGCAAAGAAAAAAAGGGCCCCCAGCUUUCUCCCUGGGCCUUAGCCACAAGGCCGGCCCACUUACUGUCGUCCCCCUCCUCUGUUCAUCAGGGGGAUCGUGGCAACGCAUCCACGGCGCCAUGGCCGGCCGUGGACACGCGCCGGGCAUCCAUGCCCCCCGCCUACUAGUCCCCCCGGACGCCCCUCUCUCCCUCCCCGAAACCCUAGCACCCAGAUCCCCUUCCCCCUCUCGCUUUGCUCUCUCUCUCGCAAGGCCGAGCGCUUCCAGCGUCGUCACCCCUUCGAUCCCGUAGCCACCAAGCUCUCCGGCGCUUGAGGCCAUGUCCAGCUGCGGCGACGUCGUUGGCUACAUCAAUACAUGGACGGGGUCAACCUUGGAGCUCCUGCAUCAAGCCCUGUGACAUCGUCUUCUUCCUCGGCCCCAACAAACUUCGUCAUCUAUUCCGGCAACAUCGAGCCCUCCCCGAGCCCACCUUGCUCAUCUACAGGCUCACUGUGAGCCCCUCUUCCUUUCCCCUUUGCUUCCCCCUCAGAUUCAUGCCGUAUCACCGCGUCCGCGAGCACCGAACUCCGCCGUCCGCCAUGGCCGACGGGGGUCAAGCACCCCGUGCUCCUCUGCCCGAACUAGUGUUCCUGAAGUGCUCCUGGCACUGCCAGGAGGCCGACGAGCCCAUCCGCUCGCCUUGCCGCGCCCUCUAGCCCAGGAUCCACCCUUGCCGUCACUCCGGCCGCCGCCUCGCUCAUCCCCUGCACCUCACCGCACGCUCGCGCUCACCCCGCGCCGACUGCGCCUCGUAGGCCUCCUGACGGUGCCAUGGCCGCGCCCCAGCGCGCGCCCAGCCGUCACGCCGUUGACCGCGUCCCGUGCGCCUGCCUUCUCUGUUGCUGCCGCUGCCGUUCCUGGCCGCGCGCGUGCAGCCCCGUGCCUGCUGCUGCCGCCGCCUCCCACAGCUGCUGCGUACCACGACUGCUGCUCAAGCUGCUGCCGCUGCUACUUGCUACGCGCGCGCUCGCCUGCUGCCGCUGCUUGCUGCUGCUAGCCACGACCAUGGCUAUGGUCGUGUGUGUGUGCAGCGUGUGUGUUCACAGCCACGGCUGGCUAUGCCCCUGACCGGUCCCUGGUUUAAUUAGGCUAGGAUUAACUAGGGCUAGUUUAGAUAGGUACUAAUUUAGUGCUGAUUAGUCUAUAUAAACAAUGACAUGUGCCCCCCUAGUUUAAAUUAAGUUAGACUAAGUAAUCUACACCUAUGACAAUGACAUGUGGGCCAAACCUACCCCUUUUAACUAGUCAAAUUGACUUGGUCAAUUCGGAUUAAAUCAAAAUAAAAUAAAACUAGGAAUUAAAAAAACAAUAAAACUUUGAAAAUUAAUAUAAAAUAAUCCGUAACUCGGAUGAAAAUACUUUGUACAUUAAAGUUGCUCAGAACGACGAGACGAAUACGAAUACGCGGUCCGUUUGUCAGCCACACGUUCCUAGCAUAGAAAACAUUUAACUUUUCCCACCGGUCCGUCUGUCCGAAAACGCGAAACAUCGGGAAUACUUUCCCGGAUGUUUUCCCCCUUGCCGGUAUCACCUGUCCCUGCGUUAGGUCUCCCCUAGCACAACGUAUUGCCGCGUCUUGCUUUGUGUUACAUUUGUUUGCUCUGUUAUUUAUUGUGUUCCCCCUCCGUUACUUCUUUCUGGUAGGCUCCGAGACCGUUGCCGAUACCCCUGUGAUCGACUACAUUGACGACGACCCCUUCUUGCCAGAGUAACCAGGCAAGCCCCCCCCCUUGAUCACCAGAUAUCGCCUACUCUCCUCUAUACUGCUUGCAUUAGAGUAGUGUAGCAUGUUAGUGCUUUCCGUUAAUCCUAUUCUGAUGCAUAGCCUGUCAUUGUUGCUACAACUGUUGAUACCUUACCUGCAAUCCUAAAUGCUUAGUAUAGGAUGCUAGAUUAUCAUCAGUGGCCCUACAUUCUUGUCUGUGUGCCAUGCUAUACUAUCGGGCCGUGAUCACUUGGGAGGUGGUCACAGGUAUAUACUUAUACAUUAUAUAUGAUACUUGUGGUGAUUAAAGUCGGGUCGGCUCGUAGGAGUACCCGCGAGUGAUUCCGAUGUUGGGGGCUGAAGGGGCAGGUGGCUCCAUCCCGGUAGAGGUGGGCCUGAGUUCCCGAAGGCCCCCGACUGUUACUUUGUGGCGGAGCGACAGGGCAGGUUGAGACCACCUAGGAGAGAGGUGGGCCUGGCCCUGGUCGGCGUCCGUGGUUAUUUCAAAAUAACAUGCUUAUCGAGAUCUUGGUAUUUGAUCUGAGUCUGGCUACUGGCCUAUACACACUAACCAUCUACGCGAGGACAGUUAUGGGCACUCGACGUCGUGGUAUCAGCCGAAGCCUUCGUGACGUCAGUGACUGAGCGGCGCGCGCCGGGUUGGACCGCGUAACGCAACUUCCUUUGUAAUGGAGGUUGCUAGGUUUGCUCUCCGGCCGCCCAUGCAAGGUGCAGGUGUGCAAUGGGCGAUGGGCCCAGACCCCUACGCCAUAGGAUUUAGACCGGCCUGCUGACCUCUCUGUUGUGCCUAGGUAGGGCUGCGACGUGUUGAUCUUCCGAGGCCGGGCAUGACCCAGAAAAGUGUGUCCGGACAAAGGGGAUCGAGCGUGUUGGGAAACGUGGUGCACCCCUGCAGGGAAGUUAAUCUAUUCGAAUAGCCGUGUCCCUUGGUAAAAGGACGACCCGGAGUUGUACCUGGACCUUAUGACAACUAGAACCAGAUACUUAAUAAAACACACCCUUUUCAAGUGCCAGAUACAACCCGGUGAUCGCUCUCUAACAGGGCCACAAGCAGAGGAUCACCGGGUAGGAUUAUGCUACAUGAUGCUACUUGGUGGACUUACCUUCUGCUCUCUUCUACAUGCUGCAAGAUGGAGCUGGCCAGAAGCGUAGUCUUUGAUAGGACUAGCUAUCCCCCUCUUAUUCCGGCAUUCUGCAGUUCAGUCCACAUAUGAUAGCCUUAUUCCAUUUGAUACCAAUGCAUACAUAUGUAGUGUAGCUCCUUGCUUGCGAGUACUUUGGAUGAGUACUCACGGUUGCUUUGCUCCCUCUUUUCUCCCUUUCUAUACCCGAUUGCUGCGACCAGACGAUGGAGCCCAGGAGCCAGACACCACCGUCGACGACGACUCCUACUACACUAGAGGUGCCUACUACUACGUGCAGCCCGCUGACGACGACUAGGAGUAGUUUAGGAGGAUCCCAGGUAGGAGGCCUGUGCCUGUUUCGAUCUGUAUCCCAGUUUGUGCUAGCCUUCUUAAGCAAUCUUGUUUAACUUAUGUCUGUACUCAUAUAUUGUUGCUUCUGCUGACUCGUCUAUGAUCGAGCUCUUGUAUUUGAGCCUUCGAGGCCCCUGGCUUGUAAUAUGAUGCUUGUAUGACUUAAUUUAUUUGUAGAGUUGUGUUGUGAUAUCUUCCCGUGAGUCCCUGAUCUUCAACGUACACGUUUCCGUGUAUGAUUAGUGUAUGAUUGAAUCGGGGGCGUCACAAUAUGUGUCACACAAACUCCUCCCUAUUAGCAAGAUGACCAUGCGUUGCAUGGGACAUCAAGAUGCAUUUGUAUGAGAAGUUUAUCUUGUGGGAGAAAAGGAUGAACAAGGGAAUGCCUUAUUUGCAAAUGUGGAGAGAGGUGUGGGUAUCUUUUUGCAAAAUUGUCAUAGUUUCCUUCCUGUCCGUCGGAUAUAAAUCGGAUGGCCUAUAUUGCAUGAUGGCAGAAACACCAUCAUCACCAACUCUGUUUUUUAUAAGAGUAGAGAUAUGUGAGUGUCACUGCCCCCCCCCACACGCCCACAAUUCCCAACACCGAAGGAGUAGGGUGACACCUCGAUCUUGAUACUAAUCUAUUGACUGGCUUCUCUCUCAAACAUACACACGCACACACUACCCGGCACCGAAGGAGUAGGGUGGCACAUCGAUCUUGAUAAUAAUCUAUCUACUCCUCUUUCAAACACACGCACACACACUCGCUAGUUGUGCCUCUGUGCCUACCGCGCACACUCUCGAUACGUCUUGCUCUCCCUCCCCCCCAACAAUGACAGCAGAAGGGUGACAACUCGAUCUGAUCAUAAUCUGUCAACUGGUUUCUCUCUCAAACAUUGUGUCUCGGUGCCUCGCUCGGUAUCCCCCUCGAUAUGUAGACUUCUCGCGCGCGCACAACUGUAGUGACGAUGAUGCUGAACCCAGUGUGCCUUGUUUUUACCGGCCUCAUGUGAUAGUUUUCACCUUGUUUUCUGUUAAUUAACAAGGCAACCUUUUCUUUGUUAAUACUAGUCAAUCCGAAAUCAUUCGGGGCAGACAAAAAAUAUAUCACUUCAACCCAAUUAUCGCAGCAACUAUUUUAAAAGAAAUUAGCUAGCUGCCCGUGCGUUGCACGGAACAUCAAGAUGCAUUUGUAUGAGUAGUUUAUCUUGUGAGAGAAAAGGUUGAACGAGGGAAGGCCUUAUUUGCGAACAUGGAGAGACGUGUGGGUAUAUUUUUGCAAAAUUGCCAUAGUUUCUUUCCUAUCCGUUAGAUAUAAAUCCGACGACCUAUAUUGCAGGAUGGCACGCACACCAUCAUCACCAACUCUGUUUUCUACUCUCUCCGUCCGACAAUACUUGUCAUCAAAAUGGAUAAAAAGAGAUGUAUCUAAAACUAAAAUAUGUCUAGAUACAUUUCCUUUUAUCCAUUUUGAUGACAAGUAUUUCCGGACGGAGGGGGUAUUUGUCUUUUUAGAGAUUUCAACAAGUGACUAUGACCGGACCUUACCAACAUACUCAAAAAAGUAGUCCAUAAUUUUGAUGUUAUCCUCUUUUCUUGGCGGUGCAGUGCUACCUCUUGAGCUUGCGUUGGUUUUUCCCGAAGAGGAAGGGAUGAUGCAGCAAAGUAGCGUAAGUAUUUCCCUCAGUUUUUGAGAACCAAGGUGUCAAUGCAGUAGGAGGCCACGCUCAAGUCCCUCGUACCUGCACAAAACGAUAGCUACUCGCAACCAACGCGGUAAGGGGUUGUCAAUCCCUUACGGUCACUUACGAGAGUGAGAUCUGAUAGAUAUAAUAUUUUUGGUAUAAAGAUGCAAAGUGAAAAGUAAAGGCAAAGUAAAAAGCAAAAUAAGAUUAAAGUGAUGGAGAUUGAUAUGAUGAGAAUAGACCCCGGGGCCAUAGGUUUCACUAGUGGCUUCUCUCAAGAGCAUAAGUAUUCUACGGUGGGUGAACAAAUUACUGUUGGGCAAUUGACAGAAUAGAGCAUAGUUAUGAGAAUAUCUAGGCAUGAUCAUGUAUAUAGGCAUCACGUCCGUGACAAGUAGACCGAAACGAUUCUGCAUCUACUACUAUUACUCCACUCAUCGACCGCUAUCCAGCAUGCAUCUAGAGUAUUAAGUUAAAAAUAGAGUAACGCCUUAAGCAAGAUGACAUGAUGUAGAGACAUAAAUUCAUGCAAUAUGAAAUAAACCCCAUCUUGUUAUCCUCGAUGGCAAUGAUACAAUACGUCCCUUGCUACCCCUUCUGUCACUGGGAAAGGACACCGCAAGAUCGAACCCAAAGCUAAGCACUUCUCCCAUGGCAAGAACUACCAAUCUAGUUGGCCAAACCAAACGGAUAAUUCGAAGAGACUUGCAAAUAUAACCAAUCAUACAUAAAAGAAUUCAGAGAAGAUUCAAAUAUUAUUCAUAGAUAGACUUGAUCAUAAACCCACAAUUCAUCGGUCUCGACAAACACACUGUAAAAAGAAGAUUACAUCGAGUAGAUCUCCACAAGAGAGGGGGAGAACAUUGUAUUGAGAUCCAAAAAGAGAGAAGAAGCCAUCUAGCUACUAACUAUGGACCCGAAGGUCUGAGGUAAACUACUCACACUUCAUCAGAGAGGCUAUGAUGAUGUAGAAGCCCUCCGUGAUGACGGCCCUCUCCGGCGGAGCUCCAGAACAGGCCCCAAGAUGGGAUCUCGUGGAUACAGAAAGUUGCGGUGGUGGAAUUAGGUUUUUGGCUCCGUUUCUAUUCGUUUGGGGGUACGUAGGUAUAUAUAGGAGGAAGGAGUAUGUCAGUGGAGCAUCAAGGGGCCCACGAGGCAAGGGGGCGCGCCCUGGGGGGGCGCCCCCCACCCUCGUGACCGCCUCUUUGACUCCUUGGGGUAGGGUCCAAGUCUCCUGGAUCACGUUCGGCGAGAAAAUCAUGUUCCCGAAGGUUUUAUUCCGUUUGGACUUCGUUUGAUAUUCCGUUUCUUCGAAACACUGAAAUAGGCAAAAAAAUAACAAUUCUGGGCUGGGCCUCCGGUUAAUAGGUUAGUCCCAAAAGUAAUAUAAAAGUGAAAAAUAAAGCCCAAUAUAGUCCAAACAGUAGAUAAUAUAGCAUGGAGCAAUCAAAAAUUAUAGAUACGUUGGAGACGUAUCAGGCAUCCCCAAGCUUAAUUCCUUCUCGUCCUCGAGUAGGUAAAUGAUAAAAAGAGAAUUUUUGAUGCGGAGUGCUACUUGGCAUAAUUUCAAUGAAAAUAUUCUUAAUUGUGAUAUGAAUAUUCAGAUUCGAAAGAUUCAAGACAAAAUUUCAUAUUGACAUAAAAAUAAUAAUACUUCAAGCAUACUAACAAAGCAAUUAUGUCUUCUCAAAAUAACAUGGCCAAAGAAAGUUAUCCCUACAAAAUCACAUAGUCUGGCUAUGCUCUAUCUUCACCACACAAAGUAUUUAAAUCAUGCACAACCCCGAUGAUAAGCCAAGCAAUUGUUUCAUACUCUAACUUUUUCAAAACUUUUUCAAUCUUCACGCAAUACAUGAGCGUGAGCCAUGGAUAUAGCACUAUAGGUGGAAUAGAAUGGUGGUUGUGGAGAAGACAAAAAGGAGGGGAAGAUAGUCUCACAUCAACUAGGCGUAUCAACGGGCUAUGGAGAUGCCCAUCAAUAGAUAUCAAUGUGAGUGAGUAGGGAUUUCCAUGCAACGGAUGCACUAGAGCUAUAAGUAUAUGAAAGCUUAAAAAGAAACUAAGUGGGUGUGCAUCCAACUUGCUUGCUCAUGAAGACCUAGGGAAAUUUGAGGAAGCCCAUCAUUGUAAUAUACAAGCCAAGUUCUAUAAUGUAAAAUUCUCACUAGUAUAUGAAAGUGAUAACAUGAGAGACUCUCUACUAUGAAGAUCAUGGUGCUACUUUGAAGCACAAGUGUGGUAAAAGGAUAGUAGCAUUGCCCCUUUUUAUUUAUUUUCUUUUUUGGGGGGCCUUCUUUUUUUUGGCCUUUCUCUCCUUUUUUGGGACAAUGCUCUAUGAAAUGAUGAUCAUCACACUUUUAUUUAUUUACAACUCAAUGAUUACAACUCGAUUCUAAAACAAAGUAUGACUCUAUAUGGAUGCCUCCGACGGUGUACCGGGAUAUGCAAUGAAUCAAGAGUGACAAGUAUGAAAAAAUUAUGAAUGGUGGCUUUUCCACAAAUACUAUGUCAACUACAUGAUCAUGCUAAGGAAUAUGACAAUGAUGAAUGUGUCAUGAUAAACUAGAUGGUGGAAAGUUGCAUGCCAAUAUAUCUCGGAAUGGCUAUGGAAAUGCCAUAAUAGGUAUGUAUGGUGGCUGUUUUAAGGAAGGUAUAUGGUAGGUGUAUGAUACCGGCGAAAGGUGCGCGGUAUUAGAGAGGCUAGCAAAGGUGGAAGGGUGAGAGUGCGUAUAAUCCAUGGACUCAACAUUAGUCAUAAAGAACUCAUAUACUUAUUGCAAAAAUCUAGAAGUUAUCAAAGCAAAGUAUUAUGCACAUACUCCUAGGGGGAUAGAUUGGUAGGAAAAGACCAUCGCUCGUCCCCGACCGCCACUCAUAAUGAAGACAAUCAAUAAAUAAAUCAUGCUCCAACUUCAUCACAUAACGGUUCACCAUACAUGCAUCCUACGGGAAUCACAAACCUUAACACAAGUAUUCUUUAAAUUCACAACUACUCAACUAGCAUGACUUUAAUAUUAUCACCUCCAUAUCUCAAAACAAUUAUCAUGUUUCAAUCUUUUCUUAGUAUUCUACACAUUCAAAAUAGAGUUUCACAAAUCUUGAAUACCAAGCAUAUUAUUAUUAAGCAAAUUACCAUGCUAUUAAGACUCUCAAAAUAAUUUAAGUGAAGCAUGAGAGAUCAAUAGUUUCUUUAAAACAAAUCCACCAUCGUGCUCUAAAAGAUCUAAGUGAAGCACAUAGAGCAAAAUUACAUAGCUCAAAAGAUAUAAGUGAAGCACAUAGAGCAAAAUUAUAACGCUCAAAAGAUAUAAGUGAAGCACAUGGAGUAUUCUAUCAAAUUUUAAUUCAUGUAUGGCUCUAUCAAAAGGUGUGUACAGCAAGGAUGAUUGUGGCAUACUAAAUCACAAAGACACAAAUAAUACAAGACGCUCCAGGCAAAACACAUAUCAUGUUGGUGAAUAAAAAUAUAGCUCCAAGUAAAUUACCGAUAGAAGUGGACGAAAGAGGGGAUGCCUUCCGGGGCAUCCCCAAGCUUUGAAUUUUUGGUGUCCUUGGAUUAUCUUGGGGGUGCCAUGGGCAUCCCCAAGAUUAGGCUCUUGCCACUCCUUGUUCCAUAAUCCAUCAAAAGAAUUCACCCAAAACUUGAAAACUUCACAACACAAAACUUAAAGUAGAAAACUCGUGAGCUCUGUUAGCGAAAGAAAACAAAAGAACACUUCAAGGUACUGUAAUGAACUCAUUCUUUAUUUAUAUUGGUGUUAAACCUACUGUAUUGCAACUUCUCUAUGGGUUAUAAACUAUUUUACUAACCAUAGAUUCAUCAAAAUAAGCAAACAACACACGAAAAACAGAAUCUGUCAAAAACAGAACAGUCUGUAGUAAUCUGUAGCUAGCGCAAUAUCUGGAACCCCAAAAAUUCUAAAAUAAAUUUCUGGACGUGAGUAAUUUAUCUAUUAAUCAUAUUCAAAAGGAAUUAACUAAAUAUCACUCUUGAAAUAAAAAUGACAGCAGUUCUCGUGAGCGCUAGAGUUUCUGUUUUUUUACAGCAAGUUCAACAAGACUUUCCCCAAGUCCUCCCAACGGUUCUACUUGACACAAACACUAAUUAAACACAAAAAACAUAACCAAAACAUAGGCUCGAUAAUUUAUUUAUUACUAAACAGGAGCAAAAAGCAAGGAAUAAAAAUAAAAUUGGGUUGCCUCCCAACAAGCGCUAUCGUUUAACACCCCUAGCUAGGCAUAAAAGCGAGGAUAGAUCUAGGUAUUGCCAUCUUUGGUUUUAGAGAAAAAGAGAGCAAACUUGUUAUCUAUGGAAUUAAUCUUUCUAUUUUUACAGAGUACAUGUCCAUUAAUGGUAGAAGAAAGAUUAAGAAUGUUGCGGAAAUUGGCAUCUAGGCUAGCUUUUAUCUCUUUAAUAGAUUCGUUUUGGUAAGAAAGCAAGAGAGAUGUGAUUUCAGCUUUCUCAUUAAUGGGGUGCCCAAAUAUAGUUUUCAUCCUCUCAUAGGUAUCUAUGGGGUCCCCUUCAAGAAACCCCCCCUCGAAAAUAGAAUCUAAAACUUGUUUGAACGAAGCGGGUAGCCCAACAUAAAAGCUUUUUAAGUAAACCUCAAUUUGAUAUUGGGGUACAUAGCUAGCCCGGAUCCUUAACAGCCUAUCCCAAGCAUCUUUCAAAGAUUCAUCAAGUAAAUAACGAAAAAUUCCAGAAUCAUCUUCAUCAAAAUUACUAAGGUUCUCAUUGGUAACUCCGGCAAGUUGUUCCAUAGCAUUCCGAUUUAUGAGUUUAGAUAAGAUAGCAGGAUUGUCUAAAGCACUAGAACUUGGGAGAGAACUCCCAACUCUUUUCGGUUCUGACAUGGCGAGGGAAAAGAGGCAAAUAGAAAAAGAGAGGGAGGAUAGAGAUAGAGAGGGCGAAUAAAACGGCAAGGGUGAAGUGGGGGAGAGGAAAACAAGAGGCAAAUGGCAAAUAAUGUAAUGCGAGAGAUAGGGAUUGUGAUGGGUACUUGGUAUGUUGACUUUUGCGUAGACUCCCCGGCAACGACGCCAGAAAUGGCUCGUUGACGGGAGUCAAAUCUUGACUUGCGCGAACCUCCCCGGCAACAGCGUUAGAAAUCCUUCUUGCUACCUCUUGAGCUUGCGUUGGUUUUCCCCGAAGAGGAAGGGAUGAUGCAGCAAAGUAGCGUAAGUAUUUCCCUCGGUUUUUGAGAACCAAGGUAUCAAUCUAGUAGGAGGCCACGCUCAAGUCCCUCGUACCUGCACAAAACGAUAGCUACUCACAACCAACGCGAUUAGGGGUUGUCAAUCCCUUCACGGUCACUUAUGAGAGUGAGAUCUGAUAGAUAUACUAUUUUUGGUAUUUUUGGUAUAAAGAUGCAAAGUAAAAAGUAAAGGCAAAGUAAAAAGCAAAACAAGAUUAAAGUGAUGGAGAUUGAUAUGAUGAGAAUAGACCCGGGGGCCAUAGGUUUCACUAGUGGCUUCUCUCAAGAGCAUAAGUAUUCUACGGUGGGUGAACAAAUUACUGUUGAGCAAUUGACAGAAUAGAGCAUAGUUAUGAGAAUAUCUAGGCAUGAUCAUGUAUAUAGGCAUCACGUCCGUGACAAGUAGACCGAAACGAUUCUGCAUCUACUACUAUUACUCCACUCAUCGACCGCUACCCAGCAUGCAUCUAGAGUAUUAAGUUAAAAACAGAGUAACGCCUUAAGCAAGAUGACAUGAUGUAGAGAGAUAAAUUCAUGCAAUAUGAAAUAAACCCCAUCUUGUUAUCCUUGAUGGCAACGAUACAAUACGUGCCUUGCUGCCCCUUCUCUCACUAGGAAAGGACACCGCAAGAUCGAACCCAAAGCUAAGCACUUCUCCCAUGGCAAGAACUACCAAUCUAGUUGGCUAAACCAAACGGAUAAUUCGAAGAGACUUGCAAAGAUAACCAAUCAUACAUAAAAGAAUUCAGAGAAGAUUCAAAUAGUAUUCAUAGAUAGACUUGAUCAUAAACCCACAAUUCAUCGGUCUCAACAAACACACUGCAAAAAGAAGAUUAUAUCGAAUAGAUCUCCACAAGAGAGGGCGAGAACUUUGUAUUGAGAUCCAAAAAGAGAGAAGAAGCCAUCUAGCUACUAACUAUGGACCCGAAGGUCUGAGGUAAACUACUCACACUUCAUCGGAGGGGCUAUGAUGAUGUAGAAGCCCUCCGUGAUGACGGCCCUCUCCGGCGGAGCUCCAGAACAGGCCCCAAGAUGGGAUCUCGUGGAUACAGAAAGUUGCGGCGGUGGAAUUAGAUUUUUGGCUCCAUUUCUGUUCGUUUGGGGGUACAUAGGUAUGUAUAGGAGGAAGGAGUACGUCGGUGGAGCAUCGAGGGGCCCACGAGGUAGGGGGCGCGCCCUAGGGGGGGGCGCCCCACACCCUCAUGACCGCCUCUUUGACUCCUUGGAGUAGAAUCCAAGUCUCCUAGAUCACGUUCGGCGAGAAAAUCAUGUUCCCAAAGGUUUUAUUCCGUUUGGACUCCGUUUGAUAUUCCGUUUCUUCGAAACACUGAAAUAGGGAAAAAACAGCAAUUCUGGGCUGGGCCUCCGGUUAAUAGGUUAGUCCCAAAAGUAAUAUAAAAGUGGAAAAUAAAGCCCAAUAUAGUCCAAAACAGUAGAUAAUAUAGCAUGGAGCAGUCAAAAAUUAUAGAUACGUUGGAGACGUAUCAUGCAGUGCCAUCUGGAUACCUCAUAAAUAAAUUAAGGACAAAUCUAACCCCUUCUUGAAAAGGCAUAUGGAGCAAAAUGAGUGAAUCUACACUAUAAAAUAUGUCUACAUACACAUCCGUAUGUGGUAGUCCAUUUGAAAUCUGAAAAAGACAAAUAUUUAGGAACGAAUGGAGUAUAUAUAAGAGUAGACAUGGAGAUAUAUCUCCAGCAUGAUUUACAACAAAAAUGUGCUGGGCUGGUUAGCGCCGGAUGCUCGCAAUGCGAUGACAUGAGUUCGAAUUCUGUCUUUUAACUUUAUAUUUUUAUAUCAUAUAUUACUCUACUUAUUUAAUAUAUACUUCUUUCGCUACUGUACUAACAGUGGAACCCACAUAGUACUUAGAAUACAAGAUUAAGGAUGGACUUGUUUCUUUUUAACUUUCUGUACGAAGUUGUAGCCACCCUGCAAGUCACGUGUACACUGUACAUGCAAUUAACUUUUUAUAGAGGGACAAUCAUACAUGCAAUUAACUCAAAUGGAUUGGAUGUCACUCUAUUAUUUCCAUCAUAAAGAGCAUCUCCAACGGCAGCCGGCAAAUUUCCUCCUGCUUCCUUAAGCGGAGGACGACAUCAAACGCCAUCGGCAUACAUUUUUACAACUCUAACCAACCAAAUGAAAUUCGUGCAAGCACGGACUGAUUUCAUAUAAGCAUGAAGGAUUUCGUAUAAAAAAGCCGGAUCUUCAUAUAAACAUGAUGGAUUUCAUUACAUUUACAUGAACUAAGAGGUGCCAAUCCGGCUCUCUUGUAUAAUUAAUACUCCCUCCGUCCGGAAAUACUUGUCCUAGAAAUGGAUGUAUCUAGACUAUUUUAGUUCUAAAUGGCCGCCCGCGGAUCUCUUUGUCUUCCUCAUGUCCGUCAGACACUUGAGGGGUCGAUGAAGGUCCUCGGAAGAGACGAAGCAACAAAGAAACCACCUGCAUCCGCGGUCGUCGCCUCGGCGGUGGCCUUCAUGGGUCCCAAGUGGCGGCGGCUUCCCGUGUUCUACUUCUCCUCGAUGAUGGCGGCGGACACGGACAAUCUGGCCACCGACUCGUCGCUCUCCACGCACCCGACUUCUGUCUCUGCCUGCAUGGCGCUGUCGCAGGAACGGGAGGCACGCCCACAGACACGGGAGGCGCGGCCACCGCAGACACUGGUGGCGCGGUACGACGCGGCAGAGAUUGCGCCCAUAUUGGCAUGCUCGCCGCCGUGCCAGCAUGGAGCAACUCGCCACUCCUCAUCAAGCUGAACUGGAGCGGCGAGUUGCUGAACCACGCGCCUGCUUGGGGCGGCAACUGGCUCCGUCGGGCCAAGCGAGGUUGGUGAAGCACCGAGCGGCGUUGCCCGUAUCCGGAGGGCUCGGCGGGUCACCCAGCCGGGUAAUAUGCCGGAGAACGGCUCAUCGGAAGAGUGGAGAAAAUGGUGAAGGAGGAGAUGGGGGAGCGGCGGAGGGGUGCGAUUCUUGCUCGCUAUCUGUCUGGCCUCGUGUAAAUAGAGGGCGGAUGGUAGGAGCUUGGCCGGCGUCUGGCCUCGUUUAAACUGAGGGUAGACGGGAGGAGCUCGGCCGGUGUUGCGUUUAAUUCCGGCCCGCUCAUGAAUGGACGUGUGGCCGGAGUAGGAUUCUCGGUUUGCAUGCGGGUUUAACGGAGGGGUUUAAUGGAGGCGCCGGGCGUGCAGCGGGCGACACAAUACUAUUCGAUUUGACAGCAGUAAUGAGCCGUCAAAUCACAAAGGCCCUCGCCUCUCAUGAAACCGACCGAGCUAGACUGCCCCACCCUCUAGCCUUUAAAAAAAUAUAUAUACUCCACUUUUGUACAGUAGUAGUAUCGAUAGAUUGCGCCAUGGAGCAAAACUUGAAAUUAAAAAAGGUGGUACAUAUAGAGAGGGAGUAUUCGAUUUGACGGGCGACGCAGUUCCCGAUACGGCUUUAAUGCAGACGAGGGAGGGAUAGCAGUUCUUGAUAUGUUGAACGUCCAAUGCAUCCUCCUUCAAUUUAUGCAUGAGGGAAGUAAUGGGAGGAGGUCCGGGAAAAGAGGCUGCACGAUGUGAAUGUAACGCAGUUUGCCAUCAUUGCCCUCAUAUAAAGGCGCCCCUCCAUUCCAAUGCAUCUACCACAUCAUACGCACCUAAGCAUUUGCCUAAGCACCUACACUAAGCCCAAAAGAUCUCACACCAGACCCAUGGCGGUGACGCGCGUGAGCGGCCAGCGGCGGCGCCUGAUGGUCCACGAUGCCGGCCUGUGGCAUGGCGCCGAGGAUUGUCUCUAGACGAUGUUGGAGACCGGCUGGUGGAUGGCCGCCGUCGACGCCAACUAUGACUCUCAGUUGGACCAGAUGAUCGUUGCCACCAGCAACAAGUUCACCGUCCUCAAGAAGCUCGCGGACGACAUCGCCGUACUCCUCCAGCCCAUGCGCCCGGGCUCCUCAUUGCCUGCCACCCUAAUCGGCCUCCAUGGCCGGAACCUCUUUCAAGCACUGGUGGCCCUGCGACUGCCCGCCGACGCCACAAAGAAUGUCCACCUAGAGGCCGCGCUCGCCGCGAGGCGCCUCGCCCUUCAAGAAUUUGUCGACCUACACAUCCACGUGUACGAGGAAAUCGUGUACAUAGGUAUCUACAAGGGCAGUCAGGACGCUACGACGUUGGCCUUCCCCAACCGGCUGGAAGCCUUGGAUGCCUUUGCUGAGAAGCACCUCGACCUCACCACAAAAGCCGCCGCUCCUUAGCAGCCGGUCGGUGGCCUGGCGCACUAAGUUGAGGAGGAGGAGGUCGUACGUUCGUGGAUCCAUCUUUCUUCUUGCCUUCUGUAACCACCACUGCAAUCACAUCAUCGUGGCCUUAAUUCUUAUUGUGCUGUUGCAUUCUCGUUCCAGUCAAUACUGACAUGUGCGAUCCCUUUGCUUAAUUAUAUGCAUCACUGUAACUAGUACUCCAUCCGUUAAUUUAUAAGUUGUGCUUACCUUUUCCAUCAACUUCGUGCAACGCGCGUGCAUCUUGCUAGAAACACUAGAAUAUGUCUAUAUAAUCCGUAUGUGAUAGUCCAUUUGAAAUCUCAAAGAAGACAAAUAUUUAGGUACGGAGGGAGUAAUAUAUUAGGAGUAUAUCAAAACAAUAGUGAUUUCUUUCAAGUUUGUGAACAAAUACUACUAUUCUACUACUUUGGAUCCGUCCCAACACACGGGCACAUUGCUGGUAAAAGGAAAAGGCCUGUCACGUUCGCGUCGCACCCCCACACGCCCGGGAAUCGGGAGUACAACACGGCCCGUCCGACACGACACAUAGCUUAGGGAAGGCGUGCUGCCUAGCAUUUUCACUUUCAUGUGGGACCGCCGUUGAGCAAACCAACACCCCGCCCACCGCCGGGUUGAAAACAGAAACAAGGGGAAGAUCUAGCUGUAGCACGGAAGCCAAGAAAUUUGGUGUCAGACGGGGCUUGUUGAUAGAGUAGGAGCAUUCCGUACUAGUACUACUCCUACUAGUACCAAGUUUGUACUCCUAAUACUAUAUUACUAGUACUACCACUAUACAACUAGUAGGUACGUGCACGACACAACAUCGUAGGAACAAAAAAGGGAAGAUCUUGUUUUGGGUGAUUUAUCUUUUUUUCAAUCAACGUAGUAUGAAUAAUAUGAUGUGGGGGCACCCAUGAAGCUUAUGUGGCUUGGUUGCAUGGCUACGGAAGGUUAGAGAAAAAUAAAUAGAUAAUGUGUUUAGAGUGCACUCCACUAAAUAGAUAUACUUUGGAUCCAUUGCAACACAUCUAUAUCUAUACCCCAUAUAUAGUGUGUGAAAAUCUUUGAAAGUUGGUCGUUGGAUGAAGCCAAUCCGAUGGUACAAAGAUGGAAAAUCCGAGCACUACUGGCCGUUGGAUAUCAUCCACCAGAUUCUGCCACAUGUAUAAUCUAGAAGACUCCAUGGUUGAACUUAAUUCAUGACUAACUUUGCCACAACUAAGCUUAGGCAAAGUUAUUAGUUCUUCAAAAAAAUGAGAGCCACAAGUUGGCAAGCCUAAGGGAAUCUUGCCACAUUUUUUGUGUGUAUGUCAUGUGGGGCCUUAGUGUGGCUUGCCUAAGGUAUGGCUUGAACCAAACACUCACCUAAGUUAAUCAAACUUGCCUAACCUUACAUUCCACCAGAUUCUUCUUCUUCUUCUUCUUCUUCUUCUUCUUCUGCUUCUUCUUCUUCUUCUUCUCCUUCUCCUUCUCCUUCUCCUUCUCCUUCUCCUUCUCCUUCUCCUUCUCCUUCUCCUUCUCCUUCUCCUUCUCNNNNNNNNNNNNNNNNNNNNNNNNNNNNNNNNNNNNNNNNNNNNNNNNNNNNNNNNNNNNNNNNNNNNNNNNNNNNNNNNNNNNNNNNNNNNNNNNNNNNNNNNNNNNNNNNNNNNNNNNNNNNNNNNNNNNNNNNNNNNNNNNNNNNNNNNNNNNNNNNNNNNNNNNNNNNNNNNNNNNNNNNNNNNNNNNNNNNNNNNNNNNNNNNNNNNNNNNNNNNNNNNNNNNNNNNNNNNNNNNNNNNNNNNNNNNNNNNNNNNNNNNNNNNNNNNNNNNNNNNNNNNNNNNNNNNNNNNNNNNNNNNNNNNNNNNNNUCUCCUUCUUCUCCUCCUCCUUCUUCUCCUCCUUCUCCUUCUUCUCCUGCUUCUCCUUCUUCUCCUGCUUCUCCUUCUUCUCCUUCUUCUCCUUCUCCUCCUUCUCCUCCUUCUCCUCCUUCUCCUUCUUCUCCUUCUUCUUCUUCUUCUUCUUCUUCUUCUUCUUCUUCUUCUUCUUCUUCUUCUUCUUCUUCUUCUUCUUCUUCUUCUUCUUCUUCUUCUUCUUCUUCUUCUUCUUCUUCUUCUUCUUCUUCUUCUUCUUCUUCUUCUUCUUCUUCUNNNNNNNNNNNNNNNNNNNNNNNNNNNNNNNNNNNNNNNNNNNNNNNNNNNNNNNNNNNNNNNNNNNNNNNNNNNNNNNNNNNNNNNNNNNNNNNNNNNNNNNNNNNNNNNNNNNNNNNNNNNNNNNNNNNNNNNNNNNNNNNNNNNNNNNNNNNNNNNNUCUCCUCCUUCUCCUCCUUCUCCUUCUCCUUCUCCUUCUUCUCCUUCUCCUCCUUCUCCUCCUUCUCCUCCUCCUUCUCCUUCUCCUCCUUCUUCUUCUUCUUCUCCCAUCCAGACGACCUUAAUGCCACCGUCUCGUCACCCUUCUGAAGAUUUGUACCGAGCACAAAAUUUUCUACGUCGAAUAGGGAUGGUGUGUGUUUAUCACAAUCUUCUACAGGAAUUUUGAUUCUGGUUUGUAGGUCAGCGAUGCUUUUCAAAUCAAGGUUGUAUGGCUCCAACUUCUGUUUGUCCCCUUCGAUGGCUGCCCCACAGAAGUAUACGUCCUCCCGAGACAAGAAAUCGUGAAGCUCACGUGGUAUGGAGGGCGAGUGUAUGAUGUGGUACACCAAAACAUCAUCUUCAUGGCACAGCUGAAGGACGGCGGCGCGCUGGAUCUUCCCAGGGGCACGCUCCGUGUACUCUGCGUCGAGACCGAUGACCCUCGUCUCUACCUUUUCGAGGGAGAUUUAUACAUUGUUGAUCCAUUGCCGAACAACCCUUGGGUGGAUGGUGACGGUGGCAACUAUGCGCAUCGAGCCUUCGAUGAGGACAUGUUGGACGCUAAAAACCUGCAUCUCGAUCUCUUCCGCCAUUUGGAACCGCUGGAACGGAGGGCUAUGGUUUGGAGAAUUAGGAUUAGAUGUGUAGUCUAACUGAAGUAGUAGGUGAUUAUUUAAAGAGGUUAAAACAAUGUGAACGCAGUGGGGUUUGGAUGCAAAUGAAGAUGAAGGGGAGGUGAAGAAGCCGAGGAGAAUUGGUUCCUGAUGGAGAAGUAAAUGGGAGAAGUGGCGUGCAGGCGGUUGAUUAGACGACUAGGUAGACUAAACGAAAAGGCUAUGCGGGUAGACUGAUGAGUCGUACCUGUUCGUGUACGUGCCCAUCCUUCCUGAUAGGUGGGACCUAUGCAAAUAGAUAAAAAAAUGUGUCGUAGUUUUUUUUGAGCGCGUGAGUGGGAGACACAACAUUCUCUGGUUAAGGAAUACUCCCUCCGUUUAGGUGAGUAUAAGUCACCUUAUGAAAACCAGGUUUUCCCAAAACCUUUAGGCAUGGAGCAUUAACUUCCUGCUCGAUCCCCUCCCAGCCUUGUUAGCCGGCGUUCUCUUCCUCUGCUGCCGCAUUCUACCUUUCCAUUUUUCCUCUUCUCAAGUGUGGAACGAUCUGCAUGCCGUCCUUGAUGCACCGGAACGACCACUGCAUGCAUCGCGGCAGGGUGUUGAUUGGGCAUGCAUGAGAAUUUGGUUAGUCCUGCCUUCGGUCGCUGCGUGCUGUCGCUCAACAGUGGCUUGGCCGCGCUUGACGACCAGUUUGCCGACAAAGUGCUGAUGGUAACCAUCAACAGUGACCGGCCUCCCAUCUCGCCGGACGACCUUGUCAAAGCUCUUGGCAUUGCGCACGACAUCCAAAUAAGUGACUUGCUCGUCGAAGUCUGUCUGCCACCGGCUGAUUUCUUCGUCAGGUUCCGGACAACUUUCGACUGCAGUUGUGUGUUCGAAUCUUCCUGCUGUUUGUUCUGCGAUGGCGCGCUAGUGAGCUUUGAUCGGUGGCACCCAGGAUGGGGCUCGGUGCCCUAUGAGCUUGAGUUUUUAACAAAGCUUACCUUCCACGGCAUGCCUCGACGUGCUUGGAACAGCGAGUCCAUGAACGAGCUUAUCAACUACCUUGGAGGUGAUCUCGUAAGUAUGUUUGUUCCUCCAGACAGCUGGGCUCUGAGGUUAUGGCAUGGAUGAAGAAGUCGUCCACCAUACCGAAGGUGAUUGGUGUUGAGAUACCAGUGCAGGAACCAGGGUUGUACUAUUUGUCGCCACCAAGGCCGCCGCGGACCACGUUAGGGAUGUACCUGUAUCGAGUGUUCGUGCAUGUCGAAGAAGUGGUCAAUCCAUCAAUCGAAGUCCUGCCGCCGCCGCUGGUGCCAGGGUCCGCCGACGACGUCCAUUACAGGAGUCAACGUUAGACUUUCCCCGUGUUGCUCGGAACGAUGGAUGGCACAUGGCCUACUCCAUCGCGCAGCGGAGGCCACUGCUUCUUUGGGAGAAGAGGCAGGGCUGGCUCCUGGAUAUGCUUUAAUUUGAAGUAACAACUGAAUCUUGUCAGAUACUAGUUAAAUCCGAGCUAUGCGUGUGAAGCACUGAUAUGCCAGUACAUUUGAUUGUGACCUGUUCUAAUUUUGUACCUGAACUUUUUUUAGAAAGGGUUGUACGUCAACUUUAUGUGCUAGCAGAACUUAUUGUGUUGUCUGUCUGUUUUCUUUACACAACACUCAAGAUAUUUCCCCGUCAUUAAUAAAGACGAUGAACCGUUAUGUACAACUUCGUUGGUUUCAACAUAGCCCUUCCCGUAGUGAUCCACUGCUUCCAUCCUGAUUGUGCCGCCUGCGUGAAAUUUUUGUAUGCAAGUUCAGUGUGCUAUGAUGUUCUAUAUGAUUGUGUCAACUAUAUAAGUUUUUACUGAGCAUCAAUAAUGCAUGUGGCUGAAAGAUGUAUUUACGAGCAUCGACCGAUGGGUCUCUCUCUCUCUCUAUCUCUCUCUCUCUCAUACACACACACACGCACACACGAGCACACGCACAAGUGGGACCCAUUGAAUUAUUUAUUUGCUCGUGACAGCUUUUAAUUAGGUUCCACUGUAAUCUAACUUUUUUCUUAAGUUAUUAAUUGAGCUUAGUGACUUCAAAAAGUUGUACAGAAGCCUUGUUUGGGCCUUUCCUGCAUGGCUGAAUGUGGGCCGAGUAACCAUGUUAGGUUGUACUGUACUACACAGGCCUUUUUUUUCAACAUCAGCAAUGCAACUGGGCCGUCAGUUGUACACAAUAUCCGGGUCAACUUGGUAUUCUCCGCCCCGCUGGGCUUCAAACUUUCCUAGGAGGUAUGCAUUAGGCUUAACAAGAAAAUGGACUUUAAUAAAUAAUAAAUGGGAUGUAAUUAUAAUAACUGGAUAGGUACUAUGCACCAAACACGUAAUUAGUUUGAAAAAUAUAUUAUUUUUGGAAUUUGAAAAUUUUAAUUUCAUUUCUUGUUGCACGUGCAAUAUUUCGUUGGAUUUUAACAUAAUACAACUUUAUUUUGAAAUUAUAUUUAACAUGACUAGAAAUUUCGGAUAAAAAUAUUUCGGAUCCCAUCAAAAUGUGGGAAUUUUUUUUGAAUUCUGUUUUGAGCGGUUGUUUGAAAUUAUUAAUCGUUGUCCUAGCUAGAAGUUGGGCUGUACUUUUAACAAACUGUAAAUGGGCUGUAGUAAAUUCCAUUAGAAUUAAAAAACGGGCUGUACAUUCUUACAAAUCGCAAAUGGGCUAUAUGUUCUCUGCCAAAUCCGAGCUGUGGGCCUACUAAGUUGACGCGUACCAAGGGCUUUGUCAACUUAGUCAAUAUAAACGAUUCUAGCUGCAGUGAUCGUACGAUGUCGAUCCAACAGCCGUAGUGCUUCUUCAACCUCUGGUCUUCUUGCUCCAGCCACCCAAAGCAACGCCGGUCGUGUCGCGUGCUCCUGCCUCUCGUGGCCGGCUGUGAUGCCGCGGAGGCCUCACCGCCCCGUACUACUACCACCGCUGGCCAGGCCAUCCCUCUACUCACCCACACCCCCUGUUGUUCUGCGGCGACGACAGCCUCACACCGCAACCGAACCAGUGAACCCUCGUCCUCCUCUUCAUGUGGGCUUCCACUGCUGCGUCGUCCCCUUCCUAGGCCCCACCGUCGUCCAGACCACCGCCCUGGUGCUCUCGGCGCGGCGUGGUCAACAUGGUCAACGACCGACUUCCAUCGGAAGAGUACUGUAUGUGGAGAGGCUGACAGCUGGGUCCAGGCGGCCGCAAGGAAGUGCCUCCUUAUUACGCGCAAAAUAAUUAUUCCUCCACCUGACAGCAGGGACCCACCGGACGGGCCACCUUAUUUCGCGAAAAAAAUGUUUCCCCCCUAACUGCUGGGACCCACCGGACGGGCCAACGUAUUUCGCAAAAAACGUCCCCCCCGCUGUCAGCUCGGAUCCACCGGAAGUGCCUCCUUAUUACGCACAAAAAAAUGAAUACUUCCCCUGCUAGCUGGGACCCACCAUGGUGGGAGGCUGACUUGUGGGCCUACUAAGUUGACUGGGAUGGGGGCCUUUGUCAACUUUAGUCAAUAUGAACGAUUCUACCUCCAGUGACCGUACGAUGUCCAUCCAACGGCCGUAGUGCUUCUUCAACCUCUGGUCUUCUUGCUCCAGCCACCCAAAGCAGCGCCAGUCGCGCCGCAUGCUCCUGCCUCCCGUGGCCGGUUGUGCUGCCGCGGAGGCCUCACCGCCCCCUACUAUUCCCACCGCUGGCCAGGCCCUGCGGCGACGGCAGCCUCACACCGCAGCCGAACCAGUGAACCCUCGUACUCCUCUCCGCGCGGGCUUCCACUACCGCGUCUUUCCCGGCUCCCCGUCAUCACCUUCCUAGGCCUCACCGUCGUCCACCGCCCUGGUGCUCUCGGUGCGGCAUGGUCAACAUGGUCAAGGAACGACUGCCAUCGGACGUGGACUGUACGUGGAGAGGCUGACAGCUGGGUCCACGGCCGCAGCAAGGAAGUGCCUCCUUAUUACGCGGAAAAUAUUGAUUCCUCCACCUGACAGCUGGGACCCACCGGACGGGCCACUGUAUUUCGCAAAAAAAAACGUUCCCCCCUGACUGCUGGGACCCAUCAGCUACAUCUUCGCACGCAAGGAAGUGUGUCCGGGCAAAAAAAAAAUGAUUCGCCCCCCUAACUGCUGGGACCCACCAGCUACAUCUUCGGGACCCACCUGGUCGAAGCGUACGUAGUGUUAUCAUUCUAGUCGCGAACGUGUGCGUACAUAUAUACUGGUGGAUGUAGAAGCGUGCACAUGUCAUAGUAGAGGCGCGCACGUAGCAUGUACACGUACGUACAGCAGCCAGGGUGCAAGAAAGAAAAUACGGCCAUGUAUGUGUACAUACGGGCGGGGUCUCGAACGCCUACUCGCGCAUACGUACGGCCAGGGCUCGUGUACAUGGCUGGGUCGGAACAGAGAAACAACGUCGUCGUCGUGUUCAUGGGGAGGCAACGGAAUGCGUCGUGUUCAUCGGGAGGCAACGGAAUGCGUCGAGUUCAUCGGGAGGCAAUGGAACGCGUGGGAGCCAACCGGCUGGGUCGGAACGGAAUGCGUAGUCGUGUUCAUCGGGAGGGCUUGGACGGAACAGGCGAUGGAAACGAGGCCUGGCAUACCGCACAACGGAGGAAACAGACCUCCUACGUUCGGAAUGGGGUCCUGUUGAUCAGGAGGGGUCUGGUGUACCGCAAAAUAGAAGAAACGGACCUUCUACGGUCGAAACGGGGGUCCUGUUGAUCGGGAGGGGUGUGGCGUACCGCAAAACGGACGAAAUGGACCUCCUACGGUCGAAACGGGGGUCCUGUUGAUCGAGAGGGGUGUGGCGUACCGCAAAACGGACGAAACGGACUUGUGUUGGAGUGCUACGGUCGAAACGGGGGUCCUGUUCAUCGGGAGGGGUGUGGCGUACCGCAAAACGGGACUCCACGGGAUACUGUUCAUAUCCANNNNNNNNNNNNNNNNNNNNNNNNNNNNNNNNNNNNNNNNNNNNNNNNNNNNNNNNNNNNNNNNNNNNNNNNNNNNNNNNNNNNNNNNNNNNNNNNNNNNNNNNNNNNNNNNNNNNNNNNNNNNNNNNNNNNNNNNNNNNNNNNNNNNNNNNNNNNNNNNNNNNNNNNNNNNNNNNNNNNNNNNNNNNNNNNNNNNNNNNNNNNNNNNNNNNNNNNNNNNNNNNNNNNNNNNNNNNNNNNNNNNNNNNNNNNNNNNNNNNNNNNNNNNNNNNNNNNNNNNNNNNNNNNNNNNNNNNNNNNNNNNNNNNNNNNNNNNNNNNNNNNNNNNNNNNNNNNNNNNNNNNNNNNNNNNNNNNNNNNNNNNNNNNNNNNNNNNNNNNNNNNNNNNNNNNNNNNNNNNNNNNNNNNNNNNNNNNNNNNNNNNNAAUUGAUCGGCUUUAGUUAGCAGAAGUAGCGAAGGAAUCGCUCGAUCGGGUUCAGUUAAUAGACAUCGAUCGAUUGCUCGGGUUCAGUAACGCGUGGCCUGCAGUGCAAUCGCUCGGGUUCAGUUAGAGCCCAACGCCUCGCUCGGGUUCAGUUAGAGCCAACGCCCCGCACAUCACUCAGGCCCUGACCUCCCACUGUAACCGGGAACUCCCCGAAAUUUUCCUCCCCCUCACUUCUACCACGGUUUUUUCCGUCAUGAAAGGCCCAAAGAAUGUCAUGCAAUUACUUCUCCGGCCCGCCCAGGAUGAAAAGCCCAUUUUCUGUCAUGAUUUUUUGUCAUAGAAGUAGGAUCCCACCACAUCUGUGAUGAUACCGGGUUUUUUCGCAAUUAUCGUCAUAGAAGUGUCAUAUGUAUGACAGAAAAAAAAUUGUUUGGCCCAAAAUGUCAAGGAUGUGUCUUUUUUUGUAGUGUUACCCACUGACUAUCAGCAACGGGAUAAAUUAUACUUGCCUCAAGAAGCUUUAGUAUUUCCUUUGUUACCACUUCCUUCAUCUUAGGAUUCAACCGUCGUUGAUGAUCACGAACUGGUUUGGCAUCUUCCUCCAAAUUUAUUUUGUGUUGACACAGAGUGGGACUAAUGCCCUUAAGAUCAUCAAGAGUAUAUCCAAUAGCAGCACGGUGCUUCUUCAGAGUUUUCAAUAAUGUCUCUUCUUCAUGCUCUGAAAGCUUAACACUAAUAAUAACAUGAUAUAUCUUUUUCUUAUCAAGACAAGCAUAUUUAAGAGUAUCAGGUAACGGUUUAAGCUCAAACACGGGAUCACCCUUGGGUGGAGGAUGAUCCCCUAGGAUUUCAACAGGUAAAUUGUUUUUUAGAAUAGGCUCUUGUUUAAAGAAUACUUCAUCGAAUUCCCUUCUUUCAUUCAUAAACAUGUCAUUUUCAUGGUCUAGCAAAUAUUGUUCUAAAGGAUCACUAGGAGGCACGGCAAUAGAAGCAAGACCAAUAAUUUCAUCCUUACUAGGCAAUUCCUCUUCACGGUGUUGUCUAUGAAAUUUAGAGAAAUUAAAUUCAUGAGACAUAUCACCUAAACCAAUAGUAACAACACUGUUUUUGCAAUCUAUCUUAGCAUUAACUGUGUUCAAGAAGGAUCUACUAAAUAUAAUGGGACAAAAGCUAUCUUGUGGGGAACCAAGAACAAGAAAAUCAGCAGGAUAUUUAGUCUUCCCACACAAGACUUCAACAUCUCUAACAAUUCCUAUUAGUGAAAUAGUGUCUCUAUUGGCAAGUUUAAUUGUGACAUCAAUAUCUUCUAGCUCAACAGGUGCAAUAUCAUGCAUAAUUUCUCUGUAUAAGUCAAUGGGUAUUGCACUAGCACUAGCACCCAUAUCACAUAAGCUAUGAUAACAAUGAUCUCGUAUUUUAACAGAAAUAAUAGGCAUGCCUACCAAAGAUCUAGGUUUAUCUUUAGCACAAGGUUUAGCAAUUUUAGCAGUCACAUCACGGAAAUGAAUAACAUGCCCAUCAAUAUUAUCAGACAAGAGAUCUUUAAAAAUAGCAAUAUUGGGUUCAACUUUAAUUUGCUCAGGAGGUGUAUAAGUUCUAAUAUUACUUUUAUGAACCACAGUUGAAGCUUUAGCAUGAUCUUUUAUCCUAAACAGGAAAAGGUGGUUUCUCAACAUAAGCAGUAGGAAUGAUAGGAUCAUUAUAGGUGAUAGUCUUUUCUUCUACUUUAAUAGGUGCAGCUACUUUUACUUCUAUGGGAGGAUGAUAUUGAAACCACUUCUCCCUAGGGAGAUCAACAUGAGUAGCAAAAGAUUCAUAGAAAGAAGCUACUAUUUCAGAGUCAAGUCCAUAUUUAGUGCUAAAUUUACGGAAAACAUCGGUAUCCAUAAAAGAUUUAACACAAUCAAACUUAGGUGUCAUACCUGACUCCUUACCUUCGUCGAGGUCCCAAUCUUCAGAGUUGCGUUUAGUUCUUUCCAAUAAAUCCCAUUUGAAUUCAAUAGUCUUCAUCAUAAAAGAGCCAACACAAGAAGUAUCGAGCAUGGUGCGAUUGCUAUCAGAAAGCCGAGCAUAUAAGUUUUGAAUAAUUAUUUCUCUUGAGACCUCAUGAUUGGGGCAUGGAUAUAACAUUGAUUUAAGCCUCCCCCAAGCUUGAGCGAUGCUUUCUCCUUUGCGAGGCCAGAAAUUAUAUAUAUAAUUGCGAUCACGAUGAACAAGAUGCGUAGGAUAAAACUUCUGAUGAAAUUCCAAUUUCAAUCGUUCGUAGUUCCAUGACCCCAUAUCAUCACAAAGCCUAUACCAUGUCAAUGCAUCUCCCUUGAAAGAUAAAGGGAAGACCUUCUUCUUAAUAACAUCUCCGGGCACACCUGCCAGCUUAAAUAAUCCAAAAGCUUCAUCCACAUAUAUUAGGUGCUCAUCAGGAUGAUUUGUUCCAUCUCCUGCAAAAGGAUUAGCUAGCAGUUUUUCUAACAUACCCGAAGGAAUUUCAAAGUAGACAUUUUCAUUUUCAGUAGGUUUAGUAGGUUGAGGAGCAACUCUUUGCUCUACUGGUCGGGGUGAAGAUACCCCGAACAAGCCUCUCAGAGGAUUACUUGUUAUACUAACAAGUGACAGUAAAUUUCAGCAUACUAUAUAAAUUUUUCCUUACCAAAUUCCACCUACCAAAGGCGCUUCACUCCCCGGCAACGGCGCCAGAAAAGAGUCUUGAUGACCCACAAGUAUAGGGGAGCUAUCGUAGUCCUUCUGAUAAGUAAGAGUGUCGAACCCAACGAGGAGCAGAAGGAAAUGAUAAGCGGUUUUCAGCAAGGUAUUCUCUGCAAGCACUGAAAUUAUAGGUAACAGAUAGUUUUGUGAUAAGAUAAUUGGUAACGAGCAACAAGUAACAAAAGUAAAUAAAGUGCAGCAAGGUGGCCCAAUCCUUUUUGUAGCAAAGGACAAGCCUGGACAAAUUCUUAUAUAGAGAAAAGCACUCCCGAGGACACAUGGGAAUAUCGUCAAGCCAGUUUUCAUCACGUUCAUAUGAUUCGCGUUCGGUACUUUGAUAAUUUGGUAUGUGGGUGGACCGGUGCUUGGGUGCUGUCCUUACUUGGACAAGCAUCCCACUUAUGAUUAACCUCUAUUGCAAGCAUUCGCAACUACAACAAAAGUAUUAAGGUAAACCUAACCAUAGCAUGAAACAUAUGGAUCCAAAUCAGCCCCUUACGAAGCAACGCAUAAACUAGGGUUUAAGCUUCUGUCACUCUAGCAACAUGAGGGAGUCCUGGAUUAGGGGGUCUCCGGACAGCCGGACUAUAUUCUUUGGCCAGACUGUUGGACUAUGAAGAUACAAGUUUGAAGACUUCGUCCCAUGUCCGGAUGGGACUCUACUUGGCGUGGAAGGCAAGCUAGGCAAUACGGAUAUGGGUAUCUCCUCCUUUGUAACUGACCUUGUGUAACCCUAGCCCCCUCCAGUGUCUAUAUAAACCGGAGGGUUUUAGUCCGUAGGACAACAUACAAUCAUACUAUAGGCUAGCUUCUAGGGUUUAGCCUCUCUGAUCUCCUGGUAGAUCAACUCUUGUAAUACUCAUAUCAUCAACAAUAAUCAAGCAGGACGUAGGGUUUUACCUCCAUCAAGAGGGCCCGAACCUGGGUAAACAUUGUGUCCCCUGCCUCCCAUUACCAUCCGCCUUAGACGCAUAGUUCGGGACCUCCUACCCGAGAUCUGCCGGUUUUGACACUGACAUUGGUGCUUUCAUUGAGAUUUCCACUGUGUCGUCACCAUAAGGCUUGAUGGCUCCUUCGAUCAUGGCUAGCGAUGCGGUCCAGGGUGAGGCUUUCCUCCCCGGACAGAUCUUCAUAUUCGGCGUCUUUGCACUGUGGGCCAAUUCGCUUGGCCAUCUGGAGCAGAUUGAGAGCUACACCCCUGGCCAUCAGGUCAGAUUUGGAAACUUGAACUACACGACCGACAUCCGCGGAGACUUGAUCUUCGACGGAUUCAGGCCCAUGUCGGACGCGUCGUACAGUCUUGACGAGCAUGACGUAACUCUAUCGUUGGAUAGUGUUCGGGAGAUCGCUUCCACAGCUACUCCGUCCAUCAAUUCGGAGCAAGUCGCGCCAUCCGAGAGCGGAGGGAUGGACCCCGCCAUGGAGGCCGCACUCUCAGUGGCGAUAGAGCCGAAUACUAACUUCACCCCUUAUGAGAGCUGUGUCGCCAACCCACUAGAUUCAUCUCUGGCCACGGACUCCGAGCCGCUCAUAUCCGUGCCUGUCGAGUCCAACUGGGCACCGAUCAUGGAGUUCACCUCCGCGGACAUCUUUCAGCACUCACCGUUCGGGGAUGUGCUAAAUUCAUUAAGGUCUCUCUCCCUAUCAGGAGAACCUUGGCGAACUAUGUCCGGCUAGAAUGGGAUGCGGACGACGAAGAAAUUCGCUGCCCACUCACCACCCACUUAGUAGCCACUGUCGACGACUUAACCGACAUGCUCGAAUUUGGCUCCGAAGACUUCGACGGUAUGGACGACGAGGCCGGAGACGAACAGGAUCCACCGCCCACGGGGCACUGGACCGCCACCUCAUCAUAUGAUAUAUACAUGGUGGACACCCGCAAAGAAGCCAAUGGCGAUGAGAAAGCAGAGGAUGACCCCUCCAAGAAGCAAACCAAGCACUGACGUCAGCGGCGCCGCUCUAAGUCCUGCCACAGCAAGAGCAGCGAUACCGGCACAGGAGAUAAUAACACUCCGGAUAGCGCCGAAGACAACAACAAUCCCCUCCAGCAUGGUGCAGAGCUAGAGGACGAACAAGCUAGCCCCCCAGAGCAGGCAGCAGAUGGAGAACCGGAGGAGGACAAUUACAUGCCUCUAUCCGAAGACGAGGCGAGCCUCGGCGACGACGAGUUUAUCGUGCCUGAGGACCCCGCCGAGCAAGAGCGCUUCAAGCGCCGGCUUAUGGCCACGGCAAGUAGCCUAAAGAAGAAACAACAACAGCUUCAAGCUGAUCAAGACUUGCUAGCAGACAGAUGGACCGAAGUCCUUGCGGCCAAGGAGCAUGAACUCGAGCGCCCGUCCAAGAUUUACCCAAAAUGCAGGUUGCUACCUCACCUCGAGGAGCAAGCAUUGAAACCUCAUUCACCAGUGUACGAUGCGGCUGACCGGCCACUACGCGGCUGAGCCAGAGAGGCGUUUCAGCCUAAAGUUCAGACCACACCCCAUCGCCACUCAGUCAAAAAUACUAAGGCCUGGGGCAACAAAGAGGACCUGCGAGACAUCUUGGACAAUAAGGCAAAACUCGCAAGGUCAAUAUAUGGGACACGAGCACGUGCGCCCACAUAGGACGAUGAUUGUCGCGUCGGAUACACCAAGAGUAAAUCCGACCGGGCCGAAUAUAGCAGACAAGACUCAUACGAACUAUGUUGGGAUAUAGCCCGGCACAGAGGCGCCGCACACCCCCUAUGCUUCACUGAUGAAGUUAUGAAUCAUGAAUUCCCGGAGGGUUUCAAACCCGUAAAUAUCGAAUCAUACGACGGCACAACAUAUACCGCUGUAUGGAUUGAGGAUUUCCUCCUUCACAUCCACAUGGCUCGCGGUGACGAUCUACAUGCCAUUAAGUACCUCCCACUAAAACUCAAAGGACCAGCUCGGCAUUGGCUGAAUAGCUUGCCAGCAGAUUCCGUUGGCAGUUGGGAGGAUUUGGAAGAUGCAUUUCUUGACAACUUCCAGGGCACUUAUGUGCGGCCACCGGAUGCUGAUGACUUGAGCCACAAAACCCAGCAGCCAGGGGAAUCGGCCAGACAAUUCUGGACAUGAUUCCUGACUAAGAAAAAUCAAAUUGUAGACUGUCCGGAUGCAGAAGCCCUAGCGGCAUUCAAGCAUAACAUCCGCGAUGAGUGGCUCGCCCGCCACCUCGGCCAGGAGAAGCUGAAAUCUAUGGCAGCCCUCGCAAGACUCAUGACCCGCUUUUGCGUGGGCGAGGAUAUCUGGCUAGCUCACAACAACAACACAUCAAGGAAUCCGGAUACCUCGGAUACCAAAGACGUUAACGGUAGACAGCGUCGUAAUAGACCAAAGCGCCGCAAUAACGGCGGUAACACCGAAGAUACGACAGUCAAUGCCAGAUUCAGAGGCUCUAAAUCCAGUCAGCGGAAAAAGCCAUUUAAAAGAAAUACUCCGGCUUCGUCCAGUCUGGAUCGAAAUACUGGAUCGCUCGUGUCAAAUCCACGACACCACUGACAAGCCAGCCAAUCACACCAACAGAGAAUGAUGGGUGUUCAAGCAGGCCGGCAAGUUAAAUGCCGAAAACAAGGACAAGGGGCCACAUAGCAAUGACGAGGAGGAGCCCCGGCCGCCGAACCCAGGAGGACAGAAGGGGUUUCCCCCACAAGUGAAGACAGUGAACAUGAUAUAUGCAACCCACAUUCCCAAGAGGGAGAGGAAGCGUGCACUAAGGGACGUCUAUGCGAUGGAGCCCGUCGCCCCGAAGUUCAACCUAUGGUCUGCUUGUCCGAUCACCUUCGAUCACAGGGACCACCCCACUAGCAUCCGUCAUGGCGGAUCCACCGCACUGGUCCUAGACCCCAUCAUUGACGGAAUUCACCUCACUCGAGUCCUUAUGGACGGCGGCAGCAGCCUGAACCUGCUUUAUCAGGAUACAGUGCAAAAAAUGGGUAUCGAUCCCUCAAGGAUCAAACCCAGCAAAACCAGCUUUAAAGGCGUCAUCCCAGGUGUAGAGGCCCAUUGCACAGGCUCAAUCACAUUGGAAGUGGUCUUCGGAUCACCGGAUAACUUCCGAAACGAAGAGUUAAUCUUCGACAUCGUCCCGUUUCGCAGUGGCUAUCAUGCACUGCUCGGACGGACAGCAUUUGCAAAAUUCAACGCAGUGCCACAUUACGCAUACCUCAAGCUCAAGAUGCCAGGACCCCGCGGGGUCAUAACAGUAAAUGGAAACAUAGAACGCUCGCUCCAUACAGAAGAGCACACCGUGGCCAUUGCAGCAGAGGCACAAAGUAGCUUGUUCAGGCAGACCACUCAUUCAGCGUUACAGCCCCCGGACACCUUCAAGCGACUCUGAAACAAUCUGCAACAGGAUCACCUGGCGCGAUCAACGCUCUCCUAGCAAUCCGGCCCCCGUCCCAGUCCCAGUGCAGCGACGAAAUUCGUGCCGCGCGUACAUAACUACACGUUGAAAAUACCAUGGACAUAGGCGGGGGCACAAUCAGGACACGCCCCGCAUUGUGGCUUAACCACACCAGGGGCUGUAUACCUUUGACAUUCCUUUUCUCUUUCAGGGCCUAACCCUUCGGAAGCCCUUUCUGGCAGUCCGAUUGCCGGACACAUUCCAGAAGCAACAACCAAGGCGGGAAGAAGCCAGGGUGAACACGGGAACCACUAGGUGGUCUCUAGUAAUACCUGAUAUACCCGCUUUUCACUAUUUAUUCAUAACUUGCCUUGGGAUAGGACAUUUCGAAUUGUCCUACUUUAUGCUUAUUGCACUACUUGUACCAGUACUAUUCAACGUAUUAUUCAAAUAACAAUGCAUAUUAUUAAUCUGUCAUUGCAUUAUUUAAGUCUUUCUCUUUCUCUUAUAUGUCCAUUUACGACAUUCCGCACCUGCACGCUCAGGUGCGGUCAGUACGCCAGGGGCUCUCGUUUACCCCGUAAUACGGCGCAAGAAGUCCGAACACUUUUGAAAGUGCGGCACCCCGAACUUAUAGCAUUAUAUGCAUCAGCUCCGAAUCAUGUCUUGGGUCAAAUGUUGGGUUGCCCGGCUCCCAUGCUUUGGUACCUUACGUUCCGCUAUAUCGGCUAAGGUAGAAGUGGGAGAACUACUGCGAUUGUGUCCUGGUUCUUCCGGACGAGCACCUCAGUAGAGAAAGCCAAAAACUGACUAUCAUGAUAAGGCGAGAGACUGGUCGCUGUUCAAGAGGUCUCAAAGUCCUUAAAGACUUUUUCCGCUUCGGGCGAGGAGUCGGCCUUGUCCAGCUUAGGUGUGUAUAGAGCCCCAAAUUCGGCCUUCCGAAUCCAGGGGCUUCGCCAAAAAUUUAAAAUCAUAGACUUCUAUGGCUAAGUGAGAGUGAUAAAGCAUUAUAGUCCGAUUGCCUGGUUCGUUGCGCUGAGCACCUCCCUUGAAGGACCCAAAAUUGGUGUAAAGAGUGUUCAGAUUUACCCCGAACACCCCAGUAUUAGUUACAUGGGGGCAGAAGCCGAUGACUGGCCAACUCUCAGAUUUUAUAAACGGCCGCACAGAAGGUAAUAUUUUAAAUUAAGAAAGCGUCGCAUGGCGCAAAAGAACUUGUUUCAUAUUAUAGGAUCACAUGGGCAUGUUCAUUCAAAGAUUACAUCCUUGGCACACUCAUCUGCCACUAAGUGGGAACCCUUCAGGACACUCUCAUAGUAAUUCUCGGGGCAGCGAUGCUCCUUGCCCUUCGGCGGCCCCUCCUUCACACGCUUCAUGGCGUCCAGCUUCGCCCAGUGCAUCUUUGCCCGGGCAAAAGCCCUGCGUGCACCUUCGAUGUAGACGGACCACUUGAUGACCUCAAGCCGUGGGCAGGCUUCCACCAGCUGCCUCACCAGACCGAAGUAGCUGCCGGACAGGGGCUCGCCAGGCCAGAUCCGGACUAUAAGGCCCCUCAUGGCCUGUUCGGCCGCCUUGUGAAGUUCGACCAACUGCUUCAGCUGGUCGCUCAAGGACAUGGGGUGUUCGGUCCUAGUAUACUGAGACCAGAACAACUUCUCCGUUGAGCUCCCCUCCUCAGCCCGGUAAAACUCCACGGCAUGCAGCACACUGCGGGGAAGAUCUGCAAACGCUCCUGGAGAGCUCCGAACUCGGGUAAGAAAAAGGAAAGUCUCCUUCACAUGCUUGCUUUGCAUAUUGAAUGCCUUACCCGCUGCUAUCUUCUUCGCUGCAUCAAUCUCCUAGAGGGCCUUGUGGGCUUUGGCCUUGGUGCUUCGGAUGCUUUCAAGCGCCUGUACGAGCUCGGACUCUCGCGUCUUGGAGUCAAGCUCCAAGGACUCAUGCUUUUUGGCGAGAGCCUCGAGCUCUUGCUGCACCUCGCCCACUCAGGCUUCUUGUUUCUCCCGUUCAAUGCGUUCUUUGGCCGCUUUGUCUUUGGCCGCGAACAACACCUUCCUCAGGGUCUCCACCUCGGUCGUGGCCCCUGACAAAUUCAUGAUGAUCCUAUUACUUUACAGCAAACUUCUUUUUAACUAUAUAAACUAGGGUAUAUCUUACCUUUGCUCUCUUCGAGCUGCCCCUUGGUAAGGUCGAGCUCGUCCUCGGACCGCUUCAGGGCCUGCUUCAGCGCAGAGACCUCCGCAGUAUGUGUGGCAGCAGCCAGCAGGGAAGCCUGCACAUACACAUAGAUAUACUCUAAUUAGACUCCUGAGUUAUCAUUUGAUACUCUAUUAUGCUUUUCUUCGCGAACGCCGAAUAGAGCAUCAGGGGCUACUAUCUAUGCGGUAAUAUUUUUAUAUUUUGAAUGCUUACCUCAAAGCAUGUUAGGAGGCUGGCGCAAGCUUUGGUCAGUCCGUUUUUGGUGGACUGAACCUUCUUGACCAUCGCACUCAUGAUAGUGCGGUGUUCUUCAUCGAUGGAAGCGCUGUGGAGCGCUUCCAGCAAGUUGUACGGUGCCUCUGGUUGGACAGAGGACACUGGCACGGAUGGUUGGCCCCCUUAAUGGGGGACCGCCUGACGGAGUCCAGAACCAUCAAAGGUUCCGGCGCAGUGUCCAGCUGGGGCUCGAACUCGAAGCCCGUAGGAGCCUCGCUCCCUUGGUACUCAGGGUCCGGGAGGUCGCGGUGAGGCGCCCCCACAAUCACCUCCCCUUAGGUCGGUGCCUUUUGAGACACCACCUCAGCGUUGUCCGUAGGGCGAGGGGUGGAAGCCGUCGGAGGAGAACUGCUGUUCAUAUCCGCCGAGCCCAAAGAGCCGCUCGACGAGGGUACGUCGAGAUGAGCUCGGGCCGGACUGCAUAAUCAUGUUCGGCAUGAGCAAAGGCAGUACAAUAAAACAUACCAUGAAGUACUAUGGUGUCCGUACACUUACGACUUCGCCAGGGGCUUGUCCCUGGGUAGCCACUCGUCGCCGCUGUCGGCGGCCAUCAUGGCACAGUCCGGAGGGAGGGUCUUUCCCUUCUUGGACCCUUCGGCCUCCCUAGAUGGGUCGGCCUUCCUUUUCUUGUCUCCCCCGGCUGGCGGGAGAACUUUUCUCCUCCUCCUCGUUUCCGUGGGAGGAGUGCGCGUCAGACUCAUCGGACGAUGAGUCCUAUAGAACCUUGCGCCGAAGACCCUUUCGGGUCCCCGCGGCCUUCUUCUUGGCCGUCUUUUCCGGCACCUCGUAAGGUGCCGGAGUCAGCAUCUUCGUUAGAAGAGCGUUUGCAGGAUCUUCAGGCAAGGGGGCUGGGCAAUCAAGCUGCUCUGCUGUCUUUAUCCAGUCCUAUUAAUGACAUAAGAGCUUAGAUCCAGCACAUAACUAAACCAUGGCACAUAGAUACCCUGAGAGAUAUAAAAAGCCUACCGGAUGGGCGCGGCGCUUUGUGCUGAGUCCGCGGUCCUCGGUGAGGGAGGGAGGCAUCUCGGCGCCCUUGAACAGCACCCUGUAGACAUCCUCGUGCAUCAUGUCGUAGAGCUCUCGCAGCAUCUGGUGCUGGGCCGAGUCGAACUCCCACAAAACAAAUGCCCGUCGUUGGCACGGAAGGAUCCGGCGGAAGAGCAUAACCUGGACCAUGUUGACGAGCUUAAUUUUCUUGUUCGUCAUGUUCUGGAUGUAGGUCUGGAGUCUGGUCAGCUCUACCGAAGAACCCCAGGACAGGCCCUUCUUUUUCCACGAGGUGAGCCGCGUGGGGAUUCUGGAUCGAAAUUUGGGGGCCGCCACCCAGUUGGAGUCGCGCGGCUCGGUGAUGUAGAACCACCCCGAUUUCCACCCCUUUAUGGUAUCCACGUAGGUACCCUCGAGCCAGGUGACAUUAGGCAUCUUGCUCACUAUGGAGCCUCCGCACUCUACUUGCUAGCCACCCAUCACCUUUGGUUUGACAUUGAAGGUUUUCAGCCAUAGGCCGAAGUGGGGCCUGAUGCGGAGGAAGGCCUCGCACACGACGAUAAACGCCGAGAUGUUGAGGAUGAAGUUGGGGGCCAGAUCGUGAAAAUCUAGCCCUUAGUAGAACAUGAGCCCGCGGACAAAUGGGUGGAGAGGAAAUCCCAGUCCGCAGAUGAAAUGGGUAAUAAAAACUACCCUCUCAUGGGGUUCGGGCGUGGGGACGAUCUGCCCCGCAUUCGACAGCCGGUGCACGAUAUUCGCAGCUAGGUAUCCGGCUCCAACUUUUUGAUGUUUUCCUUCGUGACGGAGGAAACCAUCCACUUGCCUCCUGCUCCAUACAUGCUUGGAGUGGUUUGAGAAGAAGAACGCGAGCUUGGGUGCUAGAGCUCGAGUGUGCGGGAAUGGGUAAGCGAGAAGGAAGAAGGCGUGGGUGUAAAAAGUAAAUCUUUGUCCCUUUAUAAGGGCGGAGGAGGCGAUGAGUCUCCCCACUUCCCUGGCAAAACCGCUUAUUCCCCAGGCGCCACAAUUGAUGGCGCAGUUGGGUUACCCACGUCCGUAUUGACGAGAAUCCCGUGAUAAUGGGAACACGAUCUCUGCUUUGACAAGACGUAUCAAGAAAACCGCCUCGCGAUAUGUGCGGAGCUGGUUGAGAAAAGCGGUUCGAAUAAUAACCGGGCCAUGAAGUGAUGUCAUACUAUCAAAACGUGUCAGCAGAUUAGUUUGUGGAAAUAUUAUUCUCUCUACGGUGGUAUGUGGAACUUAUUUUGCAGGGUCGGACACUAUCCUUGCAUUCAAACUCUUCCAUGGUGUAUUCGGAGGAGGAACCCGCCUUGCAAUGCCGAAGACAACACUGCACGCCGGACUCAUCGUCAUUGAAGCCUGGUUCAGGGGCUACUAAGGGAGUCCUGGAUGAGGGGGUCUCCGGACAACCAGACUAUAUCCUUCGGCCAGACUGUUGGACUAUGAAGAUACAAGUUUGAAGACUUUGUCCCGUGUCCGGAUGGGACUCUACUUGGCGUGGAAGGAAAGCUAGGCAAUACGGAUAUGGUAUCUCCUCCUUUGUAACCGACCUUGUGUAACCCUAGCCCCCUCCGGUGUCUAUAUAAACAGGAGGGUUUUAGUCCAUAGGACAACAUACAAUCAUACCAUAGGCUAGAUUCUAGGGUUUAGCCACUCUGAUCUCGUGGUAGAUCAACUCUUGUAAUACUCAUAUCAUUAAGAAUAAUCAAGCAGGACGUAGGGUUUUACCUCCAUCAAGAGGGCCCGAACCUGGGUAAACAUCGUGUCCCCUGCCUCCUGUUACCAUCCGCCUUAGACGCAUAGUUCGAGACCCCCUACCCGAGAUCCGCCGGUUUUGACACUAACACAACCCAUCAUCUACUUAUUACUUCCCAAUGCCUUCCUCUAGGCCCAAAUAAUGGUGAAGUGUCAUGUAGUCGACGUUCACAUAACACCACUAGAGGAGAGACAACAUACAUCUCAUCAAAAUAUCGAACGAAUACCAAAUUCACAUGACUACUAAUAACAAGACUUCUCUCAUGUCCUCAGGAACAAACGUAACUACUCACAAAGCAUAUUCGUGUUCAUAAUCAGAGGGGUAUUAAUGUGCAUAUAGGAUCUGAACAUAUGAUCUUCCACCAAAUAAACCAACUAGCAUCAACUACAAGGAGUAAUUAACACUACUAGCAACCCACAGGUACCAAUCCCAGGCUUAGAGACAAGAAUUGUGUCAGGACCCCGAUUCCAAGUCACAUCGAUCUAGCCGGUAACACCUCAUAUCAGUUUGCGGCCUCACGCACGGUAUCCCACGGGUGUCGCCUUACCAUGGCCCGGGACCGUUUGCCCCUUUUGGCUCACGUAUAUGAUAGUGUUGCUAGCAUCCAUAUGACAGAGAACCCGGGCCGACAUGGCUAGUCAUGAACCCAAAGCGGCACAGAACUAUGGAGACAGGCAUACAUGAAUCAUAUCGAGCAUCUCGGUCAUCAGCGAUUGAUUCCAGGCUGUAGCACUGGGCUAACAGGACUCCGGGGAACCUGAGCUGUAGCAGGCUAGGCAGGACUCCGGAAGUCACAGCGUGACAUUUCCCCGAAGGGACAGACAUAGGAACGAAGUGAAACACCUACCGGCCAGUCAAGUGCCCUGAACAGUAGUGCUAGGCUAGCAGGACUCCGGUGAACCGGGCUGUAGCGGACUACUAUGGCUCGAGGAACACUAGACUACAUUUCCGCAUAAGAAAGGCUGCCAAGGAUAAACAACUAGAUUGUCGGAUCCCACUCAUACCAAGCAUUUCAAUCAUACACACAAUAUGCCCGAUAUGAGUACAUACAACAUGGCAUCACAACAAAACUCUACAACUCAAGUACUUUAUUUAAAGGCUCCGGGGAGCCAUACAUAAUAAGUUCAUACAGAUAGGGUCACAUGACCCGACACUCAAGUCAUACAAUCAUACAAGCACAUGCGGAAGCAACUAGUCUGAGUACAGACUCUAGAAAGAAAGAAGGCUUCUCGAAGCCUGUCUAUCUACAUAGGGCCCUCCAUGGCCAGGAUCACCACCUGGGUGGCUAGUCACUCGUCGACGUCAAGGUCUACGUAGAACCCAUCGGAGGGGGCGGUGUUGUCGUCUGAAAACAGUAAUUAAGCAAACAUGAGUACAAUGGUACUCAGCAAUUCUUACAUCAGAACCUACUAAACAUGCUUAUUCUCAAGAAGGUGGUGGGGUUAAUGCAGCAAGCCAGCUUUGACUCUUGGCUAAGCUAUCCUAUGGAACUUCACUAGUAAAAUAGUUUUCGCACACGAGUCCACUACUCACCAACACAAUAGUCCACCCGGGAUCCUCCCUCGUCAUCCUACGAGACGGCCAUCCUCGGUACUCACACUUAUCUUGAGUCUUUUAGUAGUAUCCAUUAACUUGGCUAUGAACUGUAUAGGCAACCAAGUAGUCCUUUACCGCGGACGCGGCUAUUCGAAUAGUUUCAUACCCUGCAGGGGUGUACUUCUUCAUACACGCUUUCACCACUUACCGUCGUUUACACGACAUGUACUCGGCAACCUUCAAGCGGAAGCCCAGCGAGGGUGUCGGCCACGGCCUACCUAAACACUUAAGUCUCUAGUCCAGGUUUAUCGCCUAUCCAGGUUCCAUCCGCAGGGAGUCCGGCCGAGGUUUCCACAUACGGCCCCAAACGAUGUGAACACGGAUCCCGAGACACCAAACGGGUGACUCGGUACACCUGCCACGGUGUAUCUACCGCAACAUAGCCCACCCCUAGGGUCAGCGCUACGCACAGCCGCCAACACAUAACCUACAAACACUAGAAACUAUUUGCAACUCCUAGACAGAGUACUAGGGUGAUUAAGAAGCCAAGAGGGUCCAUUGGUUUCGGGCCCAAUGUACGGUAGUAACUGCAUCUUAAAUCACACAUACAGAUCUCAGUUCUUAGGGAUGGCCUCAAUGAAACAACCCACCAUGUACUCCUACAUGGCCUCUCAUCGAUACCUUUACCAAAACAUGUUCAACACAUCCCUCACAUUACCGACAUAAGCAUUUCACUCUAGCCCAUCACCCAGAUGAACCAGACCUGACACAACUCUAAGCAUAGCAGGCAUAGCAAGGUAGGAAUCACAUACAUGGCUCAAUCAACUCCUACACAUGCUAGUGGGUUUCAUCUAGUUACUGUGGCAAUGACAGGUCAUGCAGAGGAUAAGGGUUCAACUACCAUAGCACACAACAGAUUGAAACGCGUUGUCUUAAUGCAGUAAACAAGAGUAGAAGCGAGAACAUGGGUUGUAUCGGAAUGAUCAAUGGUUGCUUGCCUGAUGGAGUGGUAGUGGGAUACUGCCCUUUAGUUGGAUACUCGUGAAUAUCCUCGGAGGCAGAACCUACCACGAAGAACACAUCGGAACACAAUCAACACAUGACGAUAUGCAACAAUAUGAUGCAUGCUAUGACAUGGCAAUAUGAAUGUGUCUUGGCCUAAUGCAAGCUAUAACAGAAAGGAAUGAACUCAUUUGAAUCAAAGAUUCAAAUAUUAGCUCAUUAAACAUGGCCUUAAUAGUGCAUUUCCUUAUUCUGCUUAAACAGUAAGGUAAACUUGUUUUGUCAUGCAUGAAACCAUUACAUAUGGAUAGAUUGAAUUUUUCUGAUCAUUUUUCAUAUAUAAAUCUUUGCAUUUGGAGCUAUGGUUGAUUUUCUAUGAUUUUUAGAAGUUUUAACUAUUUUCUGGAAAUUCCUGAAUAAAAAUAAAUCCAGAAAAUGCAUUACUGCGUCAGCAUUGCGUCAUGCUGACCUCAGCAGGUCAAAGGCGCCAGCCCAGGUCAAACCUGACUGGUGGGCCCCUUCUGUCAGCCUCUCAGCUAAUUAACAGGAUUAGAUUAACACUAAUUAGCUGUCAGUGGGGCCUGGGCCCACAUGUCAGUGACUAAUUUAAUUAAAAUUAAUUAAAACUAAUCCUAAAUUAGUUAGCAGACCGGCCCCACCUGUCAUAGACUCAGGGGGAUCUACCUGGGCCCACCCAGGAGUCAAACUGGGUCAAACUCGCCGGCGACUCGACGCCUGCGAGGCCCGAGACGGUGGCGCAGCUCGGAAAACGCCCACAGGGCAUGGGCGAGGCCAUUCUUGGGCUCGUUGGGGAGCUCUUGCAGUCGCGCAUCUAGUGGUGGUGGAGGCCGGGCCUACGGUGGCCGAUGACGACGACGGCAAGCUCCAAGGCGGCGGCCGGAGUUCGGCCAUGUGUGGGGAGUGGGCUGCGGCGUGCAAACACGGAAACUGAAGCGCUAGCGAGGCACUAUGCGAUGCGGCAAGUACGUUGCAUAGCACGGGAGGACCAAAUGGUCGCCGGAGCGACGCCGGCGACGAGCGCGAGCGGAGACGAGCUUCGGCCAUGGUGGAAAUAUGGCCUAGAGGGUGCAAACGCGUGGGAAAGAAGAGGGGAAAGGCGUCGGAGCUCACAGGGAGGUCGAUGAGCAGCUCAGUGGGCUCGGGGGCGACCGGAGCGAGGCGAAUUGAUGAACGGCGUCCGGCGGGUACCGAGGUUGAAGACGGCGCGAUAGCGGCAAUGCAGGGCCUCCGGCGAAGCGUGGCUCGGUGGGGAGGGCGAGGGCGUCGUGGCGGAGCGAUUUGGCUUGUCGGAGGGGCGAGGUGUCACACCCUAGCUAGUCAUGCAUUAGAGUGUUGCAUCAUGUUUACUCAUUCAUCAGAAACUUGAAAUGGGGAUGACAGAACCCCCAGUCCCCUCUGAAACCAACUAGGGUUACUAAAAUAAUUUUUCAAUGAACCUGAAAUGCCCUUCUAAAAUGCCCAUCAUUUUUGUCUUGGUUCAGAACCUCUGCCAAAAAUGGUGCACAUUUUCCUAGGCCAUCCUAGGGUUUUUGAAUUAAAUCAUAGAUAUUUGAAUUUGGGCAUUUAAAAUAAUAUAAAAUAUUUAAAUGCUCAAAUAUCUCCAAACUAAAAUGUUUCAUGUUGGAAAUAAUCCAACUAUGGGCCAGGAAUAGUUUGGUGAUUUUUGAAGUUGCCUAGGUAUUUUAUUUAAUUCAACAAAGUUGCAGAUAUAUUAAAUAAAAACAGAAACAGAAAAUAAGGGGAAAAACCUACCUGGCGCCACCGCAGGCCCACCAGCCAGCCCACCUGGUCGGCCCAGCCCGGCCACCGCUCCAGCGAGCUGCUUGGCUCGCCAGGCAGGCAGCCAAGGUGCUCGGCGGCGGCACCGCAGCUCGCCACGCAGCUGCUCGCCGCCUCGCCGCCUCCCUCGCCCGGCUAACGCCGUGGAUCGGCCUCUCUCUCUCCCCCGAACCCCCAGACACCCCCUCUCCUCUCCAGCUCCUCCCCCUCGCACGCCCCAGCCAUGGCCGACGCCAUCGCCGCCACCCCCUCGCCGUAGCCACGCCCUCCGACCACCCCACGCCGUCUCACCGUGUCCAGGAGCUCCGCCGCCGUCCACUUCAUCGAGCAGCCGAGCCCCGAGCGCUCGCAACGCCCGAGACCACCGCACCGACCUNNNNNNNNNNNNNNNNNNNNNNNNNNNNNNNNNNNNNNNNNNNNNNNNNNNNNNNNNNNNNNNNNNNNNNNNNNNNNNNNNNNNNNNNNNNNNNNNNNNNNNNNNNNNNNNNNNNNNNNNNNNNNNNNNNNNNNNNNNNNNNNNNNNNNNNNNNNNNNNNNNNNNNNNNNNNNNNNNNNNNNNNNNNNNNNNNNNNNNNNNNNNNNNNNNNNNNNNNNNNNNNNNNNNNNNNNNNNNNNNNNNNNNNNNNNNNNNNNNNNNNNNNNNNNNNNNNNNNNNNNNNNNNNNNNNNNNNNNNNNNNNNNNNNNNNNNNNNNNNNNNNNNNNNNNNNNNNNNNNNNNNNNNNNNNNNNNNNNNNNNNNNNNNNNNNNNNNNNNNNNNNNNNNNNNNNNNNNNNNNNNNNNNNNNNNNNNNNNNNNNNNNNNNNNNNNNNNNNNNNNNNNNNNNNNNNNNNNNNNNNNNNNNNNNNNNNNNNNNNNNNNNNNNNNNNNNNNNNNNNNNNNNNNNNNNNNNNNNNNNNNNNNNNNNNNNNNNNNNNNNNNNNNNNNNNNNNNNNNNNNNNNNNNNNNNNNNNNNNNNNNNNNNNNNNNNNNNNNNNNNNNNNNNNNNNNNNNNNNNNNNNNNNNNNNNNNNNNNNNNNNNNNNNNNNNNNNNNNNNNNNNNNNNNNNNNNNNNNNNNNNNNNNNNNNNNNNNNNNNNNNNNNNNNNNNNNNNNNNNNNNNNNNNNNNNNNNNNNNNNNNNNNNNNNNNNNNNNNNNNNNNNNNNNNNNNNNNNNNNNNNNNNNNNNNNNNNNNNNNNNNNNNNNNNNNNNNNNNNNNNNNNNNNNNNNNNNNNNNNNNNNNNNNNNNNNNNNNNNGUUGACCUGCUGACGUCACACUGACGUCAGGCUGACGCAGUAAUCGAUUUUCUGGAUUUAAAUUAAAUCAGGAAAUUCCAGAAUAUUAUUUAAACUUCAAAAAUUCAUAACUUUUAUUCUGUAACUCCAAAUUGGACAAAUUAUAUAUGAAAAAUGAUCAGAAAAAUCCAAUCUAUCCAUCUGCACUAUUUUCAUGCAUGAUCAAAACAAGUUAAAUUGAUGUUUUAAGCAGAACAAGGAAAAGCACUUUAAAAGGCCAUAUUUGAAUUUGAAAUUUGAAUCCUUGAUUCAAAUUUGUUCAAACUCUUCUGGUCUUAGUUGCAUUAGCCCAACACACUCAUAUUGCCAUGUUUCAUGCAUGCAUCAUAUUGUUGCACAUUGUUUGGUGAUGCUUGUGUACCGAUGUCCUUUGCGACAGGUUCUGUCUCCGAGGAGUACCGUGAUUACCCUAACGAAGAAUCAUAUCCGAGCAUCGAACCAUCAGGCAAGCAACCAACCAUUUGAUCAUAUCGAUACAAUCCCAUGUUCUCGCUCCUGCUCUCUUUUACUGCAUUAAGACAACGCGAUUCAAACUGCUGUGUGCUACGGUAGUUGAACCCAUUUCCUCUGCAUGACCUGUCAUUGCCACAGUAACUAGAUGAAACCCACUAGCAUGUGUAGGAGUUGAUUGAGCCAUAUGUAUGUGUUGUUCCUACCUUGCUAUGCCUGCUAUGCUUAGAGUCGUGUCAGGUCUGGUUCAUCUGGGUGAUGGCUAGAGUGAAAUGAUUAUGUCGGUAAUGAGAGUGGUGUGGUGAACACGGUUUGGUAAAGGUAUCGAUGAGAGGCCAUGUAGGAGUACAUGGUGGGUUGUUUCAUUGAAGCCGACCUUAAGCACUGAGAUCUGUAUGUGUGAUUUAAGAUACAGCUACUACCAUGCAUUGGGCCCUGAAAUAUGACCCCGCUCGACUUCUUAUUCACCCUAGCUCUCUGUCCAGGAGUUGCAAGUAGUUUCUGGUGUUUGUAGCCUACUGGAGGCCGUGGACAGCGCUGACCGUAGGGGUGGGUUGUGAUGCGGUAGGUACGUGGCACGGUGUACCGAAUACCCGUUAGGUAUCUCGGGAACCCUGUUCACAUCGUUCGGGGCCGUAUGGGAAACCUCGGCCGGACUCCCUGCGGAUGGAACCUGAAUAGGCGAUAAACCUGGACUAGAGGCUUAAGUGUUUAGGUAGGUCGUGGUCUACACCCACGUCGGCUUUCGCUUGAAGUCUGCCGAGCACAUGUCGUGUGCAGACGCUAAGUGGUGGAAACAUGUAUGAAGAAGUACACCCCUGCAGGGUUAACAUGAUCUAUUCGAAUAGCCGCGUCCGCGGUAAAGGACUACUUGGUUGCCUAUACAGUUCAUAGACAAGUAAAUGGAAACUACUAAAAGCCUCAAGAUAAGUGUGAGUGCCGAGGAUGGCUCUUCCGUAGGAAGACGGAGGUGGAUCCUCGGUAGUGUAUUGAAGUGGUGAGUAGUGGACUCGUGUGCGCAAAACAUUUCAAAUUGGAGUAUCGUAGGAUAGUCUAGCCAAGAGUCAAAGCUGGCUUGCUGCAAUAACUCCACCAACCCUUCUUGAUACUAUGCAUGUAUGUAGGAUCUGAUGUAAGUCUUGCUGAGUACCUUUGUACUCAUGUUGCUAUAAUUUACAUUUUUACAGAAGACGCUGCAACCCCUUCUGAUGGGUUCUAUGUAGAUGUUGACAUCAACGAGUAGGCUAAAGACCCAGGUGGUGACCCUGAGCUUGUGAUGGACCACGUAGUAUAGCCAGGCUUUCCAAGCCUCUUUUAUUUUACUAGUUGUCUGUACUCAGACAAGUUACUUCCGCUGUUGGCUUGUAUGACUGUAUGACUUGUAUGUUGGGUCUUGAGACCCGUACCUUUGUGUAUGAUAUGUAUGGCUCCCUGAGCCUUAAAUAAAGUACUUGUGUCAUAGAGUCAUGUUGUGAUGCUUCGUUGUAUUUGCACAUAUCGAGCAUAUUGUGUGUAUGAUUGAAAUGCUUGGUAUGUGUGGGAUCUGACCAUCUAGUUGUUUAUCUUUAGUAGCCUCUCUUACCGGGAAAUGUCUCCUAGUGUUACCGCUGAGCCAUGGUAGCUUGCUACUGCUCUGGAACACUUAGGCUGGCCGGCAUGUGUCCUUCUUCGUUCCUGUGUCUGUCCCUUCGGGGAAAUGUCACGCUUUGAGUACCGGAGUCCUAUUAGCCCGCUACAGCCCGGUUUACCGGAGUCCUGCUAGCCCAGUGCUACAGCCCGGACCCACUUGCUGAUGACCGACACGUUCGAAGCUGGGUCAUGGAUGCCUGUCCCUGUAAGUCUGUGCCACUUUGGGUUUACGACUAGUCAUGUCAGCCCGGGCUCUUUAUCAUAUGGAUGCUAGCGACACUAUCAUAUACGUGAGCCAAAAGGCGCAAACGGUCCCGGGAAAAGGUAAGACGACACCCGUGGGGAUACCGUGCGUGAGGCUGCAAAGUGAUAUGAGGUGUUACCAGCUAGAUCGAUGUGACAUCGAGUCGGGGUCCUGACAGCGUUGGCAUCAGAGCCGGACUGCCUGUAGGUUCUCCAAGCCAAACUGGUCGAUGUUGAGUCUAGAAAUUCUUUAGUUAUAUGUAGGGGAAUUGUUUGUGGGAUGGAACGUAAGGCUCUUUUUACUCCUUAUAUCUUAUGACAUUCUGAUCUGAGUCAGUCCAUUCUUCCACCGGGGGUUAAGGAAUUAGGAUCUGUUCUCUCUAUCAGGAUCACGAGUUACUAAUCAGUAGUACCUUAUAAGUUUGAUGGAUACAAGCCUAGUUCAGUUCUACUACCACAUUAUGUUGCCAACAUGGUUUCAGAACUUUGAUAUGAUGAUGUUGAGUAUGUACGAAAUCUUUUGUCAAAUGUCUCAAAAUCCUUUUUGAGCAUUUACAGCUGUUAUGCUGCCGAAAUUUUGCUAGAAAUUCUAAUGCCUUUGCAUUAUGAUUAUGCUUUCAGAUGGCCACUCGCGACCUCAAUCAAGUGGUUCGCCUGACUCGAUGCCUAGAUGUACCCGGCCAUACUGCUAAGUUGGUCAGGGUAAUGACUGAGGCUGGAUACCGCUGGUAUCCUGAGUACACGGUCGAAGAGCAAUUUCGGGACUUCAAUCAAAGCCAGUAUCUCUACACUGUCAGGAUAUUUCCAUCUUAUCCUGGAUCCACCGAGCCUCUUCACUGCUCCUAUGGACUCGGGGUUACUAUUGAGAUGGUUGUGCAGGACGCCGCCUACUCUAUGAUGACCAUUAUGCGAGUCAGAUCUGGUUUAUUCCGGGACUCUGAUUUCCGGUAUAUGCCAGGAUCACUUCCGGGAGCACAAGGAUAUCUCCAGGCUAUCUAUGCUGACUCCACUCAGGAGGAUUCACGGACACGCACCACUGCGGAGAUGCUCGAGGAUAAGGACCGUGAAAAUCGGGCCUUAAGGUUAGAGCUCUUCAAUACCCGUGCUGACCACUGGGCCACUUUGACUCGGUUCGCACCGGCAGUGCAAGCUGGAUUCUCAGAUAUGCGCGAUCUCUAUCCUGUGAGAUCUGCUCUGCCAGACGUGAUGGUUUGGCGUGAUGUAGGAGGCAUCACCCCACCUCGCGGUCCCCGCAGGCCACCGUUUGUUGGUCCAAGGCCUCAUCCUAGUCCCUAUGGUCCACAAGCUCCGCGAGACCGUCUGUUUCCGGAUGAUCAUGUUGAACUUCCAGGCUAUGGAGGUGACUUCUAUGAGGACUACUACAGAUCGGUCUGAAUUAGGGGUAGUAUCACUAGUUCGCACUAGCCGUGUCGUCUAUCGUCCUGCGUGACUCGUGGGAUAUGACCUAGUUUGUACUCUUUCCGGAGAUGUAGAAAAAUAAUGUAUAGGAGCUUGGAAUGCCUCCGAUGAGAUGUAAUCCUCUUUUCACCGUAAUAGAACUUUGUUUGGUCUUGUACUAAACCCUGUAUGGUGUGUAUGACGAUGGAAUAAAAGAAGCAGUUUCUGUAUCUACCAUGUCAUACGGAUGAUCACCUUGCAUUCCGAGUUAUUCCUUACAUUAUGUAUCCUAUGUCGGAAUUUUAUCAUUCUGACUAAAUCAUUGUCUUGUUUACCUAGGAUGGUCAACACGCGCGCUAACCCUGCUUCCCAAGAGCAGGCCGAAGGCAGUGAAGCCAGGGAUGCAAAUCUGCCUCAUCCUCCUUCACUAGCCGAGGUUAUGAUGGAAGCUGAGAGAAACAAGCGGGAGACAAACCGUUUGUUGGAGCGUAUUGAACAGAAUACAGCACACCAUCAGAGGGCUAACGUGGUGUCACUCAGUGAUUUUAUCAAAGUGCAUCCACCCACGUUCCACCACUCCGUCGAGCCUCUCGACGCUGAUGACUGGCUUCACAGUAUCUCUCACAAGCUGCGUUCCGCGCUGGUAGCGGAGGCUGACAAGGUCACCUUUGCUGCAUAUCAUCUUGAAGGCCCCGCCAGUCUAUGGUGGGAGAAUUAUGGAGCUAUGCGCCCAACGGGCCAUGUCACUACUUGGGCUGAGUUCAGCGAGGCUUUCCGCGAACAUCACAUUCCGGAGGGUCUCAUGGACCGUAAACGUGAAGAAUUCUGCAAUUUCACCCAAGGCCGACUUUCUGUGGAUGUCUAUAGCAGGGAGUUUGGUAAUCUCGCCCGAUAUGCAACUGAGGAAGUGUCUACUGACGCCAAGAAGCAAGCAAGGUUCCGUAAGGGCCUUAGUCCCGAGCUUCGCCGCGACCUCCAUCUGCAUGAGUGCACAUCUUUUUCGAAACUUGUCAACAAAGCCAUCAGUGCUGAAACUGGUCAGACUGACUAUGACGCAACACGCAAGCAUGGACGUGACAUGGGUUCCUCGUCCGGUGCUGGUCCUCAGAAGCGCCGCGUGUGGGUACCCAACACCGCCCUGCCACCCAGGUUCACACCGAGGCCAUCCUUCCAGGCGCCUCGCCCCGUUCAACAGUCUGCUCCGGCCAAGCCCUAUGGGGGUCCAAUCAAUAAUGCUCCUCCACGUACCAGUUCCGUGACUUGUUUCAAGUGUGGGGAAUCUGGUCACUAUAUGCGUGAGUGUCCCCAGACCAACCCCAAUCAAUCUGCUAAAGCUGUUGGCCGUGGCAAGCCGACAGGGAAGGUGUUUCAUGCUAAACCGGUCACCGCUUCACGUGGCCAAAUCAACUGUAUCUCUGCCGAAGAAGCUCAAGAGGACCCCAACGUCGUUCUCGGUACGCUUCUUGUUAAUUGCCACCCGGCAUCUGUUCUUUUCGAUACAGGAGCCUCUCAUUCUUUUAUAUCUGAAAACUAUGCUCGCUUGCAUAACGUCGCAUUCGGUGAUAUGCCAACCUCUAUGAUAAUUCAGACUCCGGGAUCCAAAUGGCAAACCUCUAGAGUAAGCCAUGGAAAUGAAAUCCAAGUCGAUAGACUUGUUUUCCUUGCAUCUUUGAUAGCCCUUAAAUCUUCAGAUAUUAAUGUCAUUUUGGGUAUGGACUGGAUGUCAGCUCAUCAAGCCAAAAUUGAUUGUUUCUCUAGGACUGUUCAACUCACCCAUCCUUCGGGGAAGAUAGUCAAUGUCUUGACCCGAAUAGCCAAGCGACAAUUAUAUUCCCUUAACGCCAGCCCUUUGCCAGACCUUGAGGACGUUCCGGUAGUCCGUGACUUCCCGGAUGUCUUUCCAGAGGAAUUGCCAGGUGUUCCACCUGACAGGGAUGUUGAGUUCGUAAUAGACCUCAUUCCAGGAACCGUUCCAAUUGCUAGAAGACCCUAUAAGAUGGCACCCCUAGAACUACCUGAGCUUAAGAAACAACUCGAUGAGUCCUUGAAAAAGGGUUUCAUCCGACCUAGUUCAUCUCCGUGGGCUUGCCCCGUCCUAUUCGUCAAGAAGAAGGAUGGUACGGACCGGAUGGUUGUAGAUUACUGACCUGUCAAUUUGGUCACAAUCAAGAACAAAUAACCGCUUCCCAGGAUCAACGACUUGUAUGAUCAGCUCGCUGGAUCCUCAGUCUUCUCCAAGAUGGAUUUGAGGUUGGGCUACCAUCAAAUCAAAAUCAGAAACGGGGACAUUCCUAAAACGGCCUUUGUUACUCGUUAUGGCCAAUACGAGUACACCGUCAUGUCCUUCGGUUUAACCAACGCUCCAGCCACCUUUUCUCGGUUAAUGAACUCAAUCUUCAUGGAGUAUUUGGAUAAAUUCGUCGUAGUUUAUCUCGAUGAUAUACUCAUCUACUCCAAGAACGAGGAAGAACAUGCCGAACAUUUAAGGCUAGUGUUGAAGAAACUUCGAGAGCAUCGCCUUUAUGCCAAAUUUUCAAAAUGUGAAUUCUGGUUGUCAGAAGUGACCUAUCUGGGUCAUGUAAUAUCGGGUAAAGGUAUUGCUGUUAACCCUGAGCGAGUUCAAGCCGUCCUUGAUUGGACUCCACCCGAAUCGGUCAAGCAAGUUCGGAGUUUUCUAGGCUUAGCGAGCUAUUGUCGUCGCUUUGUCGAGAACUUCUCCAAAGUUGCCAAACCUCUAACCGAACUCCUCAAGAAAGAUAAGAAGUUCGAAUGGACUCCACAAUGUGAGCACAGCUUUCAGAAACUGAAAAGACGCCUGACCUCUGCUCCCGUGCUGGUACCGCCAGACUUCUCCAAGGACUUUGUUAUCUACUGCGACGCCUCGCGACAAGGACUAGGUUGCAUUCUCAUGCAAGAUCGACACGUAAUUGCUUACGCUUCACGGCAAUUGCACCCACAUGAGGAGAAUUAUCCUACUCAUGAUCUAGAGCUUGCAGCCGUAGUCUAUGCACUUAAGACCUGGCGACAUUACCUCCUCGGUAAUCGUUGCGAAAUAUUCACUGAUCACCAAAGUCUGAAGUAUAUCUUCACCCAACCGGAUUUGAAUCUCAGGCAGAGACGUUGGGUUGAAUUGAUCACAGACUUCGACUUAGGAAUAACCUACACCCCAGGGAAAGCCAACGUCAUGGCUGAUGCGCUAAGUCGUAAAUCUUAUUGUAACAACCUGAUGUUACAACAAAGUCAACCGCUUCUCCAUGAGGAAUUUCGGAAGCUUAACCUUCACAUUGUACCUCAAGGUUUUCUUUCCACCUUGGUAGCAAAACCUACUCUUACGGAUCAAAUCAUCGCUGCCCAAAAGCGAGAUAAGGGAAUAUCUAAAAUCAAAGAGAACAUUGCUAGCGGAGGUGCUAGUUGUUUCUCCACAAAUGAUCAUGGUGCUGUGUACUUUGAGAACCAUCUAGUGGUUCCCAAGAACCAGCAUCUACGGCAGCUGAUCCUUAAGGAGGCUCAUGAAUCUCCUCUCACCAUUCAUCCCGGUAGUACUAAGAUGUAUCAAGACCUACGCCAGAGGUUCUGGUGGUCUAGGAUGAAGAGAGAAAUUGCUCAGUAUAUUGCAAAUUGCGACGUCUGUCGUCGUGUAAAAGCAGAGCAUCAACGGCCUGCUGGCACCCUUCAACCCUUAGCUAUUCCUGAAUGGAAAUGGGAUAAAAUUGGUAUGGAUUUCAUUACCGGUUUUCCCAGGACCAAGAGAGGGAAUAAUGCUAUCUUCGUCGUGGUCGAUCGUCUUUCCAAAGUAGCUCAUUUCUUACCUGUUCGUGAGAGUAUAACCGCUAGUCAGCUGGCAGAUUUGUACAUCUCCCGAAUAGUGUCCCUCCAUGGUGUUCCUUUGGAAAUCAAUUCGGAUCGAGGAAGUCUUUUCACCUCUCGAUUUUGGGAAAGUUUCCAAAAUGCUAUGGGAACCCGUCUCUCCUUUAGCACCGCUUUCCACCCUCAGUCGAGUGGUCAAGUGGAACGCGUCAACCAAAUUCUAGAAGACAUGCUUCGAGCCUCUGUCAUUUCAUUCGGAAUGGACUGGGAGAAGUGCCUUCCAUUUGCCGAAUUCGCUUACAACAACAGCUAUCAAUCUAGCUUGGGUAAAGCCCCUUUUGAAGUUCUCUAUGGACGACGAUGUCGAACACCCCUUAACUGGUCAGAGGCCGGGGAAAGACAAUUCUUUGGCCCGGACAUGAUUCAGGAAGCAGAAGAUCAAGUUCGUAUCGUUCGUGAAAAGUUGAAAACAGCCCAAUCUCGCCAAAAGAGUCAAUAUGACCGAAAACAUAGGGCUAUGACUUUCGAGGUUGACGAGAAGGCUUAUCUUCGGGUCACCCCUCUGAAGGGAACCCAUCGUUUCGGUAUCAAAGGCAAAUUGGCUCCUCGUUACAUUGGACCUUUUCGCAUUCUUGCCAAACGAGGAGAAGUUGCCUACCAGUUGGAACUACCUCCGCACCUCUCCAGAGUUCACGAUGUCUUCCACGUCUCUCAACUCAGGCGUUGCUUCUCGGAUCCUAUCCGUGAAGUGGACCACGAAACGCUUGAUCUCCAAGAUGAUCUUACAUAUCGGGAGUACCCCAUUCGUAUCCUCGAUCAAGCCGAACAUACCACGCGACGUCAUAAUAUCAAGUUUCUCAAGGUUCAAUGGUCGCACCAUUCUGAGGAUGAAGCAACUUGGGAAAGGGAGGAUCGUCUUCGACUCGAGUAUCCCGCCUUCUUCCCGGAGGAACCCAAAUCUCGGGACGAGAUUCUUUUGAGUGGGGGUGAGUUGUCACACCCUAGCUAGUCAUGCAUUAGAGUGUUGCAUCAUGUUUACUCAUUCAUCAGAAACUUGAAAUGGGGAUGACAGAACCCCCAGUCCCCUCUGAAACCAACUAGGGUUACUAAAAUAAUUUUUCAAUGAACCUGAAAUGCCCUUCUAAAAUGCCCAUCAUUUUUGUCUUGGUUCAGAACCUCUGCCAAAAAUGGUGCACAUUUUCCUAGGCCAUCCUAGGGUUUUUGAAUUAAAUCAUAGAUAUUUGAAUUUGGGCAUUUAAAAUAAUAUAAAAUAUUUAAAUGCUCAAAUAUCUCCAAACUAAAAUGUUUCAUGUUGGAAAUAAUCCAACUAUGGGCCAGGAAUAGUUUGGUGAUUUUUGAAGUUGCCUAGGUAUUUUAUUUAAUUCAACAAAGUUGCAGAUAUAUUAAAUAAAAACAGAAACAGAAAAUAAGGGGAAAGACCUACCUGGCGCCACCGCAGGCCCACCAGCCAGCCCACCUGGCCGGCCCAGCCCGGCCACCGCUCCAGCGAGCUGCUUGGCUCGCCAGGCAGGCAGCCAAGGUGCUCGGCGGCGGCACCGCAGCUCGCCACGCAGCUGCUCGCCGCCUCGCCGCCUCCCUCGCCCGGCUAACGCCGUGGAUCGGCCUCUCUCUCUCCCCCGAACCCCCAGACACCCCCUCUCCUCUCCAGCUCCUCCCCCUCGCACGCCCCAGCCAUGGCCGACGCCAUCGCCGCCACCCCCUCGCCGUAGCCACGCCCUCCGACCACCCCACGCCGUCUCACCGUGUCCAGGAGCUCCGCCGCCGUCCACUUCAUCGAGCAGCCGAGCCCCGAGCGCUCGCAACGCCCGAGACCACCGCACCGACCUCGCCUGAGCUCACCGUCGCCGGAGAUCCCCUUCAACGCCAUCGUCGCUCCGGUCCAUCUCCGGCCGCACCAGGGACUCCGUCGCACUCACUGUGAGCUUAGCCAUCUUCCCCUCCCUUCCGUUCUUGCUCCCGAGCCGUGUAGCAACCUCCCGGAGCUCAACCGCACCCACCGCCGUGGACCUCGUCGCCGACGUGCUCCUGGUCAUCCUCCGGCCACAAGAUGGUGUCCAUCUUGCUCACCGCGUCCCACAGCACCUAGCUAGCCACUCCACGAGCCUCACCGAACCCUCUAGCACCAAGUUCACCUCCGACCGAACCUCGGUGGCCGCCAAAGUCGUCGCCGGCGUCGACUCCGGCCACCCCGACCCCAACGGACUCCGCCAAGAGCUGCGGGUUGCCCUCAGCUCCACUCCGGUGGUCUCCGCCGUCCAUUUGGUUGCCGAAAUGACCAAAACCACUUCCACCGCCGCGUCGGGCUCGCCGGCGACUAAACGCCGGCAGCCGACAUUGACUUUGACCACGGGUGGGCCCUGGUUGACUCCCCUGAGUCAAUGACAGGUGGGGCCCAGCCCUGUUAAUUAAACAGGAUUAGUUUUAAUUAAGUUUUAAUUAAAAUAAUCACCCUGACAUGCGGGACCCACUGUCAGGUUUGACCCAGACCUGUUCUGUUGACCUGCUGACGUCACACUGACGUCAGGCUGACGCAGUAAUCGAUUUUCUGGAUUUAAAUUAAAUCAGGAAAUUCCAGAAUAUUAUUUAAACUUCAAAAAUUCAUAACUUUUAUUCUGUAACUCCAAAUUGGACAAAUUAUAUAUGAAAAAUGAUCAGAAAAAUCCAAUCUAUCCAUCUGCACUAUUUUCAUGCAUGAUCAAAACAAGUUAAAUUGAUGUUUUAAGCAGAACAAGGAAAAGCACUUUAAAAGGCCAUAUUUGAAUUUGAAAUUUGAAUCCUUGAUUCAAAUUUGUUCAAACUCUUCUGGUCUUAGUUGCAUUAGCCCAACACACUCAUAUUGCCAUGUUUCAUGCAUGCAUCAUAUUGUUGCACAUUGUUUGGUGAUGCUUGUGUACCGAUGUCCUUUGCGACAGGUUCUGUCUCCGAGGAGUACCGUGAUUACCCUAACGAAGAAUCAUAUCCGAGCAUCGAACCAUCAGGCAAGCAACCAACCAUUUGAUCAUAUCGAUACAAUCCCAUGUUCUCGCUCCUGCUCUCUUUUACUGCAUUAAGACAACGCGAUUCAAACUGCUGUGUGCUACGGUAGUUGAACCCAUUUCCUCUGCAUGACCUGUCAUUGCCACAGUAACUAGAUGAAACCCACUAGCAUGUGUAGGAGUUGAUUGAGCCAUAUGUAUGUGUUGUUCCUACCUUGCUAUGCCUGCUAUGCUUAGAGUCGUGUCAGGUCUGGUUCAUCUGGGUGAUGGCUAGAGUGAAAUGAUUAUGUCGGUAAUAAGAGUGGUGUGGUGAACACGAUUUGGUAAAGGUAUCGAUGAGAGGCCAUGUAGGAGUACAUGGUGGGUUGUUUCAUUGAAGCCGACCUUAAGCACUGAGAUCUGUAUGUGUGAUUUAAGAUUCAGCUACUACCAUGCAUUGGGCCCUGAAAUAUGACCCCGCUCGACUUCUUAUUCACCCUAGCUCUCUGUCCAGGAGUUGCAAGUAGUUUCUGGUGUUUGUAGCCUACUGGAGGCCGUGGACAGCGCUGACCGUAGGGGUGGGCUGUGAUGCGGUAGGUACGUGGCACGGUGUACUGAAUACCCGUUAGGUAUCUCGGGAACCCUGUUCACAUCGUUCGGGGCCGUAUGGGAAACCUCGGCCGGACUCCCUGCGGAUGGAACCUGAAUAGGCGAUAAACCUGGACUAGAGGCUUAAGUGUUUAGGUAGGUCGUGGUCUACACCCACGUCGGCUUUCGCUUGAAGUCUGCCGAGCACAUGUCGUGUGCAGACGCUAAGUGGUGGAAACAUGUAUGAAGAAGUACACCCCUGCAGGGUUAACAUGAUCUAUUCGAAUAGCCGCGUCCGCGGUAAAGGACUACUUGGUUGCCUAUACAGUUCAUAGACAAGUAAAUGGAAACUACUAAAAGCCUCAAGAUAAGUGUGAGUGCCGAGGAUGGCUCUUCCGUAGGAAGACGGAGGUGGAUCCUCGGUAGUGUAUUGAAGUGGUGAGUAGUGGACUCGUGUGCGCAAAACAUUUCAAAUUGGAGUAUCGUAGGAUAGUCUAGCCAAGAGUCAAAGCUGGCUUGCUGCAAUAACUCCACCAACCCUUCUUGAUACUAUGCAUGUAUGUAGGAUCUGAUGUAAGUCUUGCUGAGUACCUUUGUACUCAUGUUGCUAUAAUUUACAUUUUUACAGAAGACGCUGCAACCCCUUCUGAUGGGUUCUAUGUAGAUGUUGACAUCAACGAGUAGGCUAAAGACCCAGGUGGUGACCCUGAGCUUGUGAUGGACCACGUAGUAUAGCCAGGCUUUCCAAGCCUCUUUUAUUUUACUAGUUGUCUGUACUCAGACAAGUUACUUCCGCUGUUGGCUUGUAUGACUGUAUGACUUGUAUGUUGGGUCUUGAGACCCGUACCUUUGUGUAUGAUAUGUAUGGCUCCCUGAGCCUUAAAUAAAGUACUUGUGUCAUAGAGUCAUGUUGUGAUGCUUCGUUGUAUUUGCACAUAUCGAGCAUAUUGUGUGUAUGAUUGAAAUGCUUGGUAUGUGUGGGAUCUGACCAUCUAGUUGUUUAUCUUUAGUAGCCUCUCUUACUGGGAAAUGUCUCCUAGUGUUACCGCUGAGCCAUGGUAGCUUGCUACUGCUCUGGAACACUUAGGCUGGCCGGCAUGUGUCCUUCUUCGUUCCUGUGUCUGUCCCUUCGGGGAAAUGUCACGCUUUGAGUACCGGAGUCCUGUUAGCCCGCUACAGCCCGGUUUACCGGAGUCCUGCUAGCCCAGUGCUACAGCCCGGACCCACUUGCUGAUGACCGACACGUUCGAAGCUGGGUCAUGGAUGCCUGUCCCUGUAAGUCUGUGCCACUUUGGGUUUACGACUAGUCAUGUCAGCCCGGGCUCUUUAUCAUAUGGAUGCUAGCGACACUAUCAUAUACGUGAGCCAAAAGGCGCAAACGGUCCCGGGAAAAGGUAAGACGACACCCGUGGGGAUACCGUGCGUGAGGCCGCAAAGUGAUAUGAGGUGUUACCAGCUAGAUCGAUGUGACAUCGAGUCGGGGUCUUGACACGAGGGGGUGGCUCUGGCGUCGUCUACGGCGAACGGCGGCGAGGAACGCGCUCGGGCAUCGCGGAAGAGAGUUAGGGAGAUGAGGGGGAGAGUGAGCGAGGAUGAGAGGGGGGACGUGGGGGUCGCGUGGCAUCCCUGGACGUCUCCAGGACGUCGGCAGAAGCAGGAGGUGGCCGGCGUGUGGCCGCGGGCGCCGGCCACGCGCUCCGCGUCCUUCUGGCGCGAGGAGGACGACGACUGGCAGCCAGUAGGCUGGGCCGAGCCAGGUGGGCUGGGCCAGCACAGGUAAGGCCCAGGUAGCUUCCCUCUCUCUCUUUUUUUCUAAUUGUUUCUGUUUUUCUAUUAACUGCAACUGUUGGGCUUUAAUUAAAAUACUAAAACGUUUCCAAAAAUCUUGAAAAUAAAUGUGGGCUCUGUUUAGAAUAUUUCCAACAGCAAACAUUUAUUUGCAGAAUUAUUUGAGCAUUUAAAUUAUUUUAUAGCAUUUAAAUGCCCAAAUUCAAAUACUUAUGAUUUAACUCAAUGACCUUCUGUUGACCUAGGAAAAUGUGCACCAAUUUUGCUAGAGGUUUUAACCCAAGACAAAGAGGGUGAACUUUUUAGAAGGGCAUUUCAGGUUCAUUGAAAAUAAUUUUAGUAAACCCUAGUUGUUUCCAGGGGGGUGUUGGGGGUUUCUGCCUUCCCCAUUUCAAAUUUAAGAGAAAUUUAAACAUGAUGCACACUCUAAUGCUUGAACUAGCUAGGGUGUGACAACUCACCCCCACUCAAAAGAAUCUCGUCCUGAGAUUUAGGAUCCUCCGGGAAGAAGGUGGGGUACUCGAGUCGAAGAUGAUCCUCCCUUUCCCAAGUGGCUUCUUUCUCGGAAUGGUGUGACCAUUGAACCUUGAGAAACUUGAUAUUAUGACAUCGAGUGGUACGCUCGGCUUGAUCAAGGAUACGAAUGGGAUAUUCCCGAUAGGAGAGGUUAUCUUGUAGAUCAAGCAUUUCGUGGUCCACUCCACGGAUAGGAUCCGCGAAGCAACGCCUGAGUUGUGAAACGUGGAAGACAUCGUGAACUCUGGAAAUAUGCGGAGGUAGUUCCAAUUGGUAGGCAACUUCUCCUCGUUUGGCAAGAAUGCAAAAGGGUCCAAUGUAACGAGGGGCCAAUUUGCCUUUGAUACCGAAACGAUGGGUUCCCUUUAACGGAGUAACCCGAAGGUAAGCCUUCUCGUCGACUUCAUAAGUCAUAGGCUUAUGUUUAUGAUCAUAUUGACUCUUUUGACGAGAUUGGGCUGUUUUCAAUUUCUCAUGAAUAACACGAACCUGCUCUUCUGCUUCCUGAAUCAUAUCCGGGCCAAAGAGUUGUCUUUCCCCGGUUUCUGACCAGUUAAGAGGCGUUCGACAUUUUCGUCCAUAGAGAACUUCGAAAGGAGCCUUGCCUAAGCUGGCUUGAUAACUAUUGUUAUAAGCAAACUCCGCAAAUGGAAGGCAUUUCUCCCAACUCAUUCCGAACGAGAUGACAGAAGCUCGGAGCAUAUCUUCCAGAAUUUGAUUGACUCGUUCUACCUGACCACUUGAUUGAGGAUGGAAGGCGGUGCUAAAGGAGAGACGAGUUCCCAUAGCAUUUUGGAAACUUUCCCAAAAUCGAGAGGUGAAGAGACUUCCACGGUCUGAGUUAAUUUCCAAUGGAACACCAUGAAGAGACACUAUUCGGGAGAUGUAUAAAUCAGCUAGCUGGCUAGCGAUGAUACUCUCACGAACAGGUAGGAAAUGGGCUACUUUGGAAAGACGGUCGAUCACGAUGAAGAUGGCAUUAUUCCCUCUCUUGGUCCUAGGAAACCCAGUGAUGAAAUCCAUACUGAUUUUAUCCCAUUUCCACUCAGGAAUAGCCAAAGGUUAGGGUGCCAGCAGGCCGUUGAUGCUCUUCUUUAACACGACGACAAACGUCGCAAUUAGCAAUGUAUUGCGUGAUUUCUCUCUUCAUCCUAGUCCACCAAAACCUCUGGCGUAGGUCUUGAUACAUUUUAGUACUACCGGGAUGAAUGGUGAGAGGGGAUUCAUGAGCUUCCUUAAGGAUCAGCCGCCUCAGGUUUCGUGCCUUUGGAACCACUAGGUGAUUCCCAAAGUAUACGACACCUUGAUCAUCAAUGGAGAAACAAUUCGCGACUCCUUUCUUAAUGUUUCUCUUAAUACGGGAGAUUCCCGGAUCUACCUCCUGUGCCUUGAUGAUCUAAUCCGUAAGGGUAGGUUUCGCCACCAGGGUGGAUAGAAUCCUCGAGGAACAAUGUGAAGAUUUAGCUUACGAAAUUCCUCAUGGAGAAAUGGUUGACUUUGUUGUAACAUCAGGUUGUUACAAUAGGACUUACGGCUUAGCGCAUCAGCCAUGACAUUGGCUUUGCCCGGGGUGUAAGUUAUUCCUAAGUCGUAAUCCGAGAUCAACUCAACCCAACAUCUUUGCCUGAGAUUCAAAUCUGGUUGGGUGAAGAUAUAUUUCAAACUUUGGUGAUCGGUGAAGAUCUCGCAAUGAUUACCGAGAAGGUAAUGUCGCCAAGUUUUAAGUGCAUGGACUACAGCUGCAAGCUCUAGAUCAUGUGUGGGAUAAUUUUCCUCAUGUGGGUGUAAUUGCCGUGAAGCAUAGGCAAUUACCCGACGAUCUUGCAUGAGUAUGCAACCUAGUCCUUGUCGCGAGGCAUCGCAAUAGAUAAUAAAGUCCUUGGAGAAAUCUGGUGGUACAAGUACGGGAGCAGAUGUCAGGCGUCUUUUUAGUUCCUAAAAACUGAACUCGCAUUGUGGAGUCCACUCGAACUUUUUAUCUUUCUUGAGGAGUUCAGUCAGAGGUUUAGCAACCUUGGAGAAAUUCUCGAUGAAGCGGCGGCAAUAGAUCGCUAAGCCAAGGAAGCUCCGAACUUGCUUAACCGUCUCAGGUGGAGUCCAAUCAAGGACGGCUUGAACUCACUCGGGAUUGAUAGCAAUACCCUUACCAGAGAUUACAUGGCCUAGAUAGGUCACUUCUGGCAACCAAAAUUCACACUUGGAGAAUUUGGCGUAAAGGCGAUGCUCUCGAAGUUUCAUCAAUACCAGCCUUAGAUGUUCGGCAUGUUCCUCUUCAUUCUCGGAGUAGAUGAGUAUGUCAUCGAGGUAUACUACGACAAAUUUGUCCAAGUACUCCAUGAAAACCGAGUUCAUUAACCGGGAAAAGGUGGCUCGGGCAUUGGUUAAACCGAAGGACAUCACGGUGUACUCGUAUUGUCCAUAAUGAGUAACAAAGGCCGUUUUGGGAAUGUCCCCGUUUCUGAUUUUGAUUUGAUGGUAGCCCAACCUCAAAUCCAUCUUGGAAAAGACUGAGGAUCCAGCGAGCUGAUCAUACAGAUCGUUGAUCCUGGGAAGCGGAUAUUUGUUCUUGAUGGUGACCAAGUUGACAGGUCGGUAAUCCACAACCAUUCGAUCCGUUCCAUCCUUCUUCUUAACAAAGAGGACAGGGCAAGCCUAAGGAGAGGAACUAGGACGGAUGAAACCCUUUUUCAAGGACUCAUCGAGUUGGUUCUUAAGCUCGGCUAGUUCUAAGGGUGCCAUCUUGUAGGGUCUUCUAGAAAUUGGAACGGUUCCUGGAACAAGGUCUAUCACAAACUCAACAUCCCUGUCAGGUGGAACACCUGGCAGUUCUUCUGGAAAGACAUCCGGAAAGUCUCAGACUACCGGAACAUCCCCAAGGUCUGGAAGGGGGUUGGUAUUUAAGGAGUAAAACUGGCGCUUGGCCACUCGAGUUAAGACAUUGACUGUCUUGCCCGAUGGGUGAGUAAGCUGAACGGUUCUAGUGGCACAAUCAAUCUUAGCGUAAUGAGCUAACAUCUAGUCCAUACCCAAGAUGAUGUUUAUGUCCGUGGACUUGAGAGCUAUCAAGGAUGCAAGGAAGACAAGUCUAUCGACAAGAAUUUUGUUCCCAUGACUUACUCUAGAAGUUUGCCAUUUGGAACCCGGAGUUUGAAUUACCAUGGAAGUGGGCAUGUCACAGAAUGUCGUGUUAUGCAAUCGAGCAUAGCUAUCGGAUAUGAAUGAAUGAGAUGCUCCAGUAUCGAAAAGAACAGAUGCCGGAUGGCAGUUAACAAGGAGCGUACCAAGGAUGACGUUGGGAUCCUCAUGAGCCUCCUCGGCUGAAACAUAGUUGACAUGGCCACGUGCAGUGGUGGCCGGCUUGGCGUAGAAUGUUUUUCCCGUGGGCUUACCACGGCCAACAGACGUUCCAGUUUGAUUGGGGUUGUUGUUCUGGGGACACUCUCGGCUAUAGUGACCCGGCUCUCCACACUUAAAGCAUGUCACCACAUUGGAGCGUGGAGCAGCAUUAGCAGCAGGGCCACCAUAGGGCUUGGGCGGUGCAAAUUGCUGGUUGGGACGAGGCGCCUCAAAGGAUGGCCUCGGGAUGAACCUGGGUGGCAGUGCCGUGCUUGGGAUCCACACCCGGCGCUUCUGAGCUCCAAAGCCGGAUGAAGAGCCAAAGUCACGGGAGUGCUUGCGUGAAGCGUCAUAAUCAGUCUGGCCUGUCUCAGCACUGAUGGCUUUAUUGACCAACUUCUAAAAGGAGGUGCACUCGUGCAGAUGAAGAUCACGGCGAAGCUCAGGGCUAAGUCCCUUGCGGAACCUUGCUUGCUUCUUAGCGUCAGUAGAUACCUCUUCGGGAGCAUAGCGUGCCAGAAUUCCAAAUUCACGACUAUAAGCAUCCACAGUCAGUCUUCCUUGGGUGAAGUUGCAGAACUCCUCCCUCUUGCGAUCCAUGAGACCUUCCGGAAUGUGAUGCUCGCGGAAAGCCUCACUGAACUCAGCCCAAGUAGUAACUUGGCCGACCGGGCGCAUAGCUUCGAAGUUUUCCCACCAAAGGCUAGCAGGGCCUUCGAGGUGAUAGGCAGCAUAGGUAACCUUGUCGGCUUCGGCUACGUUGGCAGAACGUAGCUUGUGAGUGAUGCUGCGAAGCCAGUCAUCCGCGUCGAGGGGUUCGACGGAAUGGUUAAACUUUGGUGGGUACAGCUUGAUAAAGUCAUUGAUCGACACCAAGUCAUUUCGUGGGUGGCGUGCAGUGUUCUUCUCAAUCUGCUCUAGCAGGCGGUUAGUCUCAUGCUUGUUUCUUUCCGCCUCCAGCAUUACUUCGGCCAGAGAAGGCGGGUGAGGCAGAUUUUCACCUCUAGCUGCACUGGUUCCCCCUGCUCCGAGGCAGCAGGUUUGCUGCGGGUGUUGACCAUCCUAGGAGAAAACAAGACAAUGGUUUAGAUAAGGAUGGCUCAAACUUAGCAAGGAAGUGCAGUAUGUAAUGGAUAACACGGAAUGCAAAGAUGUUCAUCCGUAUGUCAUGGUAAUAUAAAACUGCCAUAUAUAUACCAACGGUCAUACACAUCAUACAUAGUUUAGUACAAGCCUAGGCUACAGUACAACUAUGAUGAAAGACAUUACAUCUCAUCGGAGGCAUUCCAAGCUCCUAUACAUUAUUUGUCUACACCUCCGAAAUUGACUACACAGUAAGUCGUAUUCCAUAAGUCACGCAGGACAGUGGAGAUACAACUACUACAAUACUAGUGGUACUACUACUAACUCAGAUAGCUCCGUAGUAGUCCUCAUAGAAGUCACCUCCGUAGCCUGGAAGUUCAACAUGACCAUCCGGGAACAGACGGUCCUGAGGAGCCUGUGGACCAUAGGGGCUAGGAUGAGGUCUUGGACCAACAAACGAUGGCCUGCGGGGACCACGGGGUGGGGUGAUGCCUCCCACAUCACGCGAAUCCACCAUGUCUGGCAGAGCUGAUCUCACAGGAUACAGAUCCCUUGUAUCCAUACAUCCAGCUUGCACCGCAGGUGCAAACCGAGUCAAUGUGGCCCAAUGAUCAGCACGGGUAUUGAAAAGCUCCAGCCUCAAGGCCCAAUUCUCUCGGUCCUUAUCUUCGAGCAUCUCAGCAGUGGUACGAGUUAAUGAGUCCUCCUGAGUGGAGUCAGCAUAGAUAGCCUGAAGAUACCCUUGCGCUCCCGGAAGUGAAGCUGGCAUGUAACGGAAGUCGGUGUUCCGAAGCAGGCCAGUCCAGAUCGCAAGAUGGUCAUCAUGGAAUAGGCAGCAUCCUGCACAGCCAUCUCAACAGUAACCCCGAGUCCAUAGGAACAGUGAAGGGGCUCGGUAGAUCCAGGAUAAGAAGGAAAUAUCCUGACGGUGCAGAGAUAUUGGCUUUGAUUAAAAUCGCGGAACUGCUCUUCGACGGUGUAUUCGGGAUACCAACGGUAGCCCGUCUCGAUCAUUACCCGGACUAACAUAGCAGUAUGACCGGGCACGUCGAGGCACCGGGUCAGGCAAACCACUUGGUUUUGAACAUGGUUGGCCAUCUGAAAGCACAACCACAAUGCAAAGACAUCAGAAUUUCUAGGAAAAAUUGGACAGCAUAACAGCUGUAAAUGCUCAGAAAAAGAUUUGAGACAUCCACAACAGUUCACAAUACCACUCAACAACAUCAUAUCAAGAUUUUGAUCCAAUUAGCAACAUACUAAAAUAGUAGAAACUGAACUGGGGCUUGUAGCAUCAAUCCUAUAAGCUACUACGGAUUAGUAACACGUGAACCUGAUAGAAGGAGAGAGCCUAGUCCUUAACCCACGUUGAAUGAGAAGAGAAUGACUCAGAUCAGAGGCAUAGGGUAAAGGAGUAAAAGAGACUUACGUUCCCUCCCACAAUCAAUUCCCCUACAUAUAACUAAAGCAUUUCUAGACUCGACAUCGACCAGUUUGGCUCAACGAACCUACAGGCAGUCCAGCUCUGAUGCCAACGCUGUCAGGACCCCGAUUCCAAGUCACAUCGAUCUAGCCGGUAACACCUCAUAUCACUUUGCGGCCUCACGCACGGUAUCCCACGGGUGUCGCCUUACCAUGGCCCGGGACCGUUUGCGCCUUUUGGCUCACGUAUAUGAUAGUGUCGCUAGCAUCCAUAUGACAGAGAACCCGGGCCGACAUGGCUAGUCAUGAACCCAAAGCGGCACAGACCUAUGGAGACAGGCAUACAUGAAUCAUAUCGAGCAUGUCGGUCAUCAGCGAUUGAUUCCGGGCUGUAGCACUGGGCUAACAGGACUCCGCGGAACCCGGGUUGUAGCAGGCUAGGCAGGACUCCGGAAGUCACAGCGUGACAUUUCCCCGAAGGGACAGACAUAGGAAUGAAGUGAAACACAUGCCGGCCAGUCAAGUGUCCUGAACAGUAGUGCUAGGCUAGCAGGACUCCGGUGAACCGGGCUGUUGCGGACUACUAUGGCUCGAGGAACACUGGACUACAUUUCCAUAAGAAAGGCUGCCAAGGAUAAACAACUAGAUUGUUGGAUCCCACUCAUACCAAGCAUUUCAAUCAUACACACAAUAUGCCCGAUAUGAGUACAUACAACAUGGCAUCACAACAAAACUCUACAACUCAAGUACUUUAUUUAAAGGCUCCGGGGAGCCAUACAUAAUAUGUUCAUACAGAUAGGGUCACAUGACCCGACACUCAAGUCAUACAAUCAUACAAGCACAUGCGGAAGCAACUAGUCUGAGUACAGACUCUAGAAAGAAAGAAGGCUUCUCGAAGCCUGUCUAUCUACAUAGGGCCCUCCAUGGCCAGGAUCACCACCUGGGUGGCUAGUCACUCGUCGACGUCAAGGUCUACGUAGAACCCAUCGGAGGGGGCGGUGUUGUCGUCUGAAAACAGUAAUUAAGCAAACAUGAGUACAAUGGUACUCAGCAAUUCUUACAUCAGAACCUACUAAACAUGCUUAUUCUCAAGAAGGUGGUGGGGUUAAUGCAGCAAGCCAGCUUUGACUCUUGGCUAAGCUAUCCUACGGAACUUCACUAGUAAAAUAGUUUUCGCACACGAGUCCACUACUCACCAACACAAUACUCCACCCGGGAUCCUCCCUCAUCAUCCUACGAGACGGCCAUCCUCGGUACUCACACUUAUCUUGAGUCUUUUAGUAGUAUCCAUUAACUUGGCUAUGAACUGUAUAGGCAACCAAGUAGUCCUUUACCGCGGACGCGGCUAUUCGAAUAGUUUCAUACCCUCCAGGGGUGUACUUCUUCAUACACGCUUUCACCACUUACCGCCGUUUACACGACAUGUACUCGGCAACCUUCAAGCGGAAGCCCAGCGAGGGUGUCGGCCACGGCCUACCUAAACACUUAAGUCUCUAGUCCAGGUUUAUCGCCUAUCCAGGUUCCAUCCGCAGGGAGUCCGGCCGAGGUUUCCACAUACGGCCCCGAACGAUGUGAACAGGGAUCCCGAGACACCAAACGGGUGACUCGGUACACCGUGCCACGGUGUAUCUACCGCAACAUAGCCCACCCCUAGGGUCAGCGCUACGCACGGCCACCAACACAUAACCUACAAACACCAGAAACUAUUUGCAACUCCUGGACAGAGUACUAGGGUGAUUAAGAAGCCGAGAGGGUCCAUUGGUUUCGGGCCCAAUGUAUGGUAGUAACUGCAUCUUAAAUCACACAUACAGAUCUCAGUUCUUAGGGACGGUCUCAAUGAAACAACCCACCAUGUACUCCUACAUGGCCUCUCAUCGAUACCUUUACCAAAACAUGUUCAACACAUCCCUCACAUUACUGACAUAAGAAUUUCACUCUAGCCCAUCACCCAGAUGAACCAGACCUGACACAACUCUAAGCAUAGCAGGCAUAGCAAGGUAGGAAUCACAUACAUGGCUCAAUCAACUCCUACACAUGCUAGUGGGUUUCAUCUAGUUACUGUGGCUAUGACAGGUCAUGCAGAGGAUAAGGGUUCAACUACCGUAGCACACAGCAGAUUGAAACGCGUUGUCUUAAUGCAGUAAACAAGAGCAGAAGCAAGAACAUGGGUUGUAUCGGAAUGAUCAAUGGUUUCUUACCUGAUGGAGUGGUAGUGGGAUACUGCCCUUCAGUUGGAUACUCGUGAAUAUCCUCGGAGGCAGAACCUACCACGAAGAACACAUCGGAACACAAUCAACACCUGACGAUAUGCAACAAUAUGAUGCAUGCUAUGACAUGGCAAUAUGAAUGUGUCUUGGCCUAAUGCAAGCUAUAACAGAAAGGAAUGAACUCAUUUGAAUCAAAGAUUCAAAUAUUAGCUCAUUAAACAUGGCCUUAAUAGUGCAUUUCCUUAUUCUGCUUAAACAGUAAGGUAAACUUGUUUUGUCAGGCAUGAAACCAUUACAGAUGGAUAGAUUGAAUUUUUCUGAUCAUUUUACAUAUAUAAAUCUUUGCAUUUGGAGCUAUGGUUGAUUUUCUAUGAUUUUUAGAAGUUUUAACUAUUUUCUGGAAAUUCCUGAAUAAAAAUAAAUCCGGAAAAUGCAUUACUGCGUCAGCAUUGCAUCAUGCUGACCUCAGCAGGUCAAAGGCGCCAGCCCAGGUCAAACCUGACUGGUGGGCCCCUUCUGUCAGCCUCUCAGCUAAUUAACAGGAUUAGAUUAACACUAAUUAGCUGUCAGUGGGGCUUGGGCCCACAUGUCAGUGACUGAUUUAAUUAAAAUUAAUUAAAACUAAUCCUAAAUUAGUUAGCAGACCGGCCCCACCUGUCAUAGACUCAGGGGGUCUACCUGGGCCCACCCAGGAGUCAAACUGGGUCAAACUCGCCGGCGACUCGACGCCGGCGAGGCCCGAGACGGUGGCGCAGCUCAGAAAACGCCCACAGGGCACGGGCGAGGCCGUUCUUGGGCUCGUUGGAGAGCUCUUGCAGUCACGCAUCUAGUGGUGGUGGAGGCCGGGCCUACGGUGGCCAGAGACGAUGAUGGCGAGCUCCAAGGCGGCGGCCGGAGUUCGGCCAUGUGUGGGGAGUGGGCUGCGGCAUGCAAACACGGAAACUGAAGCGCUAGCGAGGCAUUACGCGAUGCGGCAAGCACGUUGCAUAGCACGGGAGGACCAAAUGGUUGCCGGAGCGACGUCGACGACGAGCUCGAGCGGAGACAAGCUUCGGCCAUGGUGGAACUAUGGCCUAGAGGGUGCAAACGCGUGGGAAAGAAGAGGGGAAAGGCGGCGGAGCUCACAGGGAGGUCGAUGAGCAGCUUAGUGGGCUCGGGGGCGACCGGAGCGAGGCGAAUCGAUGAACGGCGUCCGACGGGUACCGAGGUUGAAGACGGCGCUAUAGCGGCGAUGCAGGGCCUCCAGCGAAGCGUGGCUCGGUGGGAAGGGCGAGGGCGUCGUGGCAGAGCGAUUUGGCUUGUCGGAGGGGCGAGGGGGUGGCUCUGGCGUCGUCUACGGCGAACAGCAGCGAGGAACGCGCUCGGGCAUCGCGGGAGAGAGUGAGGGAGACGAGGGGGAGAGUGAGCGAGGAUGAGAGGGGGGACGUGGGGGUCGCGUGGCAUCCCUGGACGUCUCCAGGACGUCGGCAGAAGCAGGAGGUGGCCGGCGUGUGGCCGCGGGCACCGGCCACGCGCUCCGCGUCCUUCUGGCGCGAGGAGGAUGAUGACUGGCAGCCAGUCGGCUGGGCCGAGCCAGGUGGGCUGGGCCAGCACAGGUAAGGCCCAGGUAGCUUCCCUCUCUCUCUCUCUCUCUCUCUCUUUUUCUAAUUGUUUCUGUUUUUCUAUUAACUGCAACUGUUGGGCUUUAAUUAAAAUACUAAAACGUUUCCAAAAAUCUUGAAAAUAAAUGUGGGCUCUGUUUAGAAUAUUUCCAACAGCAAACAUUUAUUUGCAGAAUUAUUUGAGCAUUUAAAUUAUUUUAUAGCAUUUAAAUGCCCAAAUUCAAAUACUUAUGAUUUAACUCAAUGACCUUCUGUUGACCUAGGAAAAUGUGCACCAAUUUUGCCAGAGGUUUUAACCCAAGACAAAGAGGGUGAACUUUUUAGAAGGGCAUUUCAGGUUCAUUGAAAAUAAUUUUAGUAAACCCUAGUUGUUUCCAGGGGGUGUUGGGGGUUUCUGCCUGCCCCAUUUCAAAUUUAAGAGAAAUUUAAACAUGAUGCACACUCUAAUGCUUGAACUAGCUAGGGUGUGACAAAUUGGAUACAAAAGAUGAACUAGGGUUUGAGAGGAGAUGGUGCUGGUGAAGAUGUUGAUGGAGAUUGACCCCCUCCCGGUGAGAGGAUCGUUGGUGAUGACGAUGGCGAUGAUUUCCCCCUCUCGGGGGGAAGUUUCCCUGGCAGAAUAGCUCUGCCAGAGCCCUAGAUUGGUUCCUCCAAGGUUCCGCCUCGUGGCGGCGGAGUCUCGUCCGGAAACAUGGCUUAUGAUUUUUUCCUCAUCAAAAGACUCCAUAUAGCAGAAGAUGGACAUCGGAGGGCCACCAGGGGGCCCAUGAGGCAGGGGGCACGCCCAGGGGGGUAGGGCGCGCCCCCCACCCUCGUGGGCUGGGUGUGCCCCCCUGUUAAACUUCUUGCGCUCAGUAUUUUUUAUAUAUUCUGAAAAUGACUUCCGUGAAGUUUCAGGACUUUUGGAGCUGUGCAGAAUAGGUCUCUAAACUUAGCUCCUUUUCCAGCCCAGAAUCCCAGCUGCCGGCAUUCUCCCUCUUUAUGUAAACCUUGUAAAAUAAGAGAGAAUAGGCAUAAGUAUUGUGACAUAAUGUGUAAUAACAGCCCAUAAUGCAAUAAAUAUCGAUAUAAAAGCAUGAUGCAAAAUGGACGUAUCACAACCUUGCCACCAAGAAUGCAUUUGUCACUCAUGAAACCUGUCGGCGGUCGUGGAAGAGUCUGACAUUGCUAAGCUCUGAAGAUGAUCUCCAACAAGAUGGCUUCACUGAGAGAUUCAAGUUUGAUUCCACUCCUCCCAGCAAUGCUCACCUGCAUCGGACUCCCUCACUUGAAGACUCUAACCACUCAUCCUCACCUGCAACUGUCAAUGCCAGAGUUAUUGAUGAUGAAGUUGAUGCUACUUCCCCAACCUCAACUUCGCCUCAAAUCGACACUACACCAAGUUCUUCUGCACCACCAGACCUCAACAUCGACCCUGCUGCUUCGCCUACUCCUCAUGGGAACGAGUAGAAAGCUCUAUGUCUUCAAACCUUUUUGGUCCUCACUGACAAAAGGGGGAGAAUCAUAUGGGUUGAUAGUCUUCAAGCGGGUCCAUAAGGGUGGUUGCUAUACUUUUGCCAAGUGCUUACAACUCUCGCUUUUGAUACAUUUGGUUCUUUUGAGUUGUAACACUUAAACUUGAUGGUCGUCUGCUACCUUUUCUGUCAACUAUGUGAUGUGAUGAUAAAUUCCGCAUGUCCGACGAUAAAUUCCGCAUGAAUUCAUUUUGCAGACGUCCAUUUAUCAUUAUGCAUGUCAUUAUCUUUGUUAUAUUUUUUCAUGCAUGAUGAAUUGUCUUCAUAAGUUGAAGAGGAUCUCCACAAGUACAACCUGCCAUGUGCAUUUGCAUUCAAACGCAAAUUACUUAUAUAUGCACAUCUUCAAGGGGAGCCUUUUGCUGCUUAUGAAGACAAUGCCUUAAUCCUUUACAAUUUCACAUACUUUUAUCCCCGAUGAAAACUUCAACUAGUUUGUCAUCAAUCACCAAAAAGGGGGAGAUUGUAAGUGCAUCUAGUGCCACCCCUAGUUGGUUUUGGAGUAUUGACGACAAACCUGGUUGAGGGACUAAUGUGUUUGUGAGAAUUGCAGGAUAACACAGGUAGUAGUCCCUCACUUAUUUGGUUUACCUACCGGAGAUGAUCCCUAAAAAUGUGUGAAGACAUUGAAGAUAAUGGUGGUAUGUGAAGAUAUUCACAUUGAAGACUAUGACAUGAGAAGACAUCGCAUGAAGUCUUUGGAGUGCGAAGACAUAGUUGUUUUGUAGUUUCAUUUUCUUCUUUGUUGAGUCAUAGGAACCACUGUACUGUUAAGUGGGGACCAAGUGAACAAAGUCAGAGUGACUAAAGUGAUGCUCAACCAAAUCCUAUGUCUUCAAGCGAAGACAAUGAGAGCAAAUUUUAUCCAGAGCUGGAUGAGUCAGCUUUACUUGUAGCCCAAGUCAAGCUGCCGCAUGUGUUUGAAAUCUGACCAUUGGAACACGUGUUAGUUCCUUAGUGACCCCAGGUCAGUUUCCUAGUGGCUAUAAAUAGCCCACCCCUACACCAUAAAUUGGUGACUGCUCAGAGUUAGUACACGGCUUUUGUCGUUUGAGAGCAACCCACCUCGAAGCCUUUGAGAGAGAAAUCCUUGCGAGGACAAAGCCCUAAACACCCAGAGCCAAAGAGUGUUAGGCAUCACUGAAGUCCUUCUGUCUGCAUGAUCUGAAGACUUGUUACACUUGAGGACUGUGAAUCCUCCAACCGGUUAGGCGUCGCGUUCUGAGCAUCCAAGAGUCAUUGUGGAUCGCCAGUGAACAAAGUCUGAAGGUUUGGAAGUCUACCUUGAAGACUUACCAGAGUGAUUGGGCGAGGACUGUGUGUCCUUAGCUCAAGGGGAAUAAGGUGAAGACGUGGUCUUCUGAGUUGAAUCUUAGCCUCCCUAACUAGACAUACAGUUGUCACAGCAACUAGAACUGGUCCAACAAAUACUUGUCCUCACCCAGCAACUGGUUCUAUCCUUACCUCUCUCUUUACUUACAGUUUGUCUUCGUGAAGUCAUUGCCUGCUUGCAUGAUAUGAUUGACUUCACUAUGUGAAGACUGUUGUUGAUUGGUUUAAUACUUUCUUCCAUCUUGAUCCAUACUACCUAGCUGUUGAUAGUCUUCGCGCUUUCACUUCAUUACUUACUUGACUAUGGCAUGUCUAGUGUAGUCUACCUUUCGCUGCAUAUCAAUAGGUUCAUUUCUACUGUUUGUCUUCAAAUCCCCUAUGUUUUGAAGACUUUCAUAAAAAUCGCCUAUUCACCCCCCUCUAGUCGAUAAGUAGGACUUUCAGAAUCACUGGAACUGAUUUCUGUGAUGAACUACUUUCCAAUUCGGGAGAAGGUACAAUUACCUUAUCAAGUUCUACUUUCCUCCCACUCACUUCUUUCGAGAUAAACUCCUUCUCUAGAAAGGAUCCAUUCUCAGCAACAAAAUAUCUUGCCUUCGGAUCUGUGAUAGAAGGUGUAACCAAUAGUUUCUUUUUGGGUAUCCUAUGAAGACGCACUACUCCGAUUUGGGUUCGAGCUUAUCAGUUUGAAACUUUUUCACAUAAGCAUCGCAACCCCAAACUUUAAGAAAUGACAGCUUUGGUUUCUUGCCAAACCAUAGUUCAUACGGUGUCAACUCAACGGAUUUAGAUGGUGCCCUAUUUAACGUGAAUGCAGCUGUCUCUAAUGCAUAACCCCAAAACGAUAGCGGUAAAUCAGUAAGAGACAUCAUAGAUCACACCAUAUCUAUUAAAGUGCGAUUACGACAUUCGGACACACCAUUAUGCUAUGGGUUUCCAGGUGGCGUGAGUUGCGAAACUAUUCUGCAUUGUUUCAAAUGAAGACCAAACUCGUAACUCAAAUAUUCUUCUCCAAGAUCAGAUCGUAGAAACUUUACUUUCUUGUUAUGAUGAUUUUCCACUUCACUCUAAAAUUCUUUGAACUUUUCAAAUGUUUCAGACUUAUUUUUCAUCAAGUAGAUAUACCCAUAUCUGCUCAAAUCAUCUCUGAAGGUCAGAAAAUAAUGAUACCCGCCACGAGCCUCAACACUCAUCGGACCGCAUACAUCAAUAUGUAUUAUUUCCAAUAAGUCAGUUGCUCGCUCCAUUAUUCCGGAGAACGGAGUCUUAGUCAUAUUGCCCAUGAGGCAUGGUUCGCAAACAUCAAGUGAUUCCAAAAGCCCAUCAACAUUGAGUUUCUUCAUGCACUUAACACCAAUAUGACCUAAACGGCAAUGCCACAUAUAAAUUGUACUAUCAUUAUUAACUUUGCAUAUUUUGGUUUCAAUAUUAUGAAUAUGUGUAUUACUACAAUCGAGAUUCAAUAAACCAUUAACCUUGGGUGUAUGACCUUAGAAGGUUUUAUUCAUGUAAACAAAAUAACAAUUAUCCUUGACUUAAAUGAAUAACCGUAUUGAAAUAAACAUUAUCCAAUCAUAUUAUGCUCAACGCAAACACCAAAUAACAUUUAUUUUAGGUUCAAAAUUAAUCCCGAAGGUAAAGGGAGUGUGCGAUGGUUAUCUUAUCAACCUUGGAAUUACUUCCAACACACAUCGUCACCUCGCCCUCAACUAGUCUUUGUUUAUUUUUCAACUCCCGUUUCGAGUUACUACCUUUAGCAACUGAACCAGUAUCAAAUACCGAGGGGUUUGCUAUAAACACUAGUAAAGUACAAGUUAUAUGCUCCGUGGCAUUCAAAAACAUUUUUGAUGUCCCGGUUCUAAGCCAUAAAGCAUGGUGCACUAAACUAUCAAGUAGUCAUCAUACCGAGCUUUGUCAAACGUUCAUAACGUCUGUAUCUGCUCCUGCAAUAGGUCCGUCACCUAGCGGUGCAUCAAGGACAUAAUACUUCUGUGCAGCAAUGAGGAUAACCCUCAGAUCACGAAGCUAGUCUGCAUCAUUGCUACUAACAUCUUUCAACUUAUUUUUCUCUAGGAACAUAUCAAAAAUAAACAGGGAGCUACAUCGCAAGCUAUUAAUCUACAACAUAGAUAUGCAAAUACUAUCAGGACUAAGUUCAUGAUAAAUUAAAGUUCAAUUAAUCAUAUUACUUAAGAACUCCCACUUAGACAUCCCUCUAAUCAUCUAAGUGAUCACGUGAUCCAAAUCAACUAAACCAUGUCCGAUCAUCACAUGAGAUGGAGUAGUUUUCAAUGGUGAACAUCACUAUGCUGAUCAUAUCUACUAUAUGAUUCACGCUCGACCUUUCGGUCUCCAGUGUUCACAGGCCAUAUCUGCAUAUGCUAGGCUCGUCAAGUUUAACCCGAGUAUUUUGCGUGUGCAAAACUGACUUGCACCCAUUGUAUGUGAACAUAGAGCUUAUCACACCCGAUCAUCACGUGGUGUCUCAGCAUGAAGAACUGUCGCAAUGGUGCAUACUCAGGUAGAACACUUAUACCUCGAAAUUUAGUGAGAGAUCAUCUUAUAAUGCUACCACCGAACUAAGCAAAAUAAGAUGCAUAAAGGAUAAACAUCACAUGCAAUCAAUAUAAGUGAUAUGAUAUGGCCAUCAGCAUCUUGUGCCUGUGAUCUCCAUCUCCAAAGCACCGUCAUGAUCACCAUCGUCACCGGCUUGACACCUUGAUCUCCAUCGAAGCAUCGUUGUCGUCACGCCAACUAUUGCCUCCAUGACUAUCGCUGUCGCUUAGUGAUAAAGUAAAUCAAUUACAUGGCGAUUGCUUUCAUACAAUAAAGCAACAACCAUAUGGCUCCUGCCAGUUGCCGAUAACUGUGUUACAAAACAUGAUCAUCUCAUACAAUAAAAUUUAGCAUCAUGUCUUAACCAUAUCACAUCACAACAUGCCCUACAAAAACAAGUUAGAUGUCCUCUACUUUGUUGUUGCAAGUUUUACGUGGCUGCUAUCGGCCGGACUGUUGGACUAUGAAGAUACAAGAUUGAAGACUUCGUCCCGUGUCCGGAUGGGACUCUACUUGGCGUGGAAAGCAAGCUAGGCAAUACGGAUAUGUAUAUCUCCUCCUUUGUAACCGACCUUGUGUAACCCUAGCCCCCUCCGGUGUCUAUAUAAACCGGAGGGUUUUAGUCCGUAGGACCACAUACAAUCAUACCAUAGGCUAGCUUCUAGGGUUUAGCCUCUCCGAUCUCAUGGUAGAUCAACUCUUGUACUACCCAUAUUAUCAAGAAAAAUCAAGAAGGACGUAGGGUUUUACCUCCAUCAAGAGGGCCCGAACCUGGGUAAAACAUCGUGUCCCCUGCCUCCUGUUACCAUCUGCCUUAGACGCACAGCUCGGGACCCCCUACCUAAGUUCCGCCGGUUUUGACACCGACAUUGGUGCUUUCAUUGAGAGUUCCUCUGUGUCGUCGCCGUUAGGCUUGAUGGCUCCUACGAUCAUCGAUAGCGGUGCAGUCCAGGACGAGACUUUUCUCCCCGGACAGAUCUUUGUAUUCGGCGGCUCCGCACUGCGGGCCAACUCACUUGGCCAUCUGGAGUAGAUCGAGAGUUACACCCCUGACCGUCAGGUCGGGUUUGGAAGCUUAAACUACACGGCAGAUAUCCGUGGAGACUUGAUCUCCGACGGAUUUGAGCCUUUGCCUAGUGCACCACACAGUCAUGAUGGGCGUGAUUUAGCUCUGCCAUCGGACAGUGUCCAGGAGAUCGCGCCGGCAACCACUCCGACCCUCAACCCGGAGCCAGCUGCGCCAUCCAUGGGCGGGUGGAUAGACCCUGCCACGGAGGCCGUGUCCUCAGCGGCGAUCGAGCCGAAUAUCGGCCUUACCCUUCACAAGAGCCGUAUGAUGCCGAACUACCGGAUUCUUCCCCGGCCAAGGACUCCGAACCGCCUGCGCCUGUGCCUAUCGAAUCCGAUUGGGCGCCGAUCAUGGAGUUUACCUCCGCAGAUAUCUUUCAGCACUCGCCCUGCGGCGACAUACUGAAAUCAUUAAGGUCUCUCUCCUUGUCAGAAGAGUCCUGGCCGAACCAUGUCUGGCAGGAUUGGGGUACAGAUGACGAAGAAAUUCACCGCGCACCCACCACCCACUUAGUAGCCACUGUCGAUGAUUUGACCGACAUGCUCGACCUCGACUCCGAAGACAUCGACCGUAUGGACGACGAUGCAGGAAACGAACAGGAAUCACCACCCACAGGGCACUGGACGGCCACCUCAUCAUAUGAUGUAUACAUGGUGGACACACCCAAAGAAAAUGACGACGAGGAACGGAAGGAUGCAACGAAGGGAAGCAGUCAAAGACCCAGCGACGUAAGUGCCGCUCCAAAUCCCGCCUCACUAGAAACAACGGUCACAUAGACCCAGCGAUAGAGCAGGGUGAACCAUCACCCGACCAGGGCAACACGGAUAAUCAAACCGAACAACUCGACUCCGUCGAAGAUAACAGUCCGGACGAUAUCACACCGGACAGGCGCCCGGAGCAACAGAAUGCCCAUCAAAGGCUUGUAGCCACUGCAAGGAGUCUGAAAAAGCAGAAGCAAAGGCUCAGGACUGCGCAAGACACACUCAGAAUCAGAUGGAGUGAAGUACUCAACACUGCAGUGAAGUACGGCGGUAAUCGCCACACCAAGAGCUACCCGAAGCGAAAGUUGCUACCUGAAUUCGACAAGGAGGCCUUAGAUCCCCCGCAAUAUGAAAAUAAAAUGGCCAUCCGGUCGGAUAGACGACCUCGCGGCCAAUAUAGAGCGGCAAACAACACCGCACAUAAGGCAGUACGCGAUCCACGCGACGGCUCGCAUCAAAAGGACGGCGCAACCAGAUCCAUAUACGGGCCACGCAAGCGCGCUACAGUAUGCAAUACAACACAACAAACAUCCGAACACCACGGUACACCCAAAUACAGGAGUGCCGCACACCCCCUAUGUUUCACCAAUGAGGUGCCGGACCAUGAAUUUCCAGAGGGAUUCAAACCCGUAAACAUAGAGGCGUACGACGGAACAACAGACCCUGGGGUCUGGAUUGAGGACUAUAUCCUCCAUAUCCACAUGGCUCGAGGAGACGAUCUCCACGCCAUCAAGUACUUACCCCUCAAGCUCAAAGGGCCAGCUCGGCACUGGCUUAAAAGCCUCCCCGAAAAAUCCAUUGGAAGCUGGGAAGAGCUCGAAGACGCCUUUCGGGCAAAUUUUCUGGGGACCUAUGUCCGACCACCGGAUGCAGACGAUUUAAGUCAUAUAACUCAACAGCCCGGAGAGUCAGCCUGAAAGCUCUGGAACAGGUUCCUCACUAAGAAGAACCAAAUAGUAGACUGUCCAGACACCGAAGCCUUAGCAGCUUUCAAGCACAGCGUUCGAGACGAAUGGCUUGCGAGACACCUCGACUAAGAAAAGCCAAGAACAAUGGCAGCAUUAACAAGCCUCAUGACCCGCUUUUGCGCGGGCGAGGAUAGCAGGUUAGCCCGAUGCAGCACCAGUGACCCAAGUACAUCCGAAGUCAGGGACGGAAACGGGAAAUCACGACGCACCAAAAACAAGCGCCGGAAUAAAGAAGACAGCCUGAAGAGCAUGGCGGUAAACGUCAGAUUCAGAAGCUCUCGUCCAGGUUAGCAAGAGCCGCCCCCCAAAGGCAACAGAGACGAACUGUCCAGCCUAAACAAAAUUCUGGACCAAAUAUGUCAGAUCCAUAGUACCCCCGGCAAACCUGCAAAUCAUACCCAUAGAGAAUGUUGGGUCUUCAAGCAGUCCGACAAGCUCAACGCCGAACAUAAGGGGCAGGAUACACCAAGCGAAGAUGAGGACGAGCCUCGCAAGCAAAGCACUGGGGAAUAGAAGAAAUUCCCACCAGAAGUCAAAACAGUCAAUGUGUUAUACUUGAUAAAGGGGAAAAACAAAGCGACACUCCCAGAGACACAUGCCCCAGGGCCUAUCACCGCGGAGUUCUGCCAUUGGUCACCCCAACCGAUCACUUUUGACCAUCAGGGUUACUCAGCAAGUGUCCGGCGUGCAGGAUGGGCUGCCUUGGUAUUAGACCCAAUAAUUGACGGAUACCACUUCACACGAGUCCUGAUGGACGGCGGCAACAGUUUAAACCUGAUAUAUCAGGACACAGUCCGCAACAUGGGGAUAGACCCAGCAAAAAUCAGCCAUAGCAACACUACCUUUAAAGGAGUAAUGCUAGGCCUAGAAGCCCAUUGCACGGGCUCCCUGCUACUAGAGGUUAUAUUCGGCUUCCCCAAUAACUUCCGCAGUGAAAAAUUAACCUUCCACAUCGCUCCGUUCCAAAGCGGCUAUCAAGCACUACUCGAACGCGAAGCUUUCACUCACUUUAAUGCAAUACCGCAUUACGUAUCACUCAUGCUUAAGAUGCCCAGUCCACGCGACAUCAUUACAGUAAAUGGAAAUAUUGAGCGCUCCUUGCACGCGGAAGACUGUGUGACUGCCUCGGUAGCCGCACACUAAACGGCCUCACAAACUAAAGCACCUGACAGGUCGUUAAGACCACGGACACGGUUGGACAAGUCCGGCGCAGUUACAUGUAAUUGCUACAGGUUUGAUGGCUAUACCCCUAUUACAAUACAAGGGGCUCAACGCGCGCAAACAAGUGGCAAUUAGGCUCAACUUCACUCAUCUUGAACUGUACAUAUUUUCUUUCGUACAACCUACCUUUUUGCACGACAAAUUUUCAAAUAAAGUUCCUCUCUUUUGCAGAUGACCAUCGUGCUACGCCCGUCCAGGAUAUAGCACAACGGAGACACAGGCGUAGACGUGCAGCAGGGACCCGGUCCAAGGAUUCUUUUUAGAUUAAGACCCUGCGUAAACCUUUUUCACUGUCUCUUGUUGAUACACAUCCCCCGGAUUCUCAGUACAAUGGAUAAGGAUGCUGACGUAUUGGCAUGUGGCCACGUCAGAAUAUUGCACGUACCUGGACACCAGGGGCUUAUUACAAAGGGCACUGUUUAGGCCCGGUUUACACCAUAAAGGCUAAAUACCUUAGGGAGUGUUCGGCAUCGCGAGUUUGGCCUUAUAUGCAUCAGCUCCGAAUCAUGUCUUUGUCAAAUGUUGGGUUUGCCCGGCUCCUGUGUUUUGCUGCCUUACGUUCCGCUAUAUCGGCUAAGGCAGCACCAGGAGAACUACUGCGAUUGCUCCCUGGUUCAUCCGAACGGGCACCUCAGUAGAGAAAGCCGAAAACUGAUUGUCAUGAUAUAGCGUGAGAUUGGUCAACCACUCAAUGACCUACCGGAAUCUUCGGGAUUCCUCCGCCUUAACGAAGGGCCGUUUCCCAGCCAGGCAUGUACGCACCCUGAAUUCGGAGGAGUGCAGAGCCACCAGGAGCUAUAUAGUAGCCCCACUGUCAAACUCCUCUGGCUAAGUGAAAGUGUUAAAGCAUCAUAGUCCGGUUGCCUAGUUUGCUGCGCUAUCACCUCCUUAAUGGACCAAGACGUUGGAUCAAGUGUGAACAUGCGUUUUCUGCGAACACCCCCGCAUUAUAUGUGUGGGGGCUGAAGCCGACGACUGCAAUCUUUUAGGUUAUAUACAUAUAUACAUAAACGACCGCACAGGAGGCAUCAUAAUACUUUUGGGCAAAAGUAUAAAUACAGCCUUGAUAAACUUAAUAAAACAUUGUUUUGACAAUGGGAAUACAUGUCAUUCAAACAUAAUAUUGUUCGAGCACUGGGCCUCUAUUGAACGGGCGCCUUCAAGAACUUCAAAAUAGUGCUCGGCAGCCACUCGGCCUAUGGCCGAACCCUGUGCCGCAACUAUGGUGGCGUCCAUCUUUGCCCAAUAUGUUUUGACACGGGCAAGGGCCAUCCGCGAGCCUUCUAUGCACGCCGACCUCUUCAUCGCAUUAAUGCGCGGCACCGCAUCAAGGAACUGCUGCACCAAACUAAAAUAGUUGUUCGGCUUUGGCCUUUUCGGCCACAAAUGAUCCACAACAGACCUUAUGGUGAGUCCGGACAAUCUGUUCAGCUCGGCCCAUUCGGCAAGCCGAUCAGUCAAUGGAAGCGGACGCUCUGGAAUGUUAAAUUGUGACCAGAAUAGCUUGUCCACUUCACAAUCUGUUUGAUCUCGGAAGUAUUCGGCCGCAUCAACAUCACUCGCCGCCAAAUCCAGAUAUGUGUCUGCCGAACUCCACACCCGAUCCAGAGGGGAAUACUGAGGAUCUCCAAACUUCCUCCGUAGCAUGAAGGGUUUCCCAGCCGCGAUAUCCCCGGCUUGACGCAGCUCCUCCUUCUUCGCUCUCAUCGCAGAGCAGGUGUCUUUGGUCGCUAUCGUGGCCUUUUCCAGGUCCGUCGCCUUCGCCCGGUUUUCUUCUUCAAGAAGCUGGCAACGGUCGGCAGUGUCUUUUAACUUUAUGGCCAUCUUGGCCAUUUUCUCUUUGCUCUCGCAAUGCGUGGCCUUUUCGGCUCUUAACUCUUCGGCUGCCUUUAAAGCGGCCACAUUACUACUCCUUUCUUGCUCCUUGGCUCUGGCAAGCUCCGCCCGAAGGGUCUCCACGCUAGCCGCUCCAUCUGCAGUCACAACAUAUUAAAGAUACUGGCAUCAUGCUGCUCUUAUUAUGUGACGCUCACCAGAAAGGCCACUUACCCUGUGCCUCGUCAAGCCGCUCGUUGACAAGCACGAUGUCGGCAUCUGCUGCAUCCAGCUGCCACUUUAUUUCGGCAUACCCAAUAGUCCGGCUAGCCACCGGAGCCUCCAUCACCUGCACAUAAAGGCAGUUUGGUUAUUACCUGGGACUACGAUCCUCUGUUUGCCGCCGUUUUCGACGACAACCAGAGUCUCAGGGGCUACUAUCUACACAGGGCACAUCUAAAAAUGUGUGGUACUUUUAAAAAAUAUACAUCAUUUCACGUACCUCAAAACCCAUCAGUAGACUCAUAAAGGCUUCAUGCAGCCCGCUUUCGGCAAACGAAAUCCUUUCAAUCACCGUACCCAUCAAUGAGUGGUGCUCUUCUGAGAUAACCGCCUUCUCCAGCAGAUCCCUCCGUACAUCCGACCGCGCACCAGUCGGUGCCGGACUCUUUUGGUUGCUCUCUUCAAGAGCCGGAUACUGGGAACUUUGGGUGGCCAUAGGAUUAUCUUCUGGCCUCGCCGGAUCUGGAGAGACCCUCCACGAUGACACUUCAAGGUCACCCGCUUCUUGAGCCAGGGAGUCCGUGGGAGGCGUUUCGCUCUCCAUCAUCCCCAGAAGAAGAUCCCCCGAAGACGAGCUCAGCUGAGAAGGGCUAUGAUCUGAACUACAAGAUAAAUACUUCGGUUAUUUUCCUCGGAAGUAAGGUAGGGUAUCUUCAUUAUUAAAUACAUUUUGAUUACUUAUAGCUCGUUAGAGGGCUGAUCCCCGCACACGGACAUUGUGCGGCAAGAACACCCUCCGAGGCAGGACCCUCUGGCGGAGAUUUCUUCUCUCGUUUGGAAACCUUGAUUGCCGGAUCUUCAGAGGUGGUCCUUUUCCUUCCCUGAGGAGAGAGAAUGUCAGACUCUUGCUCUCGGUUAUCCUCCCUCACGGAGGCGCUCAUUCCCUUGGUUGGAACAGGUAGCGAUGGAGGCCCGCUUUCGCCCUCUUUAUUCCCCCCUUCAUCUUCCUUCAAGGGCACCGGACAAGGCGCUGGCUCGAGCAUCUUUUCCAGCAUCGGAUUUUCCAAGCCUUCAGGAAGGGGGGCCGAACACGGAUCAUCUUCUCCAUUGUUAUCCAGUCCUGGUCAAAGAGCAAUUUUUUAGGAUGACGUCAUGAUAAAUAAAAGGACGGUGUGUUCGACCAUGGGAUUACUUACUUGGGCAGCGAUGCGGUUGCUGCUUAGGCCCACAUCCUCGGUGGUGUCCGGACACUCUAUUUGGGGUCCAAAGAAUGAUUUGUACAUCUCCUCAUGCGUCAGGCCGAGGAAAUUCUGAAUAGUGCGCGGUCCUUCCGGGUUGAAUUCCCACAUACGUAGGGGCCGACGUUUGCAAGGCUGGACUCGACGAACCAGCAUGACUUGCAUUACCAUAACCAGACCUAAAUCUCCCUCGAAGAGAUCUCGGAUGCGGCUCUACAGUAUGGGCACGUCCUUGGCUGGGCCCUAGCUCAGCCCCCUGCUGAUCCAUGACAUCAGUUGCGGUGGAGGGCCCGAGCGAAAGGUGGGGGCAGCUACCCACUUGGCACUUCGGGGAGCUGUGAUGUAAAACCACUCCCGUUGCCAGAAUCCAGACACCUCUGGAAAGGAACCCUUUGUCCAUGGAGCAUUGGCAAUUUUGCUUAUUAAAGCACCUCUGCAUGCUGCGUACUGUCCCUCGACCGUCUUCGGCUUCACAUCGAAGGUCUUGAGCCACAAGCCGAAGUGAGGGGUAAUGCGGAGGAAGGCCUCAUAGACGACAAUAAAUGGCGAGAUGUGGAGAAGGGAGUCCGGGGCCAGAUCAUGAAAUCCAGCCCGUAAUAGAACAUGAGACCCCUGACAAAGGGAUCCAGAGCGAGGCCUAGUCCUCGGAGGAAGUAGGAGACGAACACAACGCUCUCAUUGGGUUCGGGAGUAGGGAUGACCUGCCCUCUGGCGGGCAGCCUAUGCGAAAUUUCGGCGGUCAGGUAUCUGGCCUCCCUCAACUUCUUGAUAUCCUCCUCCGUGACGGAGGAAGGCAUCCACUUGCCUUGAAGGCUGGAUCCGGACAUGAUUGAUGGUCCGAAGCACCUAACCUGGGCUUUUGGUGUUAGAACUCGAGGCGGGGGAAGGAUUCGAUUAAGCAUAGGAGGGAAGAAGUAAAUGCCUUGUCCCUUUAUAAAGAGGGUGAAUAUCAAGCAUCCUCCUCGUGGCCGUUUGGGACUUGCCUAAAAUCUAGGAGUCCUAGCCGCGGUUGGGUUACCCACGUCUGUAUUGAUGAGAAUCCCAUAAUAAGGGGAACAUGAUCUCUGCUUUGACAAGACGUGUCAAGAAACCGCCUCGCGUUAUGUGCGGGGGCUGGUUGAAGAAAAAUGGUUCACAUAAUUACCGGGCCGUGGCGUGAUGCCAUGCUGCCAAAACGUGUCAGCAGAUUGGAUUUGUGGAAAUAUUACUCUCUCUCUCUAUGGUGGUAUGUGGAACUUAUUUUGCAGGGUCGGACACUGUCCUUGUAUUCAAACUCUUUUGUGGUGUAUUCGGAGGAGGAACCCGCCUUGCAAUGCCGAAGACAACACUGCGCGUCGAACUCAUCGUCAUUGAAGCCUAGUUCAGGGGCUACUGAGGGAGUCCUGGAUUAGGGGGUCUCUGGACAGCCGGACUAUAUCCUUUGGUUGGACUGUUGGACUAUGAAGAUACAAGAUUGAAGACUUCGUCCCGUGUCCGGAUGGGACUCUACUUGCCGUGGAAAGCAAGCUAGGCAAUACGGAUAUGUAUAUCUCCUCCUUUGUAACCGACCUUGUGUAACCCUAGCCCCCUCCGGUGUCUAUAUAAACCAGAGGGUUUUAGUCCGUAGGACAACAUACAAUCAUAUCAUAGGCUAGCUUCUAGGGUUUAGCCUCUCCGAUCUCGUGGUAGAUCAACUCUUGUACUACCCAUAUUAUCAAGAAUAAUCAAGCAGGACGUAGGGUUUUACCUCCAUCAAGAGGGCCCGAACCUGGGUAAAACAUCGUGUGCCCUUCCUCCUGUUACCAUCCGCCUUAGACGCACAGUUCGGGGCCCCCUACCCGAGAUCCGCCAGUUUUGACACCGACAACCGCUCUUACCUACGCAAAAAAAACCACAACAUGGUAUAGUGAUUACUUUUUGAUCUUUAGAAAGAACCAUGUUCAUUGAAUCCGAUUCAACUAAAGCUGGAGAAAUAGACACACACUAGCCACCUGUGUGCGAAGCACGUUAGUAGAACCAGUCUCGCAUAAGCGUACGCGUAAUGUCGGUCUGGGCCGCUUCAUCCAACAAUGUCGUUGAAUCAAGAAUCAACUAGUGACGACAAGCAAUAUGUAUAUACCCACGCCCACAACUCCUUUGUGUUCUACUCGUGCAUAUGACAUCUACGCAUAAACCUGGCUCGGAUGCCACUGUUGGGGAACGCUGUAAUUUCAAAAAAAAUCCUACGCACACGCAAGAUCGUGGUGAUGCAUAGCAACGAGAGGGGAGAGUAUUGUCUACGUACCCUCGUAGACCGUAAGCGGAAGCGUUAUGAGAACGCGGUUGAUGUAGUCGUACGUCUUCACGAUCCGACCGAUCCAAGUACCGAACGUAAGGCACCUCCGAGUUCACUACACGUUCAGCUCGGUGACAUCCCAUGAACUCCGAUCCAGCAGGGCUUUGAGGGAGAGUUCUGCCAGCACGACGGCGUGAUGAUGGUGAUGAUGAUGCUACCGACGCAGGGCUUCACCUAUGCACCGCUACGAUAUGACCGAGGUGGAUUAUGGUGGAGGGGGGCACCGCACACGGCUAAAAAAUCAACUGAUCAACUUGUGUGUCUCCAUGGGGUGCCCCCUCCCCUGUAUAUAAAGGAGUGGAGGAGGGGAAGGGUCGGCUGUCGGUGUCAAAACCUGCGGAUCUCGGGUAGGGGGUCCCGAACUGUGCGUCUAUGAUCGAUGGUAAUAGGAGACGGGGGACACGAUGUUUACCCAGGUUCGGGCCCUCUCUAUGGAGGUAAUACCCUACUUCCUGCUUGAUUGAUCUUGAUGAAUAUGAGUAAUACAAGAGUUGAUCUACCACGAGAUCGUAAUGGCUAAACCCUAGAAGUCUAGCCUAUGUGGGUAUGGUAAUGAGUAUAUGUGAUGUCCUUUCCGGACUAUCCCCUUCGGUUUAUAUAGACACCGAGGGGAUCUAGGGUUUACAUGGAGUCGGUUACAUAAGAAGGAAUCUUCAGUCGCCAAGCUUGCCUUCCACGCCAAGUAGAGUCCAAUAUGGACACGGUGCAGUCUUCGGCCUUCAUGUCUUCACAGCCCAUUAGUCCAGCCCAUGGAUAACAGGCCGGACGCCCGAGGACCCCUUAGUCCAGGACUCCCUCAGUAGCCCCCGAACCAGUCUUCAAUAGCGUGGUGCUCGGCACAUAUAUUGUCUUCGGCAUUGCAAGGCGGUUUCCCCCCUCAAUGAUCUCCAAGUAAUGUAUUCGACCAUUGAUCCAAUGUCGCCCCUUGGCUUUUGUGCGUUGAAUAAUCUUUGUCCUCCACGUGUCGAGUGAAUGUGGAAAGUCAGGGUAUUUUUGUGAAUAACACCCCAUCCAUGCGAGGAAGAGCGCCUACUUAAAGAGAUUGGAUCCCAGAUCCAUUCAGUGCUACGCAGAAGAAAUCCCCAGAGACUGCUUAGGAGAAACCAUUCCAGCAUGGCUAGUUCUCCCAGCUCUUCCGCUCGUCCCGGCCUAGAGAAAGGCGAGUGGGAGAGGUGUUCCGUGUCUCAUAGCCGAUUGACGAAGUUGCAAACGCGGGGAUUCCUUCUCCAUGCAGAUCUAGUCCCUGUUCGAUUGGGGCUAGCUUUCUUCAAUGAGGAGACUUAGGCAGAGGACUUCCCCAAUCCAUCCGGGGGAGAGCGAGUGUGUUUUGUCCCCCACCUGCUAAGAGGCGUUGGAUUUCCAAUCCAUCUGUUCCUCCGAGGGCUUCUGGAAUACUACAGCCUCCAGCUGCACAACUUCACUCCGGCCUCUAUUCUGCACAUUCCGGGUUACGUCGCUUUAUGUGAACUUUUCCUGGGCGUCGAGGUUCAUUUCGAAUUGUGGAGGAAGUUGUUCUGUCUCGUCCCGCGCAAUCACGAAGGGUCAAUAUUUGAAGUAGGCGGAGCCGAAGUAUGGCGUGUCGCCGAUACCGGAUAUCCAUCCAGCACACCAAGGCACCCGAUGAAUUGCCCUCUGAAUGGUUUUAUAUAGAGGACAUUGCGCUUCCUGGCCCGAUUCGAAAGGGUCUUCCUGACGCGCGUCCCGCUGAAGAAACACCAUAGUUGGCAUCCCCGGAAUCUUGAAGAGGAAGAUGGCGCGGAGGUUCGUCAACUGAUGAGCAGGAUAAAAGAGCUCACUCAGUACGGACUCACAGUAAUCGAGGUUAUGGUGAUUUCCAUAGCGCGAGGGGUUCAGCCGCUCCAAUACAGAGGGCUUCCAAUGUGGCACUACAAUGGGGAGGACGACGCAUAUCGCUGUGGCCGGAAAGGUCCGGAUACCCCUGCCGAUUUGGCUAAGAUAUUAGCUGAACUGUUCAAAGGGGAGGAAAAGAAAUUUCUCCGCGUCAAAUUUAGAGACAGGUACUCCAUGUAUAACCCUCCCAGCUGGGUAAGCCUCGAACCCUCUAUUUUUUACUUCUUCCCUCAACGAAUUGCCUUUCAUAAACUUCUAGCUUGUUUGCUUAUGACAGCACUAGCGAAAGAUCACCGAGGGAUUUUAUAGUCCCACCCCACAGCCGAAGGACCACAAUCGGGAGCUCGAUCCCGGGUUCGAAGAGGAUCUGGAUAUAUUUGUGGUGCUUGCAGAGGGGGUGUUUUACCAGGCGAGCUACGAUGGCACAGAAGUGGCCAUUAUCGCCGACUACCCCGGUCUUCUUCCAGCUUCACACGUAAGUGAUCCGAACACACCUUAUUCAAAAGAGAUCUCUCCUUCCCUCUUACCCACCACACUAUCUUGUGCUCAAAAGGGGAAGGGUUCGGCACGCCGUACUAUUCCAAGGGUACUGAUACGUCUGCAACAUAUCUAUAAUUUUUGAUUGUUCCAUGCUAUCAUAUUAUCAACCUUGGAUGUUUUAUAUGCAUUUAUAUGCUAUUUUAUAUGAUUUUUGAGACUAACCUAUUAACCUAGAGCCCAGUGCUAGUUUUUGUUUUUUCCUUGUUUUAGACUAUCGCAGAAAAGGAAAAUCAAACGGAGUCCAAUUGACCUGAAACUUCACAGAACUUAUUUUUGGACCAGAAGAAGCCCACGGAGUAUCGGAGUUGUACCAGGAGAGUCCCGGGCUGCCCACUGAAAGUGCGUUAUAUCGACUAGAGGGGGGGUGAAUAGGCGAUUUUUAUGAAAGUCUUCAGAACAUAGAGGUUUUGAAGACAAACGAUAAAAUUAAACUUAUUACCAUGCAGCGGAAGGUAGACUACACUAGGCAAACCAUAGUCAAGUAUUCAAUGAAGUGAAAGCACAAAGACUAAUAGCAGCUAGGUAGUAAGGAUCAGGUAGGAAGAUAUUGUGAAGCCAAACAGAACACGCAGUCACUCAGUGAAGACAAAUGAUAGUGCAAACAUACAAUGACUUCACAAGGAGUAACAGUAUGUAAAGGGAAGUGAAGAUGAAACCAGUGACUCGUUGAAGACAAUGAUUUGUUGGACCAGUUCCAGUUGCUGUGACAACUGUACGUCUGGUUGGAGCGGCUAGGUAUUUAAACCUUAGGACACACAGUCCCGGACACCCAGUCCUGAACACGCAGCUCAGGACACCCAGUCCUCACCGUAUUCUCCUUGAGCUAAGGUCACAUAGACCUCGCCCAAUCACUCUGGUAAGUCUUCAAGGUAGACUCCCAAACCUUCACAGACUUCAUUCACCGGCAAUCCACAAUGUCUCUUGGAUGCUCAGAACGCGACGCCUAACAGGCUGGAGGAUGCACGGUCCUCAAGUGUAAUAAGUCUUCAGAUCACACAGAAGAGAAGACUUAAGUGAUGCCCAAUUCUCUCUGGCUCUAGUGAUUAGGGCUUUAUCCUCGCAAGGAAUUCUCUCUCAAAGGCUUCGAGGUGGGUUGCUCUCAAACGACAAAAGCCGUACUUUCAUUCUGAGCAGCCAACCGUUUAUGGUUGUAGGGGGUGGGCUAUUUAUAGCCACUUGGCAACCCGACCUAAUUUGUCCGAAAUGACCCUGGGUCACUAAGGAACUGACACGUGUUCCAAUGGUCAGAUUUCAAACUCACACGACAACUUUACUUGGGCUACAAGCAAAGCUGACUUGUCCGACUCUGGACAAGAUUCGCUCUCAUAGUCUUCACUCGAAGACAUAGGUUUUUUGGUUUAGGCAUCACUUCAGUCAUUCUGACUGGUUCUCUUGGACCCCACUUAACAGUACGGUGGUUCCUAUGACUCAACACAAAAGAAAAAGAACUACGAAAGAUCUAAGUCUUCGAGCUCCAUAGGCUUCAUAUAGUGUCUUCUCUUGUCAUAGUCUUCAAUGUGAAUAUCUUCAUAUACCACCUUUGACUUCAAUGUCUUCAUACAUUUUUAGGGGUCAUCUCUGGUAGUAAAACCGAAUCAAUGAGGGACUUCUACCUGUGUUAUCCUGCAAUUCUCACAAACACAUUAGUCCCUCAACUAGGUUUGUCGUCAAUACUCCAAAACCAACCAGGGGUGGCACUAGAUGCACUUACAAUCUCCCCCUUUUUUGUGAUUGAUGACAAACUAGUUGAAGUUUUAAACGGGGAAUAUAAUCUGUGCAAUUGUAAAGGAUAAGGAAUUGUCUUCAUAAGUUGCAAGGGCUCCCCCUGAAGAUGUGCAUAUAAGUUAAUUUGCUUUUGGAAUCGAAACGCACAUGGCAGGUUGUACUUGUGGAGAUCCACUUCAACUUAUGAUGACAAUCCACUAUGCAUGUGAAAGUAUAUGACGAUAAUGACAUGCAUAACGGAAAAUGGACGUCUGUAGAAUGAGCUAAGUGCGGAAUUUAUUGUCGCACAUGCGGAAUUUAUCUUCGCAAAACAAGGUGGAAAAUAAGUAGCAGACGACCAUCUAGUUUAAGUGUUACAACUCAUAAGAACCAAAUGUAGCAAAAACGAGAGUUGUAAGCAUGAAGCAAAAUAUAGAGCACCCGACCAUAUGGACCCGCUUGAAGACUAUCAAUCUCAUAUGCUUCUCCCCCUUUUGUCAGUAAUGACCAAAAAGGUUUGAAGACAUAGAGCCUCUACUCGUUCCCAUGAGGAGUAGGUGAAGUAGCAGGGUUGUUGGUGUUGUUUGGCGGUGUAGAAGAGCUUGGAUGUGCUGAAGGAGGUGGCGAUGAAGUAGCAUCGUCUUCUUCCUCAAUAAUUCUGGCAGUCACUGUGGCAGCAGAGGAAGAGAACUCAGAGUCUUCAAGUGAUGGAGUUCCUAGCAGCACAGCCCUUCGAGGAGGUGUGGAGUCAAACUUGAAUCUCUCAGUGAAGCCAUCCUCUUGAAGAUCAGCUUCAGAACACAUCAUCAUGAGCCCUUUCCAUGUGCGGCGACAGGUUUCAUGGGCAACGAAAGCAUUCUUGGUGGCAAGAUUUCGAGUGUGAUUAACAUUCACCAAGAGGCUUUUCAUCUGACGCUUCAACCAGUCAUGAUGCCUAUCCUGUUUCUGAUGUAGAGCCACAAGAAGCUCUUGGUCGUUGAGAACACGAGUGCGCUUCUUGGGUCUUGGAGCAGUGGCACUGUCAGUGGCUUCAGUGGAAGCAGGGUGUGGUGCACGUGUAGUGCCAGCCAAAGGAUACACCCGACAAACUGCUUCAACUCCUUCAACGUUUUGAGUAAAACUCUGAUGUUCUGCAUUCUGAAGACUUAGAGGUUGCUUGGCAGGCUCAGAAUAAAUGGCUUCAGCAGACAUGUCCACGUCAGGCAAGAAGAUCCGAUGGUUGCGGGCUGAGGGUUGAUACGAGAUGGCAGAGUGUAGCUUGAUCAGCUGCAUGACCCAAGGGGCGUAGAACUUCAAACCAAACAGAUCAAUGCCUGAUGCAGCAAGUUGGCGUAUGAAGAAGUCAUGUGCAUUGAAGCAUUUGCCAUGAAGUAUAUAGAAGACCAAAGUCUUCAUUGCACCCUGAAGCUUGGCAUUUGGAGAGUGCCCUUUGAUAGGCCAGAGAGUUCGCCUGAUGAUGUGAUAAAUGGUUCUUGGCAGGUACUCAAGGUCUUCAACGAAGAACUCUGUGGGAUAAGAAGCAUCUUGGGGCAAUAGCUUCAUCAUGCUGAGCAUCUGACUCAUAUCAGGUUCUGACGCUGAAAGAUGCUCUCAAUAGCUUCAGCAUGUAGCUGACAGCCUUGCUCGAAGAGAUCGCCAGGAGUGGGUAAUCCAGUGAGCUCAAUGAUGUCAAAUGCAUUGGCUUCGUGAUGAACGUUGCCAGUCAUCCACUCCAGGACCCAAGUCUUCGAAUCUCUGCUGUACUCUCUGAUGUGAAGUGUGGCAUAGAAUUGAAGUAGCAGCUCUUCAUUCCAAUGCUCUUCGUCAGUAAUGAACGGCAGCAGUCCAACUUCCUUGAAGCAAUCUAAAGCUUCUUCCAGACAGGGCAGACCAGCUAUAGCUUCAACGUCAAGGCGCUUGUGUGGGAAGAUGCGACCUUGAUUGUAAAGAAUGCAAGAGUAAUAGCUUCGCUGAGGAUAGCUCCAGAACCGAUCAGAUGAUAUCCUUUCCCUUGAGUAGGGGUUCCUGGAGCUAUUGAAGAACGUGUUGUCUGCCCUGAAGCCAUUGAUGUUGAAGGAGCCAGGUGCUGAUGCAGGACCUGGAAACCUUGGCAGUCUUGGGAUUGGCUUCUGGACCUGAGGCCUGUGCUCAACAUGAUAGUUGAAUUGGGGACCGGCAGCAGACUCAGGAACAGAAGUGGCGGGAUCAGUGGCUUCGCUGUCUUCUAAAGCUUUUGCUGGGGAGGGCUCCACAUUAGCUUCAUUGGUGGUUGUGGCAGCCUCACGAUUUUCAUCCUCCACUUGACUAGCUGGAGGGUCCGUCACAAGCACAUUCUCCUAGAGAACUGCUUCUUGGUGGGACAGGGGAGUGGGAUGUUGUGGGACUCCUUCUUCUGUGGCUGAUGUAGCCGGAAUGUCUUCAGCAGAGACUUGAGGCCUUGGACCUUUACGAAGCAUGCGGAACGCAGACGACGCCUAUGGAGUUGGAGUGGGCUGGGCCUCAUAGUCUUCUUCCUCUUGUGGGCGAUCCGCCCAUGAAGCAUCCUAUGCAAUUGGCGUCAGUGGACGACUAAUGCUGAUGAGUUCACUAUUUUCAUGCUGAGGAAGCAUUGCAUCAUCUUCUACAUUGUCAUGUUGACCAAUGUCUUCAGCAGCGAUGGGAUCAGCUGCUGGAAUGUCUUCAGCUUCAUGAGCCUCUGUGGAAGCAGGCUCAUGAAUUGUCAGUUGUCGUUCCGCUUCAGGAUAGACCAUAGAAAUGGGUUCAACUACCAAGGGCUCUGUGGAAGCAGCCCGAGCUUUCUUGGUCUUCCUCUUCUUCUUGGAGGGGGCAGUAGGAGAGGCUUCAGAGUGUUUCCUCUUCCUGGCUUCAGCCUCAGCAGUCCUUGUCUUCUUGAGCUCUGAAGCUGUUGACCGGCUUUUCGAGCCAGCCAGUCUAGUUGGGAAGACAAUUGGAACUGCUUCUUGCCUUGGUGCAUCAGGUUCAGCCGUAGCAGGCUUCUUCUUCUUCUUUGCGGCCAUCCUGGGGUCGAUGCCAGGACGCCCAAGUGCCUUGCGCUUUUCAGCCUCAUUAUAGGCUUGCACACAUCUGUCAGCCAGAGUCUUCAUGCGCUCACGCGAACCCUGAGUUUCUGCACGCUUCUUCACAAAGGCUUCCUUGAGCUCGUGCAUCAUUGUCUUGAAGUUCUUCACUUCUUGCACGCUGAGCUUGGUCAUAUGCUUCUUGAACUGAGCCUUUUCAUAGUCAAUCUUCUGCUUCAGUUCAACAAUGCACUGGGCAAUAGCAAGUUCUAAAGCAAUGGCGCCUUGGAAGGCGACACUGAGGCCAAUGGGUAGCUGCAGAUCUUCAAAGCUGAUGUUUGGCGUGUCAAACCACUCGUCAAUGAAGUUGUGGAUGAUGGUGACAUCAAAGAGAGGCAAAUCAUUGAAAAUUUCUGCUUCUUCUUUGCUCUUGAUGAGUUGCUCAAGAGCGUCAUCUGCAAGAUCUUCAUCACUUGACAGAUCAAUGUCAUCAUUGCGCAGAAUGGCAGCAGCUGUUAGCUCUUUGCCGGUGUGAGACAGAGGCAUCUUGGCCUUCUGGGGCUUGGAGACGCGUGAUAAAUCUUCAGACUGCACUCUGUCUUCAGGAGGUGCAGUUGCCAAUGGCUUCGCCCUUGAGAUUUUUGGUGAAGGGGACGGCUUUGAAGCUUUUGGCUUCUUCAACUGCUUUGGCUUCGGCACUACAGGCGCGUCAUCAGACUCAAUGUCAGUUGCAGGCUCAUUCACUGUAGUCCCUUGAACCAAGAUGUAGGUGAUGAGGCCUUCAAGGUUGGCGAAAGGGCCGAUGACAUUGGGUUCUGCAUGUCGUGUGCCAUCUGCCCUUGGAGAUGAGGGACCAGGGUUGAAGUCUAACCCAAAAGUCUUCUUGUUCUGCUUCGCUGAGUUCUGAGCAAACUAGAAGUUGCGCUUGAACAGAUUGUCGUCACGACACCAUAGCAGUGACGACGAGUGUGCAUCAGCAGGUUGUGGUCCACGGACCAUGCAUGGAUAGAAGCCUUGAGCAAUGGCUUCAUCUCUGGACAUGGGUAGAAUAUUCUUGAAUAGGAUGUCUCCCCACAGUCUUUUGAUGGUGUUUUUCUCAGCAUACUCCUGGGUCACAAAUCUGUAUUUGAACCAUUGUUCUGCCCAAUAUCUUCGAAUCCAUUGGAUUCGGAUCUUGCGCUGACUGUAAUCCUCUUCAGGAUCUGUCUUGUACAUUUCUGAGAGUUCAUCUGGCAGAUCUCUGGAGGUCUCACCACGACGCUUUCUGCCACCCUUCCUUGCUGCUUUAUCUGAAGCCAUAAACUUUAACUUGAAAGGCUUCAAGAUGUUCAAAGGCUUCAAAGGUUUUCGUUUGCUGGACCAACAGGAACUGGCUUCGGGAGAAUUUAUGUGAUGCUGUAAGAAUUCUGCAAAUGAAUGCAGACUAUGAGAACCAAAGGAUUCUCCCACGGACAUGUACCUAUGACAGCAUUAAGGUGCGAGGGAAGGGGAAGAGGUCAUAUGCAUUCUCAGAAGAUUUUGAAGAUAAAUCAGUUUAGAAGACAUUGACCUCAUCGUGCGAAGACAUUCACUCAUAGAUAAGAAGUUGGUUCCAGAUUUGUACGAAUCCACAGAUCAGUACAAGUGAGGAAUCUAACUACUUUGUGAAGCACAAGUGAAUAUACUAGGCAUGUUAUGAGAUGCAGUAUGAGAGAGAUCUAGCUUGUGUGAACAGAAACUGCUUGUGGUAGAACGUGACAAAUCCAUAGGAUCAAUGGUGCUGUAAAAAGAGGAAGUUUUAUUUACCACACUAAGAACUGCUAGACGGAGUGUAAGAUGAGGCCGAGCAGUUCGAUCUUCCGUGCCCUAACUUGGCGAUGGAGGACACCUAUGGCGACGGCGGAGAGGACGAUGUCCGCGGUCGGCGUGAAGACGGUGUCGGAGAGGUUGCGGCAGCGAAGCGCUUCGUCGCCGGCGUCAUCGAGGGAUAGUGGUGGCGCUAGGGUUCGUGCGAGGGUGGAAGAAGAGAUAAUGACCGCUGUGAGUGUGUAUUUAUAGGUACAAGGGCGGCACUGUGCUAUUCUCAGGUGCCCCUGGCUAUUCGCAUCUGAGGAACACGUGGCCAUUAUGCGGAAUUUUGGGGUUUGUUCCACGUCCCACGCAUGCCUGGAUUGUCGGGUGGUCAUUCCUACUUCUCCGGAUUUCAUGUGGAGGAAUGAGCAUUGAAAACGGACUUAAUGGUUGUCUCUGUAUCUUCUGCUGACAAGGACGCAGAGAAGACAUUCGACAGUUUCAAUAGAAUGCAUAUGACUUGGGGAGAUAGAGUUUGAGAUAGAAAGCAUAGAGAGGUUAGGGUCCGAUCACAUUCACUUAGUUCAAAAGAUUCAACACGAAGACAUAGCUAUAAGUGAAUGCUGUAGAGGAUAGAACACUAGCAUAUAUAUAUAUAUAUAUAUAUAUAUAUAUAUACAUAUAUAUAUAUAUGUAUAUAAUCAACAUAGUGAAGAUAAUCAUGAAAAUAUGUCGAGAUCGAAGCCAAACCAAAUGUGAAGAUAUUGCAAAGUAACGCCAUGAGUGAAACACUUCAAAAUAGAACGUUUGGUGGUGGCGUUACCCACCGUAUAGGAAGUAUUAGACCCAGACACGGCGCACAAUUAUCGUGGCGCUCCGAAGUCAAAUUCCACAUUAAUGUAUUCACACUUAGAAUGUAUGUCUUCAUUGAUUGAAGAUAUACUUUACUUCGUGUGUUGCACAUCUAAGUCAUCAAUAUGCAUAAGGGUUAGGAUGUGUGCCUGAUCAUAGGACAUUUGAGGAUUCUAGGAUAUUUAGCUCACACCGUAACUUGCAAAACCUCUUCUCAUCCAAGGGCUUGGUGAAGAUAUCUGCCAAUUUCUCUUCAGUGUUGACGUGUAUGAUAUCAAUGUCUUCCUUCACAACAUGAUCUCUGAGAAAGUGAUGACGAAUUUCAAUGUGCUUGGUCUUCGAGUGCUGAACUGGGUUGUUGGCAAUCUUGAUGGCGCUUUCGUUGUCGCAGUAAAGUGGCACUUGCUUCAGAUGAAUGCCAUAGUCCUUGAGUGUUUGCUUCAUCCACAGAAGCUGAGCGUAGCAAGAUCCAGCAGCAAUGUAUUCAGAUUCAGCAGUGGAGAGAGAUACACAGUUCUGCUUCUUUGAAGACCAACAUACAAGUGAUCGUCCCAGAAAGUGACAUGUGCCUGAUGUAGACUUGCGAUCAACUUUGUCACCAGCAUAAUCAGCAUCCGAGAAUCCAACCAGAUCAAACUCUGAGCCCUUUGGAUACCAUAAUCCUAGAGUUGGGGUGUGAGCCAAAUAUCGAAGAAUUCGCUUCACAGCUAAGUGAUGCGACUCCUUUGGUGCCGCUUGAAAUCGAGCACACAUGCAAACACUAAGCAUAAUAUCUGGCCUAGAUGCACAUAGAUAAAGUAAAGAACCAAUCAUGGAGCGGUAUACCUUUUGAUCGAACUCUUUACCAUUGUCGUCAGGACCCAGAUGAUGUUUGGCUGGCAUUGGUGUUGUGAAGCCUUUGCAGUCUUGCAUACUGAACUUCUUCAAGCAAUCUUUGAGAUACUUCUCUUGAGAUAUGAAGAUGCCAUUGCGUUGUUGUCGUAUUUGAAGACCGAGGAAGAACUUCAGCUCCCCCAUCAUGGACAUCUGAUAUUGCUCUUGCAUCAUAUAUCCAAACUCUUCACUGUACUUCUGAUUGGUGCAGCCGAAGAUAAUGUCAUCCACAUAUAUUUGGCACACAAACAUUUCACCAUCAUAUGUCUUCGUGAAAAGAGUGGGAUCUAGGGAACCAAGUAUGAAGCCUUUGCUCUUCAGGAAGUAUUUGAGUGUGUCAUACCAUGCCCGAGGGGCUUGUUUGAGGCCAUACAGUGCCUUGUUGAGCUUGUAUACCAUGUCAGGAUGUUUUGGAUCUUCCAAGCCAGGUGGUUGUGCAACAUACACUUCUUCUUCAAUCUUGCCAUUGAGAAAGGCACUCUUCACAUCCAUUUGAUAUAGAAGUAUGUUAUGAUGAUUUGCAUAGGCCAGCAGUAUGCGUAUGGCUUCAAGUCUAGCCAUAGGAGCAAAUGUUUCAUCGAAGUCAAUGCCUUCCACUUGAGUAUAUCCUUGAGCAACGAGACGAGCUUGGUUUCUGACAACUUGACCAUGCUCAUCUUGCUUGUUGCGGUAUAUCCAUCUGGUGCCUAUUAUAUUGUGCUUCCGUGGAUCAGGACGCUUAACCAGUUCCCAUACAUUAUUCAGCUCAAACUGUUGAAGCUCUUCUUGCAUAGCUUGAAUCCAUUCAGGUUCCAUGAAGGCUUCUUCAACUUUCUUGGGUUCUGAUAUUGAGACGAAUGCGAAGUGCCCACAGAAAUUUGCUAGCUGAGUUGCCCUUGAACGAGUGAGUGGACCAGGUGCAUUGAUGCUAUCAAUUAUUCUUUCAAUCUGCACUUCAUUGGCAACGCGAGGAUGUACAGGGCGAAGACUUUGCUCUUCUUGUUCAUUGUCGUUGUUGGAAGGAAUGUCUUCAGGCUGAGCAUUGUCUUCAUGUUGAUCAGGUGCUGAAAUGAUAAGUUCUUCUUCAGGAUGAGCUUCAGAAGGUAUAAUUUCUCCAGUUCCCAUUAGCUUGAUUGAUUCACUGGAUGGAACUUCAUUUAUCACACUUGGCAGCUGCUCUCUUUGUGAACCGUUGGUCUCAUCAAACCGCACAUCCACUGUUUCAACCACUUUGUAAUGAAAGAGAUUGAAGACUCUGUAGGAGUGCGAAUCCUUUCCAUAUCCAAGCAUAAAACCCUCAUGUGCUUUUGGUGCAGAUUUUGAGGUGUGAUGUGGGUCCUUGAUCCAGCACCUUGCGCCAAGUACUCUGAAGUAACUGACAUUUGGCUUCUUGCCAGUAAGGAGCUCAUAAGAUGUCUUGUUCAGUAGCUUGUGAAGAUAAACACGAUUGAUUGUAUGGCAUGCAGUAUCAAUGGCUUCGGGCCAGAAUUUUCUUGGGGUUUUGUAUUCAUCUAGCAUCGUUCUGGCCAUCCCAAUUAGUGUUCUGUUCUUGCGUUCGACGACGCCAUUCUGCUGUGGCAUGUACGGGGCUGAGAAUUCAUGUGUGAUGCCCAAGGUAUCAAGAUAUGUAUCAAGGCCAGUGUUCUUGAAUUCAGUGCCAUUGUCACUUCUGAUGUGUUUUAUCUUGGCGCCAAAAUUGUUCAUAGCUCGAUUGGCGAAGCGUCUGAAGACAUCCUGCACUUCAGUCUUGUAAAGGAUUAUGUGCACCCAAGUAUAUCUAGAAUAAUCAUCAACAAUAAUGAAGCCAUAGAGGCAAGCAGUAGUAGUUAGAGUUGAGUAAUGAGUGGGACCGAAAAGAUCCAUGUGAAUCAGUUCGAAGGGUUGAGUAGUAGUCAUGAUUGUCUUCGAGGGAUGUUUGGCCCUCGUCAUCUUCCCUGCUUCACAGGCACCGCAUAAGUGGUCUUUCUUGAACUUGACGCCCUCGAUGCCUAUGACAUGCUUCUUCUUCGCAAGAGUGUGGAGGUUCCUCAUGCCAGCAUGUCCAAGCCUCCGAUGCCAGAGCCAGCAUUCUGAAGCCUUUGCUAAAAGACAUACUGCAAGUUGUGGCCCUGCUGAGAAAUCUACCACGUACAAAUCAUCUUUUCGAUACCCUUCAAACACUAGAGACUUGUCAGAUUCCAUUAGUGCAAGGCAACGAUAUUUUCCAAACAUUACGAUCAUGUUCAAAUCGCAAAGCAUUGAGACAGACAUUAAGUUGAAGCCAAUGGAUUCAACAAGCAUGACUUUAUCCAUGUGUUGAUCCCUUGAGAUUGCAACUCUACCUAGACCCAAUACCUUACUUUUACCAGUGUCAACAAAUGUGAUGUGGCUCUUGUCGGAUGGACGUAAGGUUGAGUCCAUAAGAAGACUUCUUUUGCCAGUCAUGUGAUUUGUACACCCACUGUCAAUAAUCCAUUCUGAAGACGCUGGUGUCGUACCCUACGGUGCAGUUAGGGGGAUAGGCUUCACCAAGAGCAUUGUGAAGCAAAAACAUUUGACGAACCAGUGGGUUAUGAAAGCUUAGGUCCAGGUUAGGACUAAUAGGGAGAGUAGCAAGCGAUUCAGGUACAAAGUACAUAGUAAGACCAUUUGGGCAUUUGAUCUUGUGCCCUACAAGAUGUUUAAGGUCCCCAGCAAUAGCGUCAGACGAUUUUGGUUUUCUGCUGGAGACCUUUCCCUGCAAAAGAGAGUUAAGCCUUCUUAACCACCCACAUCUUCAAGGGUGGCUUAGAAGCAAUAAGUCUAAGUGCGGCAUCUGAGAAUUUUGGCUUUGAAGCCUUAGCAAACAGUCUUGCAGGCGGACAAUAGUACUCAUAAGAAUAAGCAGAAUAGUUCUUGGUCUUAUGAACAUGGCGGUUUGAUGAACCGCUCUCAUAUUCAUAUGCCUGAGUAUGAUUUCCCUGCAAAACAUUUGCGUUAGUGCGACUCAGGUGAGUCCUCUGUCUGUAUGAAGCCUUUGGACCGUAUGAAGCCUUUGGUCUGAGGUUUGUCUUCUUCAUGUGAGGUGUCAUGAUGACAUUCACAGGAAGACUCUCCAGAUACCUUUUCAGAACCCAGAUUUUCUUCAUAGGCGGUCCAUUCCUGCAGUUAGUACCAAUGUACCUGGCAAACACUUCACCAUUCUGAUUCUUAAACAGUAUAUAGUUUGCAUCAAAAGAUUCAUCAAUGAUAAUGGGGUUAGCAGAAGUGAAGCCAGAUAGAUUGGAUGGAUCUGCUGAAGGUUCCUUUGCAGCAACCCACAUGGUUUUGGGGUACUGCUCAGGUUUCCAGUAAGAGCCAUCUGCAUUCAUUUUCCUUACGAACCCUACACCCUCUUUCCUAGGGUUUCGGUUCAGAAUCUGCUUUUUCAGGACAUCACAUAGCGUCUGAUGCCCUUUAAGACUUUUGUACAUCCCUGUUUCAAGCAAUGUCUUCAACCUAGCAUUCUCAUCAGCAAUAGCGGUGGUAUCCUCAGCAGAGGGGUUAGUUACCACAUCAACAGUUGAAGAUAUUGCAACAGCAGUAGCAGUAGAACAUUCAGCAACAGAAGUAGCAUUAUCACGCUCAAUGCAUUUAAGGCAUGGUGGUUCAAAUCCUUCCUGAGCGGGACUGAUCUGUUUGGCGCGAAGUGACUCGUUUUCCGUUUGAAGAUCUUCAUGAACCGCUCUCAAUUUCUCAAGAUCUUGCUUCCUUUGAAGAUAAUCAUAGGAAAGCUUUUCAUGAGUUGUUGAGAGAGUUUCAUGACGACUUUCAAGUUACUGAUACUUAACGUGAAGAUUUUUUAUGUCUUCAAUUAAGGAUUCAGAUCGAGUCAUUUCAGCACCUAACAGAUCAUCGCUUCUGUCUAACAGUUUUUGAAUAUGUUCCAUAGCUUUCUGUUAUUCAGUUGCAGUUUUAGCAAGUGUUUUGUAGCUAGGUUUUGAACCACAAUCAGAGUCAUCGUCGCUAGAUGUUUGAUAGUGAGUAGUGCGUGUGUUUACCUUGGCACCACGUGCCAUGAAGCAGUAGGUAGAAGCGGAGUAGUCCUUGUCAUUUGCAUCGGUGUCGGUGAUGAAGUCAUUGUCUUCAGUGUUGAAGAUGGACUUGGCAACGUAUGCUGUAGCUAGACUUGCGACGCCUAAGUCGGAUUCCUCCUCAGACUCCACCUCCGCCUCCUCAGAAGCAGACUCCUCCUAUGAAUCCAUUUCCUUGCCAACAAAUGCACGUGCCUUGCCAGAUGAGCUCUUCUUGUGUGAUGAAGACUUUGAGGAAGACUUGGAAGAAGACUUUCAGUAUUUCGUCUUCUUCUUCUUCUUGUCAUCACAGUCAUAUUCCUUGCUCUUCUUCUUCUUUUUGUUCUCAUUGUCCCACUGUGGACACUAAGAGAUGAAGUGGACAAGUUUCUUGCACUUGUGACAUGUUUUCUUCUUGUAGUCAUGAGCAGGAGCUUCAUCAUUCCUUGAACUUGAUCGGGAAGACUUUCUGAAGCCUUUCUUCUUGGUGAAUUUUUGGAACUUCUUGACAAGCAUAGCAAGUUCCCUUCCAAUGUCUUCAGGAUCAUCAGAACUACUGUCAGAUUCUUCUUCAGAUGAGGAGACAACUUUUGCCUUCAAGGCACGAGUUCGCCCAUAGUUUGGACCGUAGAUAUCUCUUUUAUCUGAAAGCUGAAACUCAUGUGUGUUGAGCCUCUCAAGUAUGUCAGACGGAUCGAGUGUCUUGAAAUCAAGACAUUCUUGAAUCAUCAGGGCUAGGAUGUCAAACGAACUAUCAAGUGAUCUCAGCAGCGUCUUGACGAUUUCGUGUUUGGUAAUCUCAGUGGCGCCGAGGGCUUGAAGCUCAUUUGUGAUGUCAGUGAGUCGGUCAAAUGUGUGCUGGACAUUCUCAUUGUCAUUUCGCUUGAAGCGGUUGAAGAGGUUGUGAAGGACACUGAUUCUCUGAUCUCUCUGGGUUGAGAUGCCUUCAUUGACCUUGGAGAGCCAGUCCCAGACCAACUUGGAUGUCUUCAAAGCACUCACACGGCCAUACUGUCCUUUGGUCAGAUGACCACAGAUGAUAUUCUUGGCAGUAGAGUCCAGUUGAACGAAUUUCUUGACAUCAGCAGAAGUGACACCUUCUCCAGCCUUGGGAACGCCGUUCUCGAUGACAUACCAUAGGUCGACGUCAAUGGCUUCAAGAUGCAUGCGCAUCUUAUUCUUCCAGUAGGGAUAUUCAGUUCCAUCGAAGACGGGGCACGCAGCGGAGACUUUAAUUAUCCCUGCAGUCGACAUAGCUAAAACUCCAGGUGGUUAAACCGAAUCACACAGAACAAGGGAGCACCUUGCUCUGAUAACAAUUGAAAGUGUGUUAUAUCGACUAGAGGGGGGUGAAUAGGCGAUUUUUAUGAAAGUCUUCAGAACAUAGAGGUUUUGAAGACAAACGAUAAAAUUAAACCUAUUACCAUACAGUGGAAGGUAGACUACACUAGGCAAACCAUAGUCAAGUAUUCAAUGAAGUGAAAGCACAAAGACUAAUAGCAGCUAGGUAGUAAGGAUCAGGUAGGAAGAUAUUGUGAAGCCAAACAGAACACGCAGUCACUCAGUGAAGACAAAUGAUAGUGCAAACAUACAAUGACUUCACAAGGAGUAACAGUAAGUAAAGGGAAGUUAAGAUGAAACCAGUGACUCGUUGAAGACAAUGAUUUGUUGGACCAGUUCCAGUUGUUGUGACAAUUGUACGUCUGGUUGGAGCGGCUAGGUAUUUAAACCUUAGGACACACAGUCCCGGACACCCAGUCCUGAACACGUGGCUCAGGACACCCAGUCCUCACCGUAUUCUCCUUGAGCUAAGGUCACAUAGACCUCGCCCAAUCACUCUGGUAAGUCUUCAAGGUAGACUCCCAAACCUUCACAGACUUUGUUCACCGGCAAUCCACAAUGUCUCUUGGAUGCUCAGAACGCGACGCCUAACCGGCUGGAGGAUGCACAGUCCUCAAGAGUAAUAAGUCUUCAGAUCACACAGACAAGAAGACUUAAGUGAUGCCCAAUUCUCUCUGGCUCUGGUGGUUAGGGCUUUAUCCUCGCAAGGAAUUCUCUCUCAAAGGCUUCGAGGUGGGUUGCUCUCAAAUGACAAAAGCCGUACUUUCAAUCUGAGCAGCCAACCAUUUAUGGUUGUAGGGGGUGGGCUAUUUAUAGCCACUUGGCAAGCCGACCUGAUUUGUCCGAAAUAACCCUGGGUCACUAAGGAACUGACAUGUGUUCCAACGGUCAGAUUUCAAACUCACACGGCAACUUUACUUGGGCUACAAGCAAAGCUGACUUGUCCGACUCUGGACAAGAUUCACUCUCAUAGUCUUCACUCGAAGACAUAGGUUUUUUGGUUUAGGCAUCACUUCAGUCAUUCUGACUGGUUCUCUUGGACCCCACUUAACAGUACGGUGGUUCCUAUGACUCAACACAAAAGAAAAAGAACUACGAAAGAUCUAAUCUUCGAGCUCCAUAGGCUUCAUAUAGUGUCUUCUCUUGUCAUAGUCUUCAAUGUGAAUAUCUUCAUAUACCACCUUUGACUUCAAUGUCUUCAUACAUUUUUAGGGGUCAUCUCUGGUAGUAAAACCGAAUCAACGAGGGACUUCUACCUGUGUUAUCCUGCAAUUCUCACAAACACAUUAGUCCCUCAACUAGGUUUGUCGUCAAUACUCCAAAACCAACUAGGGGUGGCACUAGAUACACUUACACCCACGAGGGUGGGGGGGCGCCCACCCCCCUUGGGCGCGCCCCCUGCAUCGUGGACAGCCCGGAGGUCCACCGACAUACUUCUUCCUCCCAUAUAUAACCAUAUACCCUAAAAACUUCGGGGAGCACAAUAGAUCGGGAGUUCCGCCGCUAGAAGCCUCCGUAGCCACCGAAAACCAAUCUAGACCCGUUCCGGCACCCUGCCGGAGGGGGAAUCCCUCUCUGGUGGCCAUCUUCAUCAUCCCGACGCUCUCCAUUACAAGGAGGGGUAGUUCUCCAUCGGGGAUGACGGUAUGUACCAGUAGCUAUGUGUUUGAUCUCUCUCUCUCUCGUGUUCUUGAGGUGAUACGAUCUUGAUGUAUCGCGAGCUUUGCUAUUAUAGUUGGAUCUUAUGAUGUUUCUCCCCCUCUACUCUCUUGUAAUGGAUUGAGUUUUCCCUUUGAAGUUAUCUUAUCGGAUUAAGUCUUUAAGGAUUUGAGAACACUUGAUGUAUGUCUUGCGUGGGAUACCCGUGGUGACAAUGGGGUACUCUAUUGAUCCACUUGAUGUAUGUUUCAGUGAUCAACUUGCGGGUUCCGCCCAUGAACCUAUGCAUAGGGGUUGGCACAUGUUUUCGUCUUGACUCUCCGGUAGGAACUUUGGGGCACUCUUUGAAGUUCUUUGUGUUGGUUGAAUAGAUGAAUCUGAGAUUGUGUGAUGCAUAUCGUAUAAUCAUACCCACGGAUACUUGAGGUGACAUUGGAGUAUCUAGGUGACAUUAGGGUUUUGGUUGAUUUGUGUCUUAAGCUGUUAUUCUAGUACGAACUCUAGGGCUGUUUGUGACACUUAUAGGAAUAGCCCAACGGAUUGAUUGGAAAGAAUAACUUUGAGGUGGUUUCGUACCCUACCAUAAUCUCUUCGUUUGUUCUCCGCUAUUAGUGACUUUGGAGUUGACUCUUUGUUGCAUGUUGAGGGAUAGUUAUAUGAUCCAAUUAUGUUAUUAUUGUUGAGGGAACUUGCACUAGUGAAAGUAUGAAUCCUAGGCCUUGUUUCAACGCCUUGCAAUACCGUUUGUGCUCACUUUUACCAUUAGUUACCUUGCUGUUUUUAUAUUUUCAUAUUACAAAAACCUUUAUCUACCAUCCAUAUACCACUUGUAUCACCAUCUCUUCGCCGAACUAGUGCACCUAUACAAUUUACCAUUGUAUUGGGUGUGUUGGGGGACACAAGAGACUCUUUGUUAUUUGGUUGCAGGGUUGCUUGAGAGAGACCAUCUUCAUCCUACGCCUCCCAUGGAUUGAUAAACCUUAGGUCAUCCACUUGAGGGGAAUUUGCUACAGUCCAACAAACCUGUGCACUUGGAGGCCCAACAACGUCUACAAGAAGGUUGUGUUAAAAAGAUCCAACAAUUCCUCCCCAUUUGCCUUAUACGCUGUCCUUAUAAGCUGAUCACAAAGGUGUUGGAUAACCAUGUAGCUAUCUAUGCGGAUAAGCUGAUCAGCCGUCACCAAAAUGCCUUCAUUAAAAACAAAAACAUCAUGGAUGGAAUUCUGUCUUUGCAUGAGGUGCUACAUCAUGCCCACAAUAAGAGGAAAAUUGGAGUGGUCCUAAAGCUUGAUUUCAAAAAAGCUUAUGACAAAAUCAACUGGGAUUUCCUUUUGGAAUGUCAUAGGAUGAGGGGUUUUAAUGAUAAAUGGUGCGGAUGGAUUAAAAAUAUCCUGAAUAACGGCACAAUGAGCAUUAAGUUUAAUAAUGAGACUGGGCCUUACUUUGUGAGCCGCAAAGGGGUUCGCCAGGGCGAUGCACACUCACCUUUCUUGUUUAGCCUAGCAGUUGAGUGCCUCUCGAAGAUGAUUUUCAAUGCUCAAAAAGAAAAAUUGAUUACUGGCUUAGCCCCUGACCUUAUUGAGGGGGGUGUUGACGUGUUACAAUACGUAGAUGAUACGGUGUUAUGCUUUGAACAUGACACCUCUUAUGCAGUAAACCUCAAAUUGCUCCUUUAUAUGUUUGAGCUUAUGUCAGGUCUGAAAAUAAACUAUCUAAAAAGUGAAAUCCUUUGUGGGGGGGGGGGGUGACAACAGUAUUCUUAGUUACUAUGCGGAGCUCUUUACCUGCCAAAUUGGUCAUUUUCCUAUGCGUCACUUAGGAGUGCCAGUCAGUUUUUCCUCUCUUAGAUGCCUUGAGUGGAUCUUUGUUGAUGAGAAAUUUGGCAAAUGCUUUGAAGCCUGGAUAGGCAACGCUGCUUCAUCGGGUGGCAAGCUUACGCUGCUGAAUUCCUCCUUGUCUAGUAUAGUCUUUUACUAUAUGGCUAUGUUCCUUCUCCCUAAAACCUUCAUCGAAAAACUGGACAAGAGGAGACGUCGGUUUUUCUGGCAAAGUUGGGAGGGACGAAAAAGAUAUGACUUGGUUUGUUGGAGCAGAGUGUGCCGCUCCAAGGACAAGGGUGUUCUAGGUGUGAAAGACUUACGUAAACAAAAUAUCAGCCUCCUGGUAAAAUGGUGGUGGAAACUUGAUACUCAAGAAGGGCUUUUGCAAGAUAUCAUUAGGGACAAAUACUUGAAAAGGGAUACGGUUGCCACAGUGAAAAGUGUCACACCCUAGCUAGUUCAAGCAUUAGCGUGUGCAUCAUGUUUAAAUUUCUCUUAAAUUUGAAAUGGGGAAGGCAGAAACCCCCAACACCCCCCUGGAAACAACUAGGGUUUACUAAAAUUAUUUUCAAUGAACCUAAAAUACCCUUCUAAAAAGUUCACCCUCUUUGUCUUGGGUUAAAACCUCUGGCAAAAUUGGUGCACAUUUUCCUAGGUCAACAGAAGGUCAUUGAGUUAAAUCAUAAGUAUUUGAAUUUGGGCAUUUAAAUGCUAUAAAAUAAUUUAAAUGCUCAAAUAAUUCGGCAAAUAAAUGUUUGCUGUUGGAAAUAUUCUAAACAGAGCCACAUUUAUUUUCAAGAUUUUUGGAAACGUUUUAGUAUUUUAGUUAAAGCCCAACAGUUGCAGUUAAUAGAAAAACAGAAACAAUUAGAAAAAAAAGAGAGAGGGAAGCUACCUGGGCCUUACCUGUGCUGGCCCAGCCCACCUGGCUCGGCCCAGCCGACUGGCUGCCAGUCGUUGUCCUCCUCGCGCCAGAAGGACGCGGAGCGCGUGGCCGGCGCCCGCGGCCACACGCCGGCCACCUCCUGCUUCUGCCGACGUCCUGGAACGUCCAGGGAUGCCACGCGACCCCCACGUCCCCCCUCUCAUCCUCGCUCACUCUACCCCUCGUCUCCCUCACUCUCUCCCAUGAUGCCCGAGUGCGUUCCUCGCCGCCAUUCGCCGUAGACGAUGCCAGAGCCACCCCCUCGCCCCUCCGACAAGCCAAAUCGCUCCACCACGACGCCCUCGCCCUCCCCACCGAGCCACGCUUCGCCGGAGGCCCUGCAUCGCUGCUAUUGCGCCGUCUUCAACCUCGGUACCCGCCGGACGCCGUUCAUCGAUUCGCCUCGCUCCGGUCGCCCCCGAGCCCACUGAGCUGCUCAUCGACCUCCCUGUGAGCUCCGCCGCCUUUCCCCUCUUCUUUCCCACGCGUUUGCACCCUCUAGGCCAUAGUUCCACCAUGGCCGAAGCUCGUCUCCGCUCGAGCUCAUUGCCGGCGUCGCUCCGGCGACCAUUUGGUCCUCCCGUGCUAUGCAACGUGCUUGCCGCAUCGCGUAGUGCCUCGCUAGCGCUUCAGUUUCCGUGUUUGCACGCUGCAGCCCACUCCCCACACAUGGCCAAACUCCAGCCGCCGCCUUGGAGCUGGCCGUCGUCGUCUUCGGCCACCGUAGGCCCGGCCUCCACCACCACUAGAUGCGCGACUGCAAGAGCUCUCCAACGAGCCCAAGAAUGGCCUCGCCCGUGCCCUAUGGGCGUUUUUCGAGCUGCGCUACCGUCUCGGGCCUCGCCGGCGUCGAGUCGGCGGCGAGUUUGACCCUGUUUGACUCCUGGGUGGGCCCAGGUAGACCCCCCUGAGUCUAUGACAGGUGGGGCCGGUCUGCUAACUAAUUUAGGAUUAGUUUUAAUUAAUUUUAAUUAAAUCAGUCACUAACAUGUGGGCCCAGGCCCCACUGACAGCUAAUUAGUGUUAAUCUAAUCCUGUUAAUUAGCUGAGAGGCUGAUAGAAGGGGCCCACCAGUCAGGUUUGACCUGGGCUGGCGCCUUUGACCUGCUGAGGUCAGCAUGACGCAAUGCUGACGCAGUAAUGCAUUUUCUGGAUUUAUUUUUAUUCAGGAAUUUCUAGAAAAUAGUUAAAACUUCUAAAAAUCAUAGAAAAUCAACCAUAGCUCCAAAUGCAAAGAUUUAUAUAUGAAAAAUGAUCAAAAAAAUUCAAUCUAUCCAUCUGUAAUGGUUUCAUGCAUGACAAAACAAGUUUACCUUACUGUUUAAGCAGAACAAGGAAAUGCACUAUUAAGGCCAUGUUUAAUGAGCUAAUAUUUGAAUCUUUGAUUCAAAUGAGUUCAUUCCUUUCUGUUAUAGCUUGCAUUAGGCCAAGACACAUUCAUAUUGCCAUGUCAUAGCAUGCAUCAUAUUGUUGCAUAUCGUCAUGUGUUGAUUGUGUUCCGAUGUGUUCUUCGUGGUAGGUUCUGCCUCCGAGGAUAUUCACGAGUAUCCAACUAAAGGGCAGUAUCCCACUACCACUCCAUCAGGCAAGCAACCAUUGAUCAUUCCGAUACAACCCAUGUUCUCGCUUCUGCUCUUGUUUACUUCAUUAACACAACACGUUUCAAUCUGUUGUGUGCUACGGUAGUUGAACCCUUAUCCUCUGCAUGACCUGUCAUUGCCACAGUAACUAGAUGAAACCCACUAGCAUGUGUAGGAGUUGAUUGAGCCAUGUAUGUGAUUCCUACCUUGCUAUGCCUGCUAUGCUUAGAGUUGUGUCAGGUCUGGUUCAUCUGGGUGAUGGGCUAGAGUGAAAUGCUUAUGUCGGUAAUGUGAGGGAUGUGUUGAACAUGUUUUGGUAAAGGUAUCGAUGAGAGGCCAUGUAGAAGUACAUGGUGGGUUGUUUCAUUGAGGCCGUCCCUAAGAACUGAGAUCUGUAUGUGUGAUUUAAGAUGCAGUUACUACCGUACAUUGGGCCCAAAACCAAUGGACCCUCUCAGCUUCUUAAUCACCCUAGUACUCUGUCCAGGAGUUGCAAAUAGUUUCUGGUGUUUGUAGGUUAUGUGUUGGCGGCCGUGCGUAGCGCUGACCCUAGGGGUGGGCUAUGUUGCUGUAGAUACACCAUGGCACGGUGUACCGAGUCACCCGUUUGGUGUCUCGGGAUCCCUGUUCACAUCGUUCGGGGCCAUUGUAGGAUCGAAAGUAUGUCUAGAGGGGGGGUGAUUAGACUACUUGACCAAAUAAAAACUUAACCUUUUCCCAAUUUUAGUUCUUGGCAGAUUUUAGCUAUUUUAGGACAAGUCAAGCAAUCAUCACAUAAUUCAAGCAAGCAUGCAAAGAGUAUAUGGGCAGCGGAAAGUAAAGCAUGCAACUUGCAAGCAUAUAAAGGGAAGGAUUUGGAGAAUUCAAACGCAAUUGGAGACACGGAUGUUUUUCCCGUGGUUCGGAUAAGUGGUGCUAUCCUACAUCCACGUUGAUGGAGACUUCAACCCACGAAGGGUAACAGUUGAGCGAGUCCACACAGGGCUCCACCCAAGGGCAACAGUUGCGCGAGUCCACGAAGUGCUCCACCCACGAAGGGUCCACGAAGAAGCAACCACCCACAAAGGGUCCACGAAGAAGCAACCUUGUCUAUCCCACCAUGGCCAUCGCCCACGAAGGACUUGCCUCACUAGCGGUAGAUCUUCACGAAGUAGGCGAUCUCCUUGCCCUUACAAACUCCUUGGUUCAACUCCACAAUCUUGUCAGAGGCUCCCAAGUGACACCUAGCCAAUCUAGGAGACACCACUUUCCAAGAAGUAACAAAUGGUGUGUAGGUAAUGAACUCCUUGCUCUUGUGCUUCAAAUGAUAGUCUCCCCAACACUCAACUCUCUCUCAUAGGAUUUGGAUUUGGUGGGAAGAAGAUUUGAGUGGAAAGCAACUUGGGAAGGCUAGAGAUCAAGAUUCAUAUGGUAGGAAUGGAAUGUCUUGAUCUCAACACAUGAGUAGGUGGUUUUCUCUCAGAACAUAUGAGUAGGAAUGGUGUGUGUGUUCUGAUGGCUCUCUCAUCGAAUGAGAAGGAGGUGGAGGGGUAUAUAUAGCCUCCACACAAAAUCCAACCGUUACACACAAUUUACCAAUCUCGGUGGGACCGAAUCAGAAAACUCGGUCUGACCGAAGUAGUAAACCUAGUGACUGUUAGGAAUUUCGGUGGGACUGACAGCAACUCGGUAGGACCGAUUCGGUUAGGGUUUGGGCAUAACAUAAUCUCGGUGAGACCGAUUACACAAACUCGGUGAGACCGAAUUUGGUAAUUAGCUAAGCAGAGAGUUGGUCAGGCAAACUCGGUGGGACCGAUUUGCUCUUUCGGUGAGACCGAGUGGAACUCGGUGAGACCGAAAGUUACAAAGGGGAAACACUGAGUUUACAUUGCAACCUCGGUGGGACCGAUUCGCUCUUUCAGUGGGACCGAAAAGUUACGAAAGGGAAACAGAGAGUUUGCAACCCCAUCUCGGUGGGACCGAGAUCCUUAUCGGUAGGACCGAAUUGCUAGGGUUUGGCAGUGGCUAAUGACAAGUGAAACUCGGUGGCGCCGGAUAGGAAAAAUCGGUAGGACCGAGUUUGGCUUGGAGUUUAGGUCAUAUGUGGAUAUGGGAAAGUAGUUGAGGGUUUUGGAGCAUAUCAUUAAGCACAUGAAGCAAGAGGCUCAUUAAGCAACACCUCAUCCCUCCUUGAUAGUAUUGGCUUUUCCUAAAGACUCAAUGUGAUCUUGGAUCACUAAAAUAUAAAAUGAAGAGUCUUGAGCUUUUGAGCUUGAGCCAAUCCUUUGUCCUUAGCAUUUUGAGGGUUCCACUUUCACAUCCAUGCCAUGCCAAUCAUUGAGCUUUCCUGAAAUAAUCAUCUUGGAAUAGCAUUAGCUCAAUGAGCUAUAUGUUGUUAUGAAUUACCAAAACCACCUAGCGAUAGUUGCACUUUCAAUCUCCCCCUUUUUGGUAAUUGAUGACAACAUAUAGAUCAAAGCUUCGACAAAUGAUAAUAAGCAUGAAGUAUAUCGUCGCUUUGAGAAGUAUGUGAUAAGUAAGAGCUCCCCCUAAAUUUGUGCAUAUUUAAAAUUUGCUUUGGACUGCAAAUGCACAAAGAGUUAGAGUCAUGGGUUACUUUUCCAUGUCACAUACAUCUUGGUGGAGCGCUCAAAAUGAUAAGAAUGAAAUACAUGCACUCAUCACCAAGAAUAGUGAAUGAUCACAAACGAUAGAUAGAAUGAUAAUAUUUAAGCAAGCAUUAAGCAAACAUUAAGUGUAGCUUAUGAUCAAACACAUGAUCAUCGAUGUCUCACAAAUAAUGAUGUAGUAUCAAGCACUCAAAAGCAGAAAAGGUUCGAAAAACCACCAAAUAAAGCAAGAGAGAAAAGCAACACACUCUCUCUCGAAGCCUAUGAUCUAUACAUCUUCUCCCCCUUUGGCAACAAGUUACCAAAAAGUUCCUAGAAAAUGCAUAGCACUAGAUCGACGCUCAGGCUUGAUCUUCAGGUGGUGGUGGAGUCCGGAUCACUCCAAGGACGAAGGCUUCUGUAGAUGUUGAAGUAGUCGCUGGAGUUUGAGCUGAGGUAGACGCUGGAGCUGAGGCCGUAGCUGGUGCUGAAGUGGUGGCUCUGGUGUCAGCAACUGGCAGUGCAGACGACCUUGGACCUCGUGGCACCCUCGCAAACGCAUGAGUCGUGGUCCUGCCUCUCCUCUCAUUCAUGUCCUCCUGGAGCUGCUCCAGUGCAGACUGAACUUCUGUUACCUUGAUGUCCAAGUCAUAGAACCUCUGUUCCAUGAUCCUCUCUAAACUCGCCUGGUUCUGAGUCAGGGUAGCUAUACUCUACUCAAUCCGCAGGGUGGAAGCAAUCAAGUAACCAAGCUGCUCUUGUUUGGUCUUCAAGAAGUAUUCAGAUGCCUCUGCUUGAGUAGGCAUCCUGGCAGCUUUCUCCUUCCUCGCCUUCUCCUUCUUUGCAUAUGCUUGUGCAGACGAUGGCUCAUUCUCUGUCAUCACAACUUCAUUGUUUUAAAAAUCUGGACGGAUGGGCAGGUGUUCCUUAUCCAACAAAUAUACGCCCGUGCCCAUCUUGGAGUUGAUGAGCUCCUGAAUCUGAGGGGCAUAUCCAUAGCUCCUCUUCUGAUCUGCCGCAGUCCUUUUGAUCGUUUCAACUAUGAGGCUCAUCACCUUGAACUUCUGAGGCACAUCAAACACAUGUAGCAAGUUGAUAGCAUGGCCUCUGAUCAUCUUGUGAUCUCCAGACUUGGGCAGAAGGGUGUGCCUUAGUAUCCAAUUGAUCGUCGGCAAUCCUGACAGAAGGUAAUGUACUGAGCCAAACUUGAAGGUAUCAAGUGCUUCAUUUGGGAUCUCCUUGUACAUAUUUGACAUUGAGUUGUGGUCCAUCUUCUUCUUGGCAUGGAUAUCCAAGUCCUCAUCUUGCUCUUCUGGGGCAUUGAUGAUCUGUGCCCACUCAGCCACUGUAGAUUGGUACCUUGUACCCUCAGACAUCCAUGUAAUCCUCCCAUCUGGAUAAAAGUGAGCUGUGGAGUAGAACUGCAUGAUGAGUUCCUCGUUCCACUUUGUGAGCUUCUGCCCAACAAAGUCCUCCACUCCACACGCUCUGAAGCUGUCCUGAACUCCUGGGUAGUGCUCUUCAUUGUCCUUGAUAUAGGUCCAGUCGACCCAUCUCAUGUCACAUACGAUUGGCUUCUUGUCAAGUAGCACUGUUUCAUAGAAAUCUUGCUACUCCUUUGUAUGAAAUCUAUAGUCCACUGCAGUCCUUCUCCUAGAAGCAUACGGAUCUGCUUCUCUCCAUUUCCUGAGCCCUGAGUCUCUCCUGAGCUUCAUAUCCUUAGCCACAGGAUGAUCAUCGUUGUGGUCUGGGAUCUUGGCUUAAGCUUCCUAACGACACUCUCUUCCUCUUCUUCGAUAGCUUCAGGCACUGGGGCGUUGUUCUUUUCUGCAGCUGGGAUGCUUCGUGUGUUUCUCUUUGGUGCACUCUUAGGCUUAGAUGCAGCCUUAGGUGCUUCCUUGGGCUUGGAUGCAGCUGUUCCUGACCUUAUAGCAUCUCCCAUGAGUUUGGCUGCCUUGGGCGCUGGUGCAGCUGCCUCUUCUUCCUCAUCCAAUUCUACCAUGAUGGAGGCCUUGCCAAGUACUCUAGCAACAGUCUUCUUCACUCUUUCUUUCCUUUUCUUGCCCUCAGCUGCAACGGGCUCAAUGGGAGCAGGCUUCUCAGUUGAGGCUCUAGCCUUUGACAUGGGCUGCCUGCCUGCUGGCCUCUUGAUUUUCAGGCCUGGCUUUGAGCCUUGAGCUAGCUCAACUCUCUUGGAGGUGGCCUCUUCCUCUCCCACAUAGUCUUCAUCCUCAGAAUCAGACGUUCUCUUCUUCCUUUGACGUGUGGCAGCCUUAGGCAGAUUGCUGGGGGUGCUCCUGCUGCCAUCAUCAGAAGAACUUGAGGGGCUAGUGCCCUCACUCAUCACAACUUGCUGCUCAGACACAUUCUGGCUGUCACUUUGAUCAGACAUGUUGCAAACAGACUGCUGACCCUGUGAAUAGAUUAUGGAUAAGAUAGAGUGGAUGAGCAUCACAAAAAGCAGAGAUUUUUGCAAAAGAUUAAUUCAAAAACUUAGUUUUAGUUUUCCACAGAAAGCAUCUCGGAUCUACCGAUUUUCAAACUCGGUGACACUGAAGCAGUUUUGGCACCAGAACUGGUGAACUCGGUCAGACCGAGUCACAGUUUGAUGGCACCGAGACUGCUAGGGUUUCACAGAAUUCCAAAAACGGUCGCACCGAUAAGUUAUUCUCGGUCAGACCGAGUUUCACUUGUGCAAUGGCAAAAGCCAGAUCGAUGGGACCGAGUUUUUCAACUCGGUGGGUCCGAGAUGGUUUCGGCGGAAACCUAACCCUAAAAUUUUCGAAUUAAGCCUAAUCUACGAGUUCAUUGACUGGAUAGGAGUGCUUCAAUCGUGGCAAGAAUCACGAUGAUCACAAUGUGCUAGGAAUCGGAGUGGAGAAUAGCACAAAGAUCGAGUCCAUACCCUAGUUCGGCGGAGACUCGCUACGGCGGCAACGGCGGGGCAGAUUUCCCGUUGACGACGGCGGAGUCCAGUGACAGGAGGCUGCUGGCGGCGAGAAGACGAUCCGGAGACCACGAAGGCAGAGCAGGCUAUCGCGCGGGCGAGGAGGUUUCGGAGAAAUUUCCAAAAUUUUGCCCGUCACGAUAUAUAGCCCGACCCUGUCGGUGUGACCGAGUGGAACAACUCGGUGGCACCGAGAUGCAAAACUGAAACUGUGUGCAGUUAUUGCAACUCGGUGUGACCAAAAGUUCAAAUCGGUUGCACCGAGAUCAAAAACCUAGAUCAACUUAAUGAACUCGGUAGGACCAAAAAUGGAGUAUCGGUCAGACCGAGAUUCAUAAAGAGGUUUUGGAACUUUAAGUCUAUGACGAAUCGGGGACUCCGAGCGCUCCUCACACAGAGUGGUUCGAAUCUGACUUGAUCAAGUUUUGUGAUGCAGCAUGAAUAGAGUUUGAGACGAGAAAAGCAUAGAUAGCUAGAGAAGGUUCUUAGGCAUUCUUGUCCAUCCACUUGGCUAAAACAAAAAGGAAACCAUUCAAUCAAAACAACAAGUGGAUGUUCUCGAAUGAGAAAAUUAUGCAACCAACAUGCUCACACAAUAAAAUGACAAAUGAAAUAUGUGGCAAAGCAUGCACAAACAAUUCUAGCAUCUAUCAAGCAAUUGGCGAUGACUAGGCAUUCUUGUCCAUCCACUUGGCAAAAGAAGAUAAAGCCAAACAAUCAAAACAACAAGUGGAUGUCCUUGAAUGAGUAAAAUAUGCAAUCAGCAUGCUCACACAAUAAGAUGGCAAAUGAAAUAUGUGGCAAGGCAUGCACAACCAAUUCUAGCAUCUAUCAAGCAAUUUGCGAUGACUAGGUCAUCUAUAUAUGAGUAUAUUGACUUAGGACUCAAGUGAGAACACUUGAUCGUAGGUCAUACUCAUUGUUUAAGCUCAACUGGGGUUACCACUUUUACAUAAAGCACUGUUUUGUUCACAUCUUUAGAGUUGCUUUAGCUCAAGUCUUAGAGUAAAGCUCCCCCUAGAUGUGAUAUCCCCCCUAAGAGGGAUGAACUAACCUUGGGUUUUGUCGAUGAUGACUUCAUGUAGAUAUUGAAGAUGUGGAUGCUCAAUGUUGAUGUAGAUCUCUUGGAGCUAUCCAUUUGAGUGAAUUGCACUUUCAAUACCUACAUGGGUUAGUCCCACAAGGAACAAACAAGGAUAUCCAUUGACAUAGAGUGAUGCACACAAAAGAUGAUGUCCAUGAAAACUUUUAGGUUACCUUGUCCCUUGUCUUACCAACAAGAGGGUUUGUGACUCCUUGAACUAGUGCAAGAUGUGGAAGUUGAUUGCACUUGUUCUUGCCAAAAUGAUAAGAGUGAAGUAUGUUGGCGGAGUCACCCUCAAGAACUCUCUAGUUCUUCUUCUUUUGGAUCCACAUCAUCUUGAUGGGAAUCCUUGGAGUUGUAGUCGUACUUGAUGAAGUGGAACUUGAAGUAGUCUUGGGAAUCCAUUUGACUAAGGUCUUUGGAGCUUCUUCAAAUGCACCAAUUUCCUCUUGAAGCUUGUCCUUGCCUUUUUGCUCGUAGUCUUGUGGUGGAAGAUCAUCUUGAGCUUGUGUCCCCUUGAAAGAAGUAUACUUCUCUUGUUGAGGGACAAACUUCGUCUUGGGGUAUUGAUCUUCUUCCCAUUCAACUCCAUUGGCAUUGAACUUUCGUUCAAAACCAACACCUUGAUUCUUCCGGUGCAUUCCUUGCUUGCGCACAAUUUCGUCGAAUUGCUUACUCCCGGCAAGGCUCUUGUACACUCCUUUCUCUAUAAUUCCCUUCAAUAAGCUAUUUUCUUGCUCAAGUGUAACUUGGCUAAGAGAAUCAUUAGUGAAAUCAAGAGAACUACUAGAAGCAACAAUAUUGGAUUUAGCAUGAUCAUUGUUACUACUAGAGGAAGAAUCUUUCUUGUUACUAGACUUGACUUGAGGCAUGUAAGUGGAUAAGAGUAAACGCUUGGCAAUGUAAGAAGAACUUUUCUUGCGGAGAUCAUCAUUGAUUGCCUUUAAGAACUCAUGCUCUUGCUCAAGAUUGUGCUUUUCAAAGCAUAGUUUCUCAUGAGCUCUUAAAAGUUCUCGGUGAUCUUCGAAGAUAGUGUCAUGAGCUAACUUAAGAGUUUUUAGUUCUUUAGUUAGAGCCUUAAUCUUCUCCUUAUCAUUGCCACUCGUUUUAUCUUGAUUAGCAUGAUUAAUUGGUCUUUUAUCAUAGUAUUCAUCACUAGAGUUGUCACCAAGCAAAUCAUCACCUAACAAGUCAUCUUCAUCACUAUUGAAAUCAACAUACUCGGGGUGUGUUACCUUAGGACCUUUGGCCAUGAAGCAUCUUCCAAUUCCUUCAUUUGGUGAGUCAAAUAUGUCGUAGGAGUUGGUUGACACGAGUGCUAGACCGGCAACACCUUCAUCUUGAGUAUCUUCGGAGUCGGAGUGAUAACUUCUCUCGGAGUGGCUGUCGGAGUCGGAGCCGGAUACCCAUUCACCAACAUGAGCUUGAUGUCUUCGUCUUAUAUAGCUCCUUGAUGAUUUUUCCUUCCUUUCCGAAUCCUUGCUUCUCCGUGAGUAUCUUCGUUCAUAAUGAUCAUCUCUACUCCUUCUCUCUCUUGGUGGUGAUCCUUUGCUUCUUCUUUUUGGAGAAUCUUCUCUCCUCUUGUAGGGAGCCGUACACUCAUUGGAAUAGUGUCCGGGUCUUCCACAAUUGUAACAGUUUCGCUCUCGACUAGAAGAUCUUUUGUCAUUGUAGGACCUUGACUUGGAGCUUCUAUCUUUGCUUCUACUCUUGUAGAACUUGUUGAAGUUCUUCACCAUUAAGCUCAAUUCUUCAUUGAAGUUUUGUUUCUCACUUGAUGAUGUAGGAGCUUCACAUGAGGCUUUAUAGGCACCACUUGAUUUGUUGUGAAGUUCCUCUUUAUCCUUAAGUGACAUCUCAUGAGCAACAAUUCUUCCAAUCACUUCCGUUGGCUUGAGAUCUUUGUAAUUUGGCAUCAUUUGGAUCAAUGUGCAUACGGUAUCAUAUUUUCCAUCCAAGGCUCUUAGGAUCUUCUUGAUGAUGAAUUUAUCGGUCAUCUCUUCACUUCCUAAGCCGGCAAUCUCAUUUGUGAUGAGAGCAAGCCUAGAGUACAUUUCAGCGACACCUUCACCAUCCUUCAUCUUGAACUUGUCAAGUUGGCUUUGAAGCACAUCCAACUUGGAUUCCUUGACGGAGUCGGUACCUUCGUGCAUAUCAAUCAAAGUGUCCCAAAUUUCCUUUGCAUUCUCAAGGCGGCUGAUUUUGUUGAAUUCUUCGGGGCACAAUCCGUUGAAGAGAAUAUCACAAGCUUGAGCAUUGUAUUGCAACAUCUUCAACUCAUCUGCGGUAGCUUCACGGUUUGGUUCUUUCCCAUCAAAGAAGUCACCUUGCAAACCAACACACACAAUAGCCCAAACGGCGGGGUUAUGUCCAAGAAUAUGCAUUUUCAUCUUAUGCUUCCAACUAGCAAAAUUAGUACCAUCAAAGUAAGGACCUCUACGGUGAUAAUUUCCCUCGCUAGACGCCAUACUCUCCUAGGUUGUGAAACCAAGGCUAUGACCACCAAAAGCUAUGGAGAUCAAGCAAAUGGAGACCAAAGCUCUGAUACCACUUGUAGGAUCGAAAGUAUGUCUAGAGGGGGGGUGAUUAGACUACUUGACCAAAUAAAAACUUAACCUUUUCCCAAUUUUAGUUCUUGGCAGAUUUUAGCUAUUUUAGGACAAGUCAAGCAAUCAUCACAUAAUUCAAGCAAGCAUGCAAAGAGUAUAUGGGCAGCGGAAAGUAAAGCAUGCAACUUGCAAGAAUAUAAAGGGAAGGGUUUGGAGAAUUCAAACACUAUUGGAGACACGGAUGUUUUUCCCAUGGUUCGGAUAGGUGGUGCUAUCCUACAUCCACGUUGAUGGAGACUUCAACCCACGAAGGGUAACGGUUGCGCGAGUCCACACAGGGCUCCACCCGAGGGAAACGGUUGCGCGAGUCCAUGAAGGGCUCCACCCACGAAGGGUCCACGAAGAAGCAACCACCCACAAAGGGUCCACGAAGAAGCAACCUUGUCUAUCCCACCAUGGCCAUCGCCCACGAAGGACUUGCCUCACUAGCGGUAGAUCUUCACGAAGUAGGCGAUCUCCUUGCCCUUACAAACUCCUUGGUUCAACUCCACGAUCUUGUUGGAGGCUCCCAAGUGACACCUAGCCAAUCUAGGAGACACCACUCUCCAAGAAGUAACAAAUGGUGUGUAGGUAAUGAACUCCUUGCUCUUGUGCUUCAAAUGAUAGUCUCCCCAACACUCAACUCUCUCUCAUAGGAUUUGGAUUUGGUGGAAAGAAGAUUUGAGUGGAAAGCAACUUGGGAAGGCUAGAGAUCAAGAUUCAUAUGGUAGGAAUGGAAUGUCUUGAUCUCAACACAUGAGUAGGUGGUUUUCUCUCAGAACAUAUGAGUAGGAAUGGUGUGUGUGUUCUGAUGGCUCUCUCAUCGAAUGAGAAGGAGGUGGAGGGGUAUAUAUAGCCUCCACACAAAAUCCAACCAUUACACACAAUUUACCAAUCUCGGUGGGACCGAAUCAGAAAACUCGGUCUGACCGAAGUAGUAAACCUAGUGACUAUUAGGAAUUUCGGUGGGACUGACAGCAACUCGGUAGGACCGAUUCGGUUAGGGUUUGGGCAUAACGUAAUCUCGGUGAGACCAAUUACACAAACUCGGUGAGACCGAAUUUGGUAAUUAGCUAAGCAGAGAGUUGGUCAGGCAAACUCGGUGGGACCGAUUUGCUCUUUCGGUGAGACCGAGUGGAACUCGGUGAGACCGAAAGUUACAAAGGGGAAACACUGAGUUUACAUUGCAAUCUCGGUGGGACCGAUUCGCUCUUUCGGUGGGACCGAAAAGUUACGAAAGGGAAACAGAGAGUUUGCAACCCCAUCUCGGUGGGACCGAAAUCCUUAUCGGUAGGACCGAAUUGCUAGGGUUUGGCAGUGGCUAAUGACAAGUGAAACUCGGUGGCGCCGGAUAGGAAAAAUCGGUAGGACCGAGUUUGGCUUGGAGUUUAGGUCAUAUGUGGAUAUGGGAAAGUAGUUGAGGGUUUUGGAGCAUAUCAUUAAGCACAUGAAGCAAGAGGCUCAUUAAGCAACACCUCAUCCCUCCUUGAUAGUAUUGGCUUUUCCUAAAGACUCAAUGUGAUCUUGGAUCACUAAAAUAUAAAAUGAGGAGUCUUGAGCUUUUGAGCUUGAGCCAAUCCUUUGUCCUUAGCAUUUUGAGGGUUCCACUUUCACAUCCAUGCCAUGCCAAUCAUUGAGCUUUCCUGAAAUAAUCAUCUUGGAAUAGCAUUAGCUCAAUGAGCUAUAUGUUGUUAUGAAUUACCAAAACCACCUAGGGAUAGUUGCACUUUCAGCCGUAUGUGGAAACCUCGGCCGGACUCCUUGUGGAUGGAACCUGGAUAGGCGAUAAACCUGGACUAGAGACUUAAGUGUUCAGGUAGGCCGUGGACGACACCCUCGCUGGGCUUCCGCUUGAAGGUUGCCGAGUACAUGUCGUGUAAACGGCGGUAAGUGGUGAAAGCGUGUAUGAAGAAGUACACCCCUGCAGGGUAUGAAACUAUUCGAAUAGCUGCGUCUGCGGUAAAGGACUACUUGGUUGCCUAUACAGUUCAUAGCCAAGUUAAUGGAUACUACUAAAAGACUCAAGAUAAGUGUGAGUACCGAGGAUGGCCCUCUCGUAGGAUGACGAGGGAGGACCCCAGGUGGAGUAUUGUGUUGGUGAGUAGUGGACUCGUGUGCGAAAACUAUUUUACUAGUGAAGUUCCGUAGGAUAGCUUAGCCAAGAGUCAAAGCUGGCUUGCUGCAUUAACCCCACCACCUUCUUGAGAAUAAGCAUGUUUAGUAGGUUCUGAUGUAAGACUUGCUGAGUACCAUUGUACUCAUGUUUGCUUAAUUACUGUUUUCAGACGACAACACCGCCCCCUCCGAUGGGUUCUACGUAGACCUUGACAUCGACGAGUGACUAGCCACCCAGGUGGUGUUCCUGGCCAUGGAGGGCCCUAUGUAGAUAGACAGGCUUCGAGAAGCCUUCUUUCUUUCUAGAGUCUGUACUCAGACUAGUUGCUUCCGCAUGUGCUUGUAUGAUUGUAUGACUUGAGUGUCGGGUCAUGUGACCCUAUCUGUAUGAACUUGUUAUGUAUGGCUCCCCGGAGCCUUUAAAUAAAGUACUUGAGUUGUAGAGUUUUGUUGCGAUGCCAUGUUGUAUGUACUCAUAUCGGGCAUAUUGUGUGUAUGAUUGAAAUGCUUGGUAUGAGUGGGAUCCGACAAUCUAGUUGUUUAUCCUUGGCAGGCUUUCUUAUGGGGAAAUGUAGUCUAGUGUUCCUCGAGCCAUAGUAGUCCGCUACAGCCCGGUUCACCGGAGUCCUGCUAGCCUAGCACUACUGUUCAGGACACUUGACUGGCCGGCAUGUGUUUCACUUCGUUCCUAUGUCUGUCCCUUCGGGGAAAUGUCACGUUGCGACUUCCGGAGUCCUGCCUAGCCUGCUACAGCCCGGGUUCCCCGGAGUCCUGUUAGCCCAGGGCUACAGCCCGGAAUCAAUCGCUGAUGACCAACAUGCUCGAUAUGAUUCAUGUAUGCCUGUCUCCAUGUCGGCCCGGGUUCUCUGUCAUAUGGAUGCUAGCGACACUAUCAUAUACGUGAGCCAAAAGGCGCAAACGGUCCCAGGCCAUGGUAAGGCGACACCCGUGGGAUACCAUGCGUGAGGCUGCAAAGUGAUAUGAGGUGUUACCGGCUAGAUCGAUGUGACUUGGAAUUGGGGUCCUGACAGCGUUGGCAUCAGAGCUGGACUGCCUGUAGGUUCGUUUAGCCAAACUGGUCGAUGUCGAGUCUAGAAAUGCUUUAGUUAUAUGUAGGGGAAUUGAUUGUGGGAGGGAACAUAAGGCUCUUUUACUCCUUUACCCUAUGCCUUUGAUCUGAGUCAUUCUCUUCUCAUUCAACGUGGGUUAAGGACUAGGCUCUCUCCUUCUAUCAGGUUCACGUGUUACUAAUCCGUAGUAGCUUAUAGGAUUGAUGCUACAAGCCCCAGUUCAGUUUCUUCUAUUUUAGUAUGUUAUUAAUUGGAUCAGAAUCUUGAUAUGAUGUUGUUGAGUGGUAUUGCGAACUAUUGUGGAUGUCUCAAAUCUUUUUCUGAGCAUUUACAGCUGUUAUGCUGUCCAAUUUUUCCUAGAAAUUCUGAUGUCUUUGCAUUGUGGUUGUGCUUUCAGAUGGCCAACCGUGUUCAAAACCAAGUGGUUCGCCUGACCCGGUGCCUCGACAUGCCCGGUCAUACUGCUAUGUUAGUCCGGGUAAUGAUCGAGACGGGCUACCGUUGGUAUCCCGAAUACACCGUCGAAGAGCAGUUCCGCGACUUUAAUCAAAGCCAAUAUCUCUGCACCGUCAGGAUAUUUCCUUCUUAUCCUGGAUCUACCGAGCCCCUUCACUGUUCCUAUGGACUCGGGGUUACUGUUGAGAUGGCUGUGCAGGAUGCUGCCUAUUCCAUGAUGACCAUCUUGCGAGUCCGGACUGGCCUGCUUCGGAACACCGACUUCCGUUACAUGCCGGCUUCACUUCCGGGAGCGCAAGGGUAUCUUCAGGCUAUCUAUGCUGACUCCACUCAGGAGGACUCAUUAACUCGUACCACUGCUGAGAUGCUCGGAGAUAAGGUCCGAGAGAAUCGGGCCUUGAGGCUGGAGCUUUUCAAUACCCAUGCUGAUCAUUGGGCCACAUUGACUCGGUUUGCACCUGCGGUGCAAGCUGGAUGUAUGGAUACAAGGGAUCUGUAUCCUGUGAGAUCAGCUCUGCCAGACAUGGUGGAUUGGCGUGAUGUGGGAGGCAUCACCCCACCCCGUGGUCCCCGCAGGCCAUCGUUUAUUGGUCCAAGACCUCAUCCUAGCCCCUAUGGUCCACAGGCUCCUCAGGACCGUCUGUUCGCGGAUGGUCACAUUGAACUUCCAGGCUACGGAGGUGACUUCUAUGAGGACUACUACGGAGCUGUCUGAGUUAGUAGUAGUACGACUAGUAUUGUAGUAGUUGUAUCUCCACUGUCCUGCGUGACUUGUGGAAUACGACUUAGUGUGUAGUCAAUUUCGGAGGUGUAGACAAAUAAUGUAUAGGAGCUUGGAAUGCCUCCGAUGACAUGUAACGUCUUUCAUCAUAGUUGUACUGUAGCCUGGGCUUGUACUAAACUAUGUAUGAUGUGUAUGACCGUUAGUAUAUAUAUGGCAGUUUUAUAUUACCAUGACAUACGGAUGAACAUCUCUGCAUUCCGUGUUAUCCAUUACAUACUGCACUUCCUUGCUAAGUUUGAGCCAUCCUUAUCUAAACCAUUGUCUUGUUUUCUCCUAGAAUGGUCAACACCCACAGCAACCCUGCUGCCUCGGAGCAGGGGGAACCAGUGCAGCUAGAGGUGAAAAUCUGCCUCACCCGCCUUCUCUGGCCGAAGUAAUGCUGGAGGCGGAAAGAAACAAGCGUGAGACUAACCGCCUGCUAGAGCGGAUUGAGUAGAACACUGCAUGCCACCCACGAAAUGACUUGGUGUCGAUCAAUGACUUUAUCAAGCUGUACCCACCAAAGUUUAACCAUUCCGUCGAACCCCUCGACGCGGAUGACUGGCUUCGCAGCAUCACUCACAAGCUACGUUCUGCCAACAUAGCCGAAGCCGACAAGGUUACCUAUGCUGCCUAUCACCUCGAAGGCCCUGCUAGCCUUUGGUGGGAAAACUUCGAAGCUAUGCGCCUGGUCGGCCAAGUUACUACUUGGGCUGAGUUCAGUGAGGCUUUCCGCGAGCAUCACAUUCCGGAAGGUCUCAUGGAUCGCAAGAGGGAGGAGUUCUGCAACUUCACCCAAGGAAGAUUGACUGUGGAUGCUUAUAGUCGUGAAUUUGGAAAUCUGGCACGCUAUGCUCCCGAAGAGGUAUCUACUGACGCUAAGAAGCAAGCAAGGUUCCGCAAGGGACUUAGCCCUGAGCUUCGCCGCGAUCUUCGUCUGCACGAGUGCACCUCCUUUCAGAAGUUGGUCAAUAAAGCCAUCAGUGCUGAGACAGGCUAGAUUGAUUAUGACGCUUCACGCAAGCACUCCCGUGACUUUGGCUCUUCAUCCGGCUCUGGAGCUCAGAAGCGCCGGGUGUGGAUCCCAAGCACGGCACUGCCACCCAGGUUCAUCCCGAGGCCAUCCUUUGAGGCGCCUCGUCCCAACCAGCAAUUUGCACCGCCCAAGCCCUAUGGUGGCCCUGCUGCUAAUGCUGCUCCACGCCCCAAUGUGGUGACAUGCUUUAAGUGUGGAGAGCCGGGUCACUAUAGCCGAGAGUGUCCCUAGAACAACAACCCCAAUCAAACUGGAAAGUCCGUUGGCCAUGGUAAGCCCGCGGGAAAAACAUUCUAUGCCAAGCCGGCCACCACUGCACGUGGCCAUGUCAACUAUGUUUCAGCCGAGGAGGCUCAUGAGGAUCCCAACGUCGUCCUUGGUACGCUCCUUGUUAACUGCCAUCCGGCAUCUGUUCUUUUCGAUACUGGAGCAUCUCAUUCAUUCAUAUCCGAGAGCUAUGCUCGAUUGCAUAACACGACAUUCUGUGACAUGCCCACUUCCAUGGUAAUUCAAACUCCAGGUUCCAAAUGGCAAACUUCUAGAGUAAGUCAUGGGAAUGAAAUUCUUGUCGAUAGACUUGUCUUCCUUACAUCCUUGAUAGCUCUCAAGUCCACGGACAUAAACAUCAUCUUGGGUAUGGACUGGAUGUCAGCUCAUUACGCUAAGAUUGAUUGUGCCACUAGAACCGUUCAGCUUACUCACCCAUCGGGCAAGACAAUCAAUGUCUUAACUCGAGUGGCCAAGCGCCAGUUUUACUCCUUAAAUGCUAACCCCCUUCCAGACCUUGGGGAUGUUCCGGUAGUCCGAGACUUUCCGGAUGUCUUUCCAGAAGAACUGCCAGGUGUUCCACCUGACAGGGAUGUUGAGUUUGUGAUAGACCUUGUUCCAGGAACCGUUCCAAUUUCUAGAAGACCCUACAAGAUGGCACCCUUAGAACUAGCCGAGCUUAAGAACCAACUCGAUGAAUCCUUGAAAAAGGGUUUCAUCCGUCCCAGUUCCUCUCCUUGGGCUUGCCCCGUCCUCUUCGUUAAGAAGAAGGAUGGAACGGAUCGAAUGGUUGUGGAUUACCGACCUGUCAACUUGGUCACCAUCAAGCAAAUAUCCGCUUCCCAGGAUCAAUGAUCUGUAUGACCAGCUCGCUGGAUCCUCAAUCUUUUCCAAGAUGGAUUUGAGGUUGGGCUACCAUCAAAUCAAAAUCAGAAACGGGGACAUUCCCAAAACGGCCUUUGUUACUCGUUGUGGCCAAUACGAGUACACCGUGAUGUCCUUCGGUUUAACCAAUGCCCCAGCCACCUUUUCCCGGUUAAUGAACUCGGUUUUCAUGGAGUACUUGGACAAAUUUGUCGUAGUAUACCUCGAUGACAUACUCAUCUACUCCAAGAAUGAAGAGGAACAUGUCGAACAUCUAAGGCUGGUAUUGAUGAAACUUCAAGAGCAUCUCCUUUACGCCAAAUUCUCCAAGUGUGAAUUUUGGUUGCCAGAAGUGACCUAUCUAAGCCAUGUAAUCUCUGGUAAGGGUAUUUCUGUCAAUCCUGAGCGGGUUCAAGCCGUCCUUGAUUGGACUCCACCUGAGACGGUUAAGCAAGUUCGGAGCUUCCUUGGCUUAGCGAGCUAUUGCCUCCGCUUCGUCGAGAAUUUCUCCAAGGUUGCUAAACCUCUGACUGAACUCCUCAAGAAAGAUAAAAAGUUCAAGUGGACUCCACAGUGCGAGUUCAGUUUUCAGGAACUGAAAAGACGCCUGACAUCUGCUCCCGUACUGGUACCACCAGAUUUCUCCAAGGACUUUAUUAUCUAUUGCGACGCCUCGCGACAAGGACUAGGUUGCAUACUCAUGCAAGACCGUCAGGUAAUUGCCUAUGCUUCACGGCAAUUACACCCACAUGAGGAAAAUUAUCCCACACAUGAUCUAGAGCUUGCAGUUGUAGUCCAUGCACUUAAAACUUGGCGACAUUACCUUCUCGAUAAUCGUUGCGAGAUCUUCACCGAUCACCAAAGUUUGAAAUAUAUCUUCACCCAACCAGAUUUGAAUCUCAGGCAAAGACGUUGGGUUGAGUUGAUCUCGGAUUAUGACUUAGGAAUAACUUACACCCCGGGUAAAGCCAAUGUCACGGCUGAUGCGCUAAGCCGUAAGUCCUAUUGUAACAACCUGAUGUUACAACAAAGUCAACCAUUUCUCCAUGAGGAAUUUCGUAAGCUAAAUCUUCACAUUGUUCCUCGAGGAUUCCUAUCCACCCUGGUGGCGAAACCUACCCUUACGGAUCAGAUCAUCAAGGCACAGGCGGUAGAUCCGGGAAUCUCCCGUAUUAAGAGAAACAUUAAGAAAGGAGUCGCGAAUUGUUUAUCCAUUGAUGAUCAAGGUGUCGUAUACUUUGGGAAUCGCCUAGUGGUUCCAAAGGCACGAAACCUGAGGCGGAUGAUCCUUAAGGAAGCUCAUGAAUCCCCUCUCACCAUUCAUCCCGGUAGUACUAAAAUGUAUCAAGACCUACGCCAGAGGUUUUGGUGGACUAGGAUGAAGAGAGAAAUCACACAAUACAUUGCUAAUUGCGACGUUUGUCGUCGUGUUAAAGCAGAGCAUCAAGGCCUGCUGGCACCCUUCAACCUUUGGCUAUUCCCGAGUGGAAAUGGGAUAAAAUCAGUAUGGAUUUCAUCACUGGGUUUCCCAGGACCAAGAGAGGGAAUAAUGCCAUCUUCGUCGUGAUCGACCGUCUUUCCAAAGUAGCCCAUUUCCUACCUGUUCGUGAGAGUAUCACCGCUAGCCAGCUAGCUGAUAUAUACAUCUCCCGAAUAGUGUCUCUUCAUGGUGUUCCAUUGGAAAUUAACUCAGACCGUGGAAGUCUCUUCACCUCUUGAUUUUGGGUAAGUUUCCAAAAUUCUAUGGGAACUCGUCUCUCCUUUAGCACCGCCUUCCAUCCUCAAUCAAGUGGUCAGGUAGAACGAGUCAAUCAAAUUCUGGAAGAUAUGCUCCGAGCUUCUGUCAUCUCGUUCGGAAUGAGUUGGGAGAAAUGCCUUCCAUUCGCGGAGUUUGCUUAUAACAAUAGUUAUGAAGCCAGCUUAGGCAAGGCUCCUUUCGAAGUUCUCUAUGGACGAAAAUGUCGAACGCCUCUUAACUGGUCAGAAACCGGGGAAAGACAACUCUUUGGCCCGGAUAUGAUUCAGGAAGUAGAAGAGCAGGUUCGCGUUAUUCGUGAGAAAUUGAAAACAGCCCAAUCUCGUCAAAAGAGUCAAUAUGAUCGUAAACAUAAGCCUAUGACUUAUGAAGUCGGCGAGAAGGCUUACCUUCGGGUUACUCCGUUAAAGGGAACCCAUCGUUUCGGUAUCAAAGGCAAAUUGGCCCCUCGUUACAUUGGACCCUUUCGCAUUAUUGCCAAACGAGGAGAAGUUGCCUACCAAUUGGAACUACCUCCGCAUCUUUCCAGAGUUCACGAUGUCUUCCACGUUUCACAACUCAGGCGUUGCUUCGCGGAUCCUAUCCGUGGAGUGGACCACGAAAUGCUUGAUCUACAAGAUAACCUGUCCUAUCGGGAAUAUCCCAUUCGUAUCCUUGAUCAAGCCGAGCGUACCACUCGACGUCAUAAUAUCAAGUUUCUCAAGGUUCAAUGGUCACACCAUUCCGAGAAAGAAGCCACUUGGGAAAGGGAGGAUCGUCUUCGACUCGAGUACCCCACCUUCUUCCCGGAGGAUCCUAAAUCUCGGGACGAGAUUCUUUUGAGUGGGGGUGAGUUGUCACACCCUAGCUAGUUCAAGCAUUAGAGUGUGCAUCAUGUUUAAAUUUCUCUUAAAUUUGAAAUGGGGAAGGCAGAAACCCCCAACACCCCCCUGGAAACAACUAGGGUUUACUAAAAUUAUUUUCAAUGAACCUGAAAUGCCCUUCUAAAAAGUUCACCCUCUUUGUCUUGGGUUAAAACCUCUGGCAAAAUUGGUGCACAUUUUCCUAGGUCAACAGAAGGUCAUUGAGUUAAAUCAUAAGUAUUUGAAUUUGGGCAUUUAAAUGCUAUAAAAUAAUUUAAAUGCUCAAAUAAUUCUGCAAAUAAAUGUUUGCUGUUGGAAAUAUUCUAAACAGAGCCCACAUUUAUUUUCAAGAUUUUUGGAAAUGUUUUAGUAUUUUAAUUAAAGCCCAACAGUUGCAGUUAAUAGAAAAACAGAAACAAUUAGAAAAAAAGAGAGAGAGGGAAGCUACCUGGGCCUUACCUGUGCUGGCCCAGCCCACCUGGCUCGGCCCAGCCGACUGGCUUCCAGUCGUCGUCCUCCUCGCGCCAGAAGGACGCGGAGCGCGUGGCCGGCGCCCGCGGCCACACGCCGGCCACCUCCUGCUUCUGUCGGCGUCCUGGAGACGUCCAGGGAUGCCACGCGACCCCCACGCCCCCCCUCUCAUCCUCGCUCACUUUCCCCCUCGUCUCCCUCACUCCCUCCCGUGAUGCCCGAGCGCGUUCCUCGCCGCUGUUCGCCGUAGAUGACGCCAGAGCCACCCCCUCGCCCCUCCAACAAGCCAAAUCACUCCGCCACGACGCCCUCGCCCUCCCCACCGAGCCACGCUUCGCCGGAGGCCCUGCAUCGCCGCUAUCGCGCCGUCUUCAACCUCGGUACCCGUCGGACGCCAUUCAGCGAUUCGCCUCGCUCCGGUCGCCCUCGAGCCCACUGAGCUGCUCAUCGACCUCCCUGUGAGCUCCGCCGCCUUUCCCCUCUUCUUUCCCACGCGUUUGCACCCUCUAGGCCAUAGUUCCACCAUGGCUGAAGCUCGUCUCCGCUCGAGCUCGUAACCGGCGUUGCUCCGGGGACCAUUUGGUCCUCCCGUUCUAUGCAACGAGCUUGCCGCAUCACGUAGUGCCUCGCUAGCGCUUCAGUUUUCGUGUUUGUGCGUGCAGCCCACUCCCCACACAUGGCCGAACUCCGGCCGCCGCCUUGGAGCUCGCCGUCGUCGUCUCCGGCCACCGUAGGCCCGGCCUCCACCACCACUAGAUGCGCGACUGCAAGAGCUCUCCAACGAGCCCCAGAACGGCCUCGCCCGUGCCAUGUGUGCAUUUUCCGAGCUACGCCACCGUCUCGGGCCUCGCCGGCGUCGAGUCGCCGACGAGUUUGACCCAGUUUGACUCCUGGGUGGGCCCAGGUAGACCCCCUGAGUCUAUGACAGGUGGGGCCAGUCUGCUAACUAAUUUAGGAUUAGUUUUAAUUAAUUUUAAUUAAAUCAGUCACUGACAUGUGGGCCCAGGCCCCACUGACAGCUAAUUAGUGUUAAUCUAAUCCUGUUAAUUAGCUGAGAGGCUGACAGAAGGGGCCCACCAGUCAGGUUUGACCUGGGCUGGCGCCUUUGACCUGCUGAGGUCAGCAUGACGCAAUGCUGACGCAGUAAUGCAUUUUCUGGAUUUAUUUUUAUUCAGGAAUUUCCAGAAAAUAGUUAAAACUUAUAAAAAUCAUAGAAAAUCAACCAUAGCUCCAAAUGCAAAGAUUUAUAUAUGAAAAAUGAUCAGAAAAAUUCAAUCUAUCCAUCUAUAAUGGUUUCAUGCAUGAAAAAACAAGUUUACCUUACUGUUUAAGCAGAAUAAGGAAAUGCACUAUUAAGGCCAUGUUUAAUGAGCUAAUAUUUGAAUCUUUGAUUCAAAUGAGUUCAUUCCUUUCUGUUAUAGCUUGCAUUAGGCCAAGACACAUUCAUAUUGCCAUGUCAUAGCAUGCAUCAUAUUGUUGCAUAUCGUCAUGUGUUGAUUGUGUUCCGAUGUGUUCUUCAUGGUAGGUUCUGCCUCCAAGGAUAUUCACGAGUAUCCAACUGAAGGGCAGUAUCCCACUAUCACUCCAUCAAGCAAGCAACCAUUGAUCAUUCCGAUACAACCCAUGCUCUCGCUUCUGCUCUUGUUUACUUCAUUAACACAACACGUUUCAAUCUGCUGUGUGCUACGGUAGUUGAACCCUUAUCCUCUGCAUGACCUGUCAUUGCCACAGUAACUAGAUGAAACCCACUAGCAUGUGUAGGAGUUGAUUGAGCCAUGUAUGUGAUUCCUACCUUGCUAUGCCUGCUAUGCUUAGAGUUGUGUCAGGUCUGGUUCAUCUGGGUGAUGGGCUAGAGUGAAAUGCUUAUGGCAGUAAUGUGAGGGAUGUGUUGAACAUGUUUUGGUAAAGGUAUCGAUGAGAGGCCAUGUAGGAGUACAUGGUGGGUUGUUUCAAUGAGGCCAUCCCUAAGAACUGAGAUCUGUAUGUGUGAUUUAAGAUGUAGUGACUACCGUACAUUGGGCCCGAAACCAAUGGACCCUCUCGGCUUCUUAAUCACCCUAGUACUCUGUCCAGGAGUUGCAAAUAGUUUCUGGUGUUUGUAGGUUAUGUGUUGGCGGCCGUGCGUAGCGCUGACCCUAGGGGUGGGCUAUGUUGCGGUAGAUACACCAUGGCACGGUGUACCGAGUCACCCGUUUGCUGUCUCGAGAUCCCUGUUCACAUCGUUCGGGGUUGUAUGUGGAAACCUCGGCCCGACUCCCUGCGGAUGGAACCUGGAUAGGCGAUAAACCUAGACUAGAGACUUAAGUGUUCAGGUAGGCCGUGGCCGACACCCUCGCUGGGCUUCCUCUUGAAGGUUGCCGAGUACAUGUCGUGUAAACGGCGGUAAGUGGUGAAAGCGUGUAUAAAGAAGUACACCCCUGCAGGGUAUGAAACUAUUCGAAUAGCCGCGUCCGCGGUAAAGGACUACUUGGUUGCCUAUAUAGUUCAUAGCCAAGUUAAUGGAUACUACUAAAAGACUCAAGAUAAGUGUGAGUACCGAGGAUGGCCCUCUCGUAGGAUGACGAGGGAGGAUCCCCGGUGGAGUAUUGUGUUGGUGAGUAGUGGACUCGUGUGCGAAAACUAUUUUACUAGUGAAGUUCCGUAGGAUAGCUUAGCCAAGAGUCAAAGCUGGCUUGCUGCAUUAACCCCACCACCUUCUUGAGAAUAAGCAUGUUUAGUAGGUUCUGAUGUAAGACUUGCUGAGUACCAUUGUACUCAUGUUUGCUUAAUUACUAUUUUCAGACGACAACACCGCCCCCUCCGAUGGGUUCUACGUAGACCUUGACGUCGACGAGUGACUAGCCACCCAGGUGGUGUUCCUGGCCAUGGAGGGCCCUAUGUAGAUAGACAGGCUUCGAGAAGCCUUCUUUCUUUCUAGAGUCUGUACUCAAACUAGUUGCUUCCGCAUGUGCUUGUAUGAUUGUAUGACUUGAGUGUCGGGUCAUGUGACCCUAUCUGUAUGAACUUUUUAUGUAUGGCUCCCCGGAGCCUUUAAAUAAAGUACUUGAGUUGUAGAGUUUUGUUGUGAUGCCAUGUUGUAUGUACUCAUAUUGGGCAUAUUGUGUGUAUGAUUGAAAUGCUUGGUAUGAGUGGGAUCCGACAAUCUAGUUGUUUAUCCUUGGCAGCCUUUCUUAUGGGGAAAUUUAGUCUAGUGUUCCUCGAGCCAUAGUAGUCCGCUACAGCCUGGUUCACCGGAGUCCUGCUAGCCUAGCACUACUGUUCAGGACACUUGACUGGCCGGCAUGUGUUUCACUUCGUUCCUAUGUCUGUCCCUUCGGGGAAAUGUCACGCUGUGACUUCCGGGGUCCUGCCUAGCCUGCUACAGCCCGGGUUCCCCGGAGUCCUGUUAGCCCAGUGCUACAGCCCGGAAUCAAUCGCCGAUGACCGACAUGCUCGAUAUGAUUCGCGUAUGCCUGUCUCCAUAGGUCUGUGCCGCUUUGGGUUCAUGACUAGCCAUGUCGGCCCGGGUUCUUUGUCAUAUGGAUGCUAGCGACACUAUCAUAUACGUGAGCCAAAAGGUGCAAAUGGUCCCGGGCCAUGGUAAGGCGACACCCAUGGGAUACCGUGCGUGAGGCCGCAAAGUGAUAUGAGGUGUUACCGGCUAGAUCGAUGUGACUUGGAAUAUGGGUCCUGACAAAAAGAAAGUUUAAUGAUUCUCCCAUCUCGAAAGAUAUCAUGAAAGUGAAAGAAUACUACAUGCGGGGUAGAUCAAUUCAGAUUAACUCGGGGGAUGUGGCUCAAGUCUGGGAGGACUCUUUGAAUGGACUGCCUCCUAUGCGUGUUCAGUACCCGCAGCAGUUUAGCAUUUGUAAUAUGCCUGAGAUUACGGUUGACAAAAUGAGGGGAGUGGAGGCCGGCGACAUGUUUCGCAGAAGACUAAACCCCCUCUCAAUAACAUGUGGAAUGAGAUGCGUACGAUUGUACUGAAUACUAUUUCUUCGACGGAACCAGACCAGGUUGGCUGGGCUCCUGGGCCUAAACACCGCUUUACUACUAAAUCCAUGUAGAAGUUACUUGAGAGCAACCUUGCAGGGUGUGACCACCGGUGGAUUUGGAAAGCUAAAAUUCCUCUUAAGAUCAAAAUCUUUAUGUGGUAGUUGUUUCAGGACGCGGUUCUGACUAGAGAUGUUAUGAAACGUCGAAAAUGGCCAGGAAAUGCUAAGUGUUCGUUUUGUGCUGCUUGUGAGAUGGCACAACAUCUUUUUUUCCUCUGCCCAGUUGCCAGGGUGGUCUAGCGAUCGGUGGGACCGGUCCUGGGCACUGACUUAUGUCCCAAUAACCUUUGUCAAUAUUACUCUUGGUGUUAUAUCUAUCUUCCUGAUGGUGCCAAAUUCUAUACAUUUGGUCUUGCUGCCAUCUGCUGGGCAAUAUGGAAUUAUCGUAACAGAGCAACCUUUGAGUUUAAGCCUCGUAAAACUCCUUUUGAGAUUGUAUUUUCCGGUUGUGUCUUCAUCACCUACUGGGCGGGUCUUUUGAAGGGGGCAGAUCAUGAGGCGAUGGAGCGUGGGUCGCAGAUGCUGAGGAGCAGUACAAGCAACAAGAUGAUGAUCUGUGACGCUGCGACUGAAGAUUCGGCAACGACUUACUAGAUCGCUUCUUCAACUGUUGUCUUCCUCCCCCGGUCCAGGAGGACAGGGCUACUUUUUUGUUCACUCCUGCGCGAGGAUGUGGCCUGAUGGGUCGUGUAUUUUGCAUAGUAUGUUGCUGGUGUAUGUUGGUUUUGUUGGAUACUUUAGGUGUCGUCGGGUUUUCGCCCCACAGCAGGUGUCUCAUAGGCGAGUUCCUAUGGUGGGUUUCCCGGUGAUGCGUUGAACUCGCUUCCCCUUUCCCGCUUCCUUUCCAGCUCUAUUUUCAGACUGUUGUAUUUCCGUUUUUCGGUUAAUGGAAACGGGCGAUGCCCGAUUCAAAAAAAAGAAGGUUGUGUAGUAGACAUCAAGCUCUUUUCUGGCGACGUUGCCGGGGAGGUGAGUGCUUGGAGGUAUAUCUUUAGAUCUUGCAAUCGAAUCUUUUUGUUUCUUGUUUUAGCACUAGUUUAGUUUAUAAAAGAAAACUACAAAAAAUAAUGAAAUUAAGUUUGCCUCAUACGCUUCAUCUUUUUAAUAUCUUUCGUGAGUAUGAUGGAAAGGAAAAUUGUGCCAAAGUGUUAGAAGAAGAAUGCAUUAGAAUUUUUGGCACUAAAUAUUUGAAUGAUGAGCAUGAUUGCAAUGUUGUUAGUAUGAAUUCCUUGACUAUCUAAGAUGCUAAUGAUAUGCAAAGCUAGCCACAAGCUUGGGGAAGCUAUGUUUGAUGAAUAUGAUAUUUUUUGUCCCCCAAGUUUUGAUGAGCAAAUUUAUUAUGAUGAAAGCAUGCCUCCUAUUUAUGAUGAUUAUAUUAAUGAAAGUGGAUUUGGAGAGGUCAUGACUUUAUUUAGUAAUGAUUCCACUAUUUCGGAAGAGGUUCCAAUUGAUUAUGAGAACAAAGUUGCUAUCUAUGAUGAUUAUUGUGAUGACUUGUAUGCUAUUAAAAAUAAUGAUAACCAUGAAACUUGUCAUCUUGAUUUUAAUUUUUAAUUGGGUUAUGCCUCACAUGAUAGUUAUUUUGUUGAGUUUGCUCCCACUUCUACUCAUGAGAAGAAAUUUGCUUAUGUGGAGAGUAAUAAAAUUUCUAUGCUUGUAGAUCAUGAAAAGAAUGCUUUAUGUGAUGGUUAUAUUCUUGAAUUCGAUCAUGAUGCUACUGAAAAUUAUUAUUAGGGGGGAAUAUAUGCUUGUAGGAAUUGCAAUAAUAUCAAGUUUCCUCUCUAUGUGCUUAAAAUUUUGAAGUUAUGCUUGCUUUACCUUCCUAUGCAAGUUGAUUCUUGUUCCCAUAAAUUGUUUGCUCACAAAAUCCCUAUGCAUAGGAAGUGGGUUAGGCUUAAAUGUGCUAGUCAUAUUCUUCAUGAUGCUCUCGUUAUGUUUCAAUUCUUAUGUUUUAUGUGAGCAUCAUUGAAAUCAUCAUGCCUAGCUAGGGGAGUUAAACGAUAGCGCUUGUUGGGAGGCAACCCAACUUUAUUUUUGUUCCUUGAUUUUUGCUACUGUUCAGUAAUAAAUAAUUUAUCUAGCCUCUGUUAUGAUUGAGUUUUUAUGUUUUAAUUAGUGUUUGUGCCAAGUAGAACCGUUGGGAAGACUUGGGGAAAGUCUUGUUGACCAUGCUGUAAAAAACAGAAACGUUAGCGCUCACGAGAUUUUCUGCCAUUUUCUAUUGGAGAGUGUUAUUGAGUUAAUUCUUUUUUCAGAUGAUUAAUAGAUAAAUUCCUCAAGUCCGGCAAUUUAUUUUAGAAUUUUUGAGGUUCCAGAAGUUUGCGUUAGUUACAGAUUACUACAGACUGUUCUGUUUUUGACAGAUUCUGUUUUCCAUGUGUUGUUUACUUAUUUUGAUGAAUCUAUGGCUAGUAAAAUAGUUUAUAAACCAUAGACAAGUUGGAAUAAAGUAGGUUUAACACCAAUAUAAGUAAAUAAUGAGUUCAUUACAGUACCUUGAAGUGGUGUUUUGUUUUCUUUCGCUAACGGAGCUUACGAGUUUUCUGUUAAGUUUUGUGUUGUGAAGUUUUCAAGUUUUGGGUAAAGAUUCGCUGGACUAUGGAAUAAGGAGUGGAAAGAGCCUAAGCCUGGGGAUGCCCAAGACACCCCAAGGUAAUAUUCAAGGACAACCAAGAGCCUAAGCUUGGGGAUGCCCCGGAAGGCAUCCCCUCUUUCGUCUUUGUUCAUCGGUAACUUUGCUUGGAGCUAUAUUUUUAUUUGCCACAUGAUAUGUGGUUUGCUUGGAGCAUCAUUUUAUUUACUUUUGUUUUGCUUGAUGUUUGAAUAAAAUAACAAGAUCUGAAAUUCUUAAAUGUUAGAGAGUCUUCACAUAGUUGCAUGAUUAUUCGGCUACUCAUUGAUCUUCACUUAUAUCUUUCGGAGUAGUUUGUCAUUUGCUCUAGUGCUUCACUUAUAUUAUUUUGAGAGUCUUUAGAACGGCAUGGUAGUUUGCUUUGGUUAUGAAACUAGUCCUAAUAUGAUGGGCAUCCAAGAGGGAUAUAAUAAAAACUUUCAUAUAGAGUGCAUUGAAUACUAAGAGAAGUUUGAUACUUGAUAAUUGUUUUGAGAUAUGGAGAGGGUGAUAUUAGAGUCGUGCUAGUUGAGUAGUUGUGAAUUUUAGAGAUACUUGUGUUAAAGUUUGUGAUUCCCGUAGCAUGCACGUAUGGUGAACCGUUAUGUGAUGAAGUCGGAGCAUGAUUUAUUUAUUGAUUGUCUUCCUUAUGAGUGGCGGUCGGGGACGAGCGAUGGUCUUUUCCUACCAAUCUAUCCCCCUAGGAGCAUGCGCAUAGUACUUUGUUUCGAUAACUAAUAGAUUUUUGCAAUAAGUAUGUGAGUUCUUUAUGACUAAUGUUGAGUCCAUGGAUUAUACGCACUCUCACGCUUCCACCAUUGCUAGCCUCUCUAGUACCGCACAACUUUCUCCGGUACCAUAAACCCACCAUAUAUCUUCCUCAAAACAACCACAAUACCUACCUAUUAUGGCAUUUCCAUAGCCAUUCCGAGAUAUAUUGCCAUGCAACUUUCCAGCGUUCCGUUAUUAUGACACGCUUCAUCAUUGUCAUAUUGCUUUGCAUGAUCAUGUAGUUGACAUCGUAUUUGUGGCAAAACCACCGUUCAUAAUUCUUCCAUACAUGUCACUCUUGAGUCAUUGCACAUCCCGGUACACCGCCGGAGGCAUUCAUAUAGAGUCAUAUUUUGUUCUAAGUAUCAAUUUGUAAUUCUUGAGUUGUACGUAAAUAAAUGUGUGAUGAUCAUCAUUAUUAGAGCAUUGUCCCAGUGAGGAAAGGAUGAUGGAGACUAUGAUUCCCCCAUAAGUCGGGAUGAGACUCCGGACAAAAAAUUAAAAAAAAGAGGCCAUAAAAAAGAGAAAAGGCCCAAAUAAAAAAAUAAAAAAAUAAAAAAAUGAGAGAAAAAGAGAGAAGGGGCAAUGCUACUAUCAUUUUACCACACUUGUGCUUCAAAGUAGCACCAUGAUCUUCAUGAUAGAGAGUCUCCUAUGUUGUCACUUUCAUAUACUAGUGGGAAUUUUUCAUUAUAGAACUUGGCUUGUAUAUUCCAAUGAUGGGUUUCCUCAAAAUGCUCUAGGUCUUCGUGAGCAAGCGAGUUGGAUGCACACCCACUUAGUUCUUUUUGUUCAGCUUUCAUAUACUUAUAGCUCUAGUGCAUCCGUUGCAUGGCAAUCCCUACUCACUCACAUUGAUAUCUAUUGAUGGGCAUCUCCAUAGCCCGUUGAUACGCCUAGUUGAUGUGAGACUAUCUUCUCCUUUUUGUCUUCUCCACAACCACCAUUCUAUUCCACAUAUAGUGAUAUGUCCAUGGCUCACGCUCAUGUAUUGCGUGAAGAUUGAAAAGGUUUGAGAACAUCAAAAGUAUGAAACAAUUGCUUGGCUUGUCAUCGGGGUUGUGCAUGAUUUAAAUAUUUUGUGUGGUGAAGAUGGAGCAUAUCCAGACUAUAUGAUUUUGUAGGGAUAGCUUUCUUUGGCCAUGUUAUUUUGAGAAGACAUAAUUGCUUUGUUGGUAUGCUUGAAGUAUUAUUAUUUUUAUGUCAAUAUUAAACUUUUGUCUUGAAUCUUAUGGAUCUAAAUAUGCAUGCCACAAUAAAGAGAAUUACAUGGAUAAAUAUGUUAGGUAGCAUUCCACAUCAAAAAUUCUGUUUUUAUCAUUUACCUACUCGAGGACGAGUAGGAAUUAAGCUUGGUGAUGCUGAUACGUCUCCAAGGUAUCUAUAAUUUUUGAUUGUUCCAUGAUAUUAUAUUAUCAACCUUGGAUGUUUUAUAUGCAUUUAUAUGCUAUUUUAUAUGAUUCUUGGGACUAACCUUUUAACCUAGAGCCCAGUGCCAGUUUCUGUUUUUCCUUGUUUUAGAGUAUCAUAGAAAAGGGAAAUCAAAUGGAGUCCAAUUGGCCUGAAACUACACGGAACUUAUUUUUGGACCAGAAGAAGCCCACGGAGUAUCGGAGUUGGACCAGGAGAGUCCCAGGCUGCCCACGAGGGUGGGGGGCGCGCCCUCCUGCCUCGUGGACAGCCCGGAGAUCCACCGACGUACUUCUUCCUCCCAUAUAUACCCAUAUACCCUAAAAACUUUGGGGAGCACAAUAGAUCAGGAGUUCCGCCGCCAAAAGCCUCCGUAGCCACCGAAAACCAAUCUAGACCCGUUCCGGCACCCUGCCGGAGGGGGAAUCCCUCUCCGGUGGCCAUCUUCAUCAUCCCAGCUGUAACAUCCCAAAAUUCUAAAUUUUGGAAUGUUAUAAUAAAUAGAUAGAUUUAUUGUUUGUUUGAUUGUUGUGUGAUUGACUGAGUGAAAUUCGAAACUUUUUGAAAGUUAAAUGAGAGGGAAAAAAAGAACUUUCCCCAAACCUUCACCUUUUGCAUUUUGAUCUCCGUGAAUUCAAAGUCUUUUCAAAUACAAAACCCUAGAGAGAAGAUGACACGACUUCUUCCAUUUCAAUAAAUGAAAGGGGUGUUGAAAAUAUUUGAAUUUCAUUUGGAAAAUAUUUCCAAUUCUGAAACUUUAUGCAACUCAAUGAUUUUCACGAGCGAAGAUAAAAUGACUUCUUCAAAUUAUAUGAAAUAUGGGUUGGGAGUUUCAAAGGAUCAAUUUCGAAGUCCUUUUGGAAUUAAUUUUCAAUUUGGAUUUAUUUGAGUUUUAUUCAAAUUACUUUUCUCCAAAAAUAAAAUAUAUGGAAAAUAGGGUAACAUGAUUCCCUACAUUAGAAAAUUGGAGAAAAAUUAAUUUGAAAUCAUUUUGGUAUUUUUAAAAUGAUUUUUGUUGGAUUUUAUUAGACCAGUAACACUCUUUGUUUUAUCUGACUUUGUGUGGAUUUUAUUUGGCAUAUUGAAAAUGUUCAUGUCGUAGAAAAUCUUUUUCUGAAAAUUUUGAUAUAUUAUAUGCCUAUAUAAUAUUUUAGUUUAUUUUUAUUUUUUUAUUUUUGUUGUCUGUGAAAAAUGUUUUUUUAACUCUUCGAACAGUGCCAGGCCGAAGCCCGACACUGCUCUCUCUCUCCCCGCGCUAGGCCAGCCGGCCCAGCCCAGCAGCGGCCCAGCGCACCCGCACCCGUCCCCGAGCUCGGGACGAAGUCCCGAGCCAGCACGCUAGCGCCGCCGCCGUGCUACGCCCGGCCUCCCGCCGCCGCCUCCCUUUCCCCUCCUCCAAGCCCGACCCGGCCCCUCCUUUAAAUACCCGAGGCCCCGGCCCCGUUCCUCCCCUCCCGAGCCGUCGUCGCCACCCGCGCAAAACCUCGCCGGAGUUGCGAGCUCCGACGAGAUCUGCCGCCGCCGCGCGCCGUUCCGGCUCCGCAGCCGAGCGCCGACACUGCCACCGUCUUCCCCUCGUCGCGCCGCACCUCCCCAACUACUCCGCCGUCGUCGCCGACGCCCGGAGCCGUCGCUCCGUUCCUCGCCGAGCCGCCGCCGCCGUCCUUUUCCUCGCCGUCGACGACCCGCCGUCGCGGUAACCACCGUCGCCCCUCCUCACCGUUAGAUCUGGAUCCAACGAUCCAGAUCGUUCUAUUUUUUUACCCGAAGCAUUUUGUUUUUAUUUAGAGAACAUUCGCUGGUUAGGUAUAGAAAACGAACGUUCGCCUUUUAGUUUUUUUUUAUUUCGGCCAGGGACCCGUCUUGAAUAUUUUAUUUACAGAUUAGCCCGUGGACUUCAAACACUCAUAACUUUUUACUCGUUAGUCCAAAUCCAACGAAACCAACGCUCGCGUCUUCGUUAUGAACCCCUCUUUCCAGUAAUCCAACUCAAACAUGUUUUUGAAAGUUUUAAAAUUUGACUUCAACCAUAUUUGUAUUCAAACUUCAUUUGAUCAUAACAUGAGUUUCGUAGCUCCGUUUGAGUUGAUUCUUUUUGCAAAUCGAAGCUCUUGACCUAAGCUUUCUGAUAAGGCCAAAUUCACAUAAUUUUGGUACUGCUAGAAAUUGUUUUAUGUUGCAAGAUCUAUUUGCUUGGUUUUGAUGUUUUCUGAAUUGACUUUUCGAUCUUUCUGGUCUUUUGAGUGAUUGCUUAUGUGUGGUUACUAUUGCUUGAUUACGAUAGAUUGACCGGAGUGUGAUGAGUAGAACUAUCAAGAGUUAUGAGUGCGAAUCAUCUUCAUCAACAUUGCAGGCAAGUUCACACUUUGAUAAUAUCCCCUUUCAUACCCAGUUUUUAUGCAUUAGUUCCAAUCCUCAAACAUUGCAUGAUUAGGAUGUCAUUAACAUGUGGGUAUUGGGAAGUAGUUGAUGAGGUAGGAACCUAUUGCCCUGCAUUCAAACCUUGGGAGUUACUAUUACGUUAUGUUUAUAGUGCCAUGCUAUGCUCGUAGACGUGGAUUGGGUUUUGAGAGUAUUCAUGACAGAUGUGAGAUUGUUGAUUAAUGGUUUACUUAAGGUGGCAACUUAAACACACAUCUGGGUGGAUUGAGGUAUCUGGGUAUUCCAGGAUUGCCUGUUUAGGCACCUGGGUUGACCAGGAUUGCCUGUUUUUAUGGACCGCCACCCAGGCUCAAAGGGAUCAUGAGAUUAUUCAUACUAGAAACUUCCGUGUGCAGCCACAAGCUAUUAUGGGCUCUAGCAUAGUUGAUUAAGUCGUGCGAACUCUUACAGGGUAGACUAGCAGAUGUAGGGGAAAGUAGGUGUAACGGUCUAUCCAUCGUAAGGUGCUAGCGCUUCUGAAAGACUAUGUCUCGGUCAUCCGUCUUCUCAAACACCAUGUAGUGCGAGAAACUAAAAGGAGGCGAUCAAGUCUUGUGGGGAAAAGUGCGAAACCUCUGCAGAGUGUACAAACUAAUCAUGAUUAGCCGUGUCCCCGGUUAUGGACAUCUUGAGUAUCUAGUACCUGGAUUAUCAUGUGAAUCUCAUCAUGUUACUUUAAAUGAAUAUUGUUGGGUUUUAAUGAUGAUAUUUAAUUGGGAUUGAGAAUGAUGUCAACCAUUCUCAAUGUUUAACAACCACCAUGAUAGUUAAAUAAAAUUUAUUCCUUUGCAGUAGGGAAAAAUUGGCUUUUCGCAAAAACAUUAUAACCCCAGAGCCUUUCCACCAGCCAAAUAUGCAUGUAGUGAUAGCCUUUAUUCAUCAUUAUCCUCUGGUGUGAAUUUGCCAGUACAUUCAAUGUACUGACCCUUUGUGGCUCCAACGUCUCAUGUUGCAGGAUUAUCCUACGACAAGUAAGUGAUACGUUAGGGUUACGAUUUCUACACUCAACUUUGCCGUUGGUGUUGAUGGGAAUCCACAACCUUGUCACUUCCGCUAUUUGGAUUGAGGUAAUAGUAUUUACGUUACUUAUACAUGUGAUUUACCUUUGUUAUAAAUCCUCGAGUACUGUGUGUCAGCAUACCUAUCCAGGGAUGACACUUAAGCACAAAGACUUGAUCCAUUCGGGUCGGGUCGCUAGAAGAUGGUAUGAGAGCACAUGUUGACUAUAGGACGUGACCCUAGAAACUGGCAAGCUCAUAGCAAAGAUUUUUCUCUACAACUUUCCCUUUCAAAAAGAUCUUUUACCUCUCUUCUCUUCUGAGCUUAUUCAAAUAUCCCCUUUUAGUGAGACCAUACCCCCUUUUCCCUUUUGACCACACGAAAGUUCGGCUGAUGAGAUCACUUCAAGAAGUACAAGAUAUCGGAAAACCGAGAUCAUUCGGAAUGAAGAGGAUUUUACCAUACAUUAUGAUAAUGGAAACUACAACUGUUGAAGACUCUGAAGACUAGGAGAAUUGGAGGCUCCGAAGAAUUUCCAGAUUUGUGUGACCUAGGAAGGCUACCCUUAUGGAAAUUGGCAGACUAUGGAAGUUGUCAAUACCCGAGAUCAAGGUGCAUCGGAGAAAGACCGAGCAUGGAGAGUUAAAAACCUCAAAGUUUUGUCAAGAAAACCCUAAGGCAGGAGAUAUCAACUAUGGAAGAUAGCUCAUGGCAAUGACAAGGGCAGAAACACGGUUAUCCGUGAUGUCAUCGCCCGCUUAUGCUAUUUGUCACCGGGCUGAGUUAAGCAUGCAUUUCUUCGGAAGGAUUGGAUGGUAGAAGGCUGAUGGAGCAUCUAUCAGCAAAGGAUGCAGUUUUAACCUUAGCUGGUGUAUCACCAGGAUCUGGAGUAGUACAUCAAGAAGUUUAAGAUGGAGCUCCAGGAAAUCGUAGUAGACAAGGAAGCAUUUCAUGAAGAACUUAUGUCCAAGAAGCUGAAGUAGCCAAGCUGGAGGAGCAAAACCUCGAGAUACCGGAGAUUCGUCACGAACUGAAGGAUAGUAGGACCCUGGUUCAUGCGAAGGAUGUUGAAACCAGAAGUUUGGAAUGCAACUCCGAAAUAUUAAAGGACGUCACGAGAGACUUCGCGUCAACAGAGUUGAUCUGGCAAAAGAACUUGAAAAAGGACAAGCACGAUGGGAAGAAGCCAUCGGAGACAUAAACAAGACUUGAAGAGUUUGGUGAUUUUGAAUAUUUAUUGACCUUUAGAAGACCCAACCCCUGUUAUAUGCCUAUGUUAGAUGCGACGUUUGUGAACUGUCAUUUGUUUGAUGUUUUUCCGACAGCCACAAAUAAAAUCCGUCUUUUCAAAACUUUUUGUUUGUAUUGUGUGCAUCCCUCUCUAUCUCUCUUAUCUCACCCCAAAACCAUGGACCCAAUAGAGGAUGAAUGAAGAUGCACUUGUAUUUUCUGGACCGAUGAGUCAAAUGGAGACAGACCGAUGGAUUCAGAACAUGGAGGAUCAAAUGGAGAAUAACCCUAUAGUCGGAAAGGAUAUGACCCAGCAUGCUCUUCAGUGCUUUGAAAGAGGUGCUGCUACUUGGUGGAGGAUGUACCAAACCAUCAAUGGAUGGCAAGGAGUAACCACUUGGAAAGAAUUUAAGUUGACUCUGCCAAAGUCUCGGAUUGUGUCCCGGAAGUUGAAGCCUUAUGGAAAGGAUAUGAAGAAACCUUGUGCAUGCAAGAUUUGUGGAGAAAUAGGACACACCCAUAAAGAACACAAGGAAGAAUGCCCUAAUUGUGAAGGAAGUCACCCAGUUGAAGAAUGCCCAACUAGGCAGAUUACUUGUCUCUUGUGUGAAGGUACUACCCACUAUCCUGCUCAGUGUCACAUUUACCCCAUGGUACAACGAUCCAUCCAGCAGAAGAAAGAAGUAAUGAAAGGAGCCCUCAUGGAAAGUUUAGAAGAAGCUGUGAUGAAGGAAGGGAUGGAGGACACACCUAAAGAAGACCCGAGUAAACCCUGCACUAAGUCUUGCUAUUCAUGUGGAGAAGAAGGACACAUCUCCCAAAAUUGUUUGAAUGGGGAUCUAGUAGAAUUCCCGAUAGAGGAAGUAGAAUAUGACCCACGGGAAAUAGAAGCCCUGAUUGGAAUGGAAAAGUCCAAGAAGAGAAACCGAUUGGAUCCAGGAGGGACCUGAGUCAUAUCACCUGUUACAGGUGCAAGGAGUUAGGGCACUACCUCAACAGUUGCCCAAAACGGAAACCUCGAUACUUGUCAGAAGUAAUAUGUUUUAGUUGUAAUGGAGCAGGGAACUUUGCCAGAGAAUGCCCCAAGGAGAAGGAAACUUGUGCUAGAUAGUUGAGUUUGCAACAAAAGAAAUGGAGUAGUAGAAGUGAGAACAUUUUCUUUUAUAUUGAGGUGUUGAGUUGAGACAUGUAAUGGAAAAGCGAGAGAUUGUAAUCAAUUGAGAGUGAAUAAAGUUAGCAUCGUUGGUACUGAUAUGGAUUUUAUGAGUUGUUACUCUAUGAAGAAGAAUUUUGGCCAUUUUGAGGAUAUGAGAAAUAUGGUCUAUGGAAGAUUUGUGCAUUUUAAGGGUGGUAGUACCCUGUAAGAACCCUUGACCCCUAGAAAAGAUAAGGAUACUCCACUGAGUGGAUUUCGGACAAAAUGAAUACGAGUUUUGUCUUGAUAUGUGUGAUACUCCAAGAGUAUGUGGGAUGAAGUUGGAGACCGUCAGUUGUUUGGACCAAAUGUGAUCAAGGACUCAGAAGAGAAUGUUAAGUUGAUUCGAGAUAGACUGAAGGUAGCUCAGUCCAGGUAGAAGAGUUAUGCAGACUAAAAAUGCAAGGAGGUAGUCUAUGAAAUUGGAGACAGAGCAUGUCUUUGUGUGCCCCCUCUGCGAGGAGUUAAACGAAUUGGAGUUAAGGGAAAGUUAGCCCCGAGAUUUGUAGGACCAUACCGAGUUUUGGAGCGUAUGGGAGAAGUGGCCAACAAGUUGGAGUCACCCGAAGGACUGUCAGGAGUUCAUGAUGUGUUUCACGUUUCCCAGUUGAAGUGCCAUGCAGAGAUGGCUCAUAUUCCCCUGUAAGGACGCUUGACCCUGGAAAGGAUAAUGAUGUUCCACGAAGUGGAAUAUGGACUUCAUAAGUAUAAGUUUUUAUCUCGGUAUGAGGGAUAUCCCACGAGGAUGAAGAGAUAAAUUACUAUUGAAUAUAAAGGAGGUAUGAUGUCGGAAAUAUGGAUCAAUGGAAACUCCAUGAUGAGUCUGAGUAAUCAUGUCCUAUUUUGGUGCCAAUAGAAGGAAGGAAGACAAUACAAUUGGAUGGAUUUAAGAAUACUAGGAAGUUGGAAGUUGGAACAAUGAUCAGUUGCCCGAUGAUAAGUUCAAGGACUACAAGUGAUGACAUGGGCCAUAACCCAUAGGCCCCAGAACCUGCCAAGAAGCAAGCACACUAUUGCUGAAGGAAAAACCCUGGAAGAAGUUACGUUUAUCAGCAGACGAUUUUAUAGGAGUAACGCAAAACCUGAGAGUUGUGAAGAAACGUUAGAUGUUUGUCUGGCUUGCAAAAUCUAUGGAUAUAUCCAAACUUGGUUCGUCGACAAGAGAAAUUCUGCCAUGCUUGUGAGGAUGACCGAGUGUUAGAAUGCGAGAUUCGCUAAACCGUAUACAAGGUCAUGAUUUGGGUGCGGGAUGGAUUGAUCACCAUACCGACUUACUCUUAUUAUUCACCUUUCUAUAUGGGAUGGUAAAACUGAGUGACUUACCUAUAGUAGAGAGCCGACGAUCAAAACCUUGCUUAAAACUUAGAAUGGUAUAAGUAUUUUGCCUUGUACAAGGCAGCUUUUGCCAACCGUAGGUUAUACGGUGAGGAUCAACCAGACUCAUUUCCUGCAGGAGAAACCAUAAAUGGUUGACCACCAUGAGAUAUCGAUACUUGUUUAGUAUUGGCGCCUGACCCGUCAGGUAAGAAGACCGAGUCUCGGAAUAACCUUACCAAGAUGAAAGGACAAAAGAAUUGAGGAAAAGGUUAUGUUGUUACCGGAACAGCCCAGAGAAAGGAAUUAUACUGAAGAUCUGAGAAGACCGGCCCUGUCAAGAAUAAAGAUGGAGUAUAUGAGUAUUGAUGGGACCGUAACGAUGUUUCUAAGGGUGGUAGCACCCCAGACCCCGGUGAUGAUUGAUGGAUUUUGAGGAGACCCCCAAACCCUAACCUAUUUCUUGCUAGCCUCUCCGAAUCUCGAGGACGAGAUUCAUUCUAAGGGUGGUAGGUUUGUAACAUCCCAAAACUCUAAAUUUUGGAAUGUUAUAAUAAAUAGAUAGAUUGAUUGUUUGCUUGAUUGUAUUUUUUACUAUGAAGACAGUAGGAAAGGUUCCUACUGCAUAUAUAUUACCAAAACCUCAGGGGGUAUAAUUACAUGUGUGUGUUACAUACAUGGGUGGUGAUGGCACCACUCAAAAGCACCCUAGUUUGCAAAGCACCUAUUGUAUGGAUUCAAGUAUGGCAGUAACAAUAUGCUCUUUGGAGGGUUUCACUCUAUAUCUAAGAUUGGAGAAGUCCAACCUAAACCUCUGCUUCCAGGUUGUGACCGAAGGCUUGAUUUUCCUGAAGUGGUGGUUGUUUCGCUCCUUCCAGAGACUCCAGGCCGACGUCAAAAAUAUAUCCAUCCACAUCUUUCUAGGCUGCAUGUUUUUUUGAUGUUUGAUCAUAUCAAGUCUGUCAUGCUACGUUGUCCUGGUGAAACCAAGAUAUUGCCAGCAUUCCUGACUGAACGUGCAAUGAAAGAAUAGAUGUUCCACCGUUUCUUCAACGUGUUGGCCACAUAAGAGGCAGUCAAUGUUUGUCCCAAUGUUGUAGUGUCUCCUCUUGAGCAUGUUUCUGGUGUUGAGAUGAUCAACAAGUAGAAACCACCCGAAUGUCUUAAGCUUGGGAGUACAUUUUGCUUUCCACAACUAGCCGAAGGCUUCAUGGGCAGUUACAUCUCUGAAGUAGAUUUUGUAAUAUGAGGAUGUUUUGAAAGUUUGGUCGCCCCAUAUGCAUUGCCAGGUGUCAUGGUCUUCUGUGAGAGUGGUUUCGGCUACUUCAGUUUGGAUGGAUCGCAGCUCAUCACGGGCUUGAGUAGAGAGUGGGAGGUGAAAGAUUUCAUGCAGAUUGGUGGACGUCAGGAGUUGUUUGACCGAGAUGUCUUCUAAAAUAGUAUAUGAAUAAGCCCUGAGGCAACUAUCAGCAUAUAUGGACUGGCUCCAAUUAUCUUUCCAGAACAGUGCAGAAGAUCCAUUCCCAAUUUUUAUACGUGUCACACCGCGAUAUGUGGGCAUUAGAUGGGUUAAGUCCUUCCACCAGAAGGAGCCACACGAGUCAUGAGCAUGUGGAAUGGUGUCACCAUCGUAAGAAUCCCAGAUUAGAUGGACCCAAGGGAUAUCAUGCCUAUUAUAAAACUUCUGGAGAAAUUUAAGCAACAAGGCAUCAUUCUGUAUUCUGAGGUUAACAACACCCAGUCCACCAUUUUUCUUGGGCAUGCAGACCAUGUUCCAAGCAGCAAGAGAGUUGUUCUUAACCCCAUCAUCGAUCCGUUUUUGCCAUAGGCAAUGUCUUAUGAUCUUGUCAAGUUGAGCAACAAUUUUUGGUGGGAGACGAAUGGUGCCCAUUGUGAACAUGAUAAGGGAGGUUAUCAUCGAAUUCAUUAGAGCAAGUUUCCCCGCAUACGACAUUAGAGACAUAGCAACCGUGAUGUUUCUUUCCGCUUUGCAAACAAGAGGAGCCAGAUCUUGUAUGGUCAGCCGAGUGGUGCCUAGGGGCAUACCAAGGUACGUGAACGGCAUGGACCCCACAGUGCAUCCUAACAGAUCAGCUAGUUCUUUGCAUUUGUCAAGAGGCGUGUUAAUUGGCACUAGUGUGGACUUGGAAGUUGAUCUUGAGCCCUACUGACGUGGCAUAAUCCUCCAGAAUUUCCUUAACCUUGGUAAGUUGGCGGGUGCAUGCUGGCAGGAUGAUGAGUGUGUCAUCCGCGUAUUGGAUAACGGGGUAGUCCCUGUUAGUGUUGCGUCAGAUAGGUAAAUCCAGGAGAUUAUUUCUAAGUGCCUCGUUAAUUGCAGACUGUAGGAGGUCCGCAGCUAUAACAAAAAUCAGAGGCGAGAGGGGGUCACCUUGUCUUACACCGCAUUUGCAUUGGAAAGAUUUUCCCAGAGUACCAUUGAGUAGGACUGAAGAUUUGCCAGAAGUGAAGAGACUUUGUAUCCAUUGGAGCCAUUUGUCAUCGAAACCCACCUUUUUCAUAAUGUGGAGCAUAGCAGAGUGUUGGAUAGUGUCAAAGGCUUUGGCGAAAUCUAACUUCAACAGGAUGAUCUCAUUUUGCGAGGCUUGACAUUGGUAAAUGUAUUCGAAAGCCCACGCCAAACAGUCAUGUAUGGAUCGACCACGUAAGAACCCAUACUGAUUACGGUGGACGAUCUGCAAGAUGAUUUUUUGAAGACGAUUGGCCAGCAGCUUUGUGAUCAAUUUAAGACAACAAUUUAACAAAGUGAUCGGGCGGAAGUCAUUGACCGCCUCUUGUGAGGACUUCUUUGGGAUCAAGGUGAUAUAUCCAUAGUUUAAGCAUUCAAGAUUCAAAUCACCUUUAUGAAAUUCAUUGCACAAGUUGUAGAAGUCAUUUUAAUGAUAGGCCAACAUGCUUUCAGAAAGGCUCCAUUGAAACCAUCCGGGCCCGGUGCUUUGUCCAGGGGCAUCUCCUUAACCACAGCAUCAAUUUCAUCCUGUGUGAACGGGGUAGUGAGGCUAUCGAAAUCAACUUGCUGUCGGAGCAAAGACGAGAGGUUAAACUUCAUGUUUGUUUGUUUGAAUGUUGUGUGAUUGAUUGAGUGAAAUUUGAAACUUUUUGAAAGUUAAAUGAGAGGGAAAAAGGACUUUCCCCAAACCUUCACCUUUUGCAUUUUGAUCUCCGUGAAUUCAAAGUCUUUUCAAAUACAAAACCCUAGAGAGAAGAUGACAUGACUUCUUCCAUUUCAAUAAAUGAAAGGGCUGUUGAAAAUAUUUGAAUUUCAUUUGGAAAAUAUUUCCAAUUCUGAAACUUUAUGCAACUCAAUGAUUUUCACGAGCGAAGAUAAAAUGACUUCUUCAAAUUAUAUGAAAUAUGGGUUGGGAGUUUCAAAGGAUCAAUUUCAAAGUCCUUUUGGAAUUAAUUUUCAAUUUGGAUUUAUUUGAGUUUUAUUCAAAUUAUUUUUCUCCAAAACUAAAAUAUAUGGAAAAUAGGGUAACAUGAUUCCCUACAUUAGAAAAUUGGAGAAAAAUUAAUUUGAAAUCAUUUUGGUAUUUUUAAAAUGAUUUUUGUUGGAUUUUAUUAGACCAGUAGGACUCUUUGUUUUUAUCUGAUUUUGUGUGGAUUUUAUUUGGCAUAUUGAAAAUGUUCAUGUCGUAGAAAAUCUUUUUCUGAAAAUUUUGAUAUAUUAUAUGCCUAUAUAAUUUUUUUAGUUUAUUUUUGUUUUUGUUAUUUUUGUUGUCUGUGAAAAAUGUUUUGUUUUUAAAAACUCUUCGAACAGUGCGCACCCGCACCCGUCCCCGAGCUCGGGACGAAGUCCCGAGCCAGCACGCCAGCGCCGCCGCCGUGCUCCGCCCGGCCUCCCGCCGCCGCCUCCCUUUCCCCUCCUCCAAGCCCGACCCGGCCCCUCCUUCUUUAAAUACCCGAGGCCCCGAACCCGUUCCUCCCCUCCCGAGCCGUCGCGGCCACCCGCGCAAAACCUCGCCGGAGUUGCGAGCUCCGACGAGAUCUGCCGCCGCCGCCGCACGCUGUUCCGGCUCCGCAGCCGAGCGCCGACACUGCCACCAUCUUCCCCUCGUCGCGCCGCACCUCCCCAACUACUCCGCCGUCGUCGCCGACGCCCGGAGCCGUCGCCCCGUUCCUCGCCGAGCCGCCGCCGCCGUCCUUUUCCUCGCCGCCGAUGACCCGCCGUCGCGGUAACCGCCAUCGCCCCUCCUCACCGUCAGAUCUAGAUCCAACGAUCCAGAUCGUUCUAUUUUUUUUAGCCGAAGCGUUUUGUUUUUAUUUAGAGAACGUUCGCUGGUUAGGUAUAGAAAACGAACGUUCGCCUUUUAGUUUUUUUAUUUCGUCCAAGGACCCGUCUUGAAUAUUUUAUUUAUAGAUUAGCCCCUGGACUUCAAACACUCAUAACUUUUUACUCGUUAGUCCAAAUCCAACGAAACCAACGCUCACGUCUUCGUUAUGAACCCCUCUUUCCAUUAAUCCAACUCAAACAUGUUUUUGAAAGUUUUAAAAUUUGAAUUCAACCAGAUUUGUAUUCAAACUUCAUUUGAUCAUAACUUGAGUUUCGUAGCUCCAUUUGAGUUGAUUCUUUUUGCAAAUCGAAGCUCUUGACCUAAACUUUCUGAUAAGGCCAAAUUCACAUAAUUUUGGUACUGUUAGAAAUUGUUUUAUGUUGCAAGAGCUAUUUUCUUGGUUUUGAUUUUUUCCGAAUCGACUUCUUCGAUCUUUCUAGUCUUUUGAGUGAUUGCUUAUGUGUGGUUACUAUUGCUUGAUUAUGAUAGAUUGACCGGAGUGUGACGAGUAGAACUAUCAAGAGUUAUGAGUGCGAAUCAUCUUCAUCAACAUUGCAGGCAAGUUCACACUUUGAUCAUAUCCCCUUUCAUACCCACUUUUUAUGCAUUAGUUCCAAUCCUCAUACAUUGCAUGAUUAGGAUGUCAUUAACAUGUGGGUAUUGGGAAGUGGUUGAUGAGGUAGGAACCUAUUGCCCUGCAUUCAAACCUUGGGAGUUACUAUUACGUUAUGCUUAUAGUGCCAUGCUAUGCUCGUAGACGUGGAUUGGGUUUUGAGAGUAUUCAUGACAGAUGUGAGAUUGUUGAUUAAAGGUUUACUUAAGGUGGCAACUUAAACACACAUCUGGGUGGAUUGAGGUACCUGGGUAUUCCAGGAUUGCCUGUCUAGGCACCUAGGUAGACCAGGAUUGCUUUUUUUUUAUGGACCGCCACCCAGGCUCAAAGGGAUCAUGAGAUUAUUCAUACUAGAAACUUUCGUGUGCAUCCACAAGCUAUUAUGGGCUCUAGCAUAGUUGAUUAAGUUGUGCGAACUCUUAUAGGGUAGACUAGCAGAUGUAGGGGAAAGUAGGUGUAACGAUCUAGCCAUCGUAAGGUGCUAGCGCGUCUGAAAGACUAUGUCUCGGUCAUCCGUCUUCUCAAACACCAUGUAGUGCGAAAAACUAAACAAAGGCGAUCGAGUCUUGUGGGGAAAAGUGCGCAAACCUCUGCAGAGUGUACAAACUAAUCAUGAUUAGCCGUGUCCCCGGUUAUAGAUAUCUUGAGUAUCUAGUACCUGGAUUAUCAUGUGAAUCUCAUCACGUUACUUUAAAUGAAUAUUGUUGGGUUUUAAUGAUGAUAUUUAAUUGGGAUUGAGAAUGCUGUCAACCAUUCUCAAUGUUUAACAACCACCAUGAUAGUUAAAUAAAAUUUAUUCCUUUGCAGUAGGGAAAAAUUGGCUUUUCGCAAAAACAUUAUAACCCCAGAGCCUUUCCACCAGCCAAAUAUGCAUGUAGUGAUAGCCUUUAUUCAUCAUUAUCCUCUGGUGUGAAUUUGCCAGUACAUUCAAUGUACCGACCCUUUGUGGCUGCAACGUCUCAUGUUGCAGGAUUAUCUUACGACGAGUAAGUGAUACGUUAGGGUUACGAUUUCUACACUCAACUUUGCCGUUGGUGUUGAUGGGAAUCCACAACCUUGUCACUUCCACUAUUUGGAUUGAGGUAAUAGUAUUUACGUUACUUAUACAUGCGAUUUACCUCUGUUAUAAAUCCUCGAGUACUGUGUGUGUCAGUAUACCGAUCCAGGGAUGACACUUAAGCGCAGAGACUUGAUCAAUUCGGGUCGGGUCGCUACACCGGCGCUCUGCAUGAUGAGGAGGGAGUAGUUCUCCCUCGGGGAUGAGGGUAUGCACUAGUAGCUUUGUGUUUGAUCUCUCUCUCGUGUUCUUGAGGUGAUACUAUCUUGAUGUAUCGCGAGUUUUGCUAUUAUAGUUGGAUCUUAUGAUGUUUCUCCCCCUCUACUCUCUUGUAAUGGAUUGAGUUUUCCCUUUGAAGUUAUCUUUUUGGAUUGGGUCUUUAAGGAUUUGAGAACACUUGAUGUAUGUCUUGCGUGGGAUACCCGUGGUGACAAUGGGGUACUCUAUUGAUCCACUUGAUGUAUGUUUCGGUGAUCAACUUGCGGGUUCCGCCCAUGAACCUAUGCAUAGGGGUUGGCACAUGUUUUCGUCUUGACUCUCUGGUAGGAACUUUGGGGCACUCUUUGAAGUUCUUUGUGUUGGUUGAAUAGAUGAAUCUGAGAUUGUGUGGUGCAUAUCGUAUAAUCAUACCCACGGAUACUUGACGUGACAUUGGAGUAUCUAGGUGACAUUAGGGUUUUGGUUGAUUUGUGUCUUAAGGUGUUAUUCUAGUACGAACUCUAGGGCUGUUUGUGACACUUAUAGGAAUAGCCCAACGGAUUGAUUGGAAAGAAUAACUUUGAGGUGGUUUCGUACCCUACCAUAAUCUCUUCAUUUGUUCUCCGCUAUUAGUGACUUUGGAGUGACUCUUUGUUGCAUGUUGAGGGAUAGUUAUAUGAUCCAAUUAUGUUAUUAUUGUUGAUGGAACUUGCACUAGUGAAAGUAUGAACCCUAGGCCUUGUUUCAACGCAUUGCAAUACCAUUUGUGCUCACUUUUACCAUUAGUUACCUUUCUGUUUUUUAUAUUUUCAUAUUACAAAAACCUUUAUCUACCAUCCAUAUACCACUUGUAUCACCAUCUCUUUGCCGAACUAGUGCACCUAUACAAUUUACCAUUGUAUUGGGUGUGUUGGGGACACAAGAGACUCUUUGUUAUUUGGUUGCAGGGUUGCUUGAGAGAGACCAUCUUCAUCCUAUGCCUCCUACGGAUUGAUCAACCUUAGGUCAUCCACUUGAGGGAAAUUUGCUACUGUCCUACAAACCUCUGCACUUGGAGGCCCAACAACAUCUACAAGAAGAAGGUUGUGUAGUAGACAUCAGAUACCUCCGAAGAGAGCAUCCCCCACUCCGGGCGAGCCUUCCAAGAGGAAAGCAAACGAAGAUACGGCCGUGCCCUCAUCGAAGAGGUAUGAAUUCGCCAACCUGUACCUGAUCAGUCACGUCCAACCGUGACCUUCUUGUUAUCCAUGUGUUAGGAGAAAGACGCGCCGGACCGUAUCCGGAGGUUCGAGCGGUCGUACUUCCCGCAGCCAGGAUUCAAAUCCUUCCAUGAAGAUGGGGGCUGAUGCGGAGGCGAAGCCGGACUGUCCUCUGGCCAAGGACUCGGAUGAUGUAUCCGUCACCAACUCGGAAGUGGAGAGUGCGAUGAAUCAUCGGCGCCGUCGGGCUAUUUUACAAGACCCUGGCUUUUCAGAAGAGUCAUUUAAUGCCUUCAACUCGGCCGAUGCAUACAUCCGAGCUGCUCGAGAUUGGAUUAACAGGGCCACAAAGCAAUAUUUGAAAGAUGUGUAGGUAAAUUUAUUUUUUUUGACUAUGAUAACCAUAUGCCAUUAGCCCCCGAGACUUAAAGCAGUUGAAACAACUUAUUUAAGGAUUAAUGUAUGACCAGGUGCUUACGGAGAAGAACACCCAGCUGGCUCAGGAGCUGGAAAAGUGUCAGCACCGGCUGCUUGCUGCCAAUGCCGAACUGGAGAAAUACAAGGCAUCUCUCGGUAAUGUUUCCUUCUAUCGAAAAUUUGUAAUAAUUAACCGAUAGUGCGAAUCUGGGUGCUAACCUUUGUGUUCGACCGUUAGACCAAGUACAAGAGCAGCUGGACGCCGCUCGAAGCGAAGAACGCGGAGCCAAAAAGCUACUAGCAGCGGGCGAGCGUGUAUUGACAAAAGUCGUUCAAGAGAAAAAGAAACUCCAGGACUCGAACUCCAAACUGGGAGAAGAACUGAAAGAUGUGUGAGCUCAAGUAGCUGACUCUGUGAAGGAGAACAAGAAGCUGCGAGGCGGCAUAUUCAGUAUGUGGCCACUUUUGUUUUAUAACAGUUUUGGAGGUAACUGUAGUUGAUAUAGCUGUGAUUGCAGGUGUUUUGAUGAACCGCCCCGAAGAGGAGGUGUCCGGAUCAUCGAAUGAUUUUCUGCAAGGGUUGUCGCAGUUGCACGAGCAAGCUCGGCAGGCGAUGCGGAGGGUAGCCAAGGCUUUAUGGCCAUCCGACCCCCCCUUCAGGAAGCAUGGAGAAGCUGGUAGAGUUGUUCAAGGGAGCACGACGGCGUAUCCGGCUAUGGAAGAUAUCGGCAUGCCGAGAGGGUGCGCGAGAGGCCUAGGCCAUGGUUGAGAUGCGAUAUACCAAGCUGGAUCCUAAUCACAUGGCUCGUGUCGGGCCGCUAGGGUCGAAUGGGGAAGAAAUUCUCGUUAGUUUAGUAUAUGACCAAGUAGAGGUGGCCGCCAAAUAUUCCCAACAGGAUUAUAAGUUAGACUGCCUGUUGGAAGGUGUAGAGGAGGAGGUUUUCGAGUCCAAGUAAUUGUGUACUUUCCUCAUCUAGCUGAAUUGUAUAUCAUUUGUCAUGGCAGACCUUUUCGCUUCAACCUCCGGUCCCGAAGGUGUGGAGUGUUUCCGAAUACCGUCACAGCCGAAUAGGCCGGGGUAUGCCUGGAAAACUAGGCGUAGGGGUCAUAGUUGCUUGAACAGACAAGUUGUAUCCGGCCAGCUAUGUUAUAUUACAUUGAUAUCGUAAGAGACAUCUUCCAGAGAGAAUAGUUCCAUUGAGGGUUCCUUUCCCUGGGUGUGCAUGCAUUUAAUGCGCAUGUAUGAAUUGUGGUGUGAGCACCACGGUUUGUAUAACUUCUGGAGGUGCACAAUGGAGUGAGUUUUUAAAAAAACAUCUUUAAUUCACCGACUGAAUAUUCCCUUAAGAAUGCUAGCUUUCGGCUUCACCCAGUCUGAGGUACACAUCUGGAUGACCCGGCAGUAACAAUCGCACAGGUGCUCCCUUUAUGCCCUAGCCGAACUAACGGGAACGUAGAGCAUAAGCACAGGAGCCAGGCAACCCAGCUUGGCAAAAACUUAAGUCAUAUCGAUGCAUAUAAUGGCAAAGAAAAGGUACAUAUGGAAAAACUCAUAUGUGAGGAGCUUUAUGCUCAAGGAAUGACAAGAACUUUUGUCCGAGAAGCCCCCAGGUACUAGUGGCAUACAUGUUUAAAGAUGUAUGUGUCGAUGGUGUGCGGUCUAGCCGCACCGAAGCUUUAAAGCGAGAAAUAAGAAAGUAAUCGAAAAAGAGAGCAAAAAUAAUGGAAACUACAGGGGAGGAGGAGACGAACAAGGGGUUUAGCGCUAGGCGUAGAAUCUCCGGAGUCUGGUCGCGUUCCAGGGGUUCGGCUUGAGGUGAUUGUCUGAUGCAUCGCAAAGACGGUACGCUCCUCCGAUGAGAACUUCGUUAAUUAUGAAGGGACCCUCCCAUUUGGGCUUGAGUUUGUCCUUUUUCUUCACCAGGAGCCGUAGAACGAGUUCGCCAAUGUUGUAAGUCUUGGCCCUUACUUCUGUGCUUUGAUAUCUUCGAGCCUGUUGUUGGUAAUCUGCUGAAUGGGCUUUUGCGACAUCGCGUUCCUCCUCCAGGGCAUCUAGGUUGUCCUGCUGAUCGAGCUCGGCUUCUCUCUCUUCGUACAUACGCACUCUAGGUGAGUCGUGAAUAAUAUCGCAGGGCAAUACGGCCUCUACACCGUACACCAUGAAGAAAGGUGUGUACCUGGUAGUACGGUUGGGCGUGGUCCACGACCUCCAGAGUACGGAGUCGAGCUCCUCAACCUAGUGCAUGUUUGAUUCUUUCAAAGACCGCACUAGUCUGGGCUUGAUGCCGCUCAUAAUAAGACCGUUGGCGCGUUCGACUUGACCGUUGGUUUAUGGGUGGUAGAUGGAGGCGUAAUCUAGUUGAAUACCCAGAUUAGUACACCAGAUUUUUACCUCGUCAGCUAUGAAAUUGGAGCCGUUGUCAGUGAUGAUGCUGUGUGGGACACCAUAACGGUGCACAACGUCGGAUAUGAAGUCUAUCACCGGGCCGGACUCAGCCGUUUUGACCGGUUUAGCCUCUAUCCACUUAGUGAAUUUGUCCACCAUAGCCAGCAGAUAUUUUUUCUUAUGGCUUCCCCUUUAAGGGUUCCAACCAUGUCGAGUCCCCAGACCGCAAAAGGCCAAGUGAUGGGGAUUGUUUGUAGAGCAGUGGGGGGCAUAUGGCUUUGAUUGGCAAAGAGUUGGCAUCCGACGCAACAUUGGACAAGGUCCUAUGCAUCCGCUCGGGCCGUCGGCCAAUAAAACCCUGUACGGAAGGCCUUGCUAACAAGGGCCCGAGCUGCGGCGUGGUGACCGCCGAGUCCGGCAUGAAUUUCAGCCAAGAGCUGCCGCCCCUCUUCCUCGGAUAUACAUCGUUGAAGGACUCCGUUGGCGCUUUUCUUGUAGAGCUCUCCAUCAUGAACCUUGUAGGCCUUUGAGCACCGGACAAUGCAGCGGGCCUCAUUCUGGUCCUUGGGAAGCUCCUUCCUAUUAAGGUAGGCCAGGAAGGGUUCAAUCCAUGGGGCAAUGACUGCCAUGAUGAGAUGUGUCGACGGUGUUAUGUCGGUGUUUCCGGGAUCUGGGGUUAUGUUUCGGUCCGGACUGGUAUUGCCGUUUCCCCUGCCACACCACGGAUGGCUUAAAGAGCCUUUCCAGGAAGAUAUUAGGUGGGACGGGGUCGCGCUUAGCGCCAAUACGAGCAAGAACAUCCGCCGCUUGAUUACUUUCUCAAGCCACAUGAUGGAACUCGAGCCCCUCGAACCAGGCCGACAUUUUUAUGACUGUGUUACGAUACGCUGCGAUCUUCGGAUCUUUAGUGUCGAAAUCUCCAUUUAUUUGAGAUAUUGCAAGGUUUGAGUCCUCGCACACGUCUAGGCGUUGUAUGCCCAUGGAGACAGCCAUCCGGAGACCAUGCAAUAAGGCCUCGUAUUCGGCUGCAAUAUUGGAGUCCGUGUAUAGUAUUUGGAGAACGUACUGGACGAUGUCUCCUGUAGGGGACGUUAAAACGACACCCGCUCCUAACCCUGCCAGCAUUUUGGAGCCGUCGAAGUGCAUGACCCAAUUGGAGUAUGUGCCGUACUCUUUAGGGAGUUCGGCCUCUGUCCACUCGGCGAUGAAGUCGGCCAGUACUUGGGAUUUGGUAGCUCGACAUGGUUUAUAUGUAAUGACAAAUGGCAGGAGCUCAAUGGCCCAUUUGGCAAUCUGGCCCGUAGCAUCGUGGUUGUUUAUAAUGUCGUUGAGUGGUACUUCGGAGGCCACCGUGAUCGGACAUUCCUGGAAGUAGUGACGGAGCUUUCGAGAUGCCAUGAAGACAGCGUAUGCUAUUUUUUGAUAAUGAGGGUACCAGGAUUUGCAUGGUGUAAGGACAGUAUAUACGUAGUAUACUGCCUUCUAAAGCGGGAAUUUAUGUCCGUCCUGUUCUUGUUCAACGACGAGUGCGGCGCUCACCACCUGAUGUGUUGCCGAUAUGUAUAAUAAUAUCGGUUCACCGGCGUUUGGUGCGGCCAGGAUUGGAUUGCUCGCAAGAAGGGUUUUUAUUUCUUCUAGUCCAACUGUUGCCGCGUCCAUCCACUCGAAGUGGUCGGUUCUCCGUAGAAGGCGAUAGAGUGGCAGCGCCUUUUCUCCUAAUCUGGAGAUAAAGCGGCUUAGAUCUGCCACGCAACCUGCAAGUUUUUGAACUUGUUUAAGGUUUGUUGGCUUAGCCAAUUGUGACAAAGCUCGGAUUUUGGCUGGGUUUGCUUCGAUUCCCCUAUUGGAGACGAUGAAGCCCAGCAAUUUUACAGUGGGUACGCCGAAGACACACUUUUCCGGGUUGACCUUGAUGUCAUACGCCCUGAGGUUGUCGAAUGUAAGAUGUAAGUCGUCUAUUAGUGUUUCCACAUGCGCGGUUUUGAUGACGACGUAAUCAACGUAAGCUUCUACUAUUUUGCCAAUCUGUUUCUCCAGGCAUGUUUGAAUCAUGCGUUGAUAUGUGGCGCCGGCAUUCUUGAGCCCAAAGGGCAUGGUAUUGAAGCAGAAUGGCCCGUAUGGGAUAAUAAAUGAUGUUGCAGCUUGAUCGGAUUCCUUCAUUUUGAUUUGAUGGUAUCCGGAGUAUGCAUCGAGGAAACACAGUGAGUCGUGUCAUGUGGUGGCGUCAAUGAUUUGAUCAAUGCGGGGAAGGGGAAAGGGGUCCUUAGGGCAAGCCUUGUUGAGAUCCUUGAAAUCGACACAUAGGCACCAGGAUUUAUCUUUCUUAGGUACCAUUACCAGGUUUGCCAGCCAGUCCGGAUGCUUGAUUUCUCUGAUGAAUCCGGCCUCGAUGAGCUUGGCCAGCUCCUCCCCCAUGGGUUGUCGCUUAGGUUCGGAAAAGCACCGAAGUGUUUGCUUGACUGGUUUAAAUCCCUUUAAUAUGUUGAGGCUAUGUUCGGCCAACUUGCGUGGGAUCCCUGGCAUAUCCGAAGGGUGCCAGGAAAAUAUGUCCCAGUUUUCACGCAGGAAUUCUCGUAGUGCGGCGUCGAUUGUUGGGUUCAGUUGAGCUCCGAUGGAUGCUGUCUUCUUGGGGUCCGUUGGGUGGACCUGGAAUUUGAUUAUUUCUUCUGCCGGUUUGAACGAGGUGGAUUUGGGGCAUUUGUCGAGGAUCACAUCGUCCCUGUCCACUGUGGAGCGUAGUAUGGUUAAUUCUUUGGCCGUGAGGGCUUUGGAUAGCGCCUCCAGGGCCAGGGAUGCGGUUUUGUUUUCAGCGCGGAGUGCUAUGUCUGGAUCACUGACGAGAGUGAUUAUACCGUUUGGUCCGGGCAUUUUGAGCUUCAUAUAUCCAUAGUGAGGUAUAGCUUGGAAGCAUGUAAAAGCAUCCCGCCCCAACAGGGCGUGAUAUCCACUGCUGAAAGGGGCCACUUGGAAGGUUAUUUCUUUGGAUUGAUAAUUCUCCGACGAUCCGAAUACCACGUCAAGUGUGAUUUUGCCCGCGCACCGCGCCUCCCGGCUAGGAAUAAUUCCCCAGAAGAUUGUGUUACUUUGUUUGAUGCGGCUCCUGUCUAUUUCCAUUUUAUGGAGUGAGUCCUCAUAAAUGAGAUUUAAUCCGCUACCGCCAUCCAUGAGGACCUUGGUGAGUCGAAACUCAUCCACGAUGGGGCUGAGGACUAACGCGGCUGGUGAUGAAGCUAUGUACCUAAGGUAGGGUCAUAGACCUGACCUAGACAUCCUCCCCUAGGACAUCACCCUAAAGCCAGGAUCAUUCAAAGGGUACCAUCAUCCACUCAACCAGAGGCGUUCCACUCGGAAGAAUCAAUGUCACUCGACCGUUGCAGAAGUCACUCGACGGACAGAAGAGCUAAAGCCACUCUGCAUGAACAACGGUCGGGCAUUUACUUAUAGGCUUAAUUGUCAUUUAUAGCACUUUAAUGUGGGUGUUACCAGUAACGUUCUCUCUUCAAUGUACCUUAAACCCUCUGUGACGUGGGCUGGCUGGGGUCCUGGCGCACUCUAUAUAAGCCACCCCCUCCACAGGCACAAGGGUUCGCACCCCCUGUAACUCAUACACAUAUAAUCCAGUCGACCGCCUCCGGGCUCCGAGAUGUAGGGUUGUUACUUCCUCUGAGAAGGUCCUGAACUCGUAAAACUCGCGUGUACAACUCCUCCAUAGCUAGGAUCUUGCCUCUACAUUCCAAACCCCCAUUCUACUGUCAGACUUAGAACCACGACAGUUGGCGCCCACCGUGGGGCAGGUGUCUUAGCGACUUGUUGGAGAAGUUGCGAUUUUUCCAAUCCCCAUCAACAUGGUUUCAGGCGGAGGUUUGGCCGAGGGCCGCGAGAUCCAUCUCGGCGCGCUCGUAUUCAUCGCCGACGACUCCGCUUGGCUCCAAGAAGCGCCACUCGACGUCGAGACGCUCCCCGUCCGUGGGGCAACACACUUUCGUGUGUGUGUCUGUGGCGUCCUCCUACGGAAACCGUCGACUCAGUAUCGGUUGGCUCCUGUGCUGACCACCCUCCUUGCAGCCCGCCAGAUCAAACGUUCCGGUCGAUCGAGGCUUCAGUGGUGGAUGAGGCAUGCGGUGGCUCGACAGUCGGCCACCCCCCAAGUCACGGCGAUCGAGCCCGAUGAAACUCUCUACGGCUUAUUCGACUGGCUCCGUAGAGACUGCAUCUGAGUGCGACAGCAGCGACCCCGCGGCAGAAGUUUUGAUGGUCAAUGGACCGCGUAGUCCUCCUGGCUUCACCCGUGAAGAUGGAGGCGAUGAGGGCGGCGAUCCGUCGCGUGUUCAUGAAGAGUACCACCCCGAACCCCUCUCUUCGCAGCGGAGGGAAGAACUUCGCCGCCGGAACAUGGAUGCGCUUGACACUCCUAUCAUCGGAGAAACCCCUGAGGCCCAGGCCUUGGAGGAGGCGCGCCUGGCCAACUUGGCUGAGCGCACUCGACUAGAGAAUCUCCAGCGUGCACUCGACGAGCGUGCUCGGCAGCGUAUCCCCGAGUCCAGUUGACAUCAACUUUUUCUGCCUCCGACUCAGGUAUACCGAACUCCAAUCUAGAAUCUCGCAGCUGCGGCCCGAAUAGCGGAGUCAAUUCAAGCUUCCCAGUCAGAAGCUAGUCGAGGUUUGGUGCAGAUCCGGGCUUUGCUUCGAGCAGCGGGAGAGCAGAAUACAGCAGUAUCUCAGUCAUGGAAUAGGAUCCAUAGCAGAUCCGUGGUUGCAGACACAGUCCAGUCGGCUCAUAGCCCAAGAUCGCCCCCGAGGCGUGAUGGACGUGAGGACUGGCGAGAUCAGUACAGAAAUCGUGAGCAGUAUGAUCACCGACUCGAUCACGAUGAUCGUCGUCGAGUGCCCACGCCUCCCCCAAGGAGUGGGUCAUACGUGCCUCGGCAGCAUGAUGACAAACGUCUUCACAGUGGUGGGCGAAGGAUUCCAGUCGACCCCAGAGAACCGGGCUUUGAUGCCAGAUCUAUUCUUGUUCAGGGUCUGGUCGACAGAAACAGAGCUCACAGAGAAGGCCACUACAGAGAUUUUCCAACCAACAGCAGAGUGCAUGUCUCAGGUCCAGAGUGCUUCAGCAGAGCCAUCAGGGAUGCGGUGAUUCCUCCCAACUUCAGGUUGGCGACUGGAGUCAGUAAGUUCACUGGUGAGUCCAAGCCUGACACUUGGCUUGAGGAUUACCGAGUGGCUGUACAGAUUGGUGGUGGCUAAGGGUGGCAAUUUUACCCAUGGGUAUGGGUACCCGCGGGUACCGCACCCGUAUGGGUAGGGUAUGGGCACAAUUUAUACCCACGAUUAGUACCUAUACCCUACCCGUUAAUUUAUGGGUAGGGCACGGGUAUAGCCUUUUACCCAUGGAUAUACCCAUACCCUACCCAUUUAAUACCGACAUGUGAAUCUUACCCGUGAUUCACAAUCACAAGUGUACCUAUGUUAAAGUUCUGUUGUGAGCCUAUGGGCCUAUGUUUAAGUUUUUACUAAUUGUCAAUUUAAAUUGAGAUAAUUUUCAUGUACUCGGCUAUUUGUUAUUUAGUUGAGAUCAAUUGUUUUUUUAUCAAAUAUGUUAUAGAUGAAUGUAAAAUUGUGAAUAACUUGUGUACUAAUUGAUCUACCCAUUGGGUACCCAAUGGGUUUGGGUACCCGUCGGAUAAGGGUACGGGUAAAGUAUCAUACUCACGGGUACGGAUAUGGGUAGAAUUUUGUACCCAUUGACUACACGGGUAUGGGUAUGGUAUUGCUCUACCCGACCCAUACCCUACCCAUUGCCAUCCUUAGUGGUGGCAACGAUGAAGUUGCCAUGAAGAAUCUCCCUUUGACGUUAGAGGGCUCGGCCAGAGCAUGGCUGAAUCAGUUAGCGCCUGGUAGUAUUUAUACUUGGGAAGAUCUUGCCCGGGUAUUUGUCAGAACAUUUGAAGUUACUUGCAAACGGCCAGCAGGCCUGACAUAAUUACAGUGUUGCCUUCAGAAACCGAAUGAAACUCUGAGAGAUUAUAUCCAGAGGUGGAUCACAUUACACCAUACAGUGGAGAAUGUGUCAGAUCACCAAGCAAUUUGUGCCUUCAAAGAAGGCGUUAAGUAUUGGGAAUUGAAUCUGAAAUUCAGUCGGACAGGAGAUAUGACUCUGACUCGGAUGAUGGAGAUUGCCACCAAAUACGCCAAUGGUGAAGAGGAAGACCGACUCCGGAGUGGCAAGCACAAAACAGUCGCCCACGAAACCAAAGGAGGGAACUCAAGUCGGAAGCAGAAGCACAAAGUCGAGCCAGCUGCUCCUGGAGAAGCCUUAGCCGUGACUCAAGGAAAGUUCAAAGGGAAACCCAAAGGACCAUGGAACCCCAAGAAAGUAAAAGAUCAAGAUGGAAAUGAUGUGCUAGAUUUACCAUGCCACAUUCACACUAAGAAAGAUGGAGAGGGUAAUUUGAUUUACCUGAAGCAUACCACUCGACAGUGUCGACUCCUAAUCCAGCAAUUCCGAGAGAAACAGCCCAAGGAAAAGGAGAAGGAAACGGACAAAGUUGAGGAUGAGGAAGAGGACGAUGAUGGUUACCCAAACGUCAAUUCCACUCUGAUGAUUUUCGUUGAUGUUGAGAGUAAGAGUUGAUUGAAAGUCAUCAAUGGAGAAGUGAAUAUGGUCACUCCGGUGACACCCAGUUAUUUGAAAUGGUCUCAGACUGCCAUUACAUUCGACCAGUCCGAUCACCCAGCGCACAUAGCCACCACUGGGAGGCAAGCGCUGGUGGUCGACCCUGUAGUCAAAGGCACUCGAUUGACUAAGGUUCUGAUGGACAGUGGCAGUGGUUUGAAUAUAGUGUAUGCAGAGACGUUGAAAGGAAUGGGCAUUCCGAUGUCCAGACUCAGUGAAUGCAAUAUGAGUUUCCAUGGAGUUAUUCCUGGCAAGAAGGUUGCGUCACUCGGCCAGAUCGCCCUUGAUGUAGUUUUGGGUGAUUCCAAGAAUUAUCGCAAAGAAAAUUUGACAUUUGAAGUCGUGGAUUUCCAGAGUGCUUAUCAUGCUAUUCUGGGAAGGCCAGCUUAUGCACAUUUUAUGGCUCAACCAUGUUACGUGUACCUCAAAUUGAAGAUGCCUAGUCCUAAAGGGGUGAUCACUAUCACUAGCACUCGAAAGAAGGCAGAAGAGUGCUUCCAGAAGGGCUCAAAGAUCGCCGAUGCACAGAUGGCAGUAGUGGAAUUGCAGGAGUAUCAAAAAAUGCAGAUCUGAGUGAUUUGUUGCCAGCUAAGAAGCCUUCCACGGAUUCAGCAUUCCAGUCGUCUGGUGAAACGAAGCCGAUUCGUAUUCACCCCAUGGAUCCCAAUGCUGCUCCGACUCACAUUUCAGCAACACUCGACUCCAAAUAGGAAGAAGCGCUCAUCCAAUUCCUUCGUGAGAACUGGGACAUCUUUGCAUGGAAACCUUCUGACAUGCCAGGUGUUCCCAGGGGACUGGCUGAGCAUCAUUUGCGAGUCGACCCAAAAAUUAACCAGUAAAAGAACAUCUUCGAUGGUCCGUUGUACAGAAGAGAAAGGCAAUCGGUGAAGAAGUGGCUCGGCUUCUAGCAGCUGAGUUUAUCCGAGAGAUUUAUCACUCCAAGUGGUUAGCUAAUGUUGUCAUGGUCCCAAAGAAGGACGACUCACUUCUCAUGUGCAUUGACUUCAAACACAUCAAUCGGGCCUGCCCAAAAGAUCACUUUCCUCUCCCUUGCGUCGACCAAAUAGUCGAGUCGACUGCGGGGUACGAGCGUUUGUCCUUUUUGGAUGCUUAUUCCGGGUAUCAUCAGAUCCGUCUGUAUGGACCCGAUGAGAUAAAAACAGCUUUCAUCACCCCAUUUGGGUGCUUCUGUUAUGUCACUAUGCCAUUUGGCUUGAAGAACGCUGGAGCCACAUUCAUGCGGAUGAUUCAUAAGUGUUUACUCACUCAGAUCAGUCAGAAUGUAGAAGCUUACAUGGAUGACAUUGUGGUCAAGUCACGUAAAGGUUCCAACCUACUGGCUGACCUUGCUGAAACCUUUGCCAACCUCAGAAGGUAUGAUAUCAAGCUUAAUCCAUCAAAGUGCACGUUUGGAGUUCCAGGCGGAAAAUUACUCAGUUUUCUCGUUUCCGAACGAGGGAUCGAUGCUAACCCAGAGAAAGUGGGAGCCAUACUCCGGAUGAAACACCCUGUGCGUGUGCAUGACAUCCAGAAGCUUACUGGUUGUUUGGCCGCCCUCGGUGAAAAGGCAUUGCCUCUUUACCGACUGAUGAAGAAGUCGGAUAAGUUCGAGUGGACUCCUGAAGCUGACGCAGCAUUUAUAGAGCUUAAAGCCCUGCUUUUCCACCCAGCCGGUGCUUGCUGCUCCAAUCAACAAACAGCCUUUCCUGCCAGCCACUGGACAAGUCAUCAGUACAGUACUUACGUUCGAGAGGGAAGAAGAAGGAAAAGCUUACAAAGUUCAGCGCCUAGUAUACUAUGUUUCUGAAGUUUUGACUCCAUCAAAGUAAAGAUAUCCACAUUAUGAGAAGCUUGUUUAUGGGAUUUAUAUGACCACGAAGAAGGUUGCACAUUACUUCUCUGACCACUCCAUUACAUUCGUCAGCGACGCUCCAUUAUCAGAGAUUCUAAACAACAGAGAUGCAACUGGUCGAGUGGCAAAGUGGGCGAUUGAACUCCUUUCCUUAGACAUCAAGUACGAGGCAAAGAAAGCUAUCAAGUCCCAAGCAAUAGCGGAUUUCCUUGCCGAGUAGAUCGAACAGCAACUGCCAACUCAAGUUCACUCGGAGCACUGGACCAUGUUCUUUGAUGGUUCCAAGAUGUUGAAUGGUUCCGGUGCUGGGGUGGUACCGGUAUCCCCCCGAGGAGACAAGCUCAGAUAUGUCCUCCAGAUUCACUUUGAUUCCUCCAAUAACGAAGCAGAAUAUGAAGCACUCUUGUAUGGGUUACGUAUGGCCAUAUCACUCGGCGUCCGUCGCCUCAUGGUCUAUGGCAACUCAGAUUUGGUAGUCAAUCAAGUGAUGAAGGAGUGGGACGUUAGAAGCCCAGCCAUGAUUGGCUAUUGUAACGCGAUGAGGAAGUUGGAAAAGAAGUUUGAGGGGUUAGAGCUCCAUCAUGUACCCCGACUGAAAAAUCAAGCAGCCGAUAAUUUAGCAAAGAUAGGCUCCAAGAGAGAAGUCAUUCCCAGUAAUGUGUUCCUGGAGCAUAUUCAUGCACCUUCAGUUCAAGAAGAUCCCUUCACUAAAGAGCCCCCACAGCCAAAGAGUGCCACCAAUCCGACUGAAGUCAAGAUUCCAGCCGUGGUCGACCUAAUCAUGGAUAUUUUGGUUAUUACUCCUGACUAGACAGUGCCUUACAUUGCAUAUAUCCUUAGGAAGGAACUCACAAAGGAUGAAGAAGAGGCUCGACAGAUCGUCCAUCGAUCCAAAGCCUUUACUGUGGUAAGAGGACAGCUGUUCAGGGAAAGUGUAACCGGAAUCAGCCAGAAAUGCAUAACCCCGGAAGAAGGUCUAGCGAUCCUCAACGACAUCCACUCAGGGACCUGUGGCCACCAUGCGUCAUCUAGGACCAUCAUGGCUAAAGCAUACCGAGCUGGAUUUUAUUGGCCAUGAGCAAAUGAAAUGGCGAAAGAUAUAGUCGACAGAUGUGAAGGCUGCCAGUUUUACUCCAAUAUGUCCCACAAACCUGCGUCAGCCCUAAAGACCAUUCCACUCGUCUAGCCCUUUGCUGUUUGGGGAUUAGAUAUGGUUGGACCGCUAAGGACUGGUAGGAGCGGCUUCACUCACAUGCUUGUAGCAGUCGACAAGUUCACCAAGUGGAUUGAAGCCAAGCCUAUCAAGAAUCUGGAAGCUAGUACUGCCGUCAGCUUCAUCAGAGAAUUGACAUUCAGAUACGGAGUUCCACACAGCAUCAUCACUGACAAUGGAUCGAACUUUGAUUCAGAUGAGUUCAGAGCCUUCUGCGCCUCCCAAGGCACGUGAGUCGACUAUGCUUCAGUCGCCCAUCCCUAGUCGAAUGGACAAGCAGAGAGAGCAAAUGGCCUGAUUCUCAAAGGAUUGAAACCCCAACUGAUAUGAGACCUCAAGCAUGCAGCAGGCACCUGGGUUGAUGAACAUCCAUCAGUUCUUUGGGGAUUGAGGACAACUCCCAAUCGGUCGACUGGUCGAACUCCAUUCUUCUUGGUCUAUGGACCUGAAGCUAUUCUACCAAGUGACUUGCUUCAUAAUGCACCACAAGUCGAGCUCUUCUCUGAAGAUAAAGCAGAGCAAGCUCGGCAGGACGCAGUCGACCUCCUAGAGGAGGAAAGAGAGAUGGCCUUGAUCCGGUUGACCAUUUAUCAGCAAGGCUUGCAUCGAUUCCAUGCCAGAAAUGUGAAAGGUCGAUCCUUUCAAGAGGGAGACUUGGUUCUUCGAGUGGAUCAGCAGAAACCACACAAGCUCGCUCCUGCUUGGGAAGGCCCCUUGAAAGCACAAGUGCUCCCUGGGUGGUUUUGGUAAUUAAUGUCAACAUAUCUCUUGUUGGACUAACACUUUUACCUAGUAUGUUUCAGAUAAGUUCAACAAUGGAGUGGCAUGGACUAGAGGAUGUGGAACCCCUUCAAGAUGCUAAGGACAAAGGAUUGGCUCAAGCUUCAAGUUCAAGACUCUACAUUUUCUAUUUUAGUGAUCCAAGAUCACAUUGAGUCUAUAGGAAAAGCCAAUACUAUCAAGAGGGGAUGAGGUGUUUCUUAAUGGCUUGCUUGCUCAAAGUGCUUAGUGAUAUGCUCCAAAACCCUCAACCACCUUCUCACAUCCACAUAUGACCUAAACCAAAAGUCAAACUCGGCCCCACCGAUUCUAUCUAUCCGGCGCCAUCGAGUUUCAGAUGUCAUAGCCACUGCCACAAACCCUAGCAAAUCGGUUUCACCCAUAGGGAUCUCGGUCUCACCAAGAUGGGAUUGUAAUCUCUCUGUGUAUGUCCAUUACCAAAAUCGUCUCACCGAGUUUGAGCAAUCGGUACUACCGAGAUUACAAUGCAAACCCUCUGGUUAGCUCAUUACCAAAAUCGGUCCCACCGAGUUUGUGUAAUCGGUCUCACCGAGUUUGCCUGACCAACUCUCUGGUUAGCUUAUUACCAAAAUCGGUCCCACCGAGUUUGUGUAAUCAGUCACACCGAGAUUACGUUAUGCCCUAACCCUAACCAUAUCGGUCCUACCGAGUUGCAUCUUAGUCCCACCGAAAAUCCUAACGGUCACUAGGUUUGCUGAAUCGGUUCGACCGAGUUUAACCAUUCGGUCCCACCGAGUUUGGCAAAUUGUGUGUAACGGUUAGAUUUUGUGUGGAGGCUAUAUAUACCCCUCCACCCACUCUUCAUUCAUGGAGAGAGCCAUCAGAACAUACCUACACUUCCAAUACACAUUUUCUGAGAGAGAACCACCUACACUUGUGUUGAGGUCAAGAUAUUCCAUUCCAACCAUAUGAAUCUUGAUCUCUAGCCUUCCCCAAGUUGCUUUCCACUCAAAUCUUCUUUCCACCAAAUCCAAAUCCUGUGAGAGCGAGUUGAGUGUUGGGGAGAAGAGCAAGGAGUUCAUCAUCAACACACCAUUUGUUACUUCUUGGAGAGUGGUGUCUCCUAGAUUGGCUAGGUGUCACUUGGGAGCCUCCAACAAGAUUGUGGAGUUGAACCAAGGAGCUUGUAAGGGCAAGGAGAUCGCCUACUUCGUGAAGAUCUACCGCUAGUGAGGCAAGUCCUUCAUGGGCGACGGCCGUGAUGGAAUAGACAAGGUUGCUUCUUCGUGGACCCUUCGUGGGUGGAGCCCUCCAUGGACUCGCGCAACUGUUACCCUCCGUCGGUUGAAGUCUCCAUCAACGUGGAUGUACGAUAGCACCACCUAUCGGAACCAUGACAAAAACAUCCGUGUGUUCAAUUGCGUUUGAAUACUCCAAGCCCUUCUCUUUACAUUCUUGCAAGUUGCAUGCUUUACUUUCCGCUGCUCAUAUACUCAUUGCAUGCUUGCUUGAUAUGUAUUUUGUUUGUUAAACUUGUGCUUAAACUCCACUUAAACUUAAGAAUAUUAAAAACUGCAACUUUUGGCAUUUAGUGUCUAAUCACCCCCCCCCCCUAGACACCUCUUCUCGAUCCUUUCAAUUGGUAUCAGAGCCAGGUUUCCAUUGCCUUGGUUUAAACACCAUUGGAGGAAGAUGGACGAGUCUACUUUGGGGAGUCUUAGACAUAGAGUGCCUAUUCUUGAUGGAGAGUAUUUUCAUGAGUGGAAAAAUGAAAUGCUUGAGAUUUUCAAUGAAUAUCAUUUGAACAAGUACAUUACUAGCCCUUGUGCACCUCAUGUUGAUCCUUUGCACCCUACCCUAGAUGAAGAUAUUGACAUGAUUCGCAAUCUUAGAACUGUUGAGAUCAUCACUAGAGGCUUGCCUAGAAACUUGAUUAGAUGUUUUCCUACUCUCAAGUGUGCCUACACCAUAUGGAGAUUUCUUGAGGAACGAUUUCCAGAUUAUUCCUUGAAAAAUUUAGACGAAAUUCUACAUAAGUCUAUUGCCUUGAGUAAGAUGAACUCUAGUGAUCCUAGCUUUGGUGAUUGUCUAUUUGAGCUUACCAAUCUCAUGCGUGCUAAAGGAAAUGUUGGAAUCAUUAGCGAUAUCAUAUCCGAAGCUAUUAGAAUUCAUAAAGGUAACCAUUGUGAUGAUCAUUUAUCUAAUGAAUUACCCUCUCUAGGAAUUGAUCAAUCACAAGAUGAUGUUGAACAUGGAUACUAUGAUGAAGAUGAUGAUAGUGACUAUGAUCUUGAUGAUGCAAUGAGGCAUUUUGGUCUUAUGGCAAAUCUUCGCGGCUACAUGGCUGGAGGAAAGGAAUGGGUCCUUGAUAGUGGAUGUACUGAUCAUAUGACCGGAGAUAAAGAUAUGUUCCGUGAGCUUGCUGAAAACGACAGCCCUCGAAAAUAUGUCACUUUUGGUGAUUAUUCAAAGGGUAAGGUGGUUGGCCUUGGUAAGGUGGCCAUCUCACAUGAUAGCUCCAUACAAAAUGUCAUGCUCGUUGAAUCCCUUGGAUACAAUUUACUUUCAGUUUCUAGACUUGCGGAUUUCGGUUUCAAUGUCUUAUUCACUGAAGUAGAUUGCCAAGUGUUUCGUAGAGACAAUCAUAAAAUGGUCUUUACCGGUAUACGUAGAGGAUAUCUUUACAUUGUUGAUUUCACUAAAAAGGCUCAACCUAGAACUUGCUUAAUUACCAAAUCUUCUAAAGGUUGGUUGUGGCAUAGAAGACUAGGUCAUGUUGGUAUGUGAAAUCUUGAUAAGCUUAUUAAAGGUGAUCAUAUCCUUGGAAUAAAAGAUGUCAUAUUUGACAAGGAUAGACUUUGUAGUGCUUGUCAAGCAGGGAAACAAGUUGGAGGAAGUCACCGCGCGAAGAACAUCAUGACCACAAGAAGACCACUCGAGCUACUUCACAUGGAUCUCUUUGGUCCAAAUGCCUACAAGAGUCUCGGUGGUAACUCAUUUGGUCUAGUCAUAGUUGAUGAUUUUUCAAGAUUUACGUGGGUGUUCUUUCUUGAUGACAAAUCGCAGGUCCAAAAGAUCUUUGAAAACUUCGCUAGGAAGGCCCAAAAUCAGUUUGACGUCAAGAUCAAGAAGGUUCAGAGCGACAACGGAAUGGAGUUCAAGAACGCAAAUGUGGACACCUUUCUUGAGGAAGAAGGGAUUUCACACGAGUUCUCGGCUACGUACACACCUCAACAAAAUGGAGUUGUUGAAAGGAAGAACUGGACUCUUAUCAAGAUGGCAAGAACGAUGCUUGAUGAGUACAAAACGCCAAAGCACUUUUGGGCGGAAGCGGUUGAGACAGCUUGUCAUGCAACAAAUCGCUUGUAUCUUCACAAGCUACUCAGCAAGACGGCAUACGAGCUCCUCACUGGUAACAAACCCCAAGUUGGGUACUUUCGAGUAUUCGGCUCAAAGUGCUACAUUCUUGAUAAGCAUCAUCGUUCUAAAUUUGCUCCUAAAUCUCAUGAAGGUUUCCUACUUGGUUAUGGCUCAAACUCUCACACUUACCGUGUCUACAACAAUUUCACCCAAAAGGUUGAGGAGACGGUAGAUGUGAAGUUUGAUGAAUCUAACAGCUCACAAGUAGAGCAAUUGCCAAUUGAUGUAGGAGACAAAGACCCUUCGGAAGCAAUUCAAGACUUGUCCAUUGGCAAGAUUCGUCCAACGGAAGUGAAGGAGAGUACCUCGUCCGUCCAAGUGGAAGCUUCUACCUCACCACAAGGUGAACCAAGAGUUGAUACAGAAGCAUCCACAAGUGGGACACGCCAAGAUGAAGAAAACGAGGAAGCGCACCAAGAUGAACAUCAACAACCUCCUUCUCCACCACGACAAGAGAACGACAACGUCAACAAUCAAGAAGGCCAAGAAGAAGCACAAGAUGAAGAGGAUGUUCCACCCCGACCCAAGAAAAAGCUUUCACGAGUUUGAGCAAGAAUUGCUAAGGAUCAUCCGAUCGAGCAAAUUUACAAUGAUAUCCAAACCGGGAGAAUCACUCGCUCUAAAACUCGUUUAGCUAACUUUUGUGAACAUUACUCAUUCAUCUCUAGCAUUGAACCUAUGAAGGUUGAAGAAGCAUUGGAGGAUCCGGACUGGAUAAACGCUAUGCAUGAAGAGCUACACAACUUUGAGAGAAAUCAAGUGUGGACAUUGGUCGAGAAGCCCGACAACAACCACAACAUCAUUGGUACCAAAUGGGUGUUUUGAAACAAGCAAGAAGAAGAUGGACAAGUGGUUCGCAACAAAGCACGUCUCAUCGCCCAAGGCUACACACAAGUUGAAGGUAUGGACUAUGGUGAGACAUAUGCUCCCGUUGCAAGACUUGAGUCCAUUCGCAUCUUACUUGCUUAUGCUAAUCACCAUGAUAUCACCUUGUACCAAAUGGACAUUAAAAGUGCUUUUCUAAAUGGCAAAAUUGAGGAGGAAGUUUAUGUUAAGCAACCUCCCGGCUUCGUCAAUCCUAAGAAACCUAAUCAUGUUUACAAACUUCACAAAGCCCUUUAUGGUCUUAAACAAGCUCCUAGAGCAUGGUAUAAAUGCUUGACCAAGUUCCUUAUUGAAAAAGGGUUUGAAAUUGGUAAAAUUGAUUCUAUUCUUUUUACUAAAAGGGUUAAUGGAGAACUAUUUGUGUGCCAAAUUUAUGUUGAUGAUAUCAUAUUUGGUUCAACUAACCCUCAUUUUAGUGAGAAGUUUGGAAAGCUAAUGUCGGAGAAGUUUGAGAUGUCUAUGAUGAGUGAACUCAAAUUCUUUCUUGGUUUGCAAAUCAAGCAAAAUAAGGAAGGUACCUUUGUCUCUCAAAUGAAGUACACCAAGGACUUAUUCAAGAAGUUCAAUAUGCAAGAAUGCAAAGGUAUGACUACACCCAUGCCUACUAGUGGACAUCUUGAUUUAACCAAAGAUGGUGAACCGGUUGAUCAAAAGGUUUAUCGCUCUAUGAUUGGUUCAUUGUUAUAUCUAUGUGCCUCUCGUCCCGAUAUUAUGCUAAGUGUGUGCAUGUGUGCACGAUAUCAAGCUGCUCCUAAAGAGUGUCAUCUUAAGGCUAUGAAAAGGAUAGUGAGAUACCUAAUCCAUACACCAAAUUUUGGCAUUUGGUAUCCUAAGAGGUCCUCUUUUGAUCUUGUUGGCUACUCCGAUUCGGACUAUGGCGGAGACAAGGUUGAUAGAAAAUCCACUUCGGGUACUUGUCAAUUCCUUGGUAGAUCUCUUGUGUCUUGGUCUUCCAAGAAACAAAACUCGGUAUCCUUAUCCACCGCCGAAGCGGAAUACAUUGCCGCUAGUUCAUGUUGUGCUCAAUUACUUUGGAUGACCCAAACUCUUAAAGAUUAUGGGAUAUAUGUGAAACAUGUUCCAUUGCUAUGUGACAAUGGAAGUGCUAUUAAGAUUGCUCACAAACCCGUGCAACAUUCUCGAACUAAGCAUAUUGAAGUUCGUCAUCAUUUCAUUCGAGAUCAUGUUGCAAAAGGGGACAUUAACCUUAAGCAUGUUCACACCGAUAAGCAAUUGGCGGAUAUAUUCACUAAACCACUUGAUGAGAAAGUGUUUUGCAGGUUGAGAGGUGAAUUGAACAUCAUUGAUGCUUCAAACUUGGAGUAGGGACUCCAUUUGAUACAUGCGGGGCAUGAGCCUAUGACUAAUCCUCGAUAUUUCUCUUAUGAUGCUAUUCAUAUGUCUUGGAUAUAUUUGUACCUUGCAUGUUAUCUAACCCGUGUAGGUACUUGGUUGAAUCUAAAUCUAUGAGAUUGCAACUCACUCACAUCUUGAGCAAUCUCUACAUCACCAAGUCUCUACACAAUGGUGGUUGAAGACAAGGAAGCACGAAACCAUUCAAACAUAUCCUUUGGCAAAUUCUAUGUUGAGUCUCAUGAUUGUCAUUUUGGAUACACAAGUGCUCUUCCUUGCAAAGCUAACCCAUGUAGGUAGAUGAACUCAAACUCCAAGUGGUGCUCCCAACCCUUGAUGAACUACAUCAACCUUGAGCAACCCACACAAGUUCAACUACAUGAGGAAGAUCACCACCACCACCCAAGGUAUGUUAUUCCAUCUUAGAGAAUCUUUACUCCAAGUCAUGAGUCAAAGCAACUCGACAAGAUGUGAAUACAUCAAAAGGCUUAAACUAAAAAUGGUAACCCCAUUUUGAGCUUAAACGAUGAGUAUGACCUAUGAUCAAGUGCUCUCACUUGACUCCUAAGUCAAUAUACUCUAACAUUGGUGACUUUGUCGCCGACCAUCUCUAGAUGAAGUUCUCAUGUGUCUCUCCAUGCUUUUGUCUCUUGCAUAUUUGUUUCCCCUUUCAAAAAAACUUCAUCUAGAACUUUUAGUUUCUUUUCUUUCCUUUUUGUUCUGCAUUUUCUGCAUCCAAUUCAUUGCAAAUCUUUCAGUAAAUUCCUUGCAUAUCCUUGUGAGAUCUUACUUGUCUAGUGAGCUGAGGUGACAAGUGGUUUCACUCUAAUGAACUUGGUCACACCGGUUUGUUCUCUUCGGCCCAACCAAAAUCUUUCGGUGCAACCGAAGCACACAACUCGAAGUCACCGAUUCCACCACAGUAAAACCAACUUGCCACUUAUUCCUGAUUUCUGUUUGCUCCAGCUCCACUCAAUGAUUCUUGUCCUCUACCAGCAUCAUAUUAGACAUGCUACUUUGCUCUGUGACUCGAGGACCAACCCAUUUGUAUCACAUGUCUAGAAGAGCCCUUCUUGGAAAUUGAUGUCAAAGGGGGGAGAGAGAUCACAUCAAAGCUUAAUCCUUCCUAUAGGGGGAGAAAGAGAGAAUACUCAAGGGGAAAGAGUUUCUCAACUAGGAGAAAGUAAUAUCAUCAAAGACCCCAGAUGCUUGGUGUUCAAGAGGAGAGAUGUCACAUGUCUUUAAGAGGGGUAAGGCAUGUUUGGUUGCUUGCUUUAGCUCAAGCUCUGUUGUUUCUUUUUUGUUGCUCUGAUUUUCUGUUCCCUAUCUUCUCCCAAUAUCCCAUGCAGAUUCAGGGGGAGCAAGACAUCUAAGGGAAGGAAAUCUCUGAUUUUAUUGCAUAUCUUUACCUUUGGGGACAUGUCUAUAUCCAGUGUGGUACUUAGUACUCACUCUACAUGCCAUCCCAAUCUUGGUUCUCUUGUGGUUUCUCCUGCUUGCUCUGGUCAGUAGGUGUAUCUGUGUUAUUUAACCUUGUUUGCGCAGGUUCAUCCCAUCCUAAGCCAACUCAAGACCACAAGGUAAGUAUAUGCAUCACAGUCAUGUGAAUGAGAAGUUCUUGCUGAUGUACAUACUGUUUGCAAGAAGGACUCAUGAGCAUGAAGGUACAUUUCUCACAUUCACAUCAUUUGCUCUGAUGCAUAUAGCCAAGAUACAUGUAACACAUUGCUUACUCUGUCAUGUUUAUGCAUUCACAUGCUCCUAUAUUCAAUAUUCACAUGAUUGCAUACAUGUAGGGGGAGCCUAUGCAUGUUACAUGUCUUUCCAAAGCUUUACUUGAUAUUCUCUAUAUCUUUAUCUAAAGCUUCGGUGUAUGUUGUCAUCAAUUACUAAAAAGGGGGAGAUUGAAAGCACAAGUGCUCCCUGGGUGGUUUUGGUAAUUAAUGUCAACAUAUCUCUUGUUGGACUAACACUUUUACCUAGUAUGUUUCAGAUAAGUUCAACAAUGGAGUGGCAUGGACUAGAGGAUGUGGAACCCCUUCAAGAUGCUAAGGACAAAGGAUUGGCUCAAGCUUCAAGUUCAAGACUCUACAUUUUCUAUUUUAGUGAUCCAAGAUCACAUUGAGUCUAUAGGAAAAGCCAAUACUAUCAAGAGGGGGUGAGGUGUUGCUUAAUGGCUUGCUUGCUCAAAGUGCUUAGUGAUAUGCUCCAAAACCCUCAACUACCUUCCCACAUCCACAUAUGACCUAAACCAAAAGUCAAACUCGGCCCCACCGAUUCUAUCUAUCCGGCGCCACCGAGUUUCAGAUGUCAUAGCCACUGCCACAAACCCUAGCAAAUCGGUUUCACCGAUAGGGAUCUCGGUCUCACUGAGAUGGGAUUGUAAUCUCUCUGUGUAUGUCCAUUACCAAAAUCAGUCUCACCAAGUUUGAGCAAUCGGUACUACCGAGAUUACAAUGCAAACCCUCUGGUUAGCUUAUUACCAAAAUCGGUCCCACCGAGUUUGUGUAAUCGGUCUCACCGAGUUUGCCUGACCAACUCUCUGGUUAGCUUAUUGCCAAAAUCGGCCCCACCGAGUUUGUGUAAUCGGUCACACCGAGAUUACGUUAUGCCCUAACCCUAACCAUAUCGGUCCUACCGAGUUGCAUCUCAGUCCCACCGAAAAUCCUAACGGUCACUAGGUUUGCUGAAUCGGUCCGACCGACUUUAACCAUUCGGUCCCACCGAGUUUGGCAAAUUGUGUGUAACGGUUAGAUUUUGUGUGGAGGCUAUAUAUACCCCUCCACCCACUCUUCAUUCGUGGAGAGAGCCAUCAGAACAUACCUACACUUCCAAUACACAUUUUCUGAGAGAGAACCACCUACACUUGUGUUGAGGUCAAGAUAUUCCAUUCCAACCAUAUGAAUCUUGAUCUCUAGCCUUCCCCAAGUUGCUUUCCACUCAAAUCUUCUUUCCACCAAAUCCAAAUCCUGUGAGAGAGAGUUGAGUGUUGGGGAGACUAUCAUUUGAAGCACAAGAGCAAGGAGUUCAUCAUCAACACACCAUUUGUUACUUCUUGGAGAGUGGUGUCUCCUAGAUUGGCUAGGUGUCACUUGGGAGCCUCCAACAAGAUUGUGGAGUUGAACCAAGGAGUUUGUAAGGGCAAGGAGAUCGCCUACUUCGUGAAGAUCUACCGCUAGUGAGGCAAGUCCUUCGUGGGCGACGGCCGUGAUGGAAUAGACAAGGUUGCUUCUUCGUGGACCCUUCGUGGGUGGAGCCCUUCGUGGACUCGCGCAACCGUUACCCUCCGUGGGUUGAAGUCUCCAUCAACGUGGAUGUACGAUAGCACCACCUAUCGGAACCACGACAAAAACAUCUGUGUCUCCAAUUGCGUUUGAAUACUCCAAACCCUUCUCUUUACAUUCUUGCAAGUUGCAUGCUUUACUUUCCUCUGCUCAUAUACUCAUUGCAUGCUUGCUUGAUAUGUAUUGUGUUUGUUAAACUUGUGCUUAAACUCCACUUAAACUUAAGAAUAUUAAAAACUGCAACUUUUGGCACUUAGUGUCUAAUCACCCCCCUCUAGACACCUCUUCUCAAUCCUUUCACCCCUUCAUUGUCACCAGAGUGCUCCACAACGGAGCAUACCACCUUUACAAUGUCGAGCAUAAGAAGGACGAGCCACGGGCUUGGAAUGCAGAGUUGCUCCGCCCCUUUUACACUUAAGUACCCAAUCGAAUAAAGUGUAAUAAAAGUACCUUUGUAAUUUGCUUAUCAAAGACAAGAGCUUUACAGUCCUCUUAGAUGAUUGUGGUUGCUUUUAUUUGCGUCUGAAAUCCCCCAGUGAUUGACUUAGCUGUGAAUCCGUUUCUCCUAAGUUUAAAAGAAAAUCCUACCGAGUGGUGAGCAAGCCUCCCACUCGGGGGCUUAGUUGCAGUCCAGUACUCGCCUAAGUUUAAAAGAAAAUCCUACUGAGUGGUGAGCAAGUCUCCCACUCGGGGGCUUAGCUGCAGUCUAGUACUCGCCUAAGUUUAAAAAAUCCUACCGAGUGGUGAGCAACCCUCCCACUCGGGGGCUUAGCUGCAGUCCAGUAGUCGCCUAAGUUUGUAAAAUCCUACCGAGUGGUGAGCAACCCUCCCACUCGGGGGCUUAGCUGCAGUCCAGUACUCGCCUAAGUUGAAAAGAAAAUCCUACCGAGUGGUGAGCAAGCCUCCCACUCGGGGGCUUAGCUGCAGUCCAGUACUCGCCUAAGUUUGUAAAAUCCUACCGAGUGGUGAGCAACCCUCCCACUCGGGGGCUUAGCUGCAGUCCAGUACUCGCCUAAGUUUGUAAAAUCCUACCGAGUGAUGAGCAACCCUCCCACUCGGAGGCUUAGCUGCAGUCCAGUACUCGCCUAAGUUUAAAAAAAUCCUACCGAGUGGUGGGCGACCCUCUCACUCGGGGGCUUAGCUGCAGUCCAGUACUCGCCUAAGGUUUAAAGUCCGUCCUUAUCCGCAAGGAUGACAAGGUGCAGGCCGACUACAACCUUCUCCUUUGGAGCUGCGCCACUGUCGGUGUCAAAACCGGCGGAUCUCGGGUAGGGGGUCCCGAACUAUGCGUCUAGGUCGGAUGGUAACAGGAGGCAGGGGACACAAUGUUUUACCCAGGUUCGGGCCAUCUUGAUGGAGGUAAAACCCUACGUCCUGCUUGCUUAAUAUUGAUGAUAUGGGUAGUACAAGAGUAGAUCUACCACGAGAUCAGAGAGGCUAAACCCUAGAAGCUAGCCUAUGGUAUGAUUGUAUGUUGUGGUUGUUGUCUCCUACGGACUAAAACCCUCCAGUUUAUAUAGACACCGGAGAGGGUUAGGGUUACACAAGGUCGGUUACAAUGGGAGGAUAUCUAAUAUCCGUAUUUCCAAGCUUGCCUUCCACGCCAAGGAAAGUCCCAUCCGGACACGGGACGAAGUCUUCAAUCUUGUAUCUUCAUAGUCCAACAGUUCGGCCAAAGGAUAUAAUCCGGCUAUCCGGACACCCCCUAAUCCAGGACUCCCUCAGUAGCCCCUAAACCAGGCUUCAAUGACGACGAGUCCGGCGCGCAGAUUGUCUUCGGCAUUGCAAGGCGGGUUCCUCCUCCGAAUACUUCAUAGAAGAUUUUGAACACAAGGAUAGUGUCCGGCUCUGCAAAAUAAGUUCCACAUACUGUCGUAGAGAGAAUAACAUUUACACAAAUUUUAAUCUGCUGACACGUUUUGCCAACAUGACAUUAUGCCAUGGCCCGGUGAUUAUUCAAACCGUUUCCUUUAACUAGCCCCGCACAUAACGCGAGGCAGUUUUUUGACAUGUCUUGUCAAAGCAGAGAUCGUGUCCCCUUAUUACGGGAUUCUCAUCAAUACGGGCGUGGGUAACCCAACCGCGCCAUCGAUUACGGUGCUUGGGGGAUAAGCGAGUUUUACCAGGCUAGUGGGGAUGCUUAGUUUCGUCCGCCCAUAUAAAGGGAUAAGGAUUCACCUUUCCAUCCACGCCUUCUUCCUCCUUUGCUCAUCCGUUUUCGCACACUCGAGCUCUAGCGCCCAAGUCCACACUUCCCACCUCAACCUUCUCCAACCAUGUCCGGAGCGGGAGGCAGAUGGAUGGUCUCCUCCGUCACGGAGGGAGACAUCAAGAAGCUGCGCGGAGCCAGAUACUUAGCCGCGAAUAUCGCGCAUCGGCUGCCCGCCGCAGGGCAGAUCGUCCCUACCCUGGAACCUCACGAGAGGGUACUUUUCCUCCACCACUUCCUCCGUGGACUGGGGUUUCCCCUUCAUCCAUUCGUCUGUGGUCUCAUGUUCUACUACGGGCUGGACUUUCAUUAUCUGGCCCCGAACUUUGUCCUCAACAUUUCGGCAUUCAUCAUCGUGUGUGAUGCUUUCCUCCGCAUCCGACCACACUUCGGCCUGUGGUUAAAGACCUUCAAUAUCAAGCUGGAGGUGGUACGAGGCCAACAAGCAGAAUGCGGCGGAGCCAUGGUGGGCAAGAUGCCCAACAUUAUAUGGCUUGAAGGCUCCUUCAUGGAGACAAUAAAGGGAUGGCAAUCGGCUUGGUUCUACAUCACCGAGCCGCGCGACGCCAAAUGGGCGGCAGCCCCCGAGUUUCGAUCCGGAUUCCCUACACAGCUCACUUCCUGGAAAGAGAAGGGCUUGUCGUGGGGUUCAUCGGUGGAGCUAGAUGGACUCCAGAAAUGUAUCCGGAGUAUGGCAAGCAAGAAGCUCAAGCUUGUCAUAAUAGUCCAGGUUAUGCUCAUCCGCCAGAUCCUCCCGUGUCAACAACGGGAUUUUUAACUUGUGGGAGUUCGACCCAGCCCGGCACCAAACUCUGAGCAAGCUCUUUGAUACGACACACAAGGACGUCUAGAAGGUGCUGUUCAAGGGCGCCGAGGUCCCUCCUUCUCUCGCCGAGGACUGCGGACAAAGCGCAAAGCGCCUAGCGCGUUCGGUGAGUUCAAUACGUCCCAUAGGACAUUUAUUUCUUCUAGCUUAAUUAUAUGCGGGGUCUAAUCUCCAUGCCUUUGACAGGACUAGGUGGAGAUGUCGGGCAGAUUAACUGUCCGGCCCCUUUGCCCGAAGACACUGCGGGCGCUCUCCUGACGGAGAUGCUGACUCCGGCUCCUUACAAGGUGCCGGAGAAGACCAAGAAGGCCAAGGGAACCCGAAAGAGUUCCCGACGCCAGGUGUUAUCGGACUCAUUGUCCGAUAACUCUGCGGCACACUCCUCCCCCGAGGACGAGGAAGAAGAAGAAGAUGCUCCCCCUCCAGCUGGGGGAGAUAAGAAAAGGAAGGCCGCCCCAACUGGGGGGCGAAGGGUCCAAGAAGGGAAGGACUCUCCUUCCGGACAAUUCCACCGCCGCCGACGAAGGCGAGGACGAGUGGUUGCCCAGGGCCAAGCCCUUGGGGAGAUCGUAAGUAUUCGGAUACCAGAGUAACUCAUAGCAUUCCUUUGUCGCACUGCUUUCCCUAACGCCGAACAUAAUUAUGCAGGCCGCCAUGAGCCAGUAUUGAUGUAUCAUCGGACGGCUCCCUGGGCUCGUUGGACAUGGAUAGCGAUCCAGUUCUGACCGCCACCUCCCCUCAUCCUGCUGACGACGCCGAGGUGCUGUCUCAAGAGGCACCGGGUCGAGGGGAGACAGUCCCGGAGGCGCCUCAAGGCGACCGUCCGGACUCCGGGAGACGAGGGGAUGGGGUCCCUGAGAGCUCCGAGUUCGGCCCUCAGCCGGACACCGUGCCGGAACCUCCAGUGGUUCCGGGCUCGGGCAGGCGGCCUCCUUCUAAGAGGGGCAAGACGCCUGUGCUGGUGACCUCUGUCCAUCCAGGGGCGCCGGACGAUCUGCUUGAAGCGCUUCGCAGCGCUUCCAUCGACGAGGAGCACCAUACUAUUAUGAGUGCGGUAGUCCAGAAGGUUCAGUCCGCCAAGAGCGGAUUGACUGAAGCAUGUGCCAGCCAUCUAACAGUCUUUGAGGUAAGUGUUUUAAAAUAUAGGAAUAAUACUACCGCAUAGACAGUAGCCCCUGAUGCUUUGUUCGGUGUUCACAAAGAAAAGUCGAACAGAGGAUCAAAUAAUAUCAUAGGAGUCUAAUAUAAGUAUGUCAAUAUGUGUAUGCAGGCCUCGCUGCUGGCGUCCGCCGCACUGACUGUGGAGGUCGCCGUACUGAAGCAGGACCUCAAGGGGUUCAAGAAAGAGCUCGGCCUUGCCAAGAGGCAGCUCGAGGAGAACAAGGGUAAGUAAUACCCUGUCUAUAGAUAUGUAUGUAUAAAAGAAGACGCGAUUGCAAAAUGACAGGAUCAUCGUAUAUUUGCCAGGGGCCACGACCGAGGUGGCGACCCUGAAGCAAGCGCUAACCAAGGCCGAAGAUAAAGCGGCCAAGGAGCGCACCGAGCGGGAAAAACAAGAGGCUCGGGUGGGUGAGGUGCAGCAAGAGCUCCAGGCUCUCGUGAUGAAGUAUGAGGCGUUGGAGCUUAACUCGAAGACGCGAGAGUCUAAGCUUGCCGCGGCCCUCGAGGGCGCAAAAGUGCCAAGGCCGAAGCCCAAAAGGCCCUCCAGGAGAUCGACGCAAUGAAGAAUAUAACGACGGGUAAGGCAUUCUAUAUGCAGAGGAAGCAUGUAAAAUUAAAUUACCGAUUACUUACCCGGAUUUGGAGCUCUCCAGGAGCAUUCGCAGAUUUUCCCCACAGCGUGUCGGAUGCCGCCCAAUUUUACCAGGCCGACGAGGGAAGCUCAACGGAGAAGUUGUUCUGGUCUCAGUAUACUGGGACCGAACACCCGAUGCCUCUGAGCGACCAGCUAAAGCAGCUGGUCGAGCUGCACAAGGCUGCCGAACAGGCCAUGAAGGGCCUUAUAGUCCGGCUAUGGCCUGGCGAUGCCCUUCCGAACAGCUACUUCGGCCUGGUGAGGCGGCUUGUAGAUGCCUGCCCAUGGCUGGAGGUCGUCAAGCGGUCUGUCUACAUCGAAGGUGCACGCUGGGCUUUCACCCGUGUGAAGGUGCAGUGGGCCAAGCUAGACGCCGUGAAGCUGAUCAAGGAAGGGCCUCCGCAGGGCAAGGAGCAUCACACCCUCGAAAUUUAUUAUGAGGCUGUCCUGAAGGGUGCCCGUCUUGUGGCGGACGAAUGUUCAAAGGAUGUAAUAUUUGAGUAAACUUGCUCGUGUGAUCUUGUAUGAUGAAAACUUGUUUCAUAUGCGCUAUGCAACGCUUGUGUGAAUUUAACAUAUUACCUUCUAUUUGGCUGUUUAUCCAAUCCGAGAGAUGGCUAGUCGUCGGCUUCUGCCCCCAUGCCACGAGUGCUGGGGUGUUCGGGAUAAACCCGAGCACUCUUGUUCCCAUGUUUGGGUCCUUCGAGGGAGGUGCUCAGCACAAUGAACAAGGCAACCGGACUAAUAAUGCUUUAUCACUCUCACUUAGCCAUAGAAUUCUAUAAUAUUAAAUUUCGGUGAAGCCCCUGGUAUUCGGAAGGCCGAAUUCGGGGCGCGAUACACGCCUUUAAGCCGGACUGGGCCGGCCCCUCGCCGUAAGCAGCAUAAGUCGUUAGGAACUCGAAAACCUCGCCGAACAGCGACCAGUCUCUCGCCUUAUCAUGACAAUCAGUUUUAGCUUUCUCUACUGAGGUGCUAAGCCCGGCAGAACCGGGGCACAAUCACAGUAGUUCUCCUAGCGGUACCUUAGCCGAUAGAGCGGAACGUAAGGUACCAAAACAUAGGAUCCGGGCAAACCCAAAAUUUGACCAAAGUCAUGAUUCGGAGCUGAUGCAUAUAAUGCUAUAAGUUCGGGGUGCCGCACUUGUGAAAGUGUUCGGACUUUUCACACCAUAUUGUGGGGUGCUUGAGCCCCUGGCGUAUGGACCGUACCAAAGUGUACGGGUUCUAAAUGUCAUAACUGAACAUAUGUAUUGAAAAAAGAAAUGAAUAGAGAAUGCAAUAAUAAGCUGAAGCUAAGCAUUGUUUAUUCAAAAAGGUGCGUUAAAGUAGAAUGAUACAGAUAGUGCGAUAAGCAAAGAGUGGGACUAUGUCCCUUCCAAGGGCAAGUUGAGGAAUAGUAUUAAAUCAAAUAUUUCGCUCGUUAUUGUAAUCCACCUAGGAAUUCCAUGGUGUGACGUAGCUUUCUGCCUCCUUGGUUGCUGCAUCAUGUGUUCGGCAAUAGUGCUGCCGGUCAGGGUUUCCAGAGAUUAAGGUCCUGAAAAAAGAGAAAAAUAACCAAACGGGAAGCCCCUAGUGUGGUUUAAGCCGCGUCUUGGGGGGUGCCGUAGUGUGCCCCCCUCCCCACCUGUGCCCAUGGUAUUUUUAAUGCGUAAUUAUGUAUGCGUGGCACGAGCUUCGCCGUUUGGCUGGGACUGGGGUGGGGGCCGCAUUGCUACACGAGCUCAGAUCGCGCCAGGCGGUCUUUUUGCCGAUUUCUCCGAGCGCGCUUGAAGGUGUCCGGGUUUUGAAACGCCGAACUAGUGGAUUGCCUUGAGAGGCUGUUUUGCGCUUCCGCUGUGAGGGCCGCAGUGUGCUCCUCUGUUCGGAGAGAGUGCUCUGUGUUUCCAUUGACUGUAAUAAGCCCGCGAGGUCCAGGCAUCUUGAGCUUGAGGUAUGCAUAAUGCGGUACCGCAUUGAAUCUCGCAAAUGCGAUUCGCCCGAGCAGUGCAUGAUAACCACUGCGGAACGGGACUAUAUCGAAGAUUAACUCUUCGCUUCGGAAGUUAUCCGGGGAUCCGAAGACCACUUCCAGUGUAAUUGAGCCUGUGCAAUGGGCCUCUACGCCUGGAAUGAUGCCCUUGAAGGUCGUUUUCGUGGGUUUGAUCCUUGAGGGGUCUAUACCCAUUUUGCACACUAUGUCCUGAUAAAGCAAGUUCAGGCUGCUGCCGCCAUCCAUAAGGACUCGAGUGAGGUGAAAUCCGUCACUGAUUGGGUCUAGAACCAGUGCGGUGAAUCCGCCAUGACGGAUACUAGUGGGAUGGUCCCUGUGAUCGAAAGUGAUCGGAUAGGAGGACCACGGGUUGAACUUUGGGGCGACUGCCUCUAAUGCAUAUACGUCCCUGAGCGCACGCUUCCGCUCCCUCUUGGGGAUGUGGGUUGCGUAUAUCAUGUUCACCGUCCACACUUGUGAGGGAAACCUUUGAUGUCCUCCGGUGUGUGGCUGCCAGGGCUCCUCCUCGUCAUUGCUAUGUGGCCCCUUGUCCUUGUUUUCGGCAAUUAACCUACCGGCCUGCUUGAACACCCAACAAUCCCUGUUGGUGUGAUUGGCUGGCUUUUCUAGGGUGUCGUUUAUUUGACACGAGUGAUCGAGUAUAUGAUCCAAGCUGGACGGCCCCGGCAUACUUUGUUUGAAUGGCUUUUUCCGCUGACCGGGUUUAGAGCCUUUGAAUCCGGCAUUGACUGUCGUAUCCUCGGUAUUUUUGCUGUUAAUGCAACACUUAUGCUUGUUGCAACAUGACCAUGGUUCUUUGAUAUGUUAUUACUGCGAGCCAGCCAGUUGUCUUCUCCCGCACAAAAGCGGGUCAUGAGCGUCGUGAGAGCUGCCAUAGAUUUCGGCUUUUCCUGACCAAGGUGCCGGCCUAGCCACUCGUCUCGGAUGUUGUGUUUGAAAGCCGCUAAGGCCUGUGCAUCCGAACAGUCGACGAUUUGAUUUUUCUUUGUAAGGAACCAAGUCCAGAAUUGUCUGGCCGACUCUUCUAGCUACUGAAUUAUGUGGCUCAAGUCAUCGGCGUCUGGUGGUCGCACAUAAGUGCCCUGAAAGUUGUCGAGAAAUGCGGCUUCCAGAUCUUCCCAACAGCUAAUGGAGUCUGCUGGCAAGCUAUUAAGCCAAUGCCGCGUUGGUCCUUUGAGCUUUAGUGGGAGGUAUUUGAUGGCGUGUAACUCAUCACCGCACGCCAUGUGGAUGUGAAGGAGGAAAUCCUCGAUCCAUACCGCGGAAUCUGUAGUGUCGUCGUAUGAUUCAAUAUUUGCAGGUUUGAAACCUUCUGGGAUUUGAUGAUCCAUUACUUUGUCUGUGAAGCAUAAAGGGUGUGCGGCGCCUCUGUAUUGGGCUAUAUCGUGACGCAGCUCAAAUGGGUCUUGCCAGCUAUGUUCGGCCCGGCCGGAUUUACUUUUACUGUAUCUGGCGUGACGUUUAUCGUCUCGCAUGGUGGCGCGCCCUUGUGAUCCAUAGAUCGAUCUUGCAUGCUUUGCUUUGUCCUCCAAUAUGUCUCGCAGGUCUGGCGUAUCUCCCCAUGCCUUUUUAUUUGAAUGGCAUCGGAGUGCGGGCUUAGUUUUUGGCUGGAAUGCCUCUCUAUCGCGGCCACGAGGUGGCCGAUCAGCCGCGUCAUACGCUUCUUCCUCCAGUCGGGGUGGCAACCUGCAUUUUGGGUAACUCUUGGAGGGGCGCUCGAGUUUAUAUUCCUCGGCCGCGAGGACUUCAGUCCAUCUGUCAGCUAGCCGACCUUGAUCAGCUUGAAGCUGGUGCUGCUUUUUCUUCAGGUUAUUUGCCGUGGCCAUAAGCCGGAGUUUGAAGCGCUCUUGUUCGACGGGAUCCUCUGGCACAGCGAAUUCGUCGUCGCCGAGGCUUGCCUCGUCUUCGGAGGGGGGCAUGUAAUUAUCAUCCUCCUCUUCUCCAUCUGCCGCUCUCUUAGGAGGGCUGGCUCCUCCAUUCUCCUGUUCUAAAUCUUGCUGCAGGGGAUUGUUGUUGUCUUCGGCACUAUCCGGAGUGUUAUUAUCUCCUGUGCUGGUAUCACCACUUUUGCUUUGGCGGGACUUAGAGCAGCGCCGCUGACGUCGGCGCUUGGGUUGCUUCUUGGAGGGGUCAUCCUCUGCUAUCUCGCCGCCAUUGCCUUCUUUGGGUGUAUCCUCCAUGUAUAUAUCGUAUGAUGAGGUGGCUGUCCAGUGCCACGUAGGCAGUGGUUCCUCUUCGUCUCCCGCAUCGUCGUCCAUACCGUCGAUGUCUUCGGAGUCGAAGUCGAGCAUGUUGGCUAAGUCAUCGACAGUGGCUACUAAGUGGGUGGUGGGUGGGUCACGAAUUUCUUCGUCAUCCGCAUCCCAGUCCUGCCGGACAUAGUUCGGCCAGGAUCCUCCUGACAAGGAGAGAGACCUUAAUGAGUUCAGUAUGUCGCCAAAGGGCGAGUGCUGAAAAAUAUCCAUGGAGGUAAACUCCAUGAUCGGCGCCCAAUCGGAUUCGAUAGGAAUGAGCACAGGCAGUUCGGAGUCCAUGGCCGGAGAAGGAUCCGGCAGUUUAUCAAGACGGCUCUUAUGCAAGGUAAGGUCGAUGUUCGGCUUGAUCGCCGCUGAGGGUAAGGCCUCCGUGGCGGGGUCCAUCCACCCGUCCGCGGAAGGCACAACUGGCUCCGAAUCGAGGGUCGGAGUGGUUGCCGGUGCGAUCUCCUGAACACUGUCUGAUGGUAGAGCUAAAUCGUACUCAUCGUGGCCGCGUGACGCACAAGGUAGGGGCUCGAAUCUGUCGAAGAUCAAGUCUCUGCGGACAUCGGCCGUGUAGUUUAAGCUUCCAAACCUGGCCUGGUGGCCAGGGGCGUAACUUUUGAUCUGCUCUAGAUGGCCAAGCGAAUUGGCCCGUAGUGCAAAGCCGCCGAAUACGAAGAUCUGUCCGGGGAGAAAGGUCUCACCCUGGACCGCAUCGUUGUUGAUAAUCGGAGGAGCCAUCAGGCCUAAAGGCGACGACACAGAGGAACUCUCAAUGAAAGCACCAAUGUCGGUGUCAAAACCGGCGGAUCUCGGGUAGGGGAUCCCGAACUGUGCGUCUAGGCCGGAUGGUAAUAGGAGGCAGGGGACACAAUGUUUUACCCAGGUUUGGUCCCUCUUGAUGGAGGUAAAACCCUACGUCCUGCUUGAUUAAUAUUGAUGAUAUGGGUAGUACAAGAGUAGAUCUACCACGAGAUCAGAGAGGCUAAACCCUAGAAGCUAGCCUAUGGUAUGAUUGUAUGUUGUGGUUGUUGUCUCCUACGGACUAAAACCCCCCGGUUUAUAUAGACACCGGAGAGGGUUAGGGUUACACAAGGUCGGUUACAAUGGGAGGACAUCUAAUAUCCGUAUUGCCAAGCUUGCCUUCCACGCCAAGGAAAGUCCCAUCCGGACACGGGACGAAGUCUUCAAUCUUGUAUCUUCAUAGUCCAACAGUCCAGCCAAAGGAUAUAAUCCGGCUAUCCGGACACCCCCUAAUCCAGGACUCCCUCAGCCACAAAUACAACGUACGCUCCAUCACCAUCCGCAAGGACGACGAGGUGCAGGUCGACUGCAACCUUCUCCUUUGGAGCCGCGCCACAAAUACAACGUGCGCUCCAUCCCCAUCCGCAAGGACGACAAGGUGCAGGUCGACUACAACCUUCUCCUUCGGAGCUACGCCACAAAUACAACGUACGCUCCAUCACCAUCCGCAAGGACGACGAGGUGCAGGUCAACUGCAACCUUCUCCUUUGGAGCCGCGCCACAAAUACAAUGUGCGUUCCAUCCCCAUCCGCAAGGAUGACGAGGUGCAGGUCGACUGCAACCUUCUCCUUCGGAGCUGCGCCACAAAUACAAGAUGCGCUCCACCCCUGUCUGCAAGGACAAUGAGAUGCAGUUCGAAAGAUUAUUCAUAGUAAAGAGCAAAUCCCAUUCGAAGGCAAAUACAAGCAUAUUCAGAAAUAAACCAAGUUCAGACAUAUCCUAAAAAUUACAGACGACAGAUCAAAAGUAUUCGAGCAUCAAGACCGAAGGAGUUUUACGGUUACAGCAACCACUCGGCAUUCCGAGGCAAAUUUAAGGCAGAUUUAAAUCUCAAAGUUUGUUCAUUCGGCAGGAGGAGGGCUGGCAGGUUCGACAAAUUCAUCCAAGUCAAUUCCAUCUGCAAUCCGAGUGGCAGCAGCGAUGAAAGUAUCCAUAAAGGACUGGAAAUCAUGUCUUUUGGUGCUGGCGACAUUGAUCGCCGCCAGCUUAUCUUCGCGGGCUUCCUUGCAGUUGACUCUUACCAAGGACAACGCCACGUCAGCACCACACCGAGCAGAGGACUUCUUCCAUUCUUGCACUCGACCAGGGACCUCGUUGAGGCGAGCUAUCAGAGACUCGAGGUCAUUUUGAAGCAUUGCCCUUGGCCAGAGUGAUGAGUCAAUCCGUGAAACUGCCACCUUCAGACGAGCGAGGUAACUUGUAACACUGGCGACACGGGAUUCAAGUCGAAGCACAUUCAUGGCAGCCUCGUCGCCGACUGGAGAAACAAUAGGGUCCAAACCCAUCUCGAUCCAUCCAGUCUCCUCGUCAAAGUAUUGGCAGAAUUCUGCAGUCAAGGAUUUAGUGAGUCGACUGGACUAGACUAACUUGAAGCAGUAAAGUAGUCGGAUUAAAAGGAGUACCUUCCAGCAUAAGAAAGAGCUUCUUGGAGAGAGUUCUCAAAUAAGCUUCCACGUCAUUUCUCUUACGAGCCGAGGAUUCCAGCUUCUCAUUCAGAGCCAUCUUAUCCUUCUUCAGACGAGUUACCUAUCGGUUGGAUUCGGUGAGAGAGGACUUCAACUUGCUUACUCCUUCUUCCAGCGCUCCGACCAAAGCCAGCUUCUGGCCAGCAAGGGUAGUCUUAUCUUGAGCCUCCUUCUGCACAGCUGCAAGGUCCAAGUCCUUCUUCUCCAGAGCCAACAUCAUUUUCUCUGCAAAAUAAGCAAUCGGAUCAAACAAGAGACCAAAGAAAUAUUUUAAAGGACGAUCGACGUGAGCAGUCGACAGGCAGUUACCUUCCAUACCAGCAACUUCAUCUUGAGCUUUCUUCAAUUUUUGUUGGGCCAGCUCCAAGUCAAGGUUGAGUUGCCUCUGUUUCUCCUCAAAAUCGGCAAACUUGGAAAUGAGAGUACAAGAUUUCUACAGAGGGCAAAAGACAUAUCAAUCGACAACAUCAAAGAUUAUUUACUUCCGAAUGAAUAAAACUUAAAAGUUGAUUCAGACCCCAGCCGACUGCCCGCAGUCGACCGCGGCCUCGGGGACUACACCUAGUGGGUGCACUUGGCGUGCCCCCACUGGUUCAGAUCCCACUCGGCCGGUCUGCCCGGGUCGAGUGGAAGGAAGGAAAGUGAAAAGAACUAUUCAGACCUCGGCCGACUGCCAGCAGUCGACCGCGGUCUCGGGGACUACACCCAGUGGGUGCACUUGAUGUGCCCCCACUGGUUCAGAUCCCACUUGGCCGGUCUGCCCGGGUCGAGUGGAAGAAAGGAAAGUGAAAAGAAGUACUCAGACCCCAGCCGACUGCCCGCAGUCGACUGCGGUCUCGGGGACUACACCCAGUGGGUGCACUUAGCGUGCCCCCACUGGUUCAGAUCCCACUCGACCAGGCCGAGUGGAAGAGCGCAAAUACUAAAGACAACAAAACACCCAAUGGGUGUACAUAUUCGACGCAAACAAUAAGAGAUUGUAUGAAAGAAAAUAUUUCAGGUAGCAUAUCCUAAUAGAACAAGGUCAGUCGAAAGCCAACUUACCUAGACAUUGGCCCGAAGAGCCACACUGGCAUCGUAAGCAGCCUGGCUGUUGUCAUGCACCGUAUUCAUUCGCUCCAUCAUCACGCUAGCCUGACGGAUGGCCUCCGCAGCGGCGUCCGACUGGCUUUUCGGAACAUGAUAGUUGGUGAAGAAGGGAGCAGACGGCCCAGAUGCAGCAGCUUGGAGCUCCGAGGCAUGAGGUUGGACGGCUGAAGGAAACACUGGUACAAUCGACGGUGUGGGGCACUCACUCGACAAUGGGACAGCAAAAGUUACAGAGGCCCCACCUGCAUCUUCAGGUUAUUGGAUGGUUGGUUCUAUCAUUAGUCCCGGCUGAGAUGUCUUGCCAGCUGCUACUUUUUUGUUCUUUCUGGGCCUCAGGGCCACAUCUUCAUCAUCAUCCGAAAGCUCGAUAACGUUAGGUGGGGCUGCAAAUAAAUCAGUCGACCCCAAGUGAAUCGCCAGAAUUUGAUUGACCAAAUAAUCAAGAACAAGAUCACGAGAAUUGUACCUGGGUUGGAGGUAACCGCGUCUUCCGUUUCCUCGUCUCGGUAUUGGCGGGAGGAAGUUCCAAAGGUAGCAGCACUACAAGUGUUAGCAUUCAGUCGGUUAUGUUAUGUUGCUCGAGUCGACCAAAGGAUCAGGUCAGAUGGUUACCUAGAGAUGGUGGGAAUGGUCACUUUGAUUCUGGGCAAAGCCUUCGGCAGUUUGGAGGAUGCGACCUUCAAUGGUUUCGGCACUGGAGGCGGCGCGGUCUUGAGCUGUUUCGAUGCCUUCUCGGUCGGCACCGGAGAAGACGUUCGAGGGCGCUUUGAAGACUGCCCAGUUGGUGCGGUCACCAGGUCAGGGGUGUUUGCCGGGUCAUGAGCAUGCUUGGACAUCCUUUCUCUGCGAGGAGGCGAGUCGACCUCUUCUUCGGCACUCGGGUCGUCGCUCUCCUCAUCCUCCUCUGCAUCCGAGUGCCACUCGCCACUCUCGCCCCCGCUCGCCUCUCCCUCGACAUUUUGCUCCUGCACUCCAUUGGGCAUUGAGUACAUAUCAACAAGAGCCUGAAAGACAAGGAAUAAAAGAAAGACAAUCGACCGUCAACAAGAUGCUACAUAGUAAAACAAGAAGACACUCGACAAUGCAUAAUUGUACCUGUUCCGUCUGGCGCGAAUGGUCGAAUGGAACCACCCUCCUGGACCCUCGAGGAUUAUCCUUAUUGUCGGUAAUACCUCUCAGCCACUGCUCCACCGUGUCCUCACUGACAUCCUCCGAGUGGAUCCGAGUGGAAUCCUCGAGUCCCGAGUACAUUCACAUCGGAUGGUCACGAUCUUGGAGUGGUUGGAUGCGUCGACUUAGGAAGACCUCCAACAGGUCCAUACCGGUCACUCCGUCGCGGACAAGUUGGACAACCCGCUCGACCAACACCUUCACCUGCACCUUCUCCUCCGGGAUCACUCUCAAGGUGGAGGGCUUCUCUACUCGAGCCAUGGAAAAGGGGGGAAGCCCAGUCGACUGGCCCGGGGUCGGCUGGUCCUUGCAGUAGAACCAGGUCGACUGCCAACCCCGGACCGAGUCGGGAAGGAUCAUAGUUGGGAAAGUGCUUUUGUUCCUCAUUUGAAUUCCAAGACCCCCACACAUCUGUAUCACGUGCGUCCUCUCGCCACUCGGGUUGGCCUUCUUGACCGUCUGAGAGCGACAUGUGAAUAUGUGCUUGAAGCAACCCCAGUGUGGUCGACAACCCAAGAAGGUCUCGCACAUGGACACAAAAGCGGCAAGGUACACGAUGGUGUUUGGAGAAAACUGGUGGAGUUGAGCCCCAAAGAAGUUCAAGAAACCGCGAAAGAAAGGGUGGGGAGGCAAAGAAAACCCGCGGUCGACAUGGGUGGCAAGGAGAGCGCACUCACCCUCCUGUGGCUACGGCUCAGUCUCGUUCCCCGAGACCCACGCUGAUUCGUGGGGGAUCAGUCCCCCCUCAACCAGGUCAUUGAUGUCAUCUUGACUGAUUGUCGAGCGGAUCCAUUCACCCUAGAUCCAGCUAGGCGGCAGGCCGGACCUCGACAAAGAUCAGCCCCGGCUGGUCUUCUUCCCUUUCGCCUUCGCCGUCGCCUUCUUCGCACGCUCCAACGCCACCGUCUUCUCCUUCCCCAUGGCAGCGAAUCGAGUUCGAGCGGGGCGACGACCCCGAGAGCAGAAGCAGGCGCAGCGGAGAAAUCUGAGGAGGAGGAAGAAGAAUGGGGGCGCACUGUUCAAAGGCCCUGGUCCGGCGCCUUAUAUAAGGUCACUUCCGAGUGACUAACUUGUAGGCCCGGACGAUCUUAUCAAAUCCCACAACAGUCGCGCACGUGAUACGUGGCAAAAAAGGUGGCGCGGAGAUCGAGGCGGCCUGCCUAAUCUGUCCCGACUACUGCGGCCUCCCCCGCCCGGCGCGCUUCCCAAAAUUUGAAUCCCGUGAAAUCUGCAGACGGCAGAACAACCCGUCAGACGGAAGAUUUUUUCCAUAUCAACACUCAAAGCUUAACAACGAAAGUUCACUCGGCAAAAUCAAGAAUGGAUCAAGGCGACUGAACAAGCAGUUGAAGCCAUCAUGAAUGUUCAUUCGACCUCUAGACGAGAUAUUCUCAAGGCAUAAAAGCUGAAUCGGAGAGAUUAUCAACUCCUUCUCCACUCGAACCCUGAACCAUUCGGGGGCUAAUGAUGAAGCUAUGUACCUAGGGUAGGGUCAUAGACCUAACCUAGACAUCCUCCCCUAGAACAUCACCCUAAAGCCGGGAUCAUUCAAAGGGUACCAUCAUCCACUCGACUAGAGGCGUUCCACUCGGAAGAAUCAAUGUCACUCGACAGUCGCAGAAGUCACUCGACAAACGGAAGAGCUAAAGACACUCUGCAUGAACAACGGUCAGGCAUUUACUUAUAGGCUUAAUUGUCAUUUAUAGCACUUUAGUGUGGGCGUUAUCAGUAACGUUCUCUCUUCAAUGUACCUUAAACCCUCUGUGACGUGGGCUGGCUGAGGUCCUGGCGCACUCUAUAUAAGCCACCUCCCUCCACAGGCACAAGGGUUCGCACCCCCUGUAACUCAUAAGCAUAUAAUCCAGUAGACCGCCUUCGGGCUCCGAGACGUAGUGCUGUUACUUCCUCCGAGAAGGGCCUGAACUCGUAAAACUCGCGUGUACAACUCCUCCAUAGCUAGGAUCUUGUCUCUACAUUCCUACCCCCCAUUCUACUGUUAGACUUAGAACCACGACAGCUGGUGCUCGUAUUGUUCUGUACUUUGGUUCGUCACCGGCGUUGAAUGUUAUGGUCGUGUCGUUCCAUGGGUUUAUUACAACGAUUUGGCAGACUUCGUUGAGCUCGCAAAGUGCCCUUUUACGCUUGUUAUUUGAAGUGAAUGUCUCGAAGACUGUCAAUACUCUUGGGUCGUCGUCUUCUGGGGGGUGUUGUUCUGGGGCAUCCUUGAUAAGGAUGUCCUCGCCGCUCUUGGCUACCUGUCGUAGUAUCCAACAUGCUCUAAGGUUGUGGGUUGCCACGGUAUCGGUUGUUGUAUGUAUUUUGCAUGGGCCAUCGAUCCACCCUUCCAGAACAGUGCCAUGUCGUAUAGUGGCUUUGUGUUUUUUAACUGUUAGAUUGGGAGUGCCACGAGGGUACGCCCUUUUCGCCUGUAGGGGAAGUUGGGUUGGGGAUGGUGGUUCCUAGCGAGCUGCCCGAGUUUCCCAGGCGCUUUCCAUCGCGCAGUAUUUUUGUACGACGGUUGCUAAGUCAGCAAAAUUUAGUAUGCGGCGGCGAUUGAUGGCGUCGAGGAUUCCUUCGCCCACACAGUUUUUGCAAAACGCUGAUAUUGCGUCCUCGUCACGGCAAUCUUUUAUCUUGUCCUUGACAAGGAGGAAUCUGGCCCAAAAGUGGUGGACCUUCUCCUGAGAUUGUUGUUUUAUGCUCAUGAGAGCCUCUAUGUCCGGGUGGGUGAUAACCCACAAGUAUAGGGGAUCGCAACAGCUUUCGAGGGUAGAGUAUUAAACCCAAAUUUAUUGAUUCGACACAAGGGGAGCCAAAGAAUAUUCUCAAGUAUUAGCAGCUGAGUUGUCAAUUCAACCACACCUGGAAACUUAGUAUCUACAGCAAAGUGUUUAGUAGCAAAGUAAUAUGAUGGUGGUGGUAGUGGCAACAAAAGUAAAGACAGCAAAAGUAAUGUUUUUGGUAUUUUGUAGUGAUUGUAACAGUAGCAGCGGGAAAGUAAAUAAGCGAGAACCGGUAUAUGGAAAACUCGUAGGCACCAGAUCAGUGAUGGAUAAUUAUGCCGAAUGCGGUUCAUCAUGUAACAGUCAUAACAUAGGGUGACACAGAACUAGCUCCAAUUCAUCAAUGUAAUGUAGGCAUGUAUUCCGUAUAUAGUCAUACAUGCUUAUGGAAAAGAACUUGCAUGACAUCUUUUGUCCUACCCCUCCCGUGGCAGCGGGGUCCUAUUGGAAACUAAGGGAUAUUAAGGCCUCCUUUUAAUAGAGAACCGGAACAAAGCAUUAGCACAUAGUGAAUACAUGAACUCCUCAAACUGUGGUCAUCACCGGGAGUGGUCCCGAUUAUUGUCACUUCGGGGUUGCCGUAUCAUAACACAUAGUAGGUGACUAUAGACUUGCAAGAUAGGAUCAAGAACUCACAUAUAUUCAUGAAAACAUAAUAGGUUCAGAUCUGAAAUCAUGGCACUCGGGCCCUAGUGACAAGCAUUAAGCAUAGCAAAGUCAUAGCAACAUCAAUCUCAGAACAUAAUGGAUACUAGGGAUCAAACCCUAACAAAACUAACUCGAUUACAUGAUAAAUCUCAUCCAACCCAUCACCGUCCAGCAAGCCUACGAUGGAAUUACUCACGCACGGCAGUGAGCAUCAUGAAGUUGGUGAUGGAGGAUGGUUGAUGAUGACGACGGCGACGAAUCCCCCUCUCCGGAGCCCUGAACGGACUCCAGAUCAGCCCUCCCGAGAGGUUUUAGGGCUUGGCAGUGGCUCCGCAUCGUAAAACGCGAUGAUUUCUUCUCUCUGAUUUUUUUCCUCUCCGAAAGCAAAUAUAUAGAGUUGGAGUUGGCGUCGGAGGGCAUCCAGGGGGCCCAUGAGGUAGGGGGCGCACCCUAGAGGGGGGGCGCGCCCCCCACCCUUGUGGACAGGGUGUGGGCCCCCUGGUCUUCAUCUUUGGCGAGGAUUUUUAUUAUUUUUUCUAAGAUGUUCCGUGGAGUUUUAGAUCAUUCCGAGAAUAUUUGUUUUCUGCACAUAAGACAACACCAUGGCAAUUCUGCUGAAAACAGCGUCAGUCCGGGUUAGUUCCAUUCAAAUCAUACAAGUUAGAGUCCAAAACAAGGGAAAAAGUGUUCGGAAAAGUAGAUACGACGGAGACGUAUCAGUGGAUGGGUGGAGUUAAAUCCGAACCCGGACCUAACCGGUUGUCCGGAGUUCGACGACCUUCCGUACUAGACAGUCCGGGUUCCGGAAUAUCUUCUGAUUGUUUGGAACCGCCGUAUGAUGCUAUGUUCAGAGGGCUGGUUGCGUCCUUUCACGGGUGAGUAUCCGACUCUUCAUGAACGGCGACCUGAACAAAGUCCGUCUUCAAUACAGAAGAAGACUCAUCGUCCUGCUCCAGGACUGCCGCGAUCUGGUGGGUGACCGGUGGAGUUUCGGUUUCUCCCUGAUCGGUUUUAGGCCCGAUAUGAUCGUAAUCUAUGACGAUUCCCAAAGUGGUGAUGCAAUCUAGGAGCUCGUUUAAGGACGAAAACUCAACCAGAUCCAUGUUCUUGGAGUGCUCAGAGUUGAUGCGAAGGGGAUUUUCGAUGGCCCUAGAGGUCAUCGUCGGCUCCGCGGCCGAACGGGCAAUCAUAGUAAAGUCGCCCAGCCGGAGGGUUUGGCCCAAACCCAAAACUACCCAUGCGGUAAUGUUGUCUUUAAUGACAAGGUGAGCCAUUGAGCCUUUCAUCGACGACACAGUGGAACUCUCAAUGAAAGCACCAAUGUCGGUGUCAAAACCAGCGGAUCUCGGGUAGGGGGUCCCGAACUGUGCGUCUAGGAUCGAUGGUAACAGGAGACGGGGGACACGAUGUUUACCCAGGUUCGGGCCCUCUCUAUGGAGGUAAUACCCUACUUCCUGCUUGAUUGAUCUUGAUGAAUAUGAGUAUUACAAGAGUUGAUCUACCACGAGAUCGUAAUGGCUAAACCCUAGAAGUCUAGGCUAUGUGGGUAUGGUAAUGAGUAUAUGUGAUGUCCUUUCCACCUCUGGACGAGAUUUAGGGUUUACAUGAAGUCGGUUAUAUAGACACCAAGGGGAUUUAGGGUUUACAUGAAGUCGGGUACAUAAGAAGGAAUCUUCAGUCGCCAAGCUUGCCUUCCACGCCAAGUAGAGUCCAAUCCGGACACGGUGCAAUUUUCGGCCUUCAUGUCUUCACAGCCCAUCAGUCCGGCCCAUGGAUAACAAGCCGGACGCCCGAGGACCCCUUAGUCCAGGACUCCCUCACCGGCCCUCUACUAUGGCGCGCCCUGGGGAGUCCUACUCCCACCGGGAGUAGGAUUCCCCCCUUCCAUGUAGUAGGAGUAGGAGGGAAGGAAAGGGAAAAGAGAAGAGAAGGAAUGAGGGGGCGCUGCCCCUCCCCCUAGUCCAAUUCGGACUAGGCCUUGGGGGGCGCAGCCUCCCCUCUCUCUAUCCCCUAAAGCCCAAUAAGGCCCAUAUACUCCCCGGCGAGUUCCCAUAACUCUCCGGUACUCCAAAAAAUAUCUGAAUCAUUCGGAACCUUUCCGAUGUUCGAAUAUAGUCGUCCAAUAUAUCGAUCUUUAUGUCUCGACCAUUUUGAGACUCCUCGUCAUGUCCCCGAUCUCAUCCAGGACUCCGAACUACCUUCGGUACAUCAAAACACAUAAACUCAUAAUACUGAUCGUCACCGAACGUUAAGCGUGCGGACCCUACGGGUUCAAGAACUAUGUAGACAUGACCGAGACUCAUCUCCGGUCAAUAACCAAUAGUGGAACAUGGAUGCUCAUAUUGGUUCCUACAUAUUCUACGAAGAUCUUUAUCGGUCAAACCGCAUAACAACAUACGUUGUUCCCUUUGUCAUCGGUAUGUUACUUGCCCGAGAUUCGAUCGUCGGUAUCUCAAUACCUAGUUCAAUCUCGUUACCGGCAAGUCUUUUUUACUCGUUCUGUAAUGCUACAUCCCGUAACUAACUCAUUAGUUAUUGCUUGCAAGGCUUAUAGUGAUGUACAUUACCGAGAGGGCCCAGAGAUACCUCUCCGACGAUCGGAGUGACAAAUCCUAAUCUUGAUCCAUGCCAACUCAACAAACACCAUCGAAGACACCUGUAGAACACCUUUAUAAUCACCCAGUUACGUUGUGAUGUUUGGUAGCACACAAAGUGUUCAUCCGGUAUCCGGGAGUUGCAUAAUCUCAUAGUCAUAGGAACAUGUAUAAGUCAUGAAGAAAGCAAUAGCAAUAAACUAAACGAUCAUUAUGCUAAGCUAACAGAUGGGUCAAGUCAAUCACAUCAUUCUCUAAUGAUGUGAUCCCGUUAAUCAAAUGACAACUCAUGUCUAUGGUUAGGAAAUAUAACCAUCAUUGAUUCAACGAGCUAGUCAAGUAGAGGCAUACUAGUGACACUCUGUUUGUCUAUGUAUUCACACAUGUACUAAGUUUCCGGUUAAUACAAUUCUAGCAUGAAUAAUAAACAUUUAUCAUGAUAUAAGGAAAUAUAAAUAACAACUUUAUUAUUGCCUCUAGGGCAUAUUUCCUUCACUGCAUACUCUAUUAUGUAUGCAAGUUUUGUAUCGAGUGUUUUUAAUUGUGUUCUCCAUAUGAGUUCUCGUGCCCAGUUGCUGAUUGUGGUAUGUUUGUAGGGCUAUAAUACACUCUGGACACUAUUUAGCAAUAUUGAAUAAUGGCUGAUCACGCUUCCAGUAUUGCAAAUUGCUAUGCUUUAAGAUAAUGUUAUGUGGUUUGAUUUUAUUUUUCUUCAAUUCUUGCAAAGUGGUUUGAAAUGUCACGACACCGAUUUAUUUGAGCCAUUCUUUAUCUUUAUCUUUUGCUGAUGGGAGGCAUGUUGCAUCAGACAUGGAGAUAUGACAGAUCCGCGGCACGGGCUGGUGGCAGAUUAUGAUAUGUGCUAUAAUAGAUUGGGCCCAUCGGACUAGAGUCGAAGGAUGAGUUGGUAGUCGCUACACUUCCAUUGCACAAAUUCAUGGGGACAAACAUCGAUAUUAUCGCAUUUUAUUCUUCGGUAAUGUGUAUUAAUGUUAAGUUAAAGUGGCGUGCUUAAUGUGUUACCAUUUUUAAUAAAGCUGGUCGUCAUAGUUGUGGAUGGAUUUUCUAUCUGUCGCAUUCUCUCUGUCCCCUCGAGUUAAGAUAGAGUGAGAAAUGAACACGUCUUCCAGCAAGGUGAAGAUUGAGAAGAAAAUGUUUGGCUUGAAGGACGGGGUUUAUUGGUUGGAAACAUUAUGUUUGAUUGUGCUUGAUGUGGAACUAUCAACGUAUAACAUCGCUUUGAUGAAUGUAUUCAGGGCCGGCCCUGAGGUGGGGGGCAGGGGGGCGGCCGCCCCGGGCCCCCCAGGUCCAGGGGGCCCCCCACGUUGCACAUAGCCCAUGGGCCUCAGAAGCAGGGACGCUAAACACUCGUACGAUCGAUUAGUAUGCAGCCUCAAGGGCCUAGCAGCUGGAUGCAGCAAAUCCACGGUGAUGGCGAGAAGUUUGUUGUAAUUUGCCAGUUUCCUUACGAGGCUAAGCCGCAACGAUCCCGAUCCCGAUCCCAGGCUCUCCAGGUCGCGAGACGAGUUGCUGGCGCUGGACGAACCGCCUCUAGGGUUCAGUACUCUGAUGAACUCCGCUCCGCUAUCUGGUUUCUAGGCGCUGGAUGCGCACACCUGUUGCCGAGCGCUUCCGGACAGAGCGAGAUGCAAAUUCACAUCGUGUUAUCAUUGAGAUGAGAACUGACCGAUCCAAGGUACUCCUAUAUCAUAUCUUUAAUUUAUCACUUCCUAUGCUAGCUCUAUCAGCAUAUCUAUCUAUCUAUAGAUUCAUGUUCGCUCGUCUGUUGCAUUGUAUUGUGCGACGUGAUUAGCUCCAUCAGUUAAUCGUAAGAUUCACAAACAUAGGUCUACAAGAGCCCCAUAGUUCUUGCACUGGCCCUUACCCUGGCGCGCAUAGCAUGGAGCGCAGGCUGUCGUACUAUAUUAGCGUUCUGUGUGUAUUGUGUGGAUUUUUAAAAUCUUGACCUAUUCUAAUUAAGUAAUUUAUCUUCAUAUACACCAUGCAUAUAUAUAGCUUGCAUUGUGCAAGUUUUGAGGCAAAUUUUUAGCGCUUUGAGUUAUCAUGACGAUUAAAAAGUAUGUGUAGAGAUUCUGGCAGUGACACACUAUUUGUAUUUACCCUCUUAAUAUAUAGGCAGCUCAGCUGCCAUUCGCUAAAAAAGUGUAUUGAAAAAUGUGGGUUCUAUGUAAUAAAAAACAAACCUUUAAUUUGAAUUCGUAUUGAGAAGAAGUUUUUGAUGAUAAAUAUUUUCAGUGAUAAAAAUUCAUUGCGAAGGAGAGAGUAUAUGAAGGGCCCUGAGAUUAAAAAACUCAGUGCUAAAAAUUCAUUGCAAUGGAGGGAUAUAUGAAAGGCCCCUGAGUUUUAGGUUCGCCCCGGGCCCUCAAAAUCUCAGGACCGGCCGUGAAUGUAUUCAUAUUUUUAUAUUAUUCAAUAAUAAUGUACGUGUGCUUGAUUAUAACUUAAGCUCAUCUAAUAUUUUGUGGUUCCGUAGCGUAGCAUGAGCAUUUUACUAGUUCUUACUAGAAACUUGGUGAUAUGUUUCGCAGAUCUUGGAAAAAUUGUUCGGGCCAAGUUUGGUUUCGACGUCGUGGGACACUACGCACGACCUGAGGUGCUGAGCUUGACUGUGAAGACCGAAACCGAAGCACGCCGUGUCUUUCAGCUCUACCGUGGGAUAAGAUUCGAGGCGCAAAGAGGGACGAUAGUUUGACGACCUGAUGUCCAGUAAUCUUCCAUAGUCAUGUAUAACAAAGUUGUGAUCCAACGUCUGUCUGUCGGCAUUACAAUUUACAACAAUAAUUGUGCCUUCAUAUAUAUUUUUGUAAAGAUUCGGAGAAGAUGCUUGUUAGCAUAAACAAUUAAGGCAUGCACAUGCCCUAUUUUACAGGUCUUGUCAUCGGUCAU
rnacentral:lncRNA from 1 species